GGAAAUCUCGUGCCUUUGUAACUUCCGAUGACUAGAUGCUUCAAGUUUGUAUUAGGCUCCAGUUGUUCCAAUACUUCUCUAUCAUGCUUUGAGUCACCAUCAAUAUCAUCAUAUUCGUCCCAUGUCAACUUCAACUCCUCAAGGUUAACCUUAUCCUUCAACUUGGCAUCUUUGGCAUCCCUGGCAUUUACAAUAUUUUUCAGUCUUGAAAUGGCAAGUCUUCCCCGUAAAUGCUUGAGCUUUCCCAACUCAUUAAUGCUUGAACCAGUUUGAUCACCUAUAACAAAAUCUGUUAAGAUUCGAAUAUCUUUCGACUUACCCAUCCCUUCUGGCAUCUUAGUUAACUUUGCUCCCUUAAUAUCAAGAUAAAGCAUGUUGAUCAAUCUCCCCAUGUCUCUCGGCAGCUCAACAAGGCCACUGCAUCCAUGCAAUGUCAAUGCUUGCAAAUUAUACAAUGUACACAGAGAAUUUGGCAACCUUGUGAUUGAAGUUUUUGAGAGAUUCAAAUUUCGUAGAUGCUUCAAGUUACUAAUUUCUUUUGGCAAUUCUUUGAUAUUGACAUACCCAGCCAAAGAAAGCACUCGUAAGCUUGAUUUCAUCAGCAAAUCGUGCAUUAGCACAUUGCUAACAAAUACCCCAUGGAAAGAAGACUUCACGUUUAUGAAAGUACGCAGACCUUUUGCUUUAGGUAGACUUUGAAAUUUUUGUCGCACAUCAUAUAGUUCUUGGACAUUGGACAAAUGACGGGUCUUUUCAGUUAUUACAGAAGAACCACCACUCUCUUCCAAUCUGCAGAUGAAUUCUCCGGUGACAGAUUUAGCCAAGUAACUAAUUAGAUCAUGCAUGACAAAACAAGAUUUCUUUCCUUUUGAUUGUUGAAAAAAGGACCUCAAUCUCAAAUCUUUGAAGUACUCGUUACCCAGUUCUUCCGGAUCUCCAUUAUCUUUCGAAAGCUGUAAAAGUCCUUCAGCCAUCCAUAAUUGAAUAAGUUCUGCCUUUUCGAAUUCGUAAUCUUUAGGAAAAAUUGAACAAUAAGCAAAACAUCGCUUUAAAUGUGAAGGAAGAUAAUGAUAACUUAAUGUUAGCGCUGGAAGAAUAUUACUUGCUGUAUUUGGUAUGUCCCAAAAAUUGCUAUGCAAUAUUUUGUUCCAUUCAUCAGCGUCUAGUUUACAGCGGAGGAGACCGCCAAAGGAAGGCCGUUACACCUUUUCACGAUUGCGUCACCAAUUGCCUUGAGAUCCGGAUGUGUGCUUGGGGUUGUACCAACGAAUGCAUGCUUUGCGAAUAACGUCCAACAAUCAUCAUUAGAUAAGGUCUUCAGAUGAUAAGUUGGAAUAGUCCUCAUAAUGUCGGCAACACUUUCAUUACGUGUGGUUACAAUAAUCUUGCUAUUUUGAGCCCCAAAUUUGAAAGGAAUGCUGAGCUGCUCCCACACAGCAUAGUUUUCAUUCCAAACAUCAUCCAAAAUGAUUAGAUAUUUCUUUCCCAACAACUGCUCUUUGAGUUUAAGUUGAAGCUGAUUUAAGUUCUGGUUUCCAUCACAGCUAUAUUUGGUUUCUUCAAGAAUAGUUUUGGUUAACUUGAGAGCAUCAAAUUCCUCUGAAACACACACCCAUGCUUUGGGGUGAAACCAUUUAUCCACUCUGGGGUCAUUGUAGAUCAAUUGGGCAAGGGUGGUUUUUCCAAGCCCGCCCAUACCCACAAUGGGAAUCACAUCUAUCUGAUUAGGCAGAUUUUGAGGAUCCAACAACUUCAUUAUUUCUUCUUUUUCAUCAUCCCUACCACAAACAUCAGACUCGUCCACCAAAGAAGUUGCAGGCGUUCUUUGAAAUGCCUUUUCUCCUUUAGAAUUUUCUUUCAGACCCAGAAUCUGUUUUUGGUUCAGUAGGUUGUCUAGUCUCCCAAGGAUCUCCUCUAGCUUUGACUGCGCCCCAUCUUUGAAAGGAUUCAAAGAAUAGAAAAAGCAACUAACCUGCUUCAUAUGAGUAGUUGGAUAUUCUGAUUCAAUCUUGUUCCGGCGAGCUUCAGUAGAGAUCUCGUCCAGGAGGUCCUCGGCAUCAUAAAUAGCAUCUUUGAGCUCAUCGGUCCAACUUUUGACAUUUGGGUUGGCAAUCUGCUUAUUUUCAGCAUCAUCCAACACUACUUUCACCGACAUCAAGGUUGGCUUGAGUUUGUUCAGCAGCACAGCUUCAAGUUUUUUUCCUUUGAUAAGCCUCAGAACAUCGGCAGAAACAAUCCUAUCAAGCAACACCUCAAUGGAAGCAGAGAGAAAAGCUUCACCCACCAUAGCCAUGUUUUUUUAUGGGGUUUUUUUUUGGUAAAGAAAGGUUUAAAGGAAGAGGAAAAGGGAAGUAAUAACAAAGAAAGGAAAAGAAGAGUGCUUCAACUAAAGAGAGGACACGGUUGCAAAGAUGAAGGAUUUGGAUUUGAAACAGAGAAAGGAAGUGCAAAGCAAAUAGUCAACAAGGAACAGUAGAAGGAAUGGAUGAAAGGGGAAGGGUUUAACUCGCAAAUACUUUAGUUUCAAAUUUUCAAUACAUACUUGCAAACGCGACUUUUAUAAAAUAAGCUCAUCCAAUUUGUGUAUCAAAUUUCUUUAUUGGAAUGUUUGAAAACAUGAUUUUGGGUUGAAAAUUUUGGAUUUAAAAUUUUAAAAAUUUUUUAUAACGUAUAAAAAGUAUGGAUAAAUUAAUGUAUUACACAAAUGAUGAAAUAAUAUGGAAAACAACGUAAUAAUAUAAAAAUAUCUUGAAAUUUAUAUUUAUAAAUUAAGUAAAAGUAUCAUGGAGCCCUUUAUACUAAAAGUUAGAUUUGUAAUUUGUCUUUUUUUAUUUUAAAAAAGGGAUAAAUUAAUCCUCGUACAUUAAAUUAAGUGUAAAAUGAUCAUUCUGUUAAAAAUUUUAUUCAUUUAAAUUAUUAAAAAUUGGUCCUAGUAUAUCAACAUGAGGUAUAUAUGGCAUGUCAUAUGUCAUUAUCCGGUUAUUUUAUCAAUCAUAUUAAUUUUUAACAGUAUAAAUGGAUGAAAUUUUUAACAAAAAAAGGAUUAAUUUGUUCUUUGAUCUAACGUAUAAGGACUAAUUUACUCAUCUUAUAUUGAAUGGGACAAAAUAUAAUCUAACUCUUAGUACACAGAGCUCCAUAAUAUUUUACGGUGCAAAUUAUAUAUUAACAUAUCAAAAAAUUUAUAUAAAUAUAAAAAUACGAUACAUAUCCAUAAAUUGUUAGAUCUAAUAAUAAUAGCCAAGUAAUUUCAAAUAAAUAAAUAUCAGAAUAGAGAAAUGAGAUUAAUAUUCACAAAACUAGAUAAAAAGAAUAUUCACAAAACUAGAUAAAAAGAACAGUAAAUAACUGGUGCCGCCUGACUAAUUGACGGCACCCUCUUAUUUAAAUCGAUGAUACCUAUAUUUCAAACCAAAAUACAAAUUUAUUUUAAGAGGAUACGAAAUAAAACGAAAUAAUAAUAAUUUUUUAUUAGUGAGGCCCAGGCGGCACUAGAGGUGUUCAUGGGGCCAGGCAGCCCAGCUCGACACGACGGCUCGCCCGAAAUAUGGGAGGGUUUGGGUAAAAAUAUAGGCAAGAAAUAUGGGCUUGGGCAAAAAAAUGAGACCCGUUUAGAAAACGGUCGGGCCUCGGGCACCACUUUUUGCCCCGAGCCCGGCCUGGCCCGGCCCAAAUAUUUUAAAAUACUUUUUUUUUAAAUAUUUUUAAAAUACUUUUUUUAAUUUUCUAAAAUUUUUUUAGUGUUUAUUUAAAAAAUGGACCGGGCCGGGCCUGGGCUUAGGAAUUUUCCCUCGGGCCGGGCCUAGACAAAAUUCAAGGCUCAUAUUUUGGGCUGGGUCGGGCCUCGGCCUAGGACUCGGGCCAAAAUUUUUUAUGGGCCCGGCCCAUUAACACCUCUAGGCGGCACCCUAUUAUUUUUAAAAGGAAAAUUGUUUUUUGUACUCUCCUUAUGUAUAUCCAUAAGGAACUCCCAUAAGCCAUAAGCCAUUAAAUGCUUCCAUCGAGUAACCAUUCAUGACAAAGGACACCCACCGAGGACAGUGAAGCCAUAAAGCCCCAGAGCUCCAACCCACUACGAAAUAUCCAACGCCAAUGAAGCACCAAUCACACCCCAAUCCAACACAUUUACGAACACCCAACUCGUCAACACAUUCACCCCUAAAGCACAAAACGAGACAUAGGCUAACACCCUAGUCUUCAACUGGCUUUGCAAGAACCUUUGUAAUGGGAACUGAAACGCAAAGCUAAAGUGCAAAGGUAUCAACCAAAUCGCCACCACCCCCGACAUCUCUCCCACGUCGUCCAGCUGUCCGAAUAGCUUUAAAACCGAUCCAUGAUCUUUGCAUGUAAAUGCCUAACAUGUGGUAUUGUUUAGCACCAAAAGCUUGUCCACAAAGGGUUUCUAAGGCACUCGCCAUCCCUAAUUAUAGUAAAGUGAAAAAAAAAACUAAUGUUAAGAGACAAAUAUGGUAAAAAGAAAAGUAAUGGAACAAAAAAGAAAGUCUGAUAUAAUGAAAAUUUACUAUGAGGCCAAAGUUGAAGCCAACGAUGGCCGUAUUGGCUAUUGAAAUAGCUGCAAGUUGAACAUCACCAAGGUGACCAGCAAAAGCUUGGGUUAUAAUGUUCAUGGAGUAAGAAGCAACAGGACUGAUGAUUGAAGGUCCUACGAUGACCCAUAGCUUCUUUGUUUCGAUCCAUAGCCUUGUACUUAAGUCCUUCUUCCCCAUCUUCAUCUCUCCAUAUAUUUUCUUCUGGUUUUGAUUCUUCAUGAUUUGAACUUGGUUCUGUUAGUAAAGGUUGAUGGUAUUCGCCACUGUUCCCAUGGAUACUAUCCACUAGAAACAUAGUUAAAAUAAUAGACUAUGGGCUAUCUUAGAUUUGCUAGGGACAAAAAAUAAUUUAAAAAAUUAAUAAUAAUAGGGUGCGCCAGACAAGUUGCCAACCACUAAUAAAAAAAUAUUUUUUUUUUCCGAUUUAUUCCACAUUGUAAAAAUUUUGUAUUUUGGUUUGAAAUACAGAUGCUGCUAAUUGAUCGAGUUGCGUCUAAAUUUUUUUUUUAGAAAUAAAGGGGCGUCACCGAUUGGUCAGCGGCACCAAUUGUUUACUAUUUUUUUAUUUAGUUUCGUGAAUAUUAAUUAUUUUAUUUUAUUUUAGUAUUUAUUUUUUUAUUUUAUAUUAUUUAUGUAAAAAAUACCUUAUAGUAUCUGAAUUUGAUUAGAGGUGCAGGAACAAAAGCAGCACUAGUAACCAAGAAAUACACUUAUACCCAGAUUAGAGGUGAUUUUGGCCUGGCCGAGCUGAGCCGUAAUAGAAUUUUAGGUCUAUUUUUUAGGCCUAAAUGCGACUUGAAAAUGGACCUAAAAUUUUACCCAAAUUUUCUCGAAUAAAAAUGCUAAUAUCUAAGCCUAGCCCGACCGCCCGUAUUAAAAUUGUUUACAUUAUUAUUCUUAUAUAAUACAAAUUUAAAAAUAUAAUACACUAAAAACAUUAAAAUAAAUGUUCUCCAACAAAUUUAAAAUAAAUUUUAAAAAAUAUAUACAUGCUUAAAUAACACUAAAAUAGGUGUAACUUAGCAAGCAAAUGCCUAUAAAAUAAUAGCAAAAUUAACAAUAAAACGAGAGUUAUACAAUAUCCAAAUAAUAACAAUAAAAUAGUAACAAUAUAAUAACGAAAUGACAACACAACAAUGACAAAACAAGAGCAAAACAAUGGCAAAAUAGAAUCAGUUAUUUUUUUGCAAAUUUAGGCCAGGCAAAAAAAAAAACUUACCCAAAACUAACUCAUUUAGAAAACAAGCCUCAUUUUUUGCUCAAGCUCAUUUUGUGGAUCUAUAUUUUUACUCAAAAUUUCCCACCUUUUAUACGAGCCUUUGUGCUGGCCAAAUGACCCAACCCAUAAUCAGAUCUAAGACCAAGUGAUACUAUAUAUAUAUAUAACAAACCAAAUUUAGCAAAUGUAGGUCAGAUAUUUUAGCACAUUAUAAAAAAAUUUGCCUUUUAAGGCAAUGUUAAAACAUAAAGUUUAGUAUUGAAAUUGAAACAUAUUUAAAUAAAAAUUAUUGUUUUAUAAAUAAAAGUAUCAUGAAAAUCAAUUAAAAUAUUCAUAAAAGUCAAUUUUUUUUAAAAAAUUACCUGAUUAGGCCUGGCACACGGCCGUGUGGCAUCAACAAUCAUGUUUUUCAGCAUCCGAAAUUCACAAAAACUCGUGUUUUCGGUACGCAAAUGAAGUAGUUUUGAAGUAAGAGCAACGUAAAAUACUCCCGAAGCCUAAAGCGACCACUCAAUAACAAAAGACCUUCUAACGGAAAAAGAAUACUCAAUUAUGCGUAGAAAACUAUGUCGAAAGUUUCGACACAAGACCUUCAACAAUUCCAGACUUACCAACAACAUCAACAGUGAUUACUCGAGUUAUUGCACUAAGGAUUGUUGCUUUUGAUAUCCUCACCUAAAAAGAAACCAAAUGGUCCCUUAAAAGAAGGUUUAAACAAUUUGAGUUGGAAACAACUCCAGCAGAAAUGAAUGAACUACCAUAUAACGGAAGUUCUAUGAUUAACAAAAUAGACAAAAUGUGCGGACCAAGCAACAAUUGGAUGAAGAAAAGAAGGAAAAAAGAACAAAAAGAAAUAGAUGAAAAAAAAGAAAGAAGAAAAGGAAAAAAUAACAAUGGAAAGGAAGAGGGAACGCUUAAUUAAUCUAACCAUCAAUCAAAAUUCUGACAUUAAGCAAAAACAUUACCUAAUGCAUACGCAGAGACUCAAACACAAGACCAGAAAGUAGACAGAUGCUUAGCCAGUUAACUAGUAGGCUCAUUCUUGAUUGUAAAAAAAUAGAACGUCGAUAAUGACAAUGUAUCACAAAGAAAGAGAAAGAAAAAUAAAAAAACACACAGAUUUUUACGUAGAAACCCUUUUGAGAAAAAAACUACAAGUGAAGGAGAAGAUAAUUCACUAUGUCGAAUUCAAAUGAUUAUAAGAGGAGUAGACUAUGUCUAUUGUAAAACCAUAUUAUAAUAGAAUGAGUGUAGUAAGGUUGAAACAUCUUAUUCUAAUCAAUAUAGAAUAUAUGAAGUGUAAUAAGGUUGAAAAACCUUAUUCUAAAAUAAAAUAAAAGAAGUGUAGUUCUAUAUGGAUUUUACUUUUAUUUUAUUUUACCAUAGUAUUUUAUUUUAACAAUGAUUCGGGUCAUUUAAUUCUAACAAUCUCCACCUUGACACGAAUUCUCAAUGAAUAAUUUCUUCACCACGAACUCUCAACGAAUAAGUUCUCCACCUCUUCUAUGAAACCCUUUAAGGGGUAUUUUUCAACAAUGAACACCAACCAAGUCUAAACAAUGCUCAAACUUGGUUAUGGGAAGUGACUUAGUCAUCAUAUCUGCAGGAUUUUCAGGAGUACUAAUUUUGCUCACAACAAUAUCACCACGAGUAAUAAUAUCAUGAACAAAAUGAUACUGAACAUCUAUGUGCUUUGUUCUCUCAUGAAACAGUUGAUCUUUUGUAUGGAAGAUGGCACUUUGACUGUCAUAAAAUAUUGUAUUGAUUUAAAGGUCUUCAUUGAGUUCACUAAAGAGUUCUUUCAACCAAAUGACUUCUUUACAAGCCUUAAUAAUCGCCAUAUACUCAGCUUUAGUGGUAGACAAAGCAACUGUAGUUUGCAAAGUGGUAUGCCAACUGAUUGCACAACUUCCGAUCAUAAAGACAUAACUUGUGAAAAAUCUUCUUCUAUCAAGGUCUCCAGCAAAAUCAACAUCAACAUACCCAAUGACUCAAUCUCUAGUUCUUCUAAACUAUAUGCAAACAUCAAUAGUACCUUGUAAAUAUCUUAAAAUCCACUGAACUGCUUUCUAGUGUUCUUUAUUGGGAUUCGUCAUGUAUUUACUAAUUGCACUGACUAAGUAUCAUAAAUUUGGACGUGAACAAACCAUAGCAUACAUGAGAGAUCUUACUGCACUAGAAUAUGGAACAUGUGACAUGUGCUCAAUCUUAUCAUCUGAUUGUAGAGACAAAGCCGAUGAAAGUUUGAAAUGAGUUGUUAAAUGAGUACUAACAGACUUAGCACUCUGCAUAUUGAACUUGCAAGGAACUUUCUCAAUGUACCCCUUCGGACUUAGGUACAAUUUACUUGUUUUUCUAUCUCUGAGAAUCUUCAUACCAAGUAUUUUCUUUGCUGGUUCCAAAUCUUUCAUCUCAAAUUCUACACUAAGCUGUGCUUUUACAUGUCUUAUCUCUCUUUUAUCUUUCGUUGCUAUCAACAUGUCAUCCACAUAGAAGAGUAGAUAUAUAAAAUAACCACCACUGUUUUCCUUAAAGUAAACACAACUGUCAAAACUACUUCUUUUGAAAUCAUGAGAAGUCAUAAAGGAAUCAAACCUUUCGUACCACUAUCUUGGUGACUGUUUCAAACCAUAAAAAGACUUUUUCAGUAGGCAAACAUAGUCCUCUUUCUCUGAGCCUGUAAAACCCUCUAGUUGUUGCAUGUAAAUAUCCUUCUCAAGUUUUCCAUGCAAAAAUAUAAUUUUUACAUCUAACUGCUCAAGCUUCAGAUCAUGCAUGGCCACAAUACCAAGCAAAGCUCGAAUUGAACUAUGCUUCACAACUGGGGAGAACACAUCUAUGAAACCCACUCUUGGAAUUUGACUAUAACCCUUUACAACAAGCUUUGCUUUAUAUCUAUGAUUCUUCAACUAUUGGAGUCCCUUCUUUCUUUUUAAGCACUCAUUUACAACGAACAACCUUUUUUCCUUUAGAAAGUUUCACAAGAGCCCAUGUUUCAUUUUUGUUGAGUGAUUCCAUCUCCUUUUGCAUAGUAAACAUCUACUUUUCUGAGUUUUCACAACUAACCACUUCAGAAUAAUUAGAUGGCUCUUGAUUUGCAUCUAUAUCUUCAGCCACAUUUAAAACAUAAAUAACUAGAUCAACAUUGAUAUACUUAUUUAAAAUUUUAAUCUCUCUUUUAGUUCUGUUUUUGGUGAUAGAGUAUUGUGGUGAAGAAGCAAAUCUAUUCUGAAUUUCUAUUCUGGCUUGAGGAGUCAACUUUGUUUUAGAUUCUAGAUUAAUUUGAUGCUCCAUCUACUUUUGCUGUUCUUUAUUAGAAGAGUCUUUAAGAGAUAAGUUAGGUAGCAUAACAGUUUGAUCAAAAACAUCUCUGUUAAUCACAACUUUUCUAUUUUCAAGACACCAUAACUUAUACCCUUUUACACCAGUUUUAUAACUAAGAAAAACACAUUUAAUGGAUCUUGGUUCCAAUUUUCCAUUAUCAACAUGAGCAUAUGCAGGACACCUAAAGAUCUUUAAAUCAGAAUAAUCAGCAGGAUUACCAGACCAUACCUCUUGUGGAGGCUUUUUCUCAAUGGCACUUAAUGGAGACCGGUUGAUAAAAAAGCAUGCAGUAGAGGCUGCUUCGACUCAAAAUGACUUUGGUAAGUUGGUAUUCGAUAGCUUACAUCGAACCUUCUCCAUAAUUAUUCUGUUCAUUCGUUCUGCAAUGUCAUUUUGUUGUGGAGUAUGACGAACUGUCAAGUGUCUCAUGAUCCCUUUUGACUUGUACAGUUCAUUAAACUCAUCAGAAUAGAACUCUAAACUAUUGUCUGUGCGAAGUUGUUUUAUUUGAUUUCCCCUUUAUUUUUCAAUCAUAGUUUUCCAAGACUUAAAUGUAGAAAACACAUCACUUUUCUACUUUAGGAAAAAUGCCCAAACUUUUUUGGAAAAAUCAUUAAUAAGUGUUAGCAUAUAAUUAGCUCCACAUUUCAAAGGCACACUAGAUGGCCCCCACAAAUCAGAAUGAAUAUACUUUAACAUUCUUUUUGUGUUGUAGAUUCCUCUGCUGAAUCAAACUCCCUUUUACUUCCCAAAAACGCAAUGGUCACAGAACUUUAGUUUGCAAAUUCCUUACCCAUCAAGAAGUCUUUUUUUACUCAAUUCUGUCACACUAUUCUCAUUCAUAUGCCCUAGGCGCAUAUGCGAAAGUCUAGUAACAUCAUCAUCUGAUAAGGAAGAGGAAGCUACAGUUGCAUCACCAAUAAUCGUAAAACCCUACAAAACAUAUAACUUGACAGUCUUUCUUUGCCCUUUCAUCACAAUAAGGGAACCUUUGAAAAUAUUUAAAACUCCUCUUUCAGUUCUAUAUUUGUACCCUUUUGAAUAAAAAGUACUCAACAAAAUCAAAUUUCUCUUCAAAUAUAGAACAUGACGCAUGUCACUAAGUGUUUUGACAACUCUGUCAAACAUCUACUUUUCUAAGUCUUCACAGCUAACUGCCUCAUCUCUUCCUCUAUCAAUGUCAAAGGCAUUUUAUCUAUCCGUAGCGGAGCAUCCUCUAAGUCCAUCUGCACAAGAAUUGUCUACAUCUUUAUCUAUCACAACAUAAAUCUGGUUUGCUAAUCCAAUAGUGAAAUUUCAUACCUCAAAGAUGUCAUUACCAUGAUUGAGAUGAAUAACCCAGAAACUCUGAUACCAAUUUGUGAAAAAAUAGAAUGUCGAUAAUGACAAUGUAUCACAAAGAAAAGAGAAAAAAAACUAAAGAGCACACAUAUUUUAAGUGGAAACCCUUUCGGGAAAAAAGCACGGGUAGAGGAGAAGAUAAUUCACUAUGCCGAAUUCGAAUGAUUACAAGGGAAGUAAACUAUGUCUAAUUAUAGGCUUGUAAAACCAUAUUCUAAUAGAAUAAGUGUAGUAAGGGUGAAACACCUUAUUUUAAUUAAUAUAAAAUAGAUGAAAUGUAAUAAAUUUGGAAAACCUUAUUCUAAAAUAAAAUAAAAGAAGUGUAGUUUUAUAUGGAUUGUACUUUUAUCUUUUUACCAUUGUAUUUUAUUUUAACAAGGAUUCGGGUCACUUAAUUCUAACAAUCUCCACAUUGACACGAAUUAAAUCUAAGUCAGUGGCCCAAGAGUAGAGAUUAAUUAAAAUUGAAUUAGAAGAAAUUAAUUAAAAUUGAAUUAGAAGAACUUCUAAAGAUGCAACUCGAACUCCUGACCUCAACCACAUAAACAGAGCACAUAACAUCAAAUACAAAGACUUAAUUACUAUAGAAUCCCACAAAUAAACAUUCAAAUUUUUAGGGCGUUACCCAGCAAAUGGAUUAUAAGUCUAUAUAUACACAUAUUCUACAUCUCACAUCGCUUAAGAAAAUAAGAGAAAUGAGACUUUGGGUCUAGGGACAAGCGUUUUCUAAAAUUUGGUCUAUUCCUUUAAGUUUUACAUAAAUAAAGCUAUUCACGUAAUUUUUUUAAUUUUUUGACAUUUAUUAGUAAACUAGUAAAUGUUUUUAAUCAUGAAUAUAAUUUUGGGUUUAUAUGAAAUAUGCAGGGCAAGAUAGUAAUGUUAUUAUUGUGUAUAUAUAUAUUAUAUAUGCAUAUCAAUGAUUUCGAGGAUUAAUUCACGAUUAGAGUAGGUGUUCAUAACCAUUAUUCAUUGUUACGAUGAUUUGGUGCAAAUUCAUGUAAACUAUAAUACAUGUUUAAAGAAUUUGGUUUUUCAAGUUUGAUUUUAUAAUAUUUGGUUUUGGCAUUUUAUGGUUCCAAAUAUUUGGUCAAAUUAUGAUAUGAUUUACGAAAUGAAUUGUGAGAUAUACCAACUAUUACAAAAUUUGGGUUAAGAGUUAGAUUUUGGAAUUUCAAAUUUUAAAAUUGAAUAUAAAUUAAACAUUAAAAAGAUUGUAUUAUAUCUUCUUUCACACUUCCUUCAAAACUUAAACAAUAAAUAAUAAAUUUUUCAACAACCCAUUUUCAGUGAAAUCAGAAUAGUGGUUUCGAGACCACAAAUUUGACAUAAAAAUAUUUAUUUUUAUUAAUAUUUUAGUGUCUACAGUAGGUUAGUAGUGUCGUACAAAAAAUUUGUUAAGAAAUUUUGACGUUUGCAUCUUAAUUAAGUAAAAAAAAUGAUUAAAUCGUAAAAGGUGAAAAAGUGCAGUUCAAUUAGAUAAAGGCAUUAAAUUGCUAUGAAAUUUUAGUUUGAGUGCCUUAAAUGAUAAUUAAACCAUUUUAUGAGUUAAUGGACAUAUAUGGACAUCAUUUUAAUGAUGUUAAAGGUUUAUAAUAAAGGUUAAUUUAGUAAAUAAAUACAAAUUAAAUCAAUUAAAAGAAAACUAAAUGUCCAUCUUCUCCAAGUUCUUUCUCCACCGAAAUUAAGAAGAGGAAGAAGCCUUUUUAGGGUUUUUCCAUUCGGCCAUAGUCUAUCCUUGCAUGUAAGUGCAAUUUUGUCCCGUUUUUAAUUAUUUCUAUGUUUUGAAGUCAUUAUAGCUUAAUCUUGCUAGCCUAGGGGCUAAUAUGAAAAAUUGUUAAAAGUAUAAGGUUUUGCCAUGAAUUUCCUAGCUUGAUAUUUGUAGUUUAAUGAAAUAUUAUGAAUUUUUGUUUAUAAAUAAACAACUUUUGCAAAGUGAUUUUUGUUGAAAAUGUCAAAUAGAGACUUGAUUGUAAAAAUAAUAAAAAUGUAUGGUGAAAUUGGAAAAUAAUGAUUUGUAUGAAUUGAUAUGUGUCCAUGAAGAAUUCGGCAAGCUUGGGUUAGGGAUGAAAUUGCAUGAAUUUCAAUUUACGAGCUUAAAGACUAAAUUGUAAAAAGUUAAACUGUUAGGGGUAAAAUUGUAAGUAAGCAUAAAUGUGAUUUGUGGAUUGAAUUGGAUAAUUGAGUUUGAUUGAAACACUUAAUUGAAUAUUAUUAUUUAUUUAGAUUGAGAUAAAUCUCAACCAGAUUUAAAUUGAGGAAAGGCGAAAGUCACAGAUUAACUCGAUUGUACUCCUACGCACUAGUUGUCAAUGUAAGUUCAUAGUAUUUAAACGUAUAAUUGAUUUUCCAUAUGUAUUUUUAUCUUAUAAAUAUGUAAUUAAAUGUUAAUGUAAAUUAUAACCUUUUUGUACUUCGGUACCUUUGAUUGCACAUAUGUGCCCUUGUUUGUACUUCUGUAUCCUUGAUUGCACUUAUGUGCCCCUGUUUACAUUUCGGUAAUUUCAAUCAAGUAAAAUAAGAAUUGUGUUCAUUUGAUGCUAAGUUUAAAAGAUUUACUAUGUUCUUACUGAGCUUUGUAAGCUUAUAGGUUUUUGUGUAUCAUUUUGUAUAUCGUUAUUGCUAACCUUUGGAUGGAUCGAAUCUUCGGCUCACACUAUCCAUCAUUGUUGGUAGCUCUUAAACUCUUUAGGGUUGUGGCAUGUAUAUGUGGCUAUUUAGUUUGUUUUGGUAUAAUAUGGUGAAUUACUAAACUAGGUGAUUAGGUACUUUUCUAAGUUUGUGAAUAGAAAUCUUUUGGUACAAAUAGAAUGUUAUGAAAGUAAACACUUAUGGAUUGUUUUGGUUUGUUGAUGAAAUAAGUUGUUAUGUUUGGUUUAUAAAUAUGGUAUAUUGGUUGGUGUGAUUUUGGCACUUUGAUGCUUAAUGGAUUGGUAUGGAUAUGAUCAAUUUGGUAUGUCUGAAUUGUGGUUAAUUAUGAAAUGAUUAGGUGUGUUUUAUGUAUGUGUUUGAGUUGUCUAUAUGACAUAUUGGUUGUAUGGAUUAUUAGUUUAUUGUAUGGAUAUUUUUUUGUAGGUUUUGAGCAUGUUUAUGAGUUUUGAUCAUGUGUGCAAAAGUGCCUAAGUUUAUGCUUGUGAAGGAUAAAAGAAAUGACUUGAUUUUAGUCAUUUUCUUGUCCACACAGCCAAAGACAUGGGUGUGUGUCUUAGCCGUGUAUGACACACGGCCACGUGAAAUGGUCGUGUGUCCCUUAUAGGUUUCAAAGGGUGGUAAGUCAGGCAGUUACACGGCCUGACACAUGGGCGUGUGAGGCCAUUUCGACAGUUACACGACUUGACACACGGGUGUGUAGCUUGGCUGUAUGGCCCAAGUUAGAGAGAUACACGGGCACGAACACAGGCUAGGACACGGCCAUGUGUCCCUACAUUUACUUUCCACACGGCCUGAGACAUGAGUCGUGUGAGUCACACAGCCGUGUAACCCUUGCAGUAUGAAAUUUUCUAACUAUUUCCUUAUUCUUUCAAAUGUCUCCAAUUUAGUCCCGAAUCGUUUUUAAACUGUUUUUAAGGCCUCAAGGGAUCAAAUAAAGGAUGAUAUGUAUGUGUUUGAACAAGUUAUGAUAUGAUUUAUGAAAUGUUUGCAAACAAAUUAUUUAAGUUGCGUAUUUACAUUAAUGCUAUGUAACCUUAUUCUGGAGGCGGAUACGAGUUAGGGGUGUUACAAAGUUUACUGAUAAUAUAUCAAUGAAGUUCAAGGGUUUCAAAAUUGGAUUGGUAGGCAAACUAUUAGACCACCAGUUCAUGGUUUAACUAGUUCAAUCGAUCCGAUUGAUUCAAUUGAAUAAUUUAUUAAAAAUAAAUAAAAUCAAUUCAAUUGUCAAUUUGAGCGAGUCAAUUGGUUCAACCAAUUCAUGAGUCAACCAAUUUGACCUUUUAUUCCAAACUGGUAUCUCGAACGAUUCCCAAUCCGAUCGAUUUGACCAGUCAAUCCGAUUUGGUUCUUAAAACAAUAACAAAACUUCAUGCAUUUAAUUUAAUACAUUAUAAAUAUGCUAAAUUUUCAUUUAUAUGAUAAUUUUCACAAUUUUAAUUUAUAAACCCUAGACUUUUAAUUAAAAUCUAAGUAAGUACAAAAAAAAUUAUAUGAUUGAACUAAUUAAGCCACCAGUUUGCUAGUCCAAUCGGUUUAAUCAGUUUGACCGAUAUGAUCGGUUCGACCAAUCUACCUGAUUCUAUUAAAUAAAUCAUUAAAAAAUCAUAAAUAUAAAAAUAUAAAAAUAUUAUUUUAGUUCAACCGGUUCAACUGCAUAACCAAUCAAUUAGUAUUGAUUCCUGGGACAACUCGUUUAAUGACUUUCUUCAUACAAGUACUUUGGCUGAUUCCCAAUUCGAUUGGCCAAACUAAUCUUGUUCAAACAAUAAUGUUCAAAAUCCUCCUAAAUAAUUAAAUCUUAAAGAAAAACAUUUUUAAAACUUAAAAUUAGUUGAAAUCCAAAUCAAUAAAUUUAAAUCAAUUCAAAAUUUUAAAUUUCAAAUAUUUUUAUUACCAAAUAAAAUAUUUAAAAAUAAUGAAAUCAUAAAUUUCGAACUUAGAAAUUGAAAUUUCAAUUCUCAAACAAUAGCUAAUAGUUUGGACGGGUUUGCAGCACUCACAAAAUCAUUUAAUACUUAGUAACACAAGAAUGCACCUUAAUUGCUCUUUUUUUUUUAUAACCAUGUUUUUGGUUGUUUACAAAUAAUUUAGCAUAAAGAAAAAAAAAUCAUAUUAUAGCAUAACCAAUAGUAUUAUUCUAAAUUAGAAAAUCUUAUUAUAAGUGCAUACGUGUAAAAAUUACAAAUUUAGAAUAUAGAUAUAUGUUUAAAAAUAUCAUUUAAUAAUAAAUAAUGAAACUUAUGGUUUGAAACUAAUUAACCAUAACAACACAUGAAAUAUAUAUGAUACUAAAAUUAAAAAAUAAAUUAAAUUAUGAGUAAAAUGAAAUUAACCACAUACAUACAUCAGAUAAAUAAUAAUUAAUUUUAAAUUAAUUACACAUUGAACUGGAAAAGAAAAACCGUUCAUAUGCUUUUUCUUUUAGUUUUUCUUUUCCAUUUUGAUUGAAAAAAAAAUCUAUUCUCAUCCCAGUUAGACAUCUAAAUUGGCAUUUAAAACUCAUUUAGACCGCCACGUAGAAUUGCUUUUAAGGAGGUAACGGAGCAUAACGGCAGAAUGAGUACUACUUCGUAACAAAAUGAUAACAUAAGUGACUAGAAUAUAACAUUUCAAACAUAAGUGACUAAAAUGUAAUAUGAGGAAAAUAAAAGUGACUAUUGUUGUCGUUUAUCGUAUUUUUAAUUUUUUAUUUAAAAUUUAAUUUAAUUAGAAUUAAAUUAAAAUAUAAUUUUUUUAGAAAAAUUUGAUUAAUAACUUAUCCCUAAUAAUUAUUUGAUUGUUAAAAUUCAAACUAUAUAUGCAAAGUUUUUAUUUUUAUCCUAAUAAUUAUUUUUGAUGUGUGUAGUUAACGUUGAAAACCUUAAUUUCCCUAUUAAUUACUUUACUAUGAUUUCAGUCGUGAAUAUGUUAUUUUGAAUUUACUUCAUCAGUCAAUCAGACUUUAUAAUUUAGUUGUCAAAAUUCAAAUUAUUUAUACCAAGUUUAUAUUUUAAAACACACAUAAGUUAUUACUUCUUGAUCAUAGGUCAGAUUGAUGUAAAAUUUUAAGUUCGAGCUCGGCUCAGAAAAUGAGUUUAAAAUUUUACUCAAGCCCAGCCCAAAUUAAUAAUGCUAAAAUUGAGCUUGACUGGGUCAUCCCGUAUUUAUUUUUUUUAGAUUUUUUAUAUAAAAACAAAUUUUAAAAAUAUAAUAUAUCAAAUGUACACACCCCAUACCUGGCCUAGACAUUACGGUCAAAUCAUGGAGAUUACAUUUAACGAAUGGAAAAUUCAAUUGAACAACUCUUUUUUGAAAACACAAUGAUUCUCCUAAAUCGUAGCUUAAUUGUGUUACUAACAUCAAAACCAAUUUACAUGAAAACAUUUGCAUGCUAACAAAAAAAAAAAACAUUUUGAGAGAAUUUCAGUUAAUCUUACAGUGAAAAACCUUAUAGUUUUUUGUAUAUAAAAUCGUGGUUCAUUUUUAAUUAUCAUAGGUUAAGCGUUUUUAACGAUUAAAGCCUUUGCUUAGUAAAUAUCAAAAUAGUCCUAACUAAAAAAAAUAAAAAUGUUCUAAACGAAAUAAAAACCCAAAACAGUCAAAAAAUGUCCAUAAUAACAAAUAAAAAGUCCAAAGUGUUUAAACUAAAAUGUGAAAUUCGAGCUCCAGAGUCGCCAUCUAAUCCUAAGUCGAAGGAUCACCUGAAACGAAGAAAAACAUAGGCGUGGGCUUUAAGCCCAAUAUGUGAUUUGGCCCAUAAUUUCAAUAAUUUCAAUACAAGCAAUCAUCAAUUUGUUUCAUAGCAUAUCAGGCUUCAUUUCUAGACAUAUCAUAUCAUAUCAUAUCAUAUCAUAUCAUAUCAUAUCAUAUCAUAUCAUAUCAUAUCAUAUCAUAUCAUAUCAUAUCAUAUCCUACUCCCAUCCGCUACAUACUAUCUCCGUCCAGCCAAUCAUACCAUAUAAGACUACUAGAGUCCAUCCAUCUAGUUACUUCAAUAGGUAGCAAUGUGCCACUUAUAUAAUUGCAGCUGAGCUACUAUACAUAAAUUUGUGGUCUAGCCGCCACAAUUAUAGUAUAAACUAUCAUAUAAUGUAACACCCCAAACUCAGCCUAGACGUUAUGGUCGAAUCUAGCGUGUCACAUUGAAGUGUCUUUCGAAAAAUAGACUUGUUGGUAACAAUUCGUUUCUAAGUUUAAAACCCCUUUAUUAGUGUUUUACAAAACAUCUAGUCAAAUGUUUACCUUGUUAUCUGCUUUAGUUAUAAUGGGUUGAUUUUAAAUCGCGGCAACUUUUGAAAACUCUGAUCAUUUAAAUUUAGUAUCUUUGAAAAUAGUAAUUAUUUUAAAAAUUCGUCUUCUCCUAACCUAGUAGUUUAAGGCAAAUAAGCAAAAGCCCAAUUAGAAAUUUAAACAAACUUAAAGGCCUUAUUACAAAAACCAACCCAAUAUAUAAUUUAAAUUUAAAAUAAAAGCAACUGUAAACAGCAGCAGUUGUGUGGCCACCUCCGAGUCCCUCGCAGCACCGAAUCGCCUAUGGCUGAGGAUUACCUGCACAGUUAAAAGGAGAGAGUGAGUUUACAAAACUUAGUGUGUAAUCCCCUACCAAACAGUCAGUAUACAACAUACAGUAAUAGACUGGGCUUGAGCCCUAUUCAGUACAGUACAGUGAGGGCCUUAGCCCAAUACAGUAACAGUGUGGGCCUUAGCCUAAUACAGUAUCAGUACAGUGUAAUAGUACAAACCAUUCUAAUCCAGUCAACAUACCACUCCGUACCACCAACACACCAUGUGGGGAUAAAAUUGAACCACCCAGCCAAAACACCAAUAUCACAGUAAAAUUGCCAGUAGCAGCAUCAUAGCAAAGCUACAAGUAAUAGUAUCGCAGCAAAGCUGCCAGUAACAGUAUUACAACAAAGUUGCCAGUAACAGUAUACUCCCUCCAUUACAGUAUCCCAACCCCAUGCAAUAUGUCAUGUCAUAAAUCAUACGUGUAUGCAAAAUAUCAUAUUCAAUCAUAGUCAUACAUAUCAUAUAGCAAAUCGGUCAUACAUACAUAAGGCCAUAACAGUCAUUUUGACUCUUAGGGGUAUAACAGUCAUUUACCCUAUGGGGGUAUUUCGACCAUUGUACCCUAUAGGGGUAUUUCAGACAUUUUACCCUAUGAGGGUAUUUUAGUCAUUUUACCCUAUAGGGGUAUUUCAGUCAUUUACCCAUGAAUGGCAAGUUGGGCUUACCACUCAAGCGAUCGAACGCCCGUGUGGUCUCAAACGUCGUAUUUAUGGCUUUUUGGUUUCUGUCGUUCUACAGUUACAGUAGGGUGUUUACACAGAUAUUUAUGAGAAGAGCGCAAAUCUCCACGUACACCAACCUAUAUUCAAACAUAACCUAAGUCAGUCCUUUAAACACUAGGGUUAAACACCCUCUUAUUGACAAUUAAUCCAAAGCACCAUCCUUACCUUCCUCAAAAGAGGGCGACUUUAGUCCUCCAAGACCACCAACCAAAAGUGGUCACACACUUAUCGAUUAUCUACACCACAGAUAGUGACUUAAUAACUAAGUUAGGCCAUAUAAGUAGCCAAGAAGGGUAUUCGGCUUUAAGAAAAAAGAAUGGAAAAGAACUGAUUUAAACAAAAAGUGAGAAGUAUCAAUACUUUAUCGAUAAUCAGAAACACUUACAGCAUUGGGACAACAAAAGCAGUGAGGAGAAGAUCGACGCAGAGAGUGAUAGAACAGAAGGGUGAUAUUCGGCUGAACCACACUCAAUAAAGAAGAUAGCUCACGGUCAAAAAGAAAAUAAUAAAAGGUAGAACUCAAAAACAGAAAGAGAAGAAUAUUCGGUUAAAGAAGAAGAGAAAAAGAGAAAGGAGAUUCGGCCAACAGAGAAGAGAAGAGGGGAAAAGAGAAUGAAGGAUUCGGCAACAAGAGGAGAGGGGAAGAGGGAAGACCAUUCGGCAAGCAGAGAAUAUGAGAAGGAAAAAGUAGAAAAGGAAAACGAACAAACCCGAAAGGUAUUUUAAAACUUGGCAAAAUUCGACACCAAAAACUAAUAGAUGAAACACGAAACUGUCCGAAACCAAAAUAGACAGAAGAAAAAAAACCUCAAACACCGAUUACCUCAAUGCCUAAUGACCAAAUUCGGUACAAGCAUACCCCUAGCAGAAUUCUCAAGCUAGAGUUUCCCCAAACGGCACAACUCUCCUCUGAAAUAACUCCUUGAUUUUCUCCUCGUAUCUCUCCCCUUAUCACUCAUUGAAUCACUCCACGGAUUUCUCCUCAACUCCCCCAACAACCUAUUCAAAUUCCAUUCAAACUCCCCUUAGCUGUGUUUUAGUCCAACUCUACUACCUACAUAGCUCAAGCAGCAAAAUAAACACUCCAUUGCACAACUCAAGACUUAAACCUUAGACCUCAUAGUUAUUAGGUAUUACCGGACAUAACAUAACUCAUUAAAUAAAAAAAAUUUUAAUUAAAUUUAUGUACCAUAGCUGAACACAUAUUAAAACCAAACAAAUAAAUUUAUUCUAUUUAUUAUCUAAAAUUCUUAGCAGAAUUAUUCCUUAACAUAGUAAGAUUUUUUAUUAUUAUUAAUAUUUAAAUCUUUGUGCACAUAAUAUGCCAUGACCAAAAUAUUAUAAUUCUAACAUAAUGAGCACAUGAUUAAAUUUAAUAUUACAUACAACUUCUAUACACAUGUACAAUUACUCAUAAAUAUUAACCUCAAAUGGACCUAUGCAUAUACCAUCAUAACAUAGCCAAUUGAUUUUCAUAUAUAAGUCAUAUCUAUCAGUUCCAACUUAUACAUAAUCAACUUAACCUCAUUUAAUACUUUCACAUUUAGCAUGUGAUUUAUUUUAUAAAUUAGUCAAAUAUCCCUAUAUCACAUAUUAUAUCCUAAACCCAAAUGAUUAAGUCAAACAUACAAUUUACUUAAUCAUCUCAAUCCAAUAUGCCAAAAACAAUAAAUCAAAAUAUAAUCUUUUAAAUAUCAUACCAUGCACAAAAUAAUAUGAACAUAUACUACAUCUUAGUCCAUAAAAGCUAAUGCAUUAAUAAAAUUUCAAAACAAAAGAGAUAAGCCAUUUUCGCAUGGCUAAUAAUCUCAUCUAUAUACAUUGAUUCCAAAUCAACAUUUCAAGUAUGCUAUACAUGCCAUAAGAUCGAAUUCAAACUUAAUAAAAUACCAAAAGGCGAGUCGAUAGUGUGAUAGACUAUGCUGACGAUCCCUGAGCUCGUAACGCGUCUCCAAAAUCUAUAAAACAUAAAAAUAAAUUGAACACACCCAAAAUAAGCGAUUAAAGCUUAGUAAGUCAUAAGCAAAAAUUUACAGAUAUAUUUAUAUCGAUACUUAUUUAAUCAUUAAGUUAAAUAAACAAAUCAUAUGACCAAAUAUACAUAAAUAUUUAGCAAAAUCAAAUAUUCAAUAAAUCAUUAUGCCGAAAUAUGGAUAUACUCAAAUAUAUAACUCAUACUUUAUAAUACAUUUGAAACUAUUAACAAUUUAAUACAAUCAACUUACCUUAUCACUAAUUAAACAAAUGGUUAAUACAUACCUGAAUCAUUUAACUCUCUUAGCACAUUUGUUUCCUUUUACCAUUUCUCACGUAAAACUUGUUAAACAUAGAGCCUUAUAUAAAACACCGGCACAGAGCCUGCUAGGCAUAAGGCCUGAUACAUUUCACCGGCACAGAGCCUGCUAGGCAUGAAGCUCGAACUUACAAAAUUAUUCUUCACCUAAUUCACAUCUAAAGUAAAUUGUUCUCGGAAUAUAAACACUUCACUAUAUUACAUUCGGCCAUAGCUUAUGUAACUUCAAAUAAUUUAUUUCAAUGCAUAACAAAUAUAUAUGCAUUCGGCCAUAGUUUAAUUCAUUUCUCUGCAUAACAAUUACAUAUACAUUCAGCUAUAGAUUAAUUCAUUUCAAUGUAUAACAAAUAUAUAUAUACAUUCGGCCAUAACCUAUGUAAUUUCAAAUAAUUUAUUUCAAUGCAUAACAAAUAUAUAUACAUUCGGCCGUAGCUUAAUUCAUUUCUCUGCAUAAAAAUUACAUAUACAUUCAGCUAUAGAUUAAUUCAUUUCAAUAUAUAACAAAUAUAUAUAUACAUAUACAUUCAUAGUUAAUUUAAUAUUUAAACGCUUAUUGACUUACCUCAGAUGUCGUCGACUGUUAAUUCGGCUAUUCGACCACUUUUGUCUUUCCCUGAUCCAAAUUCGACUUCUUUAAUUCUUGAUCUAAAUAAAUUCAAAUUAAACUUAUUUAAACAUUAUUCCAUCCAUUUUAGCAUAAAUUCACAUAAAUGGAAAAAUUACAAUUUUACCCCUAACAUUUUACAUUUUUCACAAUUUAGUCCCUUUUUGCACAAAACACAAAAUAUUCCAAAUAAAUUUUACUAUAGUAUGGCCGAAUACUCCUUAUCUCAUAUAGGUCCUUGCAUGUCAUUUAUUUCACAUUCUAGUCCCUCAAUUUAAUAUUUUUUUAAUUUAGUCCUUAAUACACAUUUUUAUCAAAAAUUACUAAUUAUAACAUGAAAAUCUAACAACAUAUAUUUAUUUUCCACCUAUUAACAUCAUAAAACUCAAGCAUUCAUCAAUGGCACAUUUCAAAAUUAUCCACAAUUCAUAAAAUUAAGACAUGGGUUUUAAAGUAGACGAAGCAACGAUCUCAGAAACGUAAAAAUUAUCAAAGUCAAGCAAAAUUACAUACCAAAUUUUUAGCUUCCAAACUGCCUAAUGUUUAAAACACCAAAGGUGUUCUUUGUUCUUUAAUUUUCGGCAAAACAAAGCCAAAUGCAUGGCCACUUUCAUGUUUUAUUUUAUUUAAUACAUAUAAAUACCUAAUUUACUAUUUUAACCUUUAUUUAUUCAUUUAAAAUCCACUAACAUUUGUUUAUGAUAGUCCACUCAUAAUUUAUUUUGUAUAAUAUCCACAUAAGGAACCCACAUUAGAAAAACCAUAGCAAUAAAGUACUUUAACAAUUAACUAGCCACUUUUGCAUUUUACGCGAUUAAGUCCUUUUAUCAAAUUAAACACACAAAUGGUCAAAUUAAUUUAUGAAAAUUUCACACAAUCAAAUUCAAAUAUCACAGACAUAGAAAAUAAUGCUAGUAUAUAUAUAUAUUAUUUUUUUAUUUUCAAACUCAGAUUUGUGGUCCCGAAACCACUGUUUCGAUUAGGGUCAAAAUCGAGCUGUUACACCAAGCUUCUCAAACACUCCCAUACACACGCAAAUCACUUAGCCAUUAAAGCAAACAAGCAAUUUGUGUCAAAUCAUGCAAAAAUUAAAGACUUAGAUUUUUGGGGCGUUACAUAUAACACUUCCUCCAUUAUAUCAUAACCCACCUCGAAACACAAACAAAUCGUAAUUGUAUAACAUACUUAAAUAUAUAUAUCAUAACUCAAUGGCAUGCAUACUUACAUAUUGUCAUACAAAUCCUUACAUAGCACAUGGUUAAAAGGAACAUUUCCUACGUAACAUACCUCCUAAACUUAUCUGUAUACUUUUACGUACUGAUAUUUUGGCUUUUCUGGCCCCAUACGAUGCCCAUGGACCCAGAUUUUGAGUCCCUCAAACUGCCCCUAAUUGGGCCCUAAAAUUGGGCAAAAAGGCCUACGCAACCCAAAAAGCUAGCUUGUGUGGUCCAUACGGCCUACCACACGAUCUGCAAGGUUUUACACGGACGUGUGCUCCAUACAACCAAGCCACAUGGGCUGCAAGAUUUCACAUGGCCAUGUGAUGCACACGAUUUACCACACGGCCUGGCUUAUGAUUAUAUGGCACUAGCCAAUUUCGAUGAACAACCCUUAUUUUACGAAUUUAAUGAGUUUCGAUUCAAUUUUUUGGUUGUUUUCACACACCUGAUUACAUAGUCAACUAACUUCAAUAACGGGAACUCACAAACCUAUAAUUAUGCAUAAUCGUAUCAACAAUAUGUCAAAAAACAUCACCUUAAUACAACAAAAUUAUAGCCCCCAAAAUGACAUUUGAAUCCUUACCACUUGGAAAACAACGACUAAAGUAGAACCUAAUCCAUCGAAGGGAUUGGAUUAUCUGUUCCUUUGCCUAAUCAACACAAGAACAUUUAUCACCUUAAGCAAAGAAAAAUUGAAUCAAAAUAACAGAAAAAAAGGUACAAGAGGGAGAGGGAACAAACGGUUCUAGGAAAAGAGGAAUAUAAGGAUUUGAUAGACUUAAAAUAAAAUAAAAUAAAAUAAAAUAAAAUAAAAUAAAAUAAAAUAAAAAUAACAAGUUUUAAUUAAUCCAAACCCCACACUUCAGAUUUAAUAGAGUUUAACUAAACUUUAACACCCACGAGAAGCCCAAGCAAAAAGUAAAAUGUAAUCAAACACUUAACCAUUAAACCACUAAACUUAUCAUUAUUAUAACCCAACAAAGAAAUUGAUUUAAGCCCUAAGGUUCAAACUUAACUUAAAGUAAAAAUAAUAAUAAUAGAAAAUCUCAAAACUAGAUAAUUGAACUCAGGACCUAAAACAAACUUUUAAGACACUUAACCGACGCUCCAAAUCAAAUUACUUAACUAACCUACAUAUUCAAAAACCCAAAAUUUGGGGAAUUACAUCAAAUGUACAUAUAUUUAAUUACGUACUAAUAUUUAAGCUUUUCUGGCCCUAUAUGAUGCCUACGGACCUAGAUUUCGAGUCCCUUAAAUUGCCUCUAAUUAGGCCCUAAAAUUGGGCAAAAAGGUCCGCGCAGCCCAAAAAGCUAACUCGUAAGGUCCAUACGGCCUACCACACGGUCUGCAGGAUUUUACACGGACGUGUGCUCCACACAGCCAAGCCACAUGGGCUGCAAGUUUCACACAGCCAUGGGGUGCACACGGUUUACCGCACGGUUUGACAUAUGAUCAUGUGGCGCUAGCCAAUUUCGAGGAGCAACCUCUAUUUUGUGAAUUUAACGAGUUUCGAUUCAAUUUUUUGGUUGUUUUCACACACCUAAUUACGUAGUCAACUAACUUCAAUAACGGGAACUCACAAACCUACAAUUACGCAACAAUCGUACCAACAAUAUGUCAAAAAACAUCACCUUAAUACAACAAAAUUAUAGCCCCCAAAAUGACAUUUGAGUCCUUACCACUUGGAAAAUAGCGACUAAAAUAGAACCUAAUCCAUUGAAGGGCUUGGAUUAUCAGUUCCUUUGCCUAAUCAACACAAUAACACUUAUCACCUUAAGCAAAGAACAAUUGAAUCAAAGUAACAGAAAAAAAAAAAGGUGCAAGAGGGUGAGGGAUAAUAUGUGAAAUCAUGCUAUAAAAAAUAAAAUAUCUUAAAUUUUAUAUAAUACAAAUUACUAACCAAUCAAAAUUUAUUAAAUAUAUAAUUUUUACUAUAUGAUAUAAUUAGUGACUCAAUAGUUACUUAUGAAAACGCCCAAUUGAAUCUAAUUCACAACCUCUUCCAAUUUUUCAUUCCCAGAAAAUUGAAUUUUGUUUCUAAAUUCCCCCUAAAAAUCAUAAGGAUGGAUUUUUUUUUCAUAAUAACUUUUUUUUAGCUCCUCUUCAAAUUACUUUAAAAAUGGAUGGAAAAAUUAAUGUUAGUUAAUUUUGUUCAUAUAGUACCUACGUAUAUAUCAUAUAAGCAAUUAAUUAAUAUUUUAAGUUAAAAAUAUUAAAAUAUGUUUUUUAUGUUUUAUACUUUUUAAUACUUUUUUAUUUUUUAAUAUAUAAUAAAAUAAUUAAUUGCUAAUGUGGCAUUCAUGUGGCAAUCUACGUGUAUGUCAUGUCAGCAAAGUUAAUAAAAUAUUAUUUUUUCAUCUAUUUUAGUGUGAUUUGAUAAACAAUAUAAAUUUAUUAACUAAAAAUAUGAAAAUGACAUUGAAAAUGAAAAUAAUUUUUUGUGUAGGUUAUUGAAUCAAAUAAAUCAAUUAUAUAUAUAUACACACACAUUUGCAUAUAGUACUAUGUGUUAUUUAGCUGUUAGUGGAAGAUGUCUCAAAAUUAGUAGUGGGCAGACUAUGGUUUACAGAUAAACAUGCAACAUCUAUGUUUCUACAUUGCUACAAAAUGACACGAUAAUGAAACCAAAAUUAACGCUGUACACAAAUGACGAAAUAAUAUGGAAAAGUAACCAUGACUUGAUGAAAUAAUAACAACAUAAUAAUACACAAAUAUUUUGAAAUUUAUACCUACGAGCUCUCUAUUAAAAGUUUAAUUGUAUUUUAUUUUUAUUUACAAAUGAGUAAAUUAAUCUCCAUACGUUAAAUUAAAGAGUAACAUGAUUAUUCUGUUAAAAAUUUCAUCUAUUUCUACUAUUAAAAACUAGUCUCAGUACGUCAGCAUGAGAAAUAUAUGACAUGCCAAAUGUCACAAUUUGAUUAUUUUGUCAAAUAUGUCAAUUUUAACCGUACAAAUGGAUGAAUUUUUUAAUAAACAUUAUCAAUUUACUCUUUAAUCUGACAUAUAAGGACUACUUUACCCUUUUGUUUUUAAGUAGAGAGGACAAAAUACAAUUUGACUCUUAAUACAGAAAGCUUCAUAGUACUUUUACUUUAUAAAUUAUAUAUUAACGUGUAAAUAUUUCAUAUAAAUAUGAAAAAUAGGAUACACAUACAUGAAUUGUUAGAUCUAAUAAUAAAAGCAAGUAGUUUAAAAAGGUAUUUAUUUUCCUUUCCAUUUUAAGUAAUUUUUUGUGUUUCCAAAUGAUUGAUGCAUAUCUACUAACAAUAAUCUAUGAUUAACAUGUUAAGGUAUAUCUAAGAUACCAGUGUCAUAUAUAAAUACCUGAAAAAGAAAAAGAAAGUAAGCUGGGAUCAUUCACCAAUUUUCUUUUAUGUAAGUGAACAGAACAAACAGAGCAGUAGUACAUGUCCGUCAGCCAUUUCCUAGUGCAUGAAUCCGGAGAUGAUAAUCUAAAAUCAUAUAAAUAUAAAGAAUUAAUUUCUUUUUCUGCAUACUUGAGAAAUUUAUUUAUACAUUUGGAAAUCCAAUUUCAUCUUCUCAAAUGAUAACUUAAAAAUGGUAAAGAGUCAAUAGGGUUUAGUUGCGCAAAGAAAUGUACUCGCAUGGGAAUCAAGUUCCACAAUUACAAUGAAAGACCUUCCCGUUGAAAGCAAUUUCAAAAGAAACCAUCCUUAGAAUUGAAUGAAUCAUCAAUAUCAUAGUAAGGAAACAUUAUUGUUGCAUGAACUCAAGAUUACCGGAGCCACUGAUUUCAUAUUGCGAAAUCCACAGACUUCAAAGCCUUAUUCUUUCUAUUCCUAUCUCCGAGGUAUCUAUUCUUUUCUUAUUAUAAUAUAUUGUUUUGACUAUAUCACACUAUGUAUCAUUUAAUAAUUAAAUAGGUCCCCUAUCUUUGGUUUAAAUCGAAUUUGUAAUGGAGGAAUUUCAAAUAUAUUUAGAACUAGAUAGAUCCCGCUGACACGAUUUCCUAUGCCUACUUAUUUGUCGGGAGUAUAUUUAUGCACUUGCUCAUGAGCUUAGUUUUAAAAAAUCGAUGAUUUUUUUAAAAUCAGGGUUAUGGUAAUAAAUUCAGUUCACUAAUUGUGAAACAUUUAGAACAUGUUUGGCUGGGUGUAAUGGCAUAGCCAUUACAUCUCUAUUACGUGGGCCCCACCUAUUCAUAUGUUUGGUUGCCCGUAAUGCUAUUACUGCCAUAUGUGAUUACGGAUCUAUUACCUCCCUUGGCUGUAAUAGCCAUUCCCUGCCUCAAACGCUGAUUAGGGAUUCCUUCCCUAUUCUUUUUUUUCUAUUCCAUUCUCUACCCUCGUCAAUUUCUGCUUCUUCCAUCAAUUUUUGCCUCAAACGCUGAUUAGGUAAUUUCCCUUUCCCUUCCAUUGAUUUCUGCUUCUUAUCGUUUUAUGGAGUUGGUUUAGAUGAGGGUGUAAUACGUCUGAAGCAUCUUCUUCUUUUUUUCAUUCUUCUUCCCAUUUCCUUCCAACCUUCUCCCUCUUUUUUCAUGCCCAGGUCUCUCCCUCACUGGAAGUGCUAUUGCUCACAUUGAUAUUGGUUUCUUAGGGUUUUUGUUUGUUUUUGAAGGAUAAACCAGUGAAGUUGAUCUCAUGUUGAAGAUCUUCAAGAAGAAAACAUCUCCCAAAUGUAUUUUAGAUUUGAUUCCAUCAUUGCUUUCUUGCUCUCUUUUUUCUUUUUCCUGCAUUUUACGGUCAUUCUCUAAUUGCUCACUUCCUCUGUUAUGUGGUCAUUGGUUUGUGGCACAACACCAUGUAUGAUAUGUGGUUCAAGAGAAAUUGAAGGAGCCUUUUUGAAAUACUUGAGGGUUGAGCGCAAUGGUAAGUGUUGUAAACAUAUUGCUUGUAGUUAUACACAUAUCAUGUAAAACUCAUGUCAGAGUUUGAAGUUUUAAAUUGUAUUGAAUAUGAAGUAUCUAUUGUUUUUAUCAUUCAGAGGUAACAAAGGACGGUUUAUUCUCUGUUGGAGAAAUGUAAUGUAUGGUAAGUCUUUCCCUUUACAUGUUUACUUCUUUUUUUCUCCAUAAUGCCAAAUUUUAUUAGAAAAUCUAUUUAUGCUAACCUUUUUUUUCCUUAAUCCCUCUCACAAAUUUAACAGCUUUCUAAAUGUUUUCUGCAAGGAUGUUGUGUAAAUGCUCCUAUGAUUGCAGUUGCUGAUUACACCAAUGGAUCUGAAGGAUAUAUGUAUAAUUACUAUGUGGGUUUCUGUAGAGUUCUUUUCGACUUGCCUGAUUAACCAUAACUAGGCAGUGUGCUCAAUUGAUAACCUACUGGAAUUUUGAUAUGUGCAUUGCCAUAUUUAAAUAAGAACUUCAGUCAUUGUUAGGCAAGCUGAGCAAGAUGCGAUACGUGCUGCUCUGCAGGCAACAAUGAAGGCAAGUUUUUUGUUUAUUUUUUUCUUCUUUUAUAGGAAAGUAUUUCUAGUAGACAUUGUUAUAUCAAAAAUGGGAAAAUAAAAUGGAUCAUGGUUUAUCUUUAGUUCCGGUUUAUCUUUAGUUCUCAAUUUGGGAGAAUGUCCUACACUUCAUAAGCACCAUGUGCUGAUUGAGUUUGUAUGACCUGAUUGAGACAAUUCCUUUUGGCUUUUGGAAUAUAUUUUUACCUUAAAAUAACUUUUUGUUUCACUCACUAGAAUUUUAUUUAGCAGAAAUUGAUAAUGCUAUCACUCGUAGCCCCUAACAUAGCUAGUAAUUUUAAGACAUGAACCGCUAGAAUGCUCAAGUUUUUAGCUUGCUGAUCUUAGAUGUGAUUCUGUUGUUGGAGUCUUUGAGAAUCCUCAAAUUAAUGCUGCACUUUCUUGAAGUUCAUAUUGUCAAUGAUAAAUUUUGUUCAUCAGAUUUUGACAGGUCCGAUGGAAAAGAGGUUAUGGUGGACAACCAAUAUUUUAAAGCUAACAAUCCACUGCUGGUAAUGGAUCAUUUUCUUGCCUGAUCUUUUCCUUCAUCAAGUUGACUUAAAGAGUUGACAAUUCUUGCUCGUUUGUCUUUUUUUUCUUCCAUUGCAGUUAAUCAGCUUCUAUGAGCAACAUCUUAAGUAUAGCCCUCCAUCUUAAUCACCUAGGCGUAUUUAGUUUAUUGAUGAAGCUGAAGGCCGCCAUAUUGAUUUUGUUUGUGUAUGCAUUGUUGUAACUCUAUUACAUUAGUCGUAGAAGAUAGAGCAGGAUAAGCAAGAGCUCUCAUUUUCAAGUGCCAAGCUGACUGAUAUAACGAUAGCUCUCUCUUAUAGCUACCAUUAGUGUGCCUUAAUUGGACAUUUAGCGUGGUUAUGAUUACCAUUAGUGUUGCUUAAUUGGACAUUUAACGUUGUUAUAACUACCAUCAAACUUUCCUCAUAAAAAGUGUGAUGAAGCUCACUUGAAAUACCACUAAUUUUUUUUCCCUUUUUUCUCCAUGUAGACCACAUAAGGAGCUUGGCCUGGUGAAGAAACCUAUUUUUUGUGCUGAAUUUUACUAUGAGCCUAUUUGCCUACAAUGGUAGGGUCGUUCCCUUGGUAUCCUAUACCUAGCAAUAUUGCAUUGUAUGGAGUCCUAUGUUGUAUUAGUUUGUUUUUAAUGAAUAUAUAGUUUUCCCAUUUGCAAUCAAAAGUUACAUUUCUAGUAGAUUUAAGAAUAUAUGUUCUUUUUUUGUAAUUUAUCAUAGGGUUAAUGCACUAUUUGCCUUUCAAAGUAGCAUCCAAUUAUCAUUUUGGUAUCUAAAGAAUUUUUUGUAUCAGUUUGGUAUUUGAAGUUUUUAAUCAGGUAUCACUUUAUUAACAAGUUAACUCCAUUUAAAAAACAAGAUUUAUUAGUAAGUUAAUUAUGUUUAUGCAGAAUAUAAUUCUCAAGUUAUAUUAUGGUUUUAGUAAAUUCAUAUAAGAAUAUUUAUUUUUAAGAAUUUUAUGAAAUUAUAUAUCAUUAUUAAAUUCACUACACCAAAACAGGCUUUUAGCGGCAUUUUUUGUGGCAUUUGGAUAAAAAACGUCGCUAAAAAUCGAGCAUUAGCGGCGCUUUACAUAAAACGCCGCUAAAGAUCGACCUUUCGGGGCUUUAGCGGCGUUUUUAUAAAAGCGCUGCUAAUGCUCGGGUCUUUAGCGGCGUUUUUGGAGAAGCGCCGCUAAUGCUUUGGUCUUUAGCGGCGUUUUCUGGGAAGCGCCGCUAAUGCUCAGGUCUUUAGCGGCGUUUUUGGAAAAGCGCCGCUAGUGCUCUGGUCUUUAGCGGCGUUUUUGUAAAAGCGCCACAAAAACAUUUUAUUUGUCUAAUUACUAUUUAAUUUGUUUAUUUAUAUUAAUUAAAAUUCUAUUUAUUUUUAAUUGAAUAUUUGUUCAAAAUGGAUAAAUUUGAAAUAAUGACACUUAGAAAUAAUUUGAAAUAAAAAAUAGAAAAAUAUUUGUUAAAAAUGGAAAAAUUAAAAUACUAUUAUUUUAAAAUAAUUUUAAAGUUUUUUGGGUACAUGACUGUUUGAUUUUUAAUUUAUAUAUUAAAUAAUUUCAUAUAUAAUUGUAAAAGAUACGAUAGUAUUAAUUUUAAAAUAUUUAAUUAAUUAUCAUUAUAGUUUAGGGUUUAAUAUAUAUGGUUUAGGGUAUAUGGUUAAUUUAGGAUUUAAGGCCGGUUUAGGAUUUACAGUUUUAAGGUUUAUAGAUUAUGGAAUUAGGGAUUCUGGUUUAAGGGUUGUGAUUUAGGGGUUAAGGGUUAGGGGUUAGGGAUUCGGGUUAGGGUUUAGGGUUUAAAUUAAUUAGUGUUUUUUAAUUUAUAUAUAAAAUAAGGUUUAGGGGUUAAUAGUUAGGGGUUUGGGGUUAGGGGUUAGGGGUUAAGAGUUAGUGAUUUAAGGUUUAGAGAUUCGAGGUCGGGUUAGGGUUUAAGGUUUAGAUUAAUUAGUAUUUUUUAAUUUUUAUAUUAAUUAAGUUCUUAUAUAAUUGUAAAAAGAAGGGUUAGGGGUUAGGGGUUUAGGGUUUUUGUUUUAUGAUUUAGGAUUUAGGAUUUAGGAGAUAGGGGUUUAGGAGAUAGUUUAAAUUAUUUAAGAGACAAUAGAUCAAUUUUAUAUAUAUUAAAUGGUUUAGGAUUUAAGGUUUACUUUAGAUUUUUUAAAUGAUGAAAAUUUAUACAAUUAACUAAUGUUUUUAUAUUUAAAAAUAUUUAAUCUAAAUUUAGAUUAAAUGGUUUAAACCAUUUGAUAUAUUUAAAUAUUAGAUUUAAAAAAUUUGAUAAAUAAAUAUAUUGAGUUUUAAAUUUGAACUAUGAAAUUAUAAUUAUCUUUUAUUUAAUAACAAUUUUCCAUUUAAAUUCAAAUAUGAAAAUUUUUAGUAUUCCUUUUCAAGAGUCGAGUUUAGACAUAAAAAUUGAUCUCGACUCAAUUUGGGACAAUCCAAAGUAUUAAUUAAGAUUUAAGAUGCUUUUAAGUCAACAAAUUAAAGCUUACAGGUUGAAAUUAAUUAAGGGAAUGUAAACAAGAAAAUUAAUUAAGGGAAUGUAAACAAGAGAAAAGAAUGCUUCAUGUGCAUAUUUGAUAAUUUAAUUAUCUAAGCUUUAGCUUAUACUAUAAAAAGAAAGUUUGAUGGGUGUAUUUGUUUAACAUACAAUAUUAUUGGUCUCCUUGAUUUUGUUUUUUUCUUUUACUAUUAUUAUUAUUUUGUUUUUUAAAUGUAAAUUUAAAUUUAAAUUUUUAUCCAAAUAUUUACAUAUUUAUAUUUCAAUUUAUCUCAUUUUUAUAUAAUUUAUAUAAAAAGUAGUUUAAUUUGAAUAUUACUUCCCCUCAAAAAAAUUACAAAUUUGCUUACUUAAAAUAUUAAAAUAGUUAUUAUUUAAUAUACAAAAUAAAAAAAUUUUAACAAAGUAAAACGGUGUCAUUUUAUUCAAAAUAACAUAAUUUUUUACGGCAUUUUCUAAAAAAACACCGUAAGAGAUAAGCAAUAAAAACGCCGCAAAAAUCAUUUAAAAAAAGGCGCCUUUUAUUUCCAAAUUUCUCCGCCUAAAAUCUCCAAAUUAAAGGAGCUCCGCUACUAAAGCAGAAAGGUUUUUGAAAUUCCUUUUGUGCUUUCUCUUUGUCAAAAAAGAACAAAAUCCCUAAACAUAAGCGUUUCUCCUCAACCGUGUAGAUAGCUAAAACCCCUUUCUUUUCAGUUCCCAUUUAAACCCUAAAUUCCUAAUAGCAAAAUCUAAGCAACAAAGCAAUGGCAGAGGGGGCAGGAGAAGAAAAGAAGAAAUUUUCAAUCUGGGAUUUGCCAGAUGUGCCAAUGGGUCAACUUCCGCCGCAUCUUGAACUCCAACGAAGUCGUGUUUCAUGCAAUAAGGACGCCCCUAUCCAUGUAUUUCUCUCUUACCCCCCUUUUUUUUAUCACCUAAAGCACACAUCUUCAGUUGAAAUUUUUUCAUGAACACCCUUUUAUUCAUAUAUGGAGUGUUAAGAAACAGUGGUUUCUUGGGGUUGUUUAAUUGGGUAAUUAAAAAAAAUGGAGCCUUUUUCCUUAUUUGGGGUUUGGGUUAGUUUCUUUGUAUCAUCUGUCUUGUUCUGUUCUUAAGGUUCUGAAAUUUGUGGGUCUCUUUUUUUGUAUUAUAAUUAAACGUCUUAUGUUUUGGGGGCUUUUGUUGCUUGUAGACUGAGAGUAUUCAAUAUUCUGGCGCUUAUGCAUCGAUGGGAAUUGAUAAUAGUUCACGACUUGACCGAUUCUCUAACAACUUUAGAGUUGAAGUGGUUCGACUCAAUGAAGAUGACAUGGAGUUUGAUAUGAUCGGUCUGUGACUUUUAUAUAUCUUUCUGUGACUUUUAUAUAGGGAAAAGAAAAGAAUGUCAAUAUUAUCUUUCUGUGCGCUAAAAAUCUAGAAGAAAUUAUGAUAUCAAAUGCAAAACAACAAAGAAAGACUAGUAUUAACAUUUAAAAGGAAUUUUAUAUAUCUUUUCCCCCUUAGAGUGUAUUGAUUUAGAAAUACUGAUGGUUCAAUUUGACAUCUAGUCUGAGUUAGUCACUGACUGGUCCAAACUUGGUAUAACAUGGAACUGAUGUAAAUAGACUUUUCUGUACUUAUUAUUGUACAUGUGCAUAUAGAAUGUCUAGUCUGAAAAUAGCUGAGCAAAAGACUGAAGGGAAGGAGGUUUUAAACUUAAAAGCUUUCUUUUGGACUUCAAGUACAGUUAUUUUUCAUGGUGACUUGAAUAUAUUCUCUGGUGUUUGGUGGUAGGAUGUGGGAACUACUUUUUUUUUGUUUGUUUGUUAAUUUAUCAAAUAUUCAACUAUACAACUCAGCGCAGAUUUUUCUGAUUUGAUUUUAUUGUUAAUUGCACCAUAUUAGUCUCAGUAACUAAUCUAGUUUAACUGAUAUGAUAUCUUCUUUUAGGGUCUUACAUGGUUAACUGGUCUCCAAAGUUACAGACUGCUGUUUCUGACUUGGUAUGAAUCUAGUCCACAUUCCUCUUUCUCUGCCUUUUAUCUGUCUUAUUUUUAUGUGUUGAAACUGCUUUGAUCUUUCUUUUUAUUUUAUAUUAGACGGAGAAAGCAUUUCUCAAACACCCCAAGGUGUUUUUAAGGUGAACUAGCUUCUUCCAUGUCUUUAUUAAUUCUUGGUUUUGUUGAUUUCAUUUUUAAAUUAUUGGUGUUUUUCGAGAUCUGGGUUAAAUUAGUGAUGGUUUUUUUUUCUGUUUAGAUCUUGAAUUAAUUUGAAAUUUGAUUUGGUAUUUUGGCGGCUUGAAUUUCAAUUCAAAAUAUCUGUUUUCUUAAUGUAAAUUUUGUGAUACUUGCACUUGGAUCUGCAAUUGUUUUUCCCCCUGCUAAAUUAUGAAUCCAUCUGUUACAAAUCUGUUUUGCAUUGUUCAUCAAAUAACAUGCACAAAUAAUAUUAUUUGUAUAUAUUUUGAGGAAAAUUAUAAUAUUAUUAUAUAUAAUCAAUGCAAAAUUUUUAAGGCACCUUAUUAAAUACGAAAUUUAUAGGCACGAAACUAAGAAUGAUUGAAGCUUCUGCAAACUUUUUUGUUGUCAACAUGGCAACUUUAGCUUUCUCAGCAUCAAUAAUUACUGAACUGUUAACCUUAAUCUCCUCAAAAUCACAUUCCUUAGCAAGCUUCAUAACUAGCUUAACGACACACUAAUCUCUUAAAAGCAAAGAAUUUAAUUGAAGUUCAUAUUUUUGCAAGUUAAAUUUAGUAGAGUCUGUCGUCAUUCAUUGUGUGGUUAUUUGUGUUUUUCGGCCACUUUAUGUAAUGAACAUUAUAGGACACCUUUAUCCAAUACUGGUUUUUCCUGUCUUUAACUGCUGUUUUUACAUUUUAAACGCCAAAGGGUAAUGACUAAUGACCCUAUAUAUGUAUGUAUAACAUAUAUUGAGCUCCUCCUCAGUUUCACAGAAUUUUCCUUUUCACCAAUUUCUGCUAUCUCAAAGGUAUAUUCAUUGAUUCUUUAUGCUAAACUUUGAAUUUUUCUUUCUUUCUCUUUUCUGCGUUGGGGUUGAAUUUUUGGAGAAUCGACUUUCCGGGUCCGUGGGAAUUGACGGAAUGAUGCUUGUUUUACUAAAUGUUGAUUAAAUUUGAGGACUUCUUUUUAAUGGGGUUCUGUAGUUUUGAGGUGGGAAAAAUGAAGCUUGUUUGAUCAGAUAUUUUAUCUGUUUACUGAAAUUCAAGAUUGAUCGUCAUGUUUCAGUGUUUAUUUUAUAGUUCCUGGGAAAAUGAGUACUUGAAAUUUGAGGUUUUCCUUUGCUGGGUCUGUCAUAUUUGGGAAAAGAAUGAAGCCUGUUUAUUGAAAUUCUUUCAUUGUUUUUUCAAUUGAAAGAUUACUUGUGUUCAAGCUUAUGAAUUUUUUUCCCUUGAGAAUUUGGAGUUCUUAUUGAGUGAACCUGUGAUUUUGUCAUAUUAUUUCUUUGCUUGCAGUGGUCCAAAACUUGUAGGAUAUGAGUGAAAGAGUGAGGCAAAAAUGUUCACAUAGUGAGGAAAAAUAUCAGACAAACAUUAGUUUGGAGACACUCGAUAGUGGAUGUUUGAAUUCAACUACAGUUUGUGGAGUUGAUUGGACAACCUUGCCUGAUGAUACAGUUAUUCAACUCUUCUCUUAUUUGAAUUAUUGAGAUCGAGCUAGUUUGGCAUCAACUUGUCGAACAUUUAGGCUCUUAGGUUCUUUGCCCUGUUUAUGGGGGUCACUGGACCUCUGAUCUUACAAAUUUGAUACUGUAGCUGCAGUCUCACUCUCCUUGCGAUGCAAGAAUCUCCAGAGACUUAAAUUUCCUGCAGCAGGCUCAGCAGAUGCAAUAGUUAGUCUUCAAGCAAGGGAACUUGGAGAAAUAAGUGGUGAUUUUUGUCGUGACAUUACCGAUGCUGCACUUUCUGUGUUUGUCAUAAGUUCUUUAAGCACACCUUUAUCCAAUAUUGGUUCUGCUGUAAUGAACUGGAUUUUGAGAGUUAGUUGCCUAUUAUUUCCCAUAUACUUUUAAUUGUGUGUGAUCUGUUUUACUCAUUUAAGGUAUAUCAGGAAGUGCAUGAAAAAGUCAGAGAUGCCGUAAUUGCCCUUGUAAGUUUACAUCAUUGUGUCAUGGUUAAUUGUAUAUAGGUCACAUUUUGAAUAAAAAAACUAAGAGGAGUGGUUACUUUAUUAGAUUGAUAAAGAACGUGAGGGAGAACAGAUAGACCGAGCAUUAUUGAAGAAUGUCUUGGGUAUUUUUGUUGAGAUUGGCAAGGGACAAAUGGAUCGUUAUGAGGAUGAUUUUGAAAAAGCCAUGCUUCAGGAUACUUUAUUAUCAAGAUUUCCUUGAUUAAGUAAAUGUAUUAUAUCUUUUAUUACCAAGAUUUACUUGAUUAAGAAAAUACAUUGUAUAUUUUAUUACCUUGCAUAUGUAUUAUUUAUUUUAGUUUUGAUUUUAAAUUUUUAUUUUUACUUAAGUGUUCUAACUUUUGAAUUUUAAUUGUGCUAUUAAUUUAUUAUUUUAAAUUCUAAAUUUAAAUUCAUUAAUUUUUAUAUUUAUAUUUAGUUUUAAAGUUAAAAUUUUCGUAUAAAAUUUAAUUUAAAUAAUAAUUUUUAUUUAUCCUAAAAACAUAAUAUAAUAUUUAUCAUAGAAAUAAAUAUUAUUUGAAAAAAAAUUAUUUUUUUAAAAGAUAAGUUUUUAGCGGUGUUUUUGUGAAAAGUGUCGCUAAAGGUUAUGGUCUUUAGCAGCAUUUGUGGGAAAAAGCGUCGCUAAAGGUCAUGUUCUAUAGCGGCGUUUGUCGGGAAAGCGCCACUAAAGGUACUGGUCUAUAGUGGCGUUUGUGGAAUAGCGCCGCUAAAGGUGCUGGUCUUUAGCAACGUUUGUGGGAAAAGCGCCGCAAAAGUUAGCGACGCAUUCUAUAGCGGCAUUUUUUGCGGCGCUUGUCAAAGCGCCGCAAAUACUUUUAGUGGCGCUAAAAAGUGCCGCUAAAGGCCUUGAAAAGCGCCGCUAAAAACCUAUUUUGAUGUAGUGAUUAUAUUUAAUAUAAAUUAUUUUAAAUUAUACAAAUUCAUAUAAGAAAAUUUAUUAUCAAGAAUUUUAUGAAAUUAUAUAUUAUAAAAUUGUAUUUAAUAAUAAUUAUUUUAAAUUAUACAAAUUCAUAUAACAAAAUUUAUUAGUAAUAAUUAUUUUAAAUUUUAUUAAAUCAUAUAUUUUAAUUAAAAUAUUUUAAUAAUAAUUAUUUCAAAUUAUAUUUUAUAGUAUCAUAUAUUAUGAUUUUAGUAAAUUCAUAUAAGAAUAUUUAUUAUUAAGAAUUUUAUUAAAUUAUAUAUUUUAAUUAAAAUAUAUUUAAUAAUAAUUAUUUCAAAUUAUAUUUUAUAGUAUCAUAUAUCAUGAUUUUAGUAAAUUCAUAUAAGAAUAUUGAUUAUUAAGAAUUUUAUUGAAUUAUAUAUUUUAAUUAAAAUAUAUUUAAUAAUAAUUAUUUCAAAUUACAUUUUAUAAUAUCAUAUAUUAUGAUUUUAGUAAAUUCAUAUAAGAAUAUUGAUUAUUAAGAAUUUAUAAAUUAUAUAUUUUAUUUAAAAUAUAUUUAAUAAUAUUUAUGUUAACAUAUGAUUAAAUUAUUUAUUAUUGAUAUUAAUAAUCUUAUUAAAAUUUAAUAACAAUAACAAUAAUCAUUUACCUAAACAAGUUUCUGCUAAGGGUAUUCUAGUCAUUUUAGCUUUUUCCCUUAUGCUAUUACACCUCCAUUCCAUUCAACCAAACACAAGAAUACUAUUACGCCUCUAUUCCAUUACAUUCAACCAAACAAUUGAAUUACUAUUACGCCUCUAUUUCAUUACGCCUCUAUUCCAUUACAGUGAACCAAACGUGCUGUUAAUUCUUCAAAUGGAUCAACAACAUCGUUUGAUUAGUUCUGCUAAUGAUUCUAACCAAAAUCCAAUUUUUGGGCACAACAAUUAUUUGUAUUCUCAAAUGAUAGCGGCAGUAUUUGUAGUUCCACUUAUGCGGUCAAAUCAAUACAUUUUAAGAAGAAAUAUUUGAAUAUAAAUCUCAUCAAUCUCAUAAGUAUCAUACCAAAUCCUAUCAAUCGAAUCAUUUUUUUGAGAAAUAUGAGACAUCUACGUCAUACAAGUAAAGAGAUCUAUUCAUUGAUAAGAAAAAUAAAAAACGUAAGCGGUGAUUGGAUUGAUGAGAAAACAGAAUCAUGGGUUGCAAACAAUGAUUCAAUCGAUGAUAAAGAAAGAGAAUUCUUGGUUGAGUUCUCCACCUUAACGAAAGAAAAAAAGAUUGAUCAAAUUCUAUUGAGUCUGACCAUAGUGAUCAUUUAUCAAAGAAUGACUCUGGUUAUCAAAAGAUUGAACAACCGAGACCAAUUUACUUAUGAUACUUAGUUGACAUUCAUAAAAAGUAUCUAAUGAAUUAUGAGUUCAAUACAUCACGUUUAGCAGAAAGGCGGAUAUUCCUUGCUCAUUAUUAGGCAAUCACUUAUUUACAAACUUUAUGUGGGGCUAAUUGUUUUCAUUUAUUGUCUUGUGGAAAACCCUUUUCACUUCGCUUAGCCCUAUCUCCCUCUAGGGGUAUUUUAGUGAUAGGUUCUAUAGGAACCAGACGAUCCUAUUUGGUCAAAUACCUAAUGACAAACUUCUAUGUUCCUUUCAUUACAACAUUUCUUAACAAGUUCCUAGAUAACAAGCUUAAAGGUUUUCUUAUUGAUGAUAUCGAUAUUGAUGCCAGUGACACUAUUGAUCGUGACCUUGAUACGGAGCUGGAGCUUCUAACUAUAAUGAAUACGUUAACUAUGGAUAUGAUGUUGGAAAUAGACUGAUUUUAUAUCACCCUUCAAUUCAAACAACCAAAAGCAAUGUCUCCUUGCAUAAUAUGGAUUCCAAACAUUCAUGAUCUAGAUGUGAAUGAGGCGAAUUACUUAUACCUCGAUUUAUUAGUUAACUAUCUCUCUAAGGAUUGUGAAAGAUGUUCCACUAGAAAUAUUCUUGUUAUUACUUCAACUCAUAUUCCCUAAAAAGUGGAUCCUACUCUAAUAGCCCCGAAUAAAUUAAGGCAAAGAGAGAAGAUUUUGCGAGACUUAGCUUGGCAAACGAGUUGAUUAUUCAAGAUGUUCUGUCAUUGUUGUUGGCCCCUCACUUUUAUUACAUCACUGUGGAUUGCCUCACGAAAUAGAAAUAGAGCUUUUCCAGGCAUUUGUAAUUCGCGGUCUAAUUAGACAACAUCUUGCUCCGAACAUAAGAGUUGCUAAGAGUAAAAUUUGGGAAAAAAGGUCGAUUGUAUGGGAAAUACUGCAAGAAGUUAUGUGGAGACAUCAUAUAUUGCUAAAUAGAGUGCUUACUUUGCAUAGAUUAGGUAUACAAGCAUUCCAACCUAUUUUAGUGGAAGGAUGCGCUAUUUGUUUACACCCAUUAGUUUGUAAGGGAUUUAAUGCAGACUUUGCUGGGGAUCAAAAUGACAUUUCAUAUACCUUUAUCUUUAGAGGAACUACUAAGUACUUAUCAUUAAAAGGAACUACAAACAAUCAAUGCAUAAUGCAUAACACUAUAAGUUUAUGUACUCAUAUUACCAUCUUUAAAAAAACUCAAAUAAAGGAAAAAAAUAAAUUGACAAUAAUCACAGCAUUAGAAAAAAUUAAAAAAAAUUCAGAGAUGCAUCGCUUUAAUCAAUUUGCUAAUAUUUACAUCUUAGCUUUGCCAUCAUUAGAAGCCCUAAGAGAUCUGUUACAUCGUAUGCACAAAAAGUCAAGUAUUAAUGGCCUAUCUUUCUCUACAUUUUAAAGUCCAAUUUUGCAAACACUCUCCUAACGAGGUUCUUUAAAUUCCCAAUAGAUUUGGUAGUGCCUUUACUUGAUCAAUCUCAUUUAUAUGUCAAAACAUGAUUAGAGACAAAACUAAAACCACCACCACUUUCAGUGAAAACUGAAAACAUGCUAAAAUAAAAUCACCAAAAGAACAAGCGCACUGAAACUACAACCAUAACAGUUUUUUUUUUAAACAAUGGGGUAAAACAAAAAGCUAAACAAAUUUGUUGAAACAGUGGUGACCUGUAAGUAGCCCAGAGGUGGGUGUGGCUGCCGGCAAGACCAAGUUAUUAACUUUAAAUUAAGGGUGAGUUUGGAUGGGCGAUUGGGUGCGAUGCGGUGCGUUUAGCUUAUUUUUUGUCUCACGCUACAGUAUUGCUACAGUAUCUAAUCUUACUGCCGCCGCUGUUUUUACACUAACUAUAGGUAAACACACCGCCCAUCCAAACUCACCCUAAGAAAAAGUAAGGUGGUAGUUGUAGGCCAUACAAUUUUAUUUGCUUUCGGUGGUGAAGCUCUGAUUAUUCAAUUCAUAAAUUAAUUGAAAAAAAAAAGGAACAAAUUUGCAGCAAAGUCAAGAAAGUACAAGGAAAAAGAGAAUAGUAUGGUUAGCCCCACUUCACUUUAAAUUAAGAAAAAUAAAGGUAGUAGUUGUAGGCCUUUCCGCCUCCACUACAUAGUGGACUUUCUUUUAAGUGUUGACUGAUGAUUCCAUUCAUAAAUGAAUUGAGAAACGAAAUUACUUGAAACUUGCAAUAAAGUGAAUAAAGUAGAAGAAAAAGAAUAUUGAUAUAUCAACUUAUCACCAUUUUUAUGAUUAUUAUUUCUUUAGAUAUAAGUCUUCUAAACAAUAUAAUCUUUAUUAUAAAUAUGACAUUACAAAUUCAAUAAAUAAAAGUAAACUUGAUAUUAAAAGUUUUAUUUUAUUUUUAUCAAUCAACCCAUUUACUUUAUUUCCUAAAUUUUAGAUUUUAUUUUAUGAUAUAUAUAGUCAAAAUUCAAAAAUAACAUAAAAUUUCAUGGAAUCUAGUUUUUCCAGAUUAGCAACCAUUUAUACUAUUCCUAGGUCAGGAAAUUGGUUCUUCAUUUACAAGUUGAGUCUCAAAAUCAAAGUCCUCCACCUAAUGUAUAUUAUGUUGAUGUGAUAUGUCUCUAAAUUAUUGAGUGGAAAUUUUAUCAUGGAUUCAAUCAUUUUCAAUGCUACAAAAUGACGUAAUAGCAAAACCAAAAACUUAUCCUUAAAACAAAACCAAAACCUUAACUCAAAUAUUACAUAUGAAAUAAAUAAUUAAAACAUAAGGUGUGAAAUCAGGUUAUGAGAAAUAAGAAGAGCAUAAUGAAGAAAACUGUCUCAAAAUUUAUAUUAUACAAGUUAUUAACAAAUCAAAAUUUAUAUAAAUAUAUAAGUUUUAUAUAAUAACCUGUUGGGUCGAGAAUGCAUUAUUAUCUCUAAUUCCCUAUUAAGUCAAGAAUAGUUCUCAAACACCCUAUUGAGUCAAGUUAUCUCUAAUUCCCUCUUGGGUCAAGAACAUAUCAUUAGCUCCAAUUCUCAGUUGGGUCAUGAGAGUGUAUUGUUGUGGUAAUACACGUUUUCGAACAUGAAAUCAGCUAAUAAAGGUUAAGGUAUAAAGAUCGUAGUUGCUUGUUUGAAACGUGGUUAAUUAAUGUAGAUACAUUGAGGGUGCUUAUAAAUGAUAAUAAAGAAAAUAUAGUGCAUGAGGGUGGACUAUGAUAACAAAAUGAAUUUGUAACAAAAAUUCUGAGAUGAGUUAUAAUUUUAUUUGCGUAUGCCUAUUUAUUUAAUGAUUUAUGCUUUUGAUUUAAAAUUAUAUUAGUCUCACUGCGCAUCUAAUUCUCAAUGUGUAGACAUGUUUGUUCUGUACACAUGUAACAAGUUGAGAUAGAUUAGGAUCGUUUAGCUCGAAGGCAUCUAAAGAUUACUGUUCAACUUCAUUUAAGUUAAUUAGUCAUUGUGAAUAAUUAGAUGAGUUUGGCAUGUACAUAGGUUUAAAAUAGAUGUUGGAGUCAUUUGAUGAUGUGGUAUCUAUAAUGUUGAGAAAUUGUAGUCUAGGUAUGUAUAUAUGUAUGUAAUGGUACUUAUAUAGGGUUAAGAUCGUAUGCACUGAUCUUUAUACAAUGUUUAUUACAAGUUUCACAUGUUUCUUGCGUGCCAAGUAAACUAAUUUUGAUGAUUGAAUUUGGAAAGGCUAUGAUUAUGUUGGUGGUCAUAUUGUUGGAUGUGUUUUGACAAGCAUAAAUGGUGUUUGGAACAUGAAUUUUGAGUCCUAUAAGUCUUGAAAAUGAAUUGGUAUAUAUUAUCAAAACAGGUGAUUUUAGGGAGAUUUUUUUUUGUUCCAACAAACUUAUUUUGAUAUAAGAGAUCAGAUGUAUCGGUACAACAAAGUCAAUCUCCAAAAUUGAACGAUAACAGGAACUUGUAGCGAUACAACUAGGUCAAUCAAUGUCUCCUCCCUUGUUUUAAGUCAUUUUGAUCCUUGGACACCCUGACUUGGUCCUAAACAACUUUGGUCACCUAGAAGUCAUAUUAAAAUGUUCUAAAUGAAUUUAAAUGACUUAUAAACAUUUUUAAUCAAGGCAAAUAGUUUUCUAUGAAUGAGUAAAUGUUGGUGUACAAGUUGAUUUCAGAGUAUGUGUUUUUUUCUCUUUACCCACAUUUAGAGACAAAUUAGUAAAAAUAAACAAGAUAGAGGAUAUAUACCAUGUCGACUGCAAACUACUUCGUAGCUAUUACAGUGAAGAAUUUUUUGCCUCUGUUAUCUAGAUAUAUAAAACAACUUAGAAAAAAUUGAAUAUAAUUGUGUUAAAUACAUGUAUAUUUCCAACACUUGAUCCUGAGUUUCAAAAACAUAGCUUGUUGCGAAUGCUAAUAUUUAUACUUUUAUUAUUUUACUAACUAAACGACCCUUUCAUCCAACUCAAGCAACAUGCAGCAUAAAUUUUCUUUAUUACAUAAACAAAACAUACCAUAAAUCAUUUUGCAUAAGCACUAUCCGUUGGUCGAGUGUUGACCAGUCAAGCCCUACCAACUUUUAAUUUGAGUAUUUUUUUUAAGUAGAUAUGUUCGAAUUAUUUAUAUUUUAUAUAAUUUAUAUUUAGGCGAGUAUUGAUUCACAUGUAUAAUUUAUAUAUUUUUUACUUGACAAGGAACCUUAAAAAAUUGUUAUAUAUUUUUAAUUUUAAUAUUUUACUAUAUCUUUAUAAAAUAUUUGUUAACCUCUGACCCUACUUAUGAAAUUUAAAAUUUUAUUGAUAGUGUACCAAAUAUUAUUUCUUUAUAUAUUAUAAAAGUAAAAUUUCAUAAAUUUAAGAAAAUAAAAAUUUUAUAUAAUUUUUAAAAAUUCAUUUUGAAUUUGAAAUUAAAACUUUUAAUAUAUAUUUUAAAAUUUUGAUAUAAUAUUUUUAAUUUUAUAUAAUUAACAUUGUAGAAAAAUAAAUCUUAGUAAAUGUAUUUUUUGAAUUUCUACUCCAAAAAUGUGUCAAAUUUUUUUUAAAGAAUUAUUUAUCCACAUGUAUAUUAUAUGUAUAAUAGUUCGAAAAAAUUGAAAAAGAAAAUAAAUUUGAAUAAUUGAUUGGUGUAAGUCGGUGAAGUUUGAAAUAAUAUUUUUUAUUAGCAAAAGUUGUAAAUUUAUUUUAGUUCAUUUUAUUACAAUUUAUUUAUAUAUCUUUAAAUAAAGAUAAAAAUUAAAGAAUAAAAAAAUAAAUCAAUAAAAUAAUUUAUUUUAAUACACACCUUAAUGUUAAUGGUAAUAAUACUAAAUAAAAACAAUAAAUAAUUUACUUAAUAAAAGAUAAAGAUAUUCCAUAAAAAAAGAUAAUAAAAAAAAGCAAUCAUUGAUUUGGAUGCCAAUCAGCUUUGCAAUCAAUCAUAAAAAUAAAUAUACAGAAAAGGAGGGUGGUGGAAUGCUGUAAUUCAACAUUAAACAUAACUUCCUCAUCUACUUCUACCAAACUUACACAUCACACUUUUUGUUUCAUCUCUAUCCAAAUAUGAAUGCAAUACCACCCUCUGCACUUCUUAUUUUCUCACUCACUGCCCCUUCUUCAUCAUGACUUCACCCCCAAUUUCAAUGACAGCGAUGUGGGAAAUGUUGGCCCAAUCUUUGCCCUUCUCCUUUUCACAACGCUCCUCCAGCAAAGGACAGUUACUAAUGCACAAACGAGAAAGAGAGGGAGGGAGCAUGUUUGGGGGCAUGGAUUGGAGCUUGGGACAGCUGUCGAUAAGCAAUCUGGAAAGAGAGGUGAGGUGUUGAAACCCCUUGUACUCCAAACUCUUUAGAUUUGGAAGUUGAGAGAGCCAGAGAGUUUCAAGAGAAGAGGGAAGCAGAUGUUCAUCUGGAAAACACUCUAUCUCUACUUCUGAAAAUGAGAUCUCGAGAUCUGUAAGAGAAGGGAGUGUAUGCAAACUCCAUUCCCUUUUCCUAAUCAAGCUCUCAAUUAGUUUAUCACUGCUUCCGAUUGUAAUUCUUUUUAAUUUGGAGGGCAAACCCUCUUUUGGAACCCUCUCUAUUUCUGGACAUACAAGUAGUUUCAAAUCCUCAAGGGAUGGAAAGACAGAGUGCAUUUGCUCUGGCAAUGACUUUAAACUUGGGCAACCCAAAAGCGUUAGCCGGGUCAAAUUGGUUACAGCUAAUCCAUCUUCUAUUUGAAAAGAUUUCAAAUUUUGGCACCACCAUAUUUCCAAAGAAUUGAGACAUGUUAGAUGCUGGUGGUGAGAGCCCUCUAAAGCAGCACUAAAAAACUUCAAGUCUUCACAUCCAGAAAUUUCAACAUGCUUUAGCAUAGGAAACGGUCCUAAUGAGAAAGAUUCCAGUUGAUCACACUUUGUACCUUUUAUCUUCAAAGAUUCAAGGGAUGUAUACAAGAAGAUUUUGGAAUGAUUAAAAGCUUUGCACUGCUCGAUCCUCAGUUUUUUCAGUGUAAUAGACACACUAUCCUCAGGAAGGGAUUUGAUAUUAGAACAACCAGAGAUAAUGAACUCGUCGAGAUGAGUGCAGUGUUUCAACAUCUGUUCCAAUAUGGAAUCAUUCAUACUCGAACCUUUGAUGCCCAACUUUCGAAGCCCACAAGGCAAUGGCUCCAAUUGCAGUGCAUCGCAUCUUUCUAACUCAAGUUCACAAAUGCCUGGUGUCCUUGGGAGAAAACAUUCAAGCUUCUCACAAUUUGCAAUCACCAAUUUCUUUAAAGAGGGGAGGUGUUUGGGUAUAGACUUGAUUAGCUUUGGACAAUCCCUGAUGCGUAGCUCUUGCAGAAGGAAGAAAGCUUCAUCACUCCUACACAACCAUUCUUCCCACCCAGCCAUAUUCUCAAACACUAGGAUUUCAAGAGAUCCAAAUGGCUUAGUCGAAGCUUGUCCAUUACUAUAGAACUCCUCACCAACUAUUACAACUUCCCUGAACCCAGAAAUGGAGAGAGAUUUCAAAGAUGAUAAUUGGCCAAGCGGAGGCAAAGAUAUGCAAAAUUUACAAUCUUGCAACUCCAAAGAUAUCAUAUUUGAGAAGGACAAAUGCCCCACCCAUUCUGGAAAUCUCCUGCCUUUGUAACUUCCGAAACUAGAUGCUUCAAGUUUGUAUUAGGCUCCAAUUGUUCCAAUACUUCUCUAUCAUGCUUUGAGUCACCAUCAAUAUCAUAAUAUUCAUCCCAUGUCAACUUCAACUCCUUAAGAUUAACCUUAUCCUUCAAAUUGGCAUCUUUGGCAUCCCUGGCAUUUACAACAGUUUUCAGUCUUGAAAUGGCAAGUCUUCCCCGUAAGUGCUUGAGCUUUCCCAACUCAUUAAUGCUUGAGCGAGUUUGAUCACCUAAAAAAAAAUCUGUUAAGAUUCGAAUAUCUUUCAACUUACCCAUCCCUUUUGGCAUCUUAGUAAGCUUUGUUCCCCUAAUAUCAAGAUAAAGCAUGUUGAUCAAUCUCCCUAUGUAUCUCGGCAACUUAACAAGGUCACUGCAUCCAUACAAUGUCAAUGCUUGCAAAUUAUACAAUGUACACAAAGAAUUUGGCAACCUUUUGAUUGAAGUUCCUGAGAGAUUCAAAUUUCGUAGAUGCUUCAAACUACCAAUAUCUUCCGGUAAUUCAUUGAUAUUUUUAUACCCAGCCAAAGAAAGCACUCGUAAGCUUGAUUUCAUCAGCAAAUCGUGCAUUAGCACAUUGCUAACAAAUACCCCAUGGAAAGAAGACUUCACGUUUAUGAAAGUACGCAGACCUUUUGCUUUAGGUAAGCUCUGAAAUUUUUGUCGCACAUCAUAAAUUUCUUGGACAUUGGACAAAUGACGGGUCUUUUCAGUUAUUACACAAGAACCACCACUCCCUUCCAAUCUGCAGAUGAAUUCUCCGGUGACAGAUUUAGCCAAGUCACUAAUUAGAUCAUGCAUGACAAAACAAGAUUUCUCUCCUUUUGAUUGUUGAAAAAAGGACCUCAAUCUCAAAUCUUUGAAGUACUCGUUACCCAGUUCUUCUGGAUCUCCAUUAUCUUUCGAAAGCUGUAAAAGUCCUUCAGCCAUCCAUAAUUGAAUAAGUUCUUCCUUUUCGAAUUCGUAAUCUUUAGGAAAAAUUGAACAAUAAGCAAAACAUCGCUUUAAAUGUGAAGGAAGAUAAUGAUAACUUAAUGUUAGCGCUGGAAGAAUAUUACUUGCAGUAUUUGGUAUGUCCCAAAACUUGCUAUGCAAUAUUUUGUUCCAUUCAUCAGCAUCUAGUUUCCAGCGAAGGAGACCUCCAAGUGUUUUUGCAGCCAAAGGAAGGCCGUUACACCUUUUCACGAUUGCUUCACCAAUUGCCUUGAGAUCCGGAUGCGUGCUUGGGGUUGUACCAACGAAUGCAUGCUUUGCGAAUAACGUCCAACAAUCAUCAUUAGAUAAGGUCUUCAGAUGAUAAGUUGGAAUAGUCCUCAUAAUGUCGGCAACACUUUCAUUACGUGUGGUUACAAUAAUCUUGCUAUUUUGAGCCCCAAAUUUGAAAGGAAUGCUGAGCUGCUCCCACACAGCAUAGUUUUCAUUCCAAACAUCAUCCAAAAUGAUUAGAUAUUUCUUUCCCAACAGCUGCUCUUUGAGUUUAAGUUGAAGCUGAUUUAAGUUCUGGUUUCCAUCACAGCUAUAUUUGGUUUCUUCAAGAAUAGUUUUGGUUAACUUGAGAGCAUCAAAUUCCUCUGAAACACACACCCAUGCUUUGGGGUGAAACCAUUUAUCCACUCUGGGGUCAUUGUAGAUCAAUUGGGCAAGGGUGGUUUUUCCAAGCCCGCCCAUAUCCACAAUGGGAAUCACAUCUACCUGAUUUUUAGGCAGAUUUUGAGGAUCCAACAACUUCAUUAUUUCUUCUUUUUCAUCAUCUCUACCACAAACAUCAGACUCGUCCACCAAAGAAGUUGCAGGCGUUCUUUGAAAUGCCUUUUCUCCUUCAGAGUUUUCUUUCAGAUCCAGAAUCUGUUUUUGGUUCAGUAGGUUGUCUAGUCUCCCAAUGAUCUCCUCUAGCUUUGACUGCGCCCCAUCUUUGAAAGGAUUCAAAGAAGAGAAAAAGCUACUAACCUGCUUCAUAUGAGUAGUUUGAUAUUCUGAUUCAAUCUUGUUCCGAAGAGCUUCAGUAGAGAUCUCGUCCAGGAGGUCCUCGGCAUCAUAAACAGCAUCUUUGAGCUCAUCGGUCCAACUUUUGACAUUUGGGUUGGCAAUCUGCUUAUUUUCAGCAUCAUCCAACACUGCUUUCACCGACAUCAAGGUUGGCUUGAGUUUGUUCAGCAGCACAGCUUCAAGUUUCUUUCCUUUGAUAAGCCUCAGAACAGCGGCAGAAACAAUCCUAUCAAGCAGCACCUCAAUGGAAGCAGAGAGAAAAGCUUCACCCACCAAAGCCAUGUUUUUUUGUGGGGUUUUUUUGGUAAAGAAAGGUUUAAAGGAAGAUGAAAAGGGAAGUAAUAACAAAGAAAGGAAAAGAAGAGUGCUUCAACUAAAAAGAAGACACGGUUGCAAAGAUGAAGGAUUUGGAUUUGAAACAGAGAAAGGAAGUGCAAAGCAAAUAGUCAACAAGGAACAGUAGAAGGAUUGGAUGAAAGGGGAAGGCUUUAACUCGCAAAUACUUUAGUUUCAAUAAAGAGGCUAUUUUACCAAAAUAGUCAAAAAAAAUAAAUUAUAUUUACAAAAAUAACCCAAGUUCAAAAACAAUCACCAAAAUAACCUAAAAUGAUCAGUACCAACUCAUUUUUUGCACCAAUAAUUGUCUAAUAAUUGUGUUAGAAUUAAAAAAAAAAAGGUUUUGGCCUGUUAAUGGCCGGAACCCAUGUAUUUUUUUAAAUUGUAUAAUACUGAUAUAUUAAAAAGGAAAAAGAAAAAAAAGAAAAAAAAAUAUUUUUUUGGGUGCUGGCCUUUCAAUGGCCGGCACUCAACAGUAAAAAAAAUUAAAUUUUUUUCAUGUUAGAAUCAAAUAUCAGUAUACAAAAAAGUAAAAAAAAAAUUUUGCCAGCACCUAGUACAAAUUUAAAUUUUUUUUGUGUUAGAAUCAGAUAUCAGUAUACGAAAGAAGUAAAAAAAAAAUUUUGUGCUGGCCUGUCAAUGUCCGGCACCCAGUACAAAUUUAAAAAAAAAUUUCUUUUUUUUGUGUCAAAAUCAGAUAUCAGUAUAAGAAAAAAGUAAAAAAAUAUUUUUUUUUGGUGCUGGCCUGUCAAUAGUCGGCACCCAGUACAAAAUUAAAAAAAAAUCUUUUUUUUUCGUGUUAGAAUCAUAUAUCAAUAUACAAAAAAUUGCUUUAAUUUUCUAUAUUGAUAUUUGAUUCUGAAACAAAAAAAGAAAAAAAAAUCUUUUUUAAUUUUGUCAAUGGCCGGCACCCAAAUUUUUUUUUUACUUUUUUCGUAUACUAAUAUCUGAUUCUAACACAAAAAAAGAAUUUUUUUUAAAUUUGUACUGGGUGGCAGCCAUUUACAGGCCAGCACCAAAUUUUUUUUUUUUACUUUUUUCAUAUACUGAUAUCUGAUUCUGACACGAAAAAAAAAGAAUUUUUUUUUUAAAUUUGUACUGGGUGCCGCCAUUGACAGGCCAGCACCCAAAAAUUUUUUUUUACUUUUUUCGUAUACUAAUAUUUGAUUCUUACACGAAAAAAUUCAAUUUUUUUUACUAUUGGGUGCCGACUAUUGACAGGCCAGCACCCAAAAAAAUAAUUUUUUUUCCUUUUUUUUCUUUUUUCUUUUUCGUAUAUCAGUAUUAUACAAUUUUAAAAAAAAUAUAUGGGUUUUGGCUUGUAAUUUUAAAAAAAUAUAUGGGUUCCGGCCAUUGACAGGCCAAAACCCAAAAAAUUAAUUUUUUAAUUCUGGCACAAUUAUUUGGCAAUCAUUGGUGCAAAAAAUGAGUGAGUACUGUUUAUUUUAAGUUAAUUUGGUAAUUGUUUUUGAAAUUAGGUUAUUUUUGUAAAUAUAAUUUAUUUUUGGACUAUUUUGAUAAAACAGCACAAUAAAGAUGAAACAACCUCAUCCUUGCAAACGCGACUUUUGUAAAAUAAGCUCAUCCAAUUUGUGUAUAAAAUUUCUUUAUUGGAAUGUUUGAAAACAUGAUUUUGGGUUGAAAAUUUCGGAUUUUAAAUUUUAAAUUUUUUUAUAACGUAUAAAAAGUAUGGAAAAUUAAUGUAUUACUCAAAUGAUGAAAUAAUAUGGAAAACAACAUAAUAAUAUAAAAAUAUUUUGAAAUUUUAUAUUUACAAAUUAAGUAAAAGUAUUUUGGAGCUCUUUCUAUUAAAAAUUAGAUUUGUAAUUUGUUUUUUAUUUAAAAAAGGAUAAAUUAACCUCAUACAUUAAAUUAAGAGUAAAAUAAUUAUUCUGUUAAAAUUUUUAUCUAUUUAAAUUAUUAAAAAUUGUCCUAGUAUAUCAAUUUUUAACUGUACAAAUGGAUGAAAUUUUUAACAAAAAGGGAUUAAUUUAUUCUUUAAUCUAACGUAUAAGAACUAAUUUACUCAUCUUAUAGUGAAUGAGACAAAAUAAAAUCUAUCUUAUAGUGAAUGAGACAAAAUAAAAUCUAACUCCUAAUAUAGAGAGCUCCAUAAUAUUUUACCAUGCAAAUUAUAUAUUAACAUAUCAAAAAAUUUAUAUAAAUAUAAAAAUACGAUACAUAUCCAUAAAUUGUUAGAUCUAAUUAUAAUAGCCAAAUAGUUUAAAAUAAAUAAAUAUCAGAAUACAGAAAUAAGAUUAAUAUUUACGAAACUAGAUAAAAUGAACAGUAAAUACCUGAUGCCGCCUAACUAAUUGACGGCACCCUCUUAUUUAAAUCAAUGAUACCUAUAUUUGAAACCAAAAUACGAAAUUAUUUUAAGAGAAAGGAAGUGCAAAGCAAAUAGUCAACAAGGAACAGUAGAAGGAUUGGAUGAAAGGGAAGGCUUUAACUCGCAAAUACUUUAGUUUCAAUAAAUUUGUGUAUAAAAUUUCUUUAUUGGAAUGUUUGAAAACAUGAUUUUGGGUUGAAAAGUAUGGAAAAUUAAUGUAUUACACAAAUGAUGAAAUAAUAUGGAAAACAACAUAAUAAUAUAAAAAUAUCUUGAAAUUUAUAUUUAUAAAUUAAGUAGAUUUUAUUCCUAAGAUUGCAAAAUUAACAAAUCCUUUGUAAUUUGUCUUUUUUAUUUUAAAAAAGGGGUAAAUUAAUCCUCGUACAUUAAAUUAAGAGUAAAAUAAUUAUUCUGUUAAAAUUUUUAUUUAUUUAUAUUAUUAAAAAUUGGUCCUAGUAUAUCAACAUGAGGUAUAUAUGGCAUGUCACAUGUCAUUAUUCGAUUAUUUUAUCAAUCAUAUCAAUUUUUAACAGUACAAAUGGAUGAAAUUUUUAACAAAUAAAAAGAUUAAUUUGUUCUUUGAUCUAACGUAUAAGGACUAAUUUACUCAUCUUAUAUUGAAUGGGACAAAAUAUAAUCUAACUCCUAGUAUAGAGAGCUCCAUAAUAUUUUACGGUGCAAAUUAUAUAUUAACAUAUCAAAAAAUUUAUAUAAAUAUAAAAAUACGAUAUAUAUCCAUAAAUUCUUAGAUUUAAUAAUAAUAGCCAAGUAGUUUCAAAUAAAUAAAUAUUAGAAUAGAGAAAUGAGAUUAAUAUUCACAAAAUUAGAUAAAAAGAACAGUAAAGAACUGAUGCCGCCUGACUAAGUGACGGCACCCUAUACAAAUUUAUUUUAAGAGGAUACAAAAUAAAACAAAAUAAUAAUAGUUUUUAUUAGUGCGGCCCAGGCGGCAACCUAUUAUUUUUAAAAGGAAAAUUGUUUUUUGUACUCUCCUUAUGUAUAUCCAUAGGGAACUCCCAUAAGCCAUAAGCCAUUAAAUGCUUCCAUCGAGUAACCAGUUCAUGACAAAGGACACCCACCAAGGACAGUGUAGCCAUAGAGCCCCAGAGCUCCAACACACUAUGAAAUAUCCAACGCCAAUGAAGCAACAAUCACACCCCAAUCCAACACAUUUACGAACACCCAACUCGUCAACACAUUCACCCCUAAAGCACAAAACGAGACAUAGGCUAACACCCUAGUCUUCAACUGGCUUUGCAAGAACCUUUGUAAUGGGAACUGAAACGCAAAGCUAAAGUGCAAAGGUAUCAACCAAAUCGCCACCACCCCCGACAUCUCCCCCACGUCGUCCAGCUGUCCGAAUAGCUUUAAAACCGGGGUAGCAAAUACGUAAAUGGGUAACAACAAAGGAGUAAAACGAUCCAAGAUCUUUGCAUGUAAAGGCCUAACAUGUGGUAUUGUUUAGCACCAAAAGCUUGUCCACAAAGGGUUUCUAAAGCACUCGCCAUCCCUAAUUAUAUUAAAGUGAAAAAAAAAACCUAAUGUUAAGAGACAAAUAUGGUAAAAAGAAAACUAAUGGAACAAAAAAGAAAGUCUGAUCUAAUGAAAAUUUACUAUGAGGCCAAAGUUGAAGCCAACGAUGGCCGUAUUGGCUAUUGAAAUAGCUACAAGUUGAACAUCACCAAGGUGACCAGCAAAAGCUUGGGUUAUAAUGUUCAUGGAGUAAGAAGCAACAGGACUGAUGAUUGAAGGUCCUACGAUGACCCAUAGCUUCUUUGUUUCGAUCCAUAGCCUUGUACUUAAGUCCUUCUUCCCCAUCUUCAUCUCUCCAUUUAUUUUCUUCUGGUUUUGAUUCUUCAUGAUUUGAACCUGGUUCUGUUAGUAAAGGUUGAUGGUAUUCGCCACUGUUCCCAUGGAUACUAUCCAUUAGAGACAAAGUUAAAAUAAUAGACUAUGGGCUAUCUUAGAUUUGCUUGGGACAAAAAAUAAUUUAAAAAAUUAAUAAUAAUAGGGUGCGCCCGGCAAGUUGCCAACCACUAAUAAAAAAAUAUUUUUUUCCGAUUUAUUCCACAUUGUAAAAAUUUUGUAUUUUGGUUUAAAAUACUGAUGCUGCUAAUUGAUCAAGUUGCGUCUAAUUUUUCUUUUUAGAAAUAAAGGGGUGUCACCGAUUAGUCAGCGGCACCAAUUGUUUACUAUUGCUUAGUUUCGUGAAUAUUAAUUAUCUUAUUCUAUUUUAGUAUUUAUUUAUUUAUUUUAUAUUAUUUAUGUAAAAAAUACCCUAUAAUAUCUGAACUUGAUUAGAGGUUCAGAAACAAAAACAGCACUAGUAACCCAGAAAUACACCAAUACCCAGAUUAGAGCUGAUCUUGGCCUGGCCGGGAUGAGCCUCAAUAGAAUUUUAGGUCUAUUUUUUAGGCCUAGAUACGACUUGAAAAUGGACCUAAAAUUUUGCCUAAAUUUUCUCGAAUAAAAAUGCUAAUAUCUAAGCCUAGCCCGACCACCCGUAUUAAAAUUGUUUACAUUAUUAUUCUUAUAUAAUAUAAAUUUAAAAAUAUAAUACACUAAAAACAUUAAAAUAAAUGUUCCCCAACAAAUUUAAAAUAAAUUUAAAAAAUAUAUACAUACUUAAAUAACACUAAAAUCGGUGUAAUUUAGCAAGCAAAUGCCUAUAAAAUAAUAGUAAAAUUAACAAUAAAACGAAAGUUAUACAAUAUCCAAAUAAUAACAAUAAAAUAGUAACAAUAUAACGACGAAAUGACAACAAAACAAUGACAAAACAAGAGCAAAACAAUGGCAAAAUAGAAUUAGUUAUUUUUUGCAAAUUUAGGCCAGGCAAAAAAAAAAAAAAACUUACCCAAAACCUAACUCAUUUAGAAAACAAGCCUCAUUUUUUGCUCAAGCUCAUUUUGUGGAUCUGUAUUUUUACUCAAAAUUUCCCACCUUUUAUACGAGCCUUUGUGCUGGCCAAAUGACCCAACCCAUAAUCAGAUCUAAGACCAAGUGAUACUAUAUAUAUAUAUAUAACAAACCAACUUUAGCAAAUGUAGGUCAGAUAUUUUAGCACAUUAUAAGAAAAUGCAAUGUUUAAAACAUAAAGUUUACUAUUGAAAUUGAAACAUAUUUAAAUAAAAACUAUUGUUUUAUAAAUAAAAGUAUCAUGAAAACCAAUUAAAAUAUUCAUAAAAGUCAAUUUUUUUUUAAAAAUUACCUGAUUAGGCCUGGCACACGGCCGUGUGGCAUCAACAGUCAUGUUUUUCAGCAUCCAAAAUUCACAAAAACUCGGGUUUUUAGUACGCAGAUGAAGUAAUUUUGAAGUAAGAGCAACGUAAAAUACUCCCGAAGCCUAAAGCGACCAUUCAAUAACAAAAGACCUUCUAACGGAAAAAGAAUACUCAAUUAUGCAUAGAAAACUAUGUCGAAAGUUUCGACACAAGACCUUCAACAACUCCAGACUUACCAACAACAUCAACAGUGAUUACUCGAGUUAUUGCACUGAGGAUUGUUGCUUUUGAUAUCCUCGCCUAAAAAGAAGCCAAACGGUCCCUUAAAAGAAGGUUUAAACAAUUUGAGUUGGAAACAACUCAGACAAAAAUGAAUAAACUACCGUAUAACGGAAGUUCUAUGAUUAACGAAAUAGACAAAAUGUGCGGACCAAGCAACAAUUGGAUGAAGAAAAAAAAGGAAAAAAGAACAAAAAGAAAUAGAUGAAAAAAAAUAAAGAAGAAAAGGAAAAAAUAGCAAUGGAAAGGAAGAGGGAACGCUUAAUUAAUCUAACCAUCGAUCAAAAUUCCGACAUUAACCAAAAACACUACCUAAUGCAUACGCAGAGACUCAAACACCAGACCAGAAAGUAGACAGAUGCUUAGCCAGUUAACCAGCAGGCUCAUUCUUGACUGUGAAAAAAUAGAACGUCAAUAAUGACAAUGUAUCACAAAGAAAAGAGAAAGAAAAAUAAAGAACACACAGAUUUUUACGUAGAAACCCUUUUGAGAAAAAAAAACUACAGGUAAAGGAGAAGAUAAUUCACUAUGUCGAAUUCAAAUGAUUAUAAGAGGAGUAGACUAUGUCUAUUGUAAAACCAUAUUAUAAUAGAAUGAGUGAAGUAAGGUUGAAACAUCUUAUUCUAAUCAAUAUCGAAUAUAUGAAGUGUAAUAAGGUUGAAAAACCUUAUUCUAAAAUAAAAUAAAAGAAGUGUAGUUCUAUAUGGAUUUUACUUUUAUUUUAUUUUACCAUAAUAUUUUAUUUUAACAAGGAUUCGGGUCACUCAAUUCUAACAAUCUCCACCUUGACACGAAUUCUCAAUGAAUAAUUUCUUCACCAUGAACUCUCAAUGAAUAAGUUCUCCACCUCUUCUAUGAAACCCUUUAAGGGGUAUUUUUCAACAAUGAACACCAACCAAAUCUAAACAAUGCUCAAACUUGGUUAUAGGAAGUGACUUAGUCAUCAUAUCUGCAAGAUUUUCAUGAGUACUAAUUUUGCUCACAACAAUACCACCACGAGUAAUAAUAUCAGGAACAAAAUGAUACCGAACAUCAAUGUGCUUUGUUCUCUCAUGAAAUAGUUGAUCUUUUUAAGCACUCAUUUACAAUGAACAACCUUUUUUCCUUUAGGAAGUUUCACAAGAGCCCUUGUUUUAUUUUUGUUGAGUGAUUCCAUCUCUUUUUGCAUAGUAAAUAUCUACUUUUCCGAGUCUUCACAGGUAACCGCUUCAGAAUAAUUAGAUAGCUCUUCAUUUGCAUUUAUAUCUUUAGUCACAUUUAAAACAUAAGUAACUAGAUCAACAUCGAUAUACUUUUUUGAAGGUUUAAUCUCUCUUCUAGUUCUGUUUUUGAUGAUAGAGUAUUAUGGUAAAGAAGUAAAUCUAUUCUGAAUUUCUAUUCUGGCUUGAGGGGUCAACUUUGUUUUAGAUUCUAGAUUAAUCUGAUGCUCCAUCUACUUUUGAUGUUCUUUAUUAGAAGAGUCUUUAAGAGAUAAGUUAGGUAGCAUAACAGUUUGAUCAAAAACAUCUCUGUUAAUCACAACUUUUCUAUUUUCAAGACACCAUAACUUAUACACUUUUACACUAGUUUUAUAACCAAGAAAAACACAUUUAAUGGAUCUCGGUUCCAAUUUUCCAUUAUCAACAUGAGCAUAUGCAGGACACCUAAAGAUCUUUAAAUCAGAAUAAUCAGCAGGAUUACCAGACCAUACCUCUUGUGGAGUCUUUUUCUCAAUGGCACUUAAUGGAGACCAGUUGAUAAAAAAACAUGCAGUAGAGGCUGCUUCGACUCAAAAUGACUUUGGUAAGUUGGUAUUCGAUAGCUUACAUCGAACCUUCUCCAUAAUUGUUCUGUUCAUUCAUUCUACAAUGUCAUUUUGCUGUGGAGUAUGACGAACUGUCAAGUAUCUCAUGAUCCCUUUUGACUUGUACAAUUCAUUAAACUCAUCAGAACAGAACUCUAAGCUAUUGUCUAUGCGAAUGUGUUUUAUUUGAUUUCCCCUUUAUUUUUCAAUCAUAGUUUUCCAAGACUUAAAUGUAGAAAACACAUCACUUUUCUACUUUAGGAAAAAUGCCCAAACUUUUCUGAAAAAAUCAUCAAUAAGUGUUAGCAUAUAAUUAGCUCCACAUUUCAAAGGCACACUAGAUGGACGCACAAAUCAGAAUGAAUAUACUUUAACAUUCCUUUCAUGUUGUGGAUUUCUCUGCUGAAUCAAACUCUCUUUUGCUUCCCAAAAAGGCAAUGCUCACAGAACUUUGGUUUGCAAAUUCCUUACACAUCAAGAAGUCUUUUUUUGUUCAAUUCUGUCACACUAUUCUCAUUCAUAUGCCCUACGCGCAUAUGCCAAAGUCUAGUAACAUCAUCAUCUGAUAAGGAAGAGGAAGCGAUAGUUGCAUCACCAAUAAUCAUAAAACCCUACAAAACAUAUAACUUGACAAUCUUUCUUUGUCCUUUCAUCACAAUAAGGGAACCUUUGAAAAUCUUCAAAACUCCUCUUUCUGUUGUAUAUUUGUACCCUUUUGAAUAAAAAGUACUCAACAAAAUCAAAUUUCUCUUCAAAUAUAGAACAUGACGCAUGUCACUAAGUGUUUUGACAACUCUGUCAAACAUCUACUUUUCUAAGUCUUCAGAGCUAACUGCCUCAUCUCUUCAUCCGUCAAUGUCAAAGGCAUUUUAUCUAUCCGUAGUAGAGCAUCCUCUAAGUCCAUCUGCGCAAGAAUUGUCUACAUCUUUAUCUAUCACAACACAAAUCUGGUUUUCUAAUCCAAUAGUGAAAUUUCAUACCUCAAAGAUGUCAUUACCAUGAUUGAGAUGAACAACCUGGAAACUCUGAUACCAAUUUGUGAAAAAAUAGAACGUCGAUAAUGACAAUGUAUCACAAAGAAAAGAGAAAGAAAACUAAAGAACACACAUAUUUUUAUGCGGAAACCCUUUCAAGAAAAAAAAGCAUGGGUAGAGGAGAAGAUAAUUCACUAUGCCAAAUUCGAAUGAUUACAAGAGAAGUAAACUAUGUCUAUUUAUAGGCUUGUAAAACCAUAUUCUAAUAGAAUGAGUGUAGUAAGGGUGAAACACCUUAUUUUAAUUAAUAUAAAAUAGAUGAAAUGUAAUAAGGUUGAAAAACCUUAUUCUAAAAUAAAAUAAAAGAAGUGUAGUUUUAUAUGGAUUGUACUUUUAUCUUUUUACCAUUGUAUUUUAUUUUAACAAGGAUUCGGGUCACUCAAUUCUAACAAUCUCCACAUUGACACGAAUUAAAUCUAAGUCAGUGGCCCAAGAGUAGAGAUUAAUUAAAAUUAAAUUAGAAGAACUUCUAAAGAUGCAACUUGAACUCCUGACCUCAACCACAUAAACAGAGCACAUAACAACAGAUACAAAGACUUAAUUACUAUAGAAUCCCACAAAUAAACAUUCAAAUUUUUAGGGCGUUACCCAGCAAAUGGAUUAUGUGUAACACCCCUAACCCGUAUCCUUCUCCAGAAUAGGGUUAUAGAGCAUUACCGAAGUUUACAAAUUAAUUUUCAGACAUUUCAUUUCAUCAAGCAUUCAUAUUUAUAACCAAUCAAAAUCAGAACAUUUAUGAGCUAACAUUGACUAAUUUAACUUAUACAAGUCAUUAUAACCAGAAUCAAAUCAUCCAAAAUUACCGAUAGAACCAAUGGAUAAUGUAAUAUAUCUCCAACAAGCUUCCGAUAAUCAUUUCAAAACAUCUAACAAUUAUACAUAGUACCAAUAAUAACUCAAUUCCAAUAAUAAAACACAAAUAUAUAAUAUUCAUUACCAAAUAGAAUUCACUUUAAUUAAAAUUAUACAAAAUAUAGUUUAUACGAACUUAACAGGCUAAAUUGCAGAAAUACCAAAAUUCAGGGACAUUUUGGAAAAUUUCUAUUUUUCUCGAAUUUCCACCCAAUUUUGAUCUAAAUUAAUAUUUCAUUCAAUUUACUAAUUUAAAUAAUAAAACAAUUCAUUUCAUGCAAUUUGGUCACUUUUUUGACAUCUUUACAAAUUUACCCUUAAAGUUUCUCAUUUGUUCAAUUUAGUCCCUGAACCUAAAACAUGUAAAUUGGUCAUUUUUAAUGAAAACUCAUGCUAGUUGAAUAAUCAUAUAUUUUCCUCCUCCAGACUCUAUUCCACAUCCUUAAUGUAUAUAACAUGCUUAUAUGUAACAUUAUCUAUAAUUUCACCAUUUAUUUAUAUAUUCAUUCUAAACUGUCCACUUGAGUCAGAGUCACUAAAUUAUUUAUAUCUUGAGCUAUAGAACUAAAAAUUGAGAUCCAUUAAUUUUAUAUGAAACUAGUCUCACAUAUAUUCUUACCAUAAAAUUUUCAGAAAAUUUGGUUCAGCCAAUAAGUACAGUUUAUUCUUUAAAGUCAUCCCUAUUCUGCUGUCUGACAGUUCCGACCCUUCUUCACUAAAAAUUAAUUAUCUCCUCGUACAGGAUUCGAAUGAUGUUACCGUUUGUUUCUAUUGAAAAUAGACUUAUUAAGUAUUUAAAUAUAUAAAUUUAAGCCCAUAAUUAUUUUUCUCAAAUUUUUUAUGAUUUUCCAAAUUCAGAACAGGGGAACCCAAAUUCAUUCUGACCUUGUCUCACAAAAUUUAUUAUAUCUCAUGAUUUACAAUUCUGUUACUUACACCGUUUCUUCUAUGAGAAACGAGACUCAAUAAGAUUCAAUUUCAUAAUUUUUUUAUCCUCUAAUUAAAUUUCCACAAUUUAUGGUAAUUUUUCAAAUUUAACCUACUGCUGCUGUCAAAAACUGUUUUAGUGCAAGAUAUUGAUUACUAAGUUUAUAACUCCCUUAUUCUCUUUCUCUAUAAUAUUUCCCAUCACUUUCACUUAUUUCCCUUCACUAAUAUAUCAAGAAAAUAAGACUUUAUAUAAGAAAAAUCUACUAUAACAUCAUUUCUAUGCUUUUUCAAUAAUAUCAAACUUAAAAACAUAUUGAAAUCUUGAUGUUCUUACCUUGUCCUAUUGGUUUCAAUCUUUAACUUGAUUUUCUCUCUCCUCCAGCUUCUAUUUCUUGAAUCUAACUUGAUAUUCUAGCUCCCCAUAGUCUUCUUGUUAUUUUUCUCUCUUGAUGGCUAUAAAAAUUCUUUUGAUUUCUAGGUGAAAAUAGUAAAUUUUUGGAGGAAGGACCAAAUUGUAAAGAAAGCAAAACUUUCUUUCUUUCUUUCUCUCAUCUUCACGUUGGUGCAUGGGAAGAUGAUGGCUUGGUUCCCUUUUUCAUCUUUUUUUUUCCACAUAUAUAUAUAUAUAUAUUAAAUAAUAAAAUAAUAAAAUAUCAUUAAAAUAUUAAUAAACUAAUAUUUAUUUAUUUAUUUAAUCUAAAAUAUCUCCAACAUCAUCAUUAUCUUCUAGAUUUCUCUCUCUUCUAAAUGACCAUUUUUCCCUUCAUGAUCUUUUAAAAUUCCUUCCUUGAGUCAUCACUUAAUUUGGAAAAAUUACGAUUUAAUCCCUCAUAAUUUUUCACCUAUUCAAUUAGGUCCCAAUUCAUCCAUUUUCUUUAGUUUCUAGAUUAUUCCACCCUUAAAAUAUUUACACUAUUGGUCCUUCAAACUUUUCAUAUUUACACUUUAACUCCUCAAAUUUUAAGUAUUUACUCUUGGGUAACAAAACUUUUCUCACUUUUGCAAUUUAAUCCUUUCUUGAAUUAAUAUGUCAUAAUAUACUUUCCAAUGUUGACAUAACUCAAAGUUACCAUUUUUAUCACUUUAUUUCCUUAUUUACUAUAUCAGGAAUAUUAUCUUAUUUUUUUACUGUAGUAAAUUUUUUUUUGGGUAUUACAUUAUGAGUCUAUAUAUACACACAUAUUCUACAUCUCACAUGCUUAAGAAAAUAAGGGAAAUGAGACUUUGGGUCUAGAAACAAGCGUUUUCUAAAAUUUGGCCUAUUCCUUUAAGUUUUACAUAAAUAAAGCUAUUCAUGUAAAUUUUUUAAUUUUUCGACAUUUAUUAGUAAACUAGUCAAUGUUUUUAAUCAUGAAUAUAAUUUUGGGUUUAUAUGAAAUAUGCAGGGCAAGAUAGUAAUGUUAUUAUUAUUGUGUAUAUAUAUUAUAUAUGCAUAUCAAUGAUUUUGAGGAUUAAUUCAUGAUUAUAGUAGGUGUUCAUAACCAUUAUUCAUUGUUACGAUGAUUUGGUGCAAACUCAUGUAAACUAUAAUACAUGUUUAAAGAAUUUGGUUUUUCAAGUUUUAUUUUAUAAUAUUUGGUUUUGGCAUUUUAUGGUUCCAAAUAUUUUGUCAAAUUAUGAUAUGAUUUACGAAAUGAAUUGUGAGAUAUACCAACUAUUACAAAAUUUGGGUUAAGAGUUAGAUUUUGGAAUUUCAAAUUUUAAAAUUGAAUAUAAAACAUUAAAAUAAAUUGUAUUAUAUCUUCUUUCACACUUCCUUCAAAACUUAAACAAUAAAUAAUAAAUUUUGUAACAGCCCAUUUUCAGUGAAAUCAAAAUAGUGGUUUCGAGACCACAAAUUCGACAUGAAAAUAUUUAUUUUUAUUAAUAUUUUAGUGUCUACAGUAGGUUAGUAGUGUCGUAUAAAAAUUUUGUUAAGAAAUUUUGACGUUUGCAUCUUAAUUAAGUAAAAAAAGGAUUAAAUCGUAAAAGGUGAAAAAGUGCAGUUCAAUUAGAUAAAGGCAUUAAAUUGCUAUGAAAUUUUAGUUUGAGUGACUUAAAUGAUAAUUAAACCAUUUUAUGAGUUAAUGGACAUAUAUGGACAUCAUUUUAAUGAUGUUAAAGGUUUAAAAUAAAGGUUAAUUUAGUAAAUAAAUACAAAUUAAACCAAUUAAAAGAAAACUAAAUGUCUAUCUUCUCCAAGUUCUUUCUCCACCGAAAUUUAGAAGAGGAAGAAGCCUUUUUAGGGUUUUUCCAUUCGGCCAUAGUCUAUCCUUGCAUGUAAGUGCAAUUUUGUCCCGUUUUUAAUUAUUUCUAUGUUUUUGAAGUCAUUAUAGCUUAAUCUUGCUAGCCUAGGGGAUAAUACGCAAAAUUGUUAAAAGUAUAGGGUUUUGCCAUGAAUUUCCUAGCUUGAUAUUUGUAGUUUAAUAAAAUAUUAUGAAUUUUUGUUGAUAAAUAAACAACUUUUGCAAAGUGAUUUUUGUUGAAAAUGUCAAAUCAAGACUUGAUUGUAAAAAUAGUAAAAAUGUAUGGUGAAAUUGUGAAAUAAUGAUUUGUAUGAAUUAAUAUGUGUUCAUGAAGAAUUCGGCUAGCUUGGGUUAGGGAUGAAACUGCAUGAAUUUCAAUUUACGAGCAUAAAGACUAAAUUGUAAAAAGUUAAACUGUUAGGGGUAAAAUUGUAAGUAUGCAUAAAUGUGAUUUGUGGAUUGAAUUGAAUAAUUGAGUUUGAUUGAAACACUUAAUUGAAUAUUAUUAUUUAUUUAGAUUAAGAUAAAUCUCAACCAGAUUUAAAUUGAGGAAAGGCGAAAGUCACAGAUUAACUUGAUUGUACUCCUACGCACUAGUUGCCAAUGUAAGUUCAUAGUAGUUAAACGUAUAAUUGAUUUUCCAUAUGCAUUUUUACCUUAUAAAUAUGUAAUUAAAUGUUAAUGUAAAUUAUAACCUAUUUGUACUUCGGUACCUCUGAUUGCACAUACGUGCCCUUGUUCGUACUUCCGUAUCCUUGAUUGCACUUAUGUGCCCCUGUUUACAUUUUCGUAAUUUCAAUCAAGUAAAAUAAGAAUUGUGUUCAUUUGAUGCUAAGUUUAAAAGAUUUACUAUGUUCUUACUGAGCUUUGUAAGCUUAUAGGUUUUUGUGUAUCAUUUUGUAUAUUGUUAUUGCUAACCUUUGGACGGAUCGAAUCUUCGGCUCACACUAUCCAUCAUUGUUGGUAGCUCUUAAACUCUUUAGGGUUGUGGCAUGUAUAUGUGGCUAUUUAGUUUGUUUUGGUAUAAUAUGGUGAAUUACUAAACUAGGUGAUUAGGUACUUUUCUAUGUUUUUGAAUAGAUAUCUUUUGGUACAAAUAGAAUGUUAUGAAAGUAAACACUUAUGGAUUGUUUUGGUUUGUUGAUGGAAUAAGUUGUUAUGUUUGGUUUAUAAAUAUGGUAUAUUGGAUGGUGUGCUUUUGGCACUUUGAUGCUUAAUGGAUUGUUAUGGAUAUGAUCAAUUUGGUAUGUCUGAAUUGUGGUUAAUUAUGAAAUGAUUAGGUAUGUUUUAUGUAUGUGUUUGAGUUGUCUAUAUGACGUAUUGGUUAUAUGGAUUAUUAGCUUGUUGUAUGGAUAUUUUUUUUGUAGGUUUUGAGCAUGUUUAUGAGUUUUGAUCAUGUGUGCAAAAGUGCCUAAGUUUAUGCAUGUGAAGGAUAAAAGAAAUGACUUGAUUUUAGUCAUUUUCUUGUCCACACAGCCAAAGACAUGGGUGUGUGUCUUAGCCGUGUAUGACACACGGCCACGUGAAAUGAUCGUGUGUCCCUUAUAGGUUUCAAAGGGUGGUAAGUCAGGCAGUUACACAGCUUGGCACAUGGGCGUGUGAGGCCAUUUUGACAGUUACACGACUUGACACACGGGUGUGUGGCUUGGCCGUGUGGCCCAAGUCAGAGAGAUACACGAGCACAAACACAGGCUAGGACACGGCUGUGUGUCCCUACUUUUAAUGUCCACACGGCCUGAGACACGAGUCGUGUGAGUCACACAGUCGUGUGACCCCUGCAGUUUGAAAUUUUCUAACUAUUUCCAUAUUCUUUCAAAUGUCCCCAAUUUAGUCCCGAAUCAUUUUUAAACGGUUUUUAAGGCCUCAAGGGUUCAAAUAAAGGACGAUAUGUAUGUGUUUGAACAAGUUAUGAUAUGAUUUAUGAAAUUUUUGCAAACAAAUUAUUUAAGUUGCGUAUUUACAUUAAUGCUUUGUAACCUUAUUCUGGAGACGGAUACAAGUUAGGGGUGUUACAAAGUUUACUGAUAAUAUAUCGAUGAAGUUCAAGGGUUUCAAAAUUGGAUUGGUAGGCAAACUAUAGACCACUAGUUCAUGGUUUAACUGGUUCAAUCGAUCCAAUUGAUUCAAUUGAAUAAAUUAUUAAAAAUAAAAAUAUUUAAAAAUAAAUAAAAUCAAUUCAAUUGUCAAUUUGAGUGAGUCAAUUGGUUUAACCAGUUCAUGAGUCAACCAAUUUGACCUUUUAUUCCAAACUGGUAUCUCGAACGAUUCCCAAUCCAAUGGAUUUGACCAGUCAAUCCGGUUUGGUUCUUAAAACAAUAACAAAACUUCAUGCGUUUAAUUUAAUACAUUAUAAAUAUGCUAAAUUUUCAUUUAUAUGAUAAUUUUCACAAUUUUAAUUUAUAAACCCUAGACUUUUAAUUAAAAUCUAAGUAAGUACAAAAAAAUUUAUAUGAUUGAACUAAUUAGGCCACCAGUUUGCUAGUCCAAUCGGUUUAAUCAGUUUGACCGAUACGAUCGGUUCGACCAAUCUACCUGAUUCUAUUAAAUAAAUCAUUAAAAAAUCAUAAAUAUAAAAAUAUAAAAAAUAUUAUUUUAGUUCAACCGGUUCAACUGCAUAACCAAUCGGUUAGUAUUGAUUCCUGGGACAGCUCGUUUAAUGACUUUCUUCAAACAAGUACUUUGGCUGAUUCCCAAUUCGAUUGGCCAAACUAAUCUUGUUCAAACAAUAAUGUUCAAAAUCCUCCUAAAUAAUUAAAUCUUAAAGAAAAAAAAAUUUUAAAACUUAAAAUUAGUUGAAAUCCAAAUCAAUAAAUUUAAAUUAAUUCUAAAUUUUAAAUUUCAAAUAUUUUUAUUACCAAAUAAAAUAUUUAAAAAUAAUGAAAUCAUAAAUUUCGAACUUAGAAAUUGAAAUUUCAAUUCUCAAACAAAAUAGCUAAUAGUUUGGACGGGUUUGCAGCACUCACAAAAUCAUUUAAUACUUAGUAACACAAGAAUGCACCUUAAUUGCUCUUUUUUUUUUUUAUAACCAUGUUUUUGGUUGUUUACAAAUAAUUUAGCAUAAAGAAAAAAAAAUCAUAUUAUAGCAUAACCAAUAGUAUUAUUCUAAAUUAGAAAAUCUUAUUAUAAGUGCAUACGUGUAAAAAUUACAAAUUUAGAAUAUAGAUAUAUGUUUAAAAAUAUCAUUUAAUAAUAAAUAAUGAAACUUAUGGUUUGAAACUAAUUAACCAUAACAACACAUGAAAUAUAUAUGAUACUAAAUUAAAAAAUAAAUUAAAUUAUGAGUAAAAUGAAAUUAACCACAUACAUACAUCAAAUAAAUCAUAAUUAAUUUUAAAUUAAUUACACAUUGAACUGGAAAAGAAAAACCGUUCAUAUCCUUUUUCUUUUAGUUUUCUUUUCCAUUUUGAUUGAAAAAAAAAUCUAUUCUCAUCCUAGUUAGACAUCUAAAUUGGCAUUUAAAACUCAUUUAUACCGCCACGUAGAAUUGCUUUUAGGGAGGUAACGGAGCUUAACGGCAGAAUGAGUACUACUUCGUAACAAAACGAUAACAUAAGUAACUAGAAUGUAACAUUUCAAACAUAAGUGACUAAAAUGUAAUAUGAGGAAAACAAAAGUGACUAUUUUUGUCGUUUAUCGUAUUAUUAAUUUUUUAUUUAAAAUUUAAUUUAAUUAGAAUUAAAUUAAAAUAUAAUUUUUAGCAAAUUUUGAUUAAUAACUUAUCCCUAAUAAUUAUUUGAUUGUUAAAAUUCAAACUAUUUAUGCAAAGUUUUUAUUUUUAUCCUAAUAAUUAUUUUUGAUGUGUGUAGUUAACGUUGAAAACCUUAAUUUUCCCUGUUAAUUACUUUACUAUGAUUUCAGUCGUGAAUAUGUUAUUUUGAAUUUUACUUCAUCAGUCAAUCAGACUUUAUAAUUUAGUUGUCAAAAUUCAAAUUAUUUAUACCAAGUUUAUAUUUUAAAACACACAUAAGUUAUUACUUCUUGAUCAUAGGUCAGAUUGAUGUAAAAUUUUAAGUUCGAGCUCGGCUCAGAAAAUGAGUUUAAAAUUUUACUUAAGCCCAACCUAAAUUAAUAAUGCUAAAAUUGAGCUCGACCGGGUCUUCCCAUAUUGAUUUUUUUAGAUUUUUUAUAUAAAAACAAAUUUUAAAAAUAUAAUAUAUCAAAUGUAAACACCCUAUACCUGGCCUAGACAUUACAGUCAAAUCAUGGAGAUUACAUCUAAUGAAUGGAAAAUUCAAUUGAACAACUCUUUUUUGAAAACACAAUGAUUCUCCUAAAUCGUAGCUUAAUUGUGUUACUAACAUCAAAACCAAUUUACAUGAAAACAUUUGCGUGCUAACAAAAAAAAAACAUUUUGAGAGAAUUUCAGUUAAUCUUACAGUGAAAAACCUUAUAGUUUUUUAUAUAUAAAAUCGUGGUUCAUUUUUAAUUAUCAUAGGUUAAGCGUUUUUAAUGACUAAAGCCUUUGCUUAGUAAAUAUCAAAAUAGUCCUAACUAAACAAAAAUAAAAAUGUUCAAAACGAAAUAAAAACCCAAAACAGUCAAAAAAAUGUCCAUAAUAACAAAUAAAAAGUCCAAAGUGUUUAAACUAAAAUGUGAAAUUCGAGCUCCAGAGUCGCCAUCUAAUCCUAAGUCGAAUGAUCACCUGAAACAAAGAAAAACAUAGGCGUGGGCUUUAAGCCCAAUGUGUGAUUUGGCCCAUAAUUUCAAUAAUUUCAAUACAAGCAAUCAUCAAUUUGUUUCAUAGCAUAUCAGGCUUCAUAACUAGACAUAUUUUAUCAUAUCAUAUCAUAUCAUAUCAUAUCAUAUCAUAUCAUAUCAUAUCAUAUCAUAUCAUAUCAUAUCAUAUCAUAUCAUAUCAUAUCAUAUCAUAUAAUGUCCUACUCCCAUCCGCUACAUACUAUCUCCGUCCAGCCAAUCAUACCAUAUAAGACUACUAGAGUCCAUCUAUCUAGUCACUUCAAUAGGUAGCAAUGUGCCACUUAUAUAAUUGCAACUGAGCUGCUAUACAUAAAUUUGUGGUCUAGCCGCCACAAUUAUAGUAUAAACUAUCAUAUAAUGUAACACCCCAAACUCGGCCUAGACGUUAUGGUCGAAUCUGGCGUGUCACAUUGAAGUGUCUUUCGAAAAAUAGACUUGUUGGUAACAAUUCGUUUCUAAGUUUAAAACCCCUUUAUUAGUGUUUAACAAAACAUCUAGUCAAACGUUUACCUUGUUAUUUGCUUUAGUUAUAAUGGGUUGAUUUUAAAUCGCGGCAACUUUUGAAAACUUUGAUCAUUUAAAUUUAGUAUCUUUGAAAAUAGUAAUUAUUUUGAAAAUUCGUCUUCUCUUAACCUAGUAGUUUAAGGUAAAUAAGCAAAAGCCCAAUUAGAAAUUCAAACAAACUUAAAGGCCUUAUUACAAAAACCAACCCAACAUAUAAUUUAAAUUUAAAAUAAAAGCAACUGUAAACAGCAGCAGUUGUGUAGCCACCUCCGAGUCCCUCGCAGCACUGAAUCGCCUAUGGCUGAGGAUUACCUGCACAGUUAAAAUGAGAGAGUGAGUUUACAAAACUCAGUGUGUAAUCCUCUACCAAACAGUCAGUAUACAACAUGCAGUAACAGACUGAGCUUGAGCCCUAUUCAGUAACAGUACAGUGAGGGCUUUAGCCAAAUACAGUAACAGUGUAGGCCUUAGCCCAAUACUGUAUCAGUACAGUGUAAUAAUACAAAUCAUCCCAAUCCAGUCAACACACUAUUCCGUACCACCAACACACCAUGUGGGGAUAAAAUUGACCCACCCAGCCAACACACCAAUAUCGCAGUAAAAUUGCCAGUAGUAGCAUCGCAGCAAAGCUGCUAGUAACAGUAUUGAAGCAAAGCUGCCAGUAACAGUAUCGCAGCAAAGUUGCCAGUAACAGUAUACUCCCUCCAUUGCAGUAUCCCAACCCCAUGCAAUAUGUCAUGUCAUAAAUCAUACGUGUAUGCAAAAUAUCGUAUUCAAUCAUAUUGAUACAUAUCAUAUAGCAAAUCGGUCAUACAUACAUAAAGCCAUAACAGUCAUUUUGACUCUUAGGGGUAUAACAGUCAUUUUACCCUAUGGGGGUAUUUCGAUCAUUGUACCCUAUGAGGGUAUUUCAGACAUUUUACCCUAUGGGGUAUUUCGAUCAUUUACCCAGAAAUGGCAAGUUGGGCUUAACACUCGAGCGAUCACACGCCUGUGUGGUCUCAAACGUCGUAUUUAUCUCCUCUCAAAUAACUCAUUGAUUUUCUCAUCGUAUCUAUCCCCUUAUCCUUCAUUGAAUCACUCCACUGAUUUCUCCUCAACUCCCCCAACAAGCCAUUCAAAUUCCAUUCAAACUCCCUUUAGCUGUGUUUCAGUCCAACUCCACUACCUACACAGCUCAAGCAGCAAAAUAAACACUCCAUUGCAUAACUCAAGACUUGAACCUCAGACCUCACAGUCACACAACACGCCACCUUGCCACCAGACUACAAGCUCUUUUUGUGUCAUAAAACAAACACUAAUAUUUAUAAGGACUAAAUGCCAAUGUCCAGAUUCAUUCAAGAGUAAAACUAAAAAUUCUGCAAAAACCAAGACUUGAACCCAAGCUUCUCAAACACUCCUAUACACACCCAAAUCACUUAGCCAUUAAAGCAAACAAGCAAUUUGCAUCAAAUUAUGCAAAAAUCAAAGACUUAGAUUUUUGGGGCGUUACAUAUAACACUUCUUCCAUUAUAUCAUAACCCACCUCGAAACACAAACAAAUCAUAAUCGUAUAACAUACUUAAAUAUAUAUAUAUCAUAACUCAAUGGCAUGCAUACUUACAUAUUGUCAUACAAAUCCUUACAUAGCACAUGGUUAAAUGGAACAUUUCCUACUUAAAAUACCUCCUAAACUUAUCUGUAUACUUUUACGUACUGAUAUUUAGGCUUUUCUAGACCCAUAGAUGCCUACGGACCCAGAUUUUGAGUCCCUCAAACUACCCCUAAUUGGGCCCUAAAAUUGGGCAAAAAGGCCUACGCAACCCAAAAAGCUAGCUCGUGUGGUCUAUACGGCCUACCACACGAUCUGAAAAGUUUUACACGGACGUGUGCUCCACACAGCCAAGCCACAUAGGCUGCAAGAUUUCACACGGCCAUGUGGUGCACAAGAUUUACUGCACGGCCUGGCCUAUGAUUAUGUGGCACUAGCCAAUUUCGAUGAACAUCCCCUAUUUUACGAAUUUAACGAGUUUCAAUUCAAUUUUUUGGUUAUUUUCACACACCUGAUUACGUAGUCAACUAACUUCAAUAACGAGAACACACAAACCUACAAUUACGCAACAAUCGUACCAACAAUAUGUCAAAAAACAUCACCUUAAUACAACAAAAUUAUAGCCCUUAAAAUGACAUUUGAGUCCUUACCACUUGGAAAAUAGCGACUAAAAUAGAACCUAAUCCAUUGAAGGGAUUGGAUUAUCGGUUCCUUUGCCUAAUCAACACAAGAACAUUUAUCACCUUAAGUAAAGAAAAAUUGAAUCAAAAUAACAGAAAAAAGGUACAAGAGGGAGAGGGAACAAACGGUUCUAGGAAAAGAGGAAUAUAAGGAUUUGAUAGACUUAAAAUAAAAUAAAAUAAAAUAAAAUAAAAAUAACAAGUUUUAAUUAAUCCAAACCCCACACUUCAGAUUUAAUAGAGUUUAACUAAACUUUAACACCUAUGAGAAGCCCAAGCAAAAAGUAAAAUGUAAUCAAACACUUAACCAUUAAACCACUAAACUCAUCAUUAUUAUAACCCAACAAAGAAAUUGAUUUAAGCCCUAAGGUUCAAACUUAACUUAAAGUAAAAAAAUAAUAAUAGAAAAUCUCAAAACUAGAUAAUUGAACUCAGGACCUAAAACAAACUUUUAAGACAGUUAACCAACGCUCCAAAUCAAAUUACUUAACCAACCUACACAUUCAAAAACCCAAAAUUUGGGGCAUUACAUCAAAUGUACAUAUAUUUAAUUACGUAAUGAUAUUUAAGCUUUUCUGGCCCUAUACGAUGCCUACGGACCUAGAUUUCAAGUCCCUCAAAUUGCCUAAAAUUGGGCAAAAAGGUCCAUGCAGCCCAAAAAGCUAACUCGUAAGGUCCAUACAGCCUACCACAUGGUUUGGAAGAUUUUACACGGACGUGUGCUCCAUGCCAAGCCACAUGGGCUGCAAGGUUUCACACGGCCAUGUGGUACACACGGUUUACCACACGGCCUGACAUAUGAUCAUGUGGCGCUAGCCAAUUUCGAGGAACAGCCUCUAUUUUGCAAAUUUAACGAGUUUCGAUUCAAUUUUUGGUUGUUUUCGCACACCCGAUUAUGUAGUCAACUAACUUCAAUAACGGGAACUCACAAACCUACAAUUACGCAACAAUCAUACCAACAAUAUGUCAAAAAACAUCACCUUAAUCAACAAAAUUAUAGCCCCCAAAAUGACAUUUGAGUCCUUACCACUUGGAAAAUAGUGACUAAAAUAAAACCUAAUCCAUUGAAGGGAUUGGAUUAUCGACUCCUUUGCCUAAUCAACACAAGAACAUUUAUCACCUUAAGCAAAGAACAAUUGAAUCAAAAUAAUAGAAAAAAAAGGUGCAAGAGGGAGAGGGAACAAAUGGUUCUAGGAAAAUAGGAAUAUAGGGAUUUGAUAGACCUAAAUUAAAAAAAAAAUAAAAUAAAAAUAACAAGUUUUAAUUAAUCCAAACCCCACACUUCAGAUUUAAUAGAGUUUAACUAAACUUUAACACCCACGAGAAGCCCAAGCAAAAAGUAAAAUGUAAUCAAACACUUAACCAUUAAACCACUAAAUUCAUUAUUAUUAUAACCAAACAAAGAAAUUGAUUUAAGCCCUAAGGUUCAAACUUAAAUUAAAGUAAAAUAAUAAUAAUAAUAGAAAACCUCAAAUCAAAACUAGAUAAUUGAACUCAGGACCUAAAACAAACUUUUAAGACAUUUAACCAACACACCAAAUCAAAUUACUUAACCAACCUACACAUUCAAAAACCCAAAAUUUGGGGCAUUACAUCAAAAGUACUAAAAAUAUUAAAAUAAAUGUUUCCCAACAAAUUGAGAAUACAUUGCAAAAGUCUUUAUACUUAAAUAAUAUUAAAAAAUAACAUUGAGAUAGUUGCAACUUAGCAAGUAAGUUCCUCCAAAAUAGUAGCAAAAUUAACAAUAAAACAAAAAUUAUACAACAUUCAAAUAAUAACAACAAAAUAGUAGUAAUAUAAUAGUAAAAUGACAACAAAACAACAAUGAAAUGGCAACAAAACAAUAUAUUUGGUCAGGUCAAACUUAGAUCAAAAUUUAUUAAAUAUAUAAUUUUUUAUUAUAUGAUAUAAUUAGUGACUCAAUAGUUACCUAUGAAAACGCCCAAUUGAAUCUAAUUCACAACCUCUUCCAAUUUUUCAUUCCCAGAAAAUUGAAUUUUGUUUCUAAAUUCCCCCUCAAAAUCAUAAUGAUAGAUUUUUUUUUCAUAAUAACUUUUUUUUAGCUCCUCUUCAAAUUACUUAAAAAAUGGAUGAAAAAUUAAUGUUGGUUAAUUUUAUUCAUAUAGUACCUACAUAUAUAUCACGUAAGCAAUUAAUUAAUAUUUUAAGUUAAAAAUAUUAAAAUAUGUUUUUUAUGUUUUAUACUUUUUAAUACUUUUUUAUUUUUUUAAUAUAUAAUAAAAUAAUUAAUUACUAACGUGGCAUUCAUGUGGCAAUCUACGUGUAUGUCAUGUCAGCAAAGUUAAUAAAAUGUUAUUUUUUUCAUCUAUUUUAGUGUGAUUUGAUAAACAAUACAAAUUUAUUAACUAAAAAUAUGAAAAUCAAAAUGAAAAUGAAAAUAAUUUUUUGUUUAGGUUAUUGAAUCAAAUAAAUAAAUUAUAUAUAUAUACACACACAUUUGCAUGUAGUACUAUGUGUUAUUUAGCUGUUAGUGGAAGAUGUCUCAAAAUUAGUAGUGGGCAGUUUAUGGUUUACAGAUAAACAUGCAACAUCUAUGUUUCUACAUUGCUACAAAAUGACACGAUAAUGAAACCAAAAUUAACGUUGUACACAAAUGACGAAAUAAUAUGGAAAAGUAACUAUGACUUGAUGAAAUAAUAACAACAUAAUAAUACACAAACAUUUUGAAAUUUAUAACUACGAGCUCUCUAUUAAAAGUUUAAUUGUAUUUUAUUUUUUAUUUAAAAAUGAGUAAAUUAAUCUCCAUACGUUAAAUUAAAGAGUAACAUGAUUAUUCUGUUAAAAUUUUUAUCUAUUUCUACUAUUAAAAACUAGUCUCAGUACGUCAGCAUGAGAAAUAUAUGACAUGCCAAAUGUCACAAUUUGAUUAUUUUGUCAACUAUGUCAAUUUUAAAAGUACAAAUGGAUAAAUUUUUUAAUAAACAUUAUCAAUUUACUCUUUAAUCUGACAUAUAAGGACUACUUUACCCUUUUAUUUUUAAGUAGAGAGGACAAAAUACAAUUUGACUCUUAAUACAGAAAUCUUCAUAGUACUUUUACUCUAUAAAUUAUAUAUUAACGUGUAAAUAUUUCAUAUAAAUAUGAAAAAUAGGAUAGACAUACAUGAAUUGUUAGAUCUAAUAAUAAAAGCAAGUAGUUUAAAAAGGUAUUUAUUUUCCUUUCCAUUUUAAGUAAUUUUUUGUGUUUCCAAAUGAUUGAUGCAUAUCUACUAAUAAUAAUCUAUGAUUAACAUGUUAAGGUAUAUCUAAGAUACGAGUGUCAUAUAUAAAUACCUGAAAAAGAAAAAGAAAGUAAGCUGGGAUCAUUCACCAAUUUUGUUUUAUGUAAGUGAACAGAACAAACAGAGCAGUAGUACAUGUCCGUCAGCCAUUUCCUAGUCCAUGAAUCCGGAGAUGAUAAUCUAAAAUCACAUAAAUAUAAAGAAUUCACUUCUUUUUCUGCAUACUUGAGAAAUUUAUUUAUACAUUUGGAAAUCCAAUUUCAUCUUCUCAAAUGAUAACUUAAAAAUGGUAAAGGGUCAAUAGGGUUAGUUGCGCAAACAAAUGUACUCGCAUGGGAAUCAAGUUCCACAAUUACAAUGAAAGACCUUCCCGUUGAAAGCAAUUUCAAAAGAAACCAUCCUUAGAAUUGAAUGAAUCAUCAAUAUCAUAGUAAGGAAACAUUAUUGUUGCAUGAACUCAAGAUUACCGGAGCCACUGAUUUCAUAUUGCAAAAUCCACAGACUUCAAAUCCUUAUUCUUUCUAUUCCUGUCUCCGAGGUAUCUAUUCUUUUCUUAUUAUAAUACAUUGUUUUGACUAUAUCACACUAUGUAUCAUUUAAUAAUUGAAUAGAUCCCUAUCUUUGAUUUAAAUCGAAUUUGUAAUGGAGGAAUUUCAAAUAUAUUUAGAACUAGAUAGAUCCCGCUGACACGAUUUCCUAUGCCUACUUAUUUGUCGGGAGUAUAUUUAUGCACUUGCUCAUGAGCUUAGUUUAAAAAAAUCGAUGAUUUUUUUAAAAUCAGGGUUAUGGUAAUAAAUUCAGUUCACUAAUUGUGAAACAUUUAAUUCUUCAAAUAGAUCAAUAAAAUCAUUUGAUUAGUUCUGCUAAUGAUUCCAACCAAAAUCCGAUUUUUGGGCACAACAAUUAUUUGUAUUCUCAAAUGAUAGCUGCAGGAUUUGUAGUCCCACUUAUGGGGUCAAAUCAAUACAUUUUGAGAAGAAAUAUUUGAAUAUAAAUCUCAUCGAUCUCAUAAGUAUCAUACCAAAUCCUAUCAAUCGAAUCAUUUUUUUUGAGAAAUACGAGACAUCUACGUCAUACAAGUAAAGAGAUCUAUUCAUUGAUAAGAAAAAUAAAAAACGUGAACGGUGAUUGGAUUGAUGAGAAAAUAGAAUCAUGGGUUGCGAAUAAUGAUUCAAUUGAUGAUAAAGAAAGAGAAUUCUUGGUUGAGUUCUCCACCUUAACGAAAGAAAAAAAGAUUGAUCAAAUUCUAUUGAGUCUGACUCAUAGUGAUCAUUUAUCAAAGAAUGACUCUGGUUAUCAAAAGAUUGAACAACCGAGACCAAUUUACUUAUGAUACUUAGUUGACAUUCAUAAAAAGUAUCUAAUGAAUUAUGAGUUCAAUACAUCACGUUUAGCAGAAAGGCGGAUAUUCCUUGCUCAUUAUUAGGCAAUCACUUAUUUACAAACUUUAUGUGGGGCUAAUUGUUUUCAUUUACUAUCUUGUGGAAAACCCUUUUCGCUUCGCUUAGCCCUAUCUCCCUCUAAGGGUAUUUUAGUGAUAGGUUCUAUAGGAACCAGACGAUCCUAUUUGGUCAAAUACCUAAUGACAAACUCCUAUGUUCCUUUCAAUACAACAUUUCUUAACAAGUUCCUAGAUAACAAGCUUAAAGGUUUUCUUAUUGAUGAUAUCGAUAUUGAUGCUAGUGACAUUAUUGAUCGUGACCUUGAUACGGAGCUGGAGCUUCUAACUAUAAUGAAUACGUUAACUAUGGAUAUGAUGUUGGAAAUAGACUGAUUUUAUAUCACCCUUCAAUUCAAAUAACUAAAAGCAAUGUCUCCUUGCAUAAUAUGGAUUCCAAACAUUCAUGAUCUAGAUGUGAAUGAGGCGAAUUACUUAUCCUCGAUUUAUUAGUGAACUAUCUCUCCAAAGAUUGUGAAAGAUGUUCCACUAGAAAUAUUCUUGUUAUUACUUCAACUCAUAUUCCCCAAAAAGUGGAUCCUACUCUAAUAGCCUCGAAUAAAUUAAGGCAAAGAGAGAAGAUUUCGCGAGACUUAGCUUGGCAAACGAGUUGAUUAUUCAAGAUGUUCUGUCAUUGUUGUUGGCCCCUCACUUUUAUUACAUCACUGUGGAUUGCCUCAAGAAAUAGAAAUAGAGCUUUUCCAGGCAUUUGUAAUUCGCGGUCUAAUUAGACAACAUCUUGCUCCGAACAUAAGAGUUGCUAAGAGUAAAAUUUGGGAAAAAAGGUCGAUUGUAUGGGAAAUACUGCAAGAAGUUAUGUGGAGACAUCAUAUAUUGCUAAAUAGAGUGCUUACUUUGCAUAGAUUAGGUAUACAAGCAUUCCAACCUAUUUUAGUGGAAGGAUGCGCUAUUUGUUUACACCCAUUAGUUUGUAAGGGAUUUAAUGCAGACUUUGCUGGGGAUCAAAAUGACAUUUCAUAUACCUUUAUCUUUAGAGGAACUACUAAGUACUUAUCAUUAAAAGGAACUACAAACAAUCAAUGCAUAAUGCAUAACACUAUAAGUUUAUGUACUCAUAUUACCAUCUUUUAAAAAACUCAAAUAAAGGAAAAAAAUAAAUUGACAAUAAUCACAGCAUUGGAAAAAAUUAAAAAAAAUUCAGAGAUGCAUCGCUUUAAUCAAUUUGCUAAUAUUUACAUCUUAGCUUUGCCAUCAUUAGAAGCCCUAAGAGAUCUGUUACAUCGUAUGCACAAAAAGUCAAGUAUUAAUGGCCUAUCUUUCUCUACAUUUUAAAGUCCAAUUUUGCAAACACUCUCCUAACGAGGUUCUUUAAAUUCCCAAUAGAUUUGGUAGUGCCUUUACUUGAUCAAUCUCAUUUAUAUGUCAAAACAUGAUUAGAGACAAAACUAAAACCACCACCACUUUCAGUGAAAACUGAAAACAUGCUAAAAUAAAAUCACCAAAAGAACAAGCGCACUGAAACUACAACCAUAACAGUUUUUUUUUUAAACAAUGGGGUAAAACAAAAAACUAAACAAAUUUGUUGAAACAGUGGUGACCUGUAAGUAGCCCAGAGGUGGGUGUGGCUGCCGGCAAGACCAAGUUAUUAACUUUAAAUUAAGGGUGAGUUUGGAUGGGCAAUUGGGUGCGAUGCGGUGCGUUUAGCUUACUUUUUGUCUCACGCUACAGUAUUGCUACAGUAUCUAAUCUUACUGCCGCCGCUGUUUUUACACUAACUAUAGGUAAACACACCGCCCAUCCAAACUCACCCUAAGAAAAAGUAAGGUGGUAGUUGUAGGCCAUACAAUUUUAUUUGCUUUCGGUGGUGAAGCUCUGAUUAUUCAAUUCAUAAAUUAAUUGAAAAAAAAAAGGAACAAAUUUGCAGCAAAGUCAAGAAAGUACAAGGAAAAAGAGAAUAGUAUGGUUAGCCCCACUUCACUUUAAAUUAAGAAAAAUAAAGGUAGUAGUUGUAGGCCUUUCCGCCUCCACUACAUAGUGGACUUUCUUUUAAGUGUUGACUGAUGAUUCCAUUCAUAAAUGAAUUGAGAAACGAAAUUACUUGAAACUUGCAAUAAAGUGAAUAAAGUAGAAGAAAAAGAAUAUUGAUAUAUCAACUUAUCACCAUUUUUAUGAUUAUUAUUUCUUUAGAUAUAAGUCUUCUAAACAAUAUAAUCUUUAUUAUAAAUAUGACAUUACAAAUUCAAUAAAUAAAAGUAAACUUGAUAUUAAAAGUUUUAUUUUAUUUUUAUCAAUCAACCCAUUUACUUUAUUUCCUAAAUUUUAGAUUUUAUUUUAUGAUAUAUAUAGUCAAAAUUCAAAAAUAACAUAAAAUUUCAUGGAAUCUAGUUUUUCCAGAUUAGCAACCAUUUAUACUAUUCCUAGGUCAGGAAAUUGGUUCUUCAUUUACAAGUUGAGUCUCAAAAUCAAAGUCCUCCACCUAAUGUAUAUUAUGUUGAUGUGAUAUGUCUCUAAAUUAUUGAGUGGAAAUUUUAUCAUGGAUUCAAUCAUUUUCAAUGCUACAAAAUGACGUAAUAGCAAAACCAAAAACUUAUCCUUAAAACAAAACCAAAACCUUAACUCAAAUAUUACAUAUGAAAUAAAUAAUUAAAACAUAAGGUGUGAAAUCAGGUUAUGAGAAAUAAGAAGAGCAUAAUGAAGAAAACUGUCUCAAAAUUUAUAUUAUACAAGUUAUUAACAAAUCAAAAUUUAUAUAAAUAUAUAAGUUUUAUAUAAUAACCUGUUGGGUCGAGAAUGCAUUAUUAUCUCUAAUUCCCUAUUAAGUCAAGAAUAGUUCUCAAACACCCUAUUGAGUCAAGUUAUCUCUAAUUCCCUCUUGGGUCAAGAACAUAUCAUUAGCUCCAAUUCUCAGUUGGGUCAUGAGAGUGUAUUGUUGUGGUAAUACACGUUUUCGAACAUGAAAUCAGCUAAUAAAGGUUAAGGUAUAAAGAUCGUAGUUGCUUGUUUGAAACGUGGUUAAUUAAUGUAGAUACAUUGAGGGUGCUUAUAAAUGAUAAUAAAGAAAAUAUAGUGCAUGAGGGUGGACUAUGAUAACAAAAUGAAUUUGUAACAAAAAUUCUGAGAUGAGUUAUAAUUUUAUUUGCGUAUGCCUAUUUAUUUAAUGAUUUAUGCUUUUGAUUUAAAAUUAUAUUAGUCUCACUGCGCAUCUAAUUCUCAAUGUGUAGACAUGUUUGUUCUGUACACAUGUAACAAGUUGAGAUAGAUUAGGAUCGUUUAGCUCGAAGGCAUCUAAAGAUUACUGUUCAACUUCAUUUAAGUUAAUUAGUCAUUGUGAAUAAUUAGAUGAGUUUGGCAUGUACAUAGGUUUAAAAUAGAUGUUGGAGUCAUUUGAUGAUGUGGUAUCUAUAAUGUUGAGAAAUUGUAGUCUAGGUAUGUAUAUAUGUAUGUAAUGGUACUUAUAUAGGGUUAAGAUCGUAUGCACUGAUCUUUAUACAAUGUUUAUUACAAGUUUCACAUGUUUCUUGCGUGCCAAGUAAACUAAUUUUGAUGAUUGAAUUUGGAAAGGCUAUGAUUAUGUUGGUGGUCAUAUUGUUGGAUGUGUUUUGACAAGCAUAAAUGGUGUUUGGAACAUGAAUUUUGAGUCCUAUAAGUCUUGAAAAUGAAUUGGUAUAUAUUAUCAAAACAGGUGAUUUUAGGGAGAUUUUUUUUUGUUCCAACAAACUUAUUUUGAUAUAAGAGAUCAGAUGUAUCGGUACAACAAAGUCAAUCUCCAAAAUUGAACGAUAACAGGAACUUGUAGCGAUACAACUAGGUCAAUCAAUGUCUCCUCCCUUGUUUUAAGUCAUUUUGAUCCUUGGACACCCUGACUUGGUCCUAAACAACUUUGGUCACCUAGAAGUCAUAUUAAAAUGUUCUAAAUGAAUUUAAAUGACUUAUAAACAUUUUUAAUCAAGGCAAAUAGUUUUCUAUGAAUGAGUAAAUGUUGGUGUACAAGUUGAUUUCAGAGUAUGUGUUUUUUUCUCUUUACCCACAUUUAGAGACAAAUUAGUAAAAAUAAACAAGAUAGAGGAUAUAUACCAUGUCGACUGCAAACUACUUCGUAGCUAUUACAGUGAAGAAUUUUUUGCCUCUGUUAUCUAGAUAUAUAAAACAACUUAGAAAAAAUUGAAUAUAAUUGUGUUAAAUACAUGUAUAUUUCCAACACUUGAUCCUGAGUUUCAAAAACAUAGCUUGUUGCGAAUGCUAAUAUUUAUACUUUUAUUAUUUUACUAACUAAACGACCCUUUCAUCCAACUCAAGCAACAUGCAGCAUAAAUUUUCUUUAUUACAUAAACAAAACAUACCAUAAAUCAUUUUGCAUAAGCACUAUCCGUUGGUCGAGUGUUGACCAGUCAAGCCCUACCAACUUUUAAUUUGAGUAUUUUUUUUAAGUAGAUAUGUUCGAAUUAUUUAUAUUUUAUAUAAUUUAUAUUUAGGCGAGUAUUGAUUCACAUGUAUAAUUUAUAUAUUUUUUACUUGACAAGGAACCUUAAAAAAUUGUUAUAUAUUUUUAAUUUUAAUAUUUUACUAUAUCUUUAUAAAAUAUUUGUUAACCUCUGACCCUACUUAUGAAAUUUAAAAUUUUAUUGAUAGUGUACUAAAUAUUAUUUCUUUAUAUAUUAUAAAAGUAAAAUUUCAUAAAUUUAAGAAAAUAAAAAUUUUAUAUAAUUUUUAAAAAUUCAUUUUGAAUUUGAAAUUAAAACUUUUAAUAUAUAUUUUAAAAUUUUGAUAUAAUAUUUUUAAUUUUAUAUAAUUAACAUUGUAGAAAAAUAAAUCUUAGUAAAUGUAUUUUUUGAAUUUCUACUCCAAAAAUGUGUCAAAUUUUUUUUAAAGAAUUAUUUAUCCACAUGUAUAUUAUAUGUAUAAUAGUUCGAAAAAAUUGAAAAAGAAAAUAAAUUUGAAUAAUUGAUUGGUGUAAGUCGGUGAAGUUUGAAAUAAUAUUUUUUAUUAGCAAAAGUUGUAAAUUUAUUUUAGUUCAUUUUAUUACAAUUUAUUUAUAUAUCUUUAAAUAAAGAUAAAAAUUAAAGAAUAAAAAAAUAAAUCAAUAAAAUAAUUUAUUUUAAUACACACCUUAAUGUUAAUGGUAAUAAUACUAAAUAAAAACAAUAAAUAAUUUACUUAAUAAAAGAUAAAGAUAUUCCAUAAAAAAAGAUAAUAAAAAAAAGCAAUCAUUGAUUUGGAUGCCAAUCAGCUUUGCAAUCAAUCAUAAAAAUAAAUAUACAGAAAAGGAGGGUGGUGGAAUGCUGUAAUUCAACAUUAAACAUAACUUCCUCAUCUACUUCUACCAAACUUACACAUCACACUUUUUGUUUCAUCUCUAUCCAAAUAUGAAUGCAAUACCACCCUCUGCACUUCUUAUUUUCUCACUCACUGCCCCUUCUUCAUCAUGACUUCACCCCCAAUUUCAAUGACAGCGAUGUGGGAAAUGUUGGCCCAAUCUUUGCCCUUCUCCUUUUCACAACGCUCCUCCAACAAAGGACAGUUACUAAUGCACAAACGAGAAAGAGAGGGAGGGAGCAUGUUUGGGGGCAUGGAUUGGAGCUUGGGACAGCUGUCGAUAAGCAAUCUGGAAAGAGAGGUGAGGUGUUGAAACCCCUUGUACUCCAAACUCUUUAGAUUUGGAAGUUGAGAGAGCCAGAGAGUUUCAAGAGAAGAGGGAAGCAGAUGUUCAUCUGGAAAACACUCUAUCUCUACUUCUGAAAAUGAGAUCUCGAGAUCUGUAAGAGAAGGGAGUGUAUGCAAACUCCAUUCCCUUUUCCUAAUCAAGCUCUCAAUUAGUUUAUCACUGCUUCCGAUUGUAAUUCUUUUUAAUUUGGAGGGCAAACCCUCUUUUGGAACCCUCUCUAUUUCUGGACAUACAAGUAUUUUCAAAUCCUCAAGGGAUGGAAAGACAGAGUGCAUUUGCUCUGGCAAUGACUUUAAACUUGGGCAACCCAAAAGCGUUAGCCGGGUCAAAUUGGUUACAGCUAAUCCAUCUUCUAUUUGAAAAGAUUUCAAAUUUUGGCACCACCAUAUUUCCAAAGAAUUGAGACAUGUUAGAUGCUGGUGGUGAGAGCCCUCUAAAGCAGCACUAAAAAACUUCAAGUCUUCACAUCCAGAAAUUUCAACAUGCUUUAGCAUAGGAAACGGUCCUAAUGAGAAAGAUUCCAGUUGAUCACACUUUGUACCUUUUAUCUUCAAAGAUUCAAGGGAUGUAUACAAGAAGAUUUUGGAAUGAUUAAAAGCUUUGCACUGCUCGAUCCUCAGUUUUUUCAGUGUAAUAGACACACUAUCCUCAGGAAGGGAUUUGAUAUUAGAACAACCAGAGAUAAUGAACUCGUCGAGAUGAGUGCAGUGUUUCAACAUCUGUUCCAAUAUGGAAUCAUUCAUACUCGAACCUUUGAUGCCCAACUUUCGAAGCCCACAAGGCAAUGGCUCCAAUUGCAGUGCAUCGCAUCUUUCUAACUCAAGUUCACAAAUGCCUGGUGUCCUUGGGAGAAAACAUUCAAGCUUCUCACAAUUUGCAAUCACCAAUUUCUUUAAAGAGGGGAGGUGUUUGGGUAUUGACUUGAUUAGCUUUGGACAAUCCCUGAUGCGUAGCUCUUGCAGAAGGAAGAAAGCUUCAUCACUCCUACACAACCAUUCUUCCCACCCAACCAUAUUCUCAAACACUAGGAUUUCAAGAGAUCCAAAUGGCUUAGUUGAAGCUUGUCCAUUACUAUAGAACUCCUCACCAACUAUUACAACUUCCCUGAACCCAGAAAUGGAGAGAGAUUUCAAAGAUGAUAAUUGGCCAAGCGGAGGCAAAGAUAUGCAAAAUUUACAAUCUUGCAACUCCAAAGAUAUCAUAUUUGAAAAGGACAAAUGCCCCACCCAUUCUGGAAAUCUCCUGCCUUUGUAACUUCCGAAACUAGAUGCUUCAAGUUUGUAUUAGGCUCCAAUUGUUCCAAUACUUCUCUAUCAUGCUUUGAGUCACCAACAAUAUCAUAAUAUUCAUCCCAUGUCAACUUCAACUCCUUAAGAUUAACCUUAUCCUUCAAAUUGGCAUCUUUGGCAUCCCUGGCAUUUACAACAUUUUUCAGUCUUGAAAUGGCAAGUCUUCCCCGUAAGUGCUUGAGCUUUCCCAACUCAUUAAUGCUUGAGCGAGUUUGAUCACCUAUAACAACAUCUGUUAAGAUUCGAAUAUCUUUCAACUUACCCAUCCCUUCUGGCAUCCUAGUUAACUUUGUUCCCCUAAUAUCAAGAUAAAGCAUGUUGAUCAAUCUCCCCAUGUCUCUCGGCAACUCAACAAGGUCACUGCAUACAUGCAAUGUCAAUGCUUGCAAAUUAUACACCGUACACAGAGAAUUUGGCAACCUUGUGAUUGAAGUUUUUGAGAGAUUCAAAUUUCGUAGAUGCUUCAAGUUACUAAUUUCUUUUGGCAAUUCUUUGAUAUUUGUAUACCCAGCCAAAGAAAGCACUCGUAAGCUUGAUUUCAUCAACAAAUCAUGCAUUAGACAUUGCUAACACUACAAUAGGAAGAAGACUUCACAGUUAGGAAAGCACGCAGACAUUUUGCUUUAGGUAAGCUCUGAAAUUUUUGUCGCACAUCAUAAAUUUCUUGGACAUUGGACAAAUGACGGGUCUUUUCAGUUAUUACACAAGAACCACCACUCCCUUCCAAUCUGCAGAUGAAUUCUCCGGUGACAGAUUUAGCCAAGUCACUAAUUAGAUCAUGCAUGACAAAACAAGAUUUCUCUCCUUUUGAUUGUUGAAAAAAGGACCUCAAUCUCAAAUCUUUGAAGUACUCGUUACCCAGUUCUUCUGGAUCUCCAUUAUCUUUCGAAAGCUGUAAAAGUCCUUCAGCCAUCCAUAAUUGAAUAAGUUCUUCCUUUUCGAAUUCGUAAUCUUUAGGAAAAAUUGAACAAUAAGCAAAACAUCGCUUUAAAUGUGAAGGAAGAUAAUGAUAACUUAAUGUUAGCGCUGGAAGAAUAUUACUUGCAGUAUUUGGUAUGUCCCAAAACUUGCUAUGCAAUAUUUUGUUCCAUUCAUCAGCAUCUAGUUUCCAGCGAAGGAGACCUCCAAGUGUUUUUGCAGCCAAAGGAAGGCCGUUACACCUUUUCACGAUUGCUUCACCAAUUGCCUUGAGAUCAAGAUGCGUGCUUGGGGUUGUACCAACGAAUGCAUGCUUUGCGAAUAACGUCCAACAAUCAUCAUUAGAUAAGGUCUUCAGAUGAUAAGUUGGAAUAGUCCUCAUAAUGUCGGCAACACUUUCAUUACGUGUGGUUACAAUAAUCUUGCUAUUUUGAGCCCCAAAUUUGAAAGGAAUGCUGAGCUGCUCCCACACAGCAUAGUUUUCAUUCCAAACAUCAUCCAAAAUGAUUAGAUAUUUCUUUCCCAACAGCUGCUCUUUGAGUUUAAGUUGAAGCUGAUUUAAGUUCUGGUUUCCAUCACAGCUAUAUUUGGUUUCUUCAAGAAUAGUUUUGGUUAACUUGAGAGCAUCAAAUUCCUCUGAAACACAUACCCAUGCUUUGGGGUGAAACCAUUUAUCCACUCUGGGGUCAUUGUAGAUCAAUUGGGCAAGGGUGGUUUUUCCAAGCCCGCCCAUAUCCACAAUGGGAAUCACAUCUACCUGAUUUUUAGGCAGAUUUUGAGGAUCCAACAACUUCAUUAUUUCUUCUUUUUCAUCAUCUCUACCACAAACAUCAGACUCGUCCACCAAAGAAGUUGCAGGCGUUCUUUGAAAUGCCUUUUCUCCUUCAGAGUUUUCUUUCAGACCCAGAAUCUGUUUUUGGUUCAGUAGGUUGUCUAGUCUCCCAAUGAUCUCCUCUAGCUUUGACUGCGCCCCAUCUUUGAAAGGAUUCAAAGAAGAGAAAAAGCUACUAACCUGCUUCAUAUGAGUAGUUUGAUAUUCUGAUUCAAUCUUGUUCCGAAGAGCUUCAGUAGAGAUCUCGUCUAGGAGGUCCUCGGCAUCAUAAACAGCAUCUUUGAGCUCAUCGGUCCAACUUUUGACAUUUGGGUUGGCAAUCUGCUUAUUUUCAGCAUCAUCCAACACUGCUUUCACCGACAUCAAGGUUGGCUUGAGUUUGUUCAGCAGCACAGCUUCAAGUUUCUUUCCUUUGAUAAGCCUCAGAACAGCGGCAGAAACAAUCCUAUCAAGCAGCACCUCAAUGGAAGCAGAGAGAAAAGCUUCACCCACCAAAGCCAUGUUUUUUUGUGGGGUUUUUUUGGUAAAGAAAGGUUUAAAGGAAGAUGAAAAGGGAAGUAAUAACAAAGAAAGGAAAAGAAGAGUGCUUCAACUAAAAAGAAGACACGGUUGCAAAGAUGAAGGAUUUGGAUUUGAAACAGAGAAAGGAAGUGCAAAGCAAAUAGUCAACAAGGAACAGUAGAAGGAUUGGAUGAAAGGGGAAGGCUUUAACUCGCAAAUACUUUAGUUUCAAUAAAGAGGCUAUUUUACCAAAAUAGUCAAAAAAAAUAAAUUAUAUUUACAAAAAUAACCCAAGUUCAAAAACAAUCACCAAAAUAACCUAAAAUGAUCAGUACCAACUCAUUUUUUGCACCAAUAAUUGCCUAAUAAUUGUGUUAGAAUUAAAAAAAAAGGUUUUGGCCUGUUAAUGGCCGGAACCCAUGUAUUUUUUUAAAUUGUAUAAUACUGAUAUAUUAAAAAGGAAAAAGAAGAAAAAGAAAAAAAUUUAUUUUUUUGGGUGCUGGCCUUUCAAUGGCCGGCACUCAACAGUAAAAAAAAUUAAAUUUUUUUCAUGUUAGAAUCAAAUAUCAGUAUACAAAAAAGUAAAAAAAAAAUUUUGCCAGCACCUAGUACAAAUUUAAAUUUUUUUUGUGUUAGAAUCAGAUAUCAGUAUACGAAAAAAGUAAAAAAAAAUUUUGUGCUGGCCUGUCAAUGUCCGGCACCCAGUACAAAUUUAAAAAAAAAUUUCUUUUUUUUUUGUGUCAAAAUCAGAUAUCAGUAUAAGAAAAAAGUAAAAAAAAAAUUUUUUUUGGUGCUGGCCUGUCAAUAGUCGGCACCCAGUACAAAAUUAAAAAAAAAAUCUUUUUUUUUCGUGUUAGAAUCAUAUAUCAAUAUACAAAAAAUUGCUUUAAUUUUCUAUAUUGAUAUUUGAUUCUGAAACAAAAAAAGAAAAAAAAAUCUUUUUUAAUUUUGUCAAUGGCCGGCACCCAAAAAAUUUUUUUUUUACUUUUUUCGUAUACUAAUAUCUGAUUCUAACACAAAAAAAGAAUUUUUUUUUAAAUUUGUACUGGGUGGCAGCCAUUUACAGGCCAGCACCAAAAUUUUUUUUUUUUACUUUUUUCAUAUACUGAUAUCUGAUUCUGACACGAAAAAAAAAGAAUUUUUUUUUUAAAUUUGUACUGGGUGCCGCCAUUGACAGGCCAGCACCCCAAAAUUUUUUUUUUUACUUUUUUCGUAUACUAAUAUUUGAUUCUUACACGAAAAAAUUCAAUUUUUUUUACUAUUGGGUGCCGACUAUUGACAGGCCAGCACCCAAAAAAAUAAUUUUUUUUCCUUUUUUUUCUUUUUUCUUUUUCGUAUAUCAGUAUUAUACAAUUUUAAAAAAAAUAUAUGGGUUUUGGCUUGUAAUUUUAAAAGAAUAUAUGGGUUCCGGCCAUUGAAAGGCCAAAACCCAAAAAAUUAAUUUUUUAAUUCUGGCACAAUUAUUUGGUAAUCAUUGGUGCAAAAAAUGAGUGAGUACUGUUUAUUUUAAGUUAAUUUGGUAAUUGUUUUUGAAAUUAGGUUAUUUUUGUAAAUAUAAUUUAUUUUUGGACUAUUUUGAUAAAACAGCACAAUAAAGAUGAAACAACCUCAUCCUUGCAAACGCGACUUUUGUAAAAUAAGCUCAUCCAAUUUGUGUAUAAAAUUUCUUUAUUGGAAUGUUUGAAAACAUGAUUUUGGGUUGAAAAUUUCGGAUUUUAAAUUUUAAAUUUUUUUAUAACGUAUAAAAAGUAUGGAAAAUUAAUGUAUUACUCAAAUGAUGAAAUAAUAUGGAAAACAACAUAAUAAUAUAAAAAUAUUUUGAAAUUUUAUAUUUACAAAUUAAGUAAAAGUAUUUUGGAGCUCUUUCUAUUAAAAAUUAGAUUUGUAAUUUGUUUUUUAUUUAAAAAAGGAUAAAUUAACCUCAUACAUUAAAUUAAGAGUAAAAUAAUUAUUCUGUUAAAAUUUUUAUCUAUUUAAAUUAUUAAAAAUUGGUCCUAGUAUAUCAAUUUUUAACUGUACAAAUGAAUGAAAUUUUUAACAAAAAGGGAUUAAUUUAUUCUUUAAUCUAACGUAUAAGAACUAAUUUACUCAUCUUAUAGUGAAUGAGACAAAAUAAAAUCUAUCUUAUAGUGAAUGAGACAAAAUAAAAUCUAACUCCUAAUAUAGAGAGCUCCAUAAUAUUUUACCAUGCAAAUUAUAUAUUAACAUAUCAAAAAAUUUAUAUAAAUAUAAAAAUACGAUACAUAUCCAUAAAUUGUUAGAUCUAAUUAUAAUAGCCAAAUAGUUUAAAAUAAAUAAAUAUCAGAAUAGAGAAAUGAGAUUAAUAUUUACGAAACUAGAUAAAAUGAACAGUAAAUACCUGAUGCCGCCUAACUAAUUGACGGCACCCUCUUAUUUAAAUCAAUGAUACCUAUAUUUGAAACCAAAAUACGAAAUUAUUUUAAGAGGAUAUGAAAUAAAACGAAAUAAUAAUAAUUUUUUAUUAGUGCAGCCCAGGCGGCACCCUAUUAUUUUUAAAAGAAAAAUUGUUUUUUGUACGCUCCUUAUGUAUAUCCAUAAGGAACUCCAUAAGCCAUAAGCCAUUAAAUGCUUCCAUCGAGUAACCAUUUCAUGACAAAGGACACCCACCGAGGACAGUGUAGCCAUAAAGCCCCAAAGCUCCAACCCACUAUGAAAUAUCCAACGCCAAUGAAGCACCAAUUACACCCCAAUCCAACACAUUUACGAACACCCAACUCGUCAACAAAUUCACCCCUAAAGCACAAAACACAUAGGCUAACACCUUAGUCUUCAACUGGCUUUGCAAGAACCUUUGUAAUGGGAACUGAAACGCAAAGCUAAAGUGCAAAGGUAUCAACCAAAUCGCCACCACCCCGCGACAUCUCCCCCACGUCGUCCAGCUGUCCGAAUAGCUUUAAAACCGGGGUAGCAAAUACGUAAAUGGGUAACAACAAAGGAGUAAAACGAUCCAUGAUCUUUGCAUGUAAAUGCCUAACAUGUGGUAUUGUUUAGCACCAAAAGCUUGUCCACAAAGGGUUUCUAAAGCACUCGCCAUCCUUAAUUAUAGUAAAGUGAAAAAAAAACUAAUGUUAAGAGACAAAUAUGGUAAAAAGAAAAGUAAUGGAACAAAAAAGAAAGUCUGAUAUAAUGAAAAUUUACUAUGAGGCCAAAGUUGAAGCCAAAGAUGGCCGUAUUGGCUAUUGAAAUAGCUGCAAGUUGAACAUCACCAAGGUGACCAGCAAAAGCUUGGGUUAUAAUGUUCAUGGAGUAAGAAGCAACAGGACUGAUGAUUGAAGGUCCUACGAUGACCCAUAGCUUCUUUGUUUCGAUCCAUAGCCUUGUACUUAAGUCCUUCCCCAUCUUCAGCUCUCCAUAUAUUUUCUUCUGGUUUUGAUUCUUCGUGAUUUGAACUUGGUUCUGUUAGUAAAGGUUGAUGGAAUUCGCCAUUGUUCCUAUGGAUUCUAUCCAUUACAGACAAAAUUAAAAUAAUAGACUAUGGGAUAUCUUAGAUUUGCUUGGGACAAAAAAUAAUUUAAAAAAUUAAUAAUAAUAGGGUGCGCCAGACAAGUUGCAACCACUAAUAAAAAAAUAAUUUUUUCCCGAUUUAUUCCACAUUGUAAAAAAUUUUGUAUUUUGGUUUGAAAUACAUAUGCCGUUAAUUGAUCAGGUGUGCCACCGAUUGGUCAACGACACCAAUUGUUUACUAUUCUCUUUGCCUAAUUUUGUGAAUAUUAAUCCUCUUAUCCUAUUCUGGUAUUUAUUUAUAUAUUUUAUAUUAUUUAUGUAAAAAUACCUUAUAGUAUCUGAAUUUGAUUAGAGGUGCAGGAACAAGAGCAGCACUAGUAACCAAGAAAUACACCAAUACCCAGAUUAGAGGUGAUCUUGGCCUGGCUGGGCCGAGCCUCAAUAGAAUUUUAGGUCCAUUUUUUAGACCUAGAUGCGACUCGAAAAUGGACCUAAAAUUUUACCCAAUUUUGCCCGAAUAAAAAUGCUAAUAUCUAAGCCUAGCCCAACCGCCUGUAUUAAAAUUUUUUAUAUUAUUUUUUUAUAUAAAAUAAAUUUAAAAAUAUAAUACACUAAAAACAUUAAAAUAAAUAAUUUUCAACAAAUUGAAAGUAAAUUUAAAAAGUAUAUGCAUACUUAAAUAACACUAAAAUAGGUGUAAUUUAGCAAGCAAAUUCCCAUAAAAUAAUAACAAAAUUAACAAUAAAACGAGAGUUAUACAAUAUCUAAAUAAUAACAAUAAAAUAGUAACAAUUUAAUAGCGAAAUGACAAUAAAAUAAUGACAAAACAAGAGCAAAAUAGUGGCAAGAUAUAACCAGUUAUUUUUUUGCAAAUUUAGGCCAGGCAAAAAAAAAAACUUACCCAAAACCUAACUCAUUUAGAAAACAAGCCUCAUUUUUUGCUCAAGCUCAUUUGGUGGAUCUGUAUUUUUACUCAAAAUUUCCCACCUUUUAUACGAGCUUUUCUGCCGGGCCAAAUGACCCAACCCAUAAUCAGAUCUAGACCAAGUGAUACUAUAUAUAUAACAAACCAACUUUAGCAAAUGUAGGUAAGAUAUUUUAGCACAUUAUAAAAAAUUUGCCUUUUAAGGCAAUGUUUAAAACAGAAAGUUUACUAUUGAAAUUGAAACAUAUUUAAAAUAAAAAUUAUCGUUUUAUAAAUAAAAGUAUCAUGAAAACCGAUUAAAAUAUUCAUGAAAGUCAAUUUUUUUUAAAAAAUUACCUAAUUAGGCUUGGCACAUGGCCGUGUGGCGUCAACAAUCAUUUUUUUGGCAUUCGAAAUUCACAAAAACUCGAGUUUUCGGUAUGCAGAUGAAGUAGUUUUGAAGUAAGAGCAACGUAAAAGACUCCCGAAGCCUAAAGCGACCGUUCAAUAACACAAGACCUUAUAACGGAAAAAGAAUACCCAAUUAUGCGUAGAAAACUAUGUCGAAAGUUUUGACACAAGACCUUCAACAAUUCUAGACUUACCAACAAAAUCAAUAGUGAUUACUCGAGUUAUUACGCUAAGGAUCGUUGCUUUUGAUAUCCUCGCCUAAAAAGAAACCAAACGGUCCCUUAAAAGAAGGUUUAAACAAUUUGAGUUGGAAACAACUCCGACAGAAACAAAUGACUACUGUAUAACUGAAGUUCUAUGAUCAAUGAAAUUCACGCAAUUGAUGCUGUACAGCUCAAUUAUUGCCCGGGCCCAAUUGGCAGAGCCCAAACGGCCCAAUAAGCCCAACCGGCCCCAAACCCAGUCAGACUAGGGCGGAAACCCUAGCCAAGCCUAGCGCCGUGCCCAUCCCUCUGCCAUCGCUUUGUCCCAUCGCCACCCACCGCUACUAGCGCCAUCAACACCUGCGAAAAUGGCAGGAAAGAAAGUAGGAGCACGCAACAGUUAGUGGAAGACAUCAAAUACAAUCAAAUACAAUGUAAAUUGGAUAUAAAAAGCAAAACAAUAUCUCUGUACAUUUUUGACAACGUUUGGAAGGCAAAAAAGAGCAGAUCAAAAAAUUUAAAGGUUGAACUUAGUCUAUUUUCUUCUCUGUUCUUACGUUUUUCUUAUUUAUUUUCUUCUUUUUUCUGCUUCCUUUUCUACAUUUUUUAAAACAAAACAAAAAAGGGAAAGGAGGAAUACCUGUUUGCUUCAGAGGCUGGCGUCGGAGCCCGUCUUCAUCGUCGUCGAAGUUGAGCAAACGGGGCGUUCCAUCCCUUUUUUUUGGUCUCGCGGUUAAGAAGGCUUAACCUUCGGGGACGCUUCAAAAGGGGAAGGCAAAGGGGCCGUUCUCGCGUAACUCCGGCCACUGGCCAUGGAGGCGGAGACGGUGGCCUGGGUUUAAGGGCUGAGGCAGGGAGAGAGAACCAGAGGGUGUCUCUGUUUUUUUUAAAUAAUGAAUGAUUUAGUUUUUUUUUUCUUUCUUUUUAUUUUUAUAGGACCCGAAAACCCGUCCCGAACGGGUCUAAGAUCCGCGCGUUCUGGCUCGGAGGGACUAUUUGCACAUCCGGUCCCUCCGUUCAUGCAACAUGGCGCGAUCUGGUCCCAUUCAAAAUUUUAAAUUUGGCUAUUUGCUUUUUAUGCGUUUCGAUUUAAUCCAGCGUGGAGCACUGCGCAUAAGGUUGGGGAAAAUUGCUCAAUCGAUCCCCCUUCUUCUGCGCGCAUCGCAAAUCGAUCUUUGGCCUUAUUUUAUUUUGAUUUCUCCCCUGGCAUUUUGUUUUGUUUUCAGUUCAAUCCUGUCAUUUUAUUUAUUAUUGAAUUUAUUAUUAUUAUUAUUAUCAUUAUUAUUAUUGCAUUUUAUUUAUUUAUUUAUACCAUUUUUCAUAUUUUGUUAUAUAUAUAUAUACAUUAACAUACGUUUUUACAUAUAUGUAUAUAUUUAUGUUUUUUAUGCUUUAUAAUUUUUAUAUAUAUAUACAUAGAUAUGCAUAUUUGUUUUUUUUAUGUAUAUAUAUACGUAUAUACCUUCAUAUAAUUUAUAAUUUAAAUAUAUAGAUGCACAUACAUAAAUAUUUCAUUUUUAUAAUUCGUAUUGUUAUCAUUGUUAUAUUUGAUAUUUAUUUAUUCAUUUAUUGAAGCGUUUAUUAUUUUUAUGGAACGCUUUAGAUUUUUUAUUCAUUUAUUAUUUCAUGUAUCUUUGAUUUGUUUAUUACGUAUUUUACUUGGUGCUCAUUUUAGUUGUGCUUGUAUUAUCUCAUUUACAUUGUCAUCAUUAUCAUUAUUUUGCUUCUAUUUUUUUUUACUCGAAUUUAUCAAAAAAAUGAAAAAUUUUAAAAAUAAGUAAUAUUCGGUAUUUUGGAUCUUCGAGAGAAUCGAGCGCUAACGUAUUGGGUUCUGACUUUCUUCGUUGAAUUUAAAUAAUCGAGAUUACUCUUUUUAAAAAGGAUAAAAAGCUCGUUAUCGAGAAUUCAAUAUGUUGUGUCCUAACGCAUUGGAUGUGACAUGUUGUUUUCUCGAGACGAGGAUUUUUCGAAAUAAAUACAAUAUUCAAUGUUUAAUAUUUUGAAAAAUUGUGCCCUAACGUAUUGGGUUGCGAUUUCUUCAUUUGAUUUAAACAAUUGAAUAUUCUUUUAAACUUUAUUAUACGAAUCUUUUCAAACUCAAGUUUUAAACAACAUUGGGAAUUAAGAAAAGAUCGUGCCCUAACUUACUGGGCCUGAUUUAUUUCUAAAACCAAGAUAAUAAAAUAUCUUUUAAAUAAGCAUUUUUCAUCCGCGUAUCGGGAAUUUGAGACAUUGUGUCCUAACUUACUAGAUAUGAUUCUCUUUCUCGAAUAACGCGAAAUAUCCCCUUUUUCCUGAAAAUUUUCAACGUUUUAAUACAAGGAUCGUAUUUUUAAAAUUCUUCAAGGUUCUCAAUUUUUGACAUUAAGACAUUAAGUAAUCAACUAGGUACCAAUUUUGGGCGUAUCGAGGGUGCUAAUCCUUCCUCGUGCGUAACCGACUCCCGAACCCGUUUUCUAGAUUUCGUGGACCGAAACCGUUGUUUUAAUAAAAUCAAAUCAUUUAUUAAAAACAACCUUAUUUUUGAGGUGAUCCAAUCACACCUCAUAAAAAAAGAGAUUGGUGGCGACUCCCUAUUUUUGUUUUCAUUUUCAAAAUCCAAAUUGACCCCGUUUUUCAUCCAAAAAAAAUGGUGUCAACAGCUUGGCGACUCCACUGGGGACAUGUUAAGAGAGUCAAGCCACGUGUUGAUUAUUUCUUGUCUUUUUGUCGAAAGUUGAAAAUUCGAUUGAAAUUUACGAUCCUCUCAUUGCAUCUCUAUUGUUUUGAGUUAUAUUUUUAUCGUGUUCUGUAUUUUAUUUUAUACCUCUGCGCAUUGCAUUGCAUGACCGUUGGUCACACCUUUUUAAGUGGGAGUGAGAAGCUACGCCUUCGUGAGGUUUUCACCUCCGCAUGGGAUAGUGAAUCGCUUUCGGGAUAUAUCCGUACCUAUGUCUUCGUGAGAUUUUCAUCUCCGCAUGGCCAUAGGGAAAUGUAUCCCCCUGAAUCGAACUUGGUCCGUAUGAGCCUAUAAUGGGUGAGGAUCGAGGAAUUUGCUGGUUCAGGUACCUAAUUUAGAACCAAACCACAUGUAAUGAGCCAUAGGAACCGACCUAGGUAGAGCUACUCUAAAUUUUUAGUGCUUACCUAAAUGAAUGUUGUAUUUAUUUGUCGUUUAUUUUAAAUCUUAUUCUGUGUUUAAUGCUAAUUUACUUUGUUUGUGAUUGCAUGGCAUCUUCAUUCUAAAAGAGGUGUCGAUUUACGUUCAGUUUCUUGGUAGAAAGCUUAUCAUGGAAAAGGGGUUUGUUGAUAAAGUAGAGGAUAAUGCGGCUGUGCGAAUAUGGGCUGAAACGACGCAACGGGAGAAAGGCGAUAGUCUUACCGAAGGGUACGUGUCAGAAUUGUGGGAUUUUACCCGUAUCAGUGUAAUCCAGAAUGACCUUCGAGAAAUGAAAGAAGUCUGGGAUCAAUGGGAUGUCGAGGCCAAGGAGCUGUUCUAUUGUAACUAUGGUGACCUACCUUAUCUGCUUAGUGUCAAAGUGGACAAGUAUUUAUUCCGAGCCCUUGCUCAGUUUUGGAAUCCUGCCUACAGUUGUUUCACUUUUGAGAAGGUAGAUUUGACGCCUACUGUAGAGGAGUAUACGACCUUGCUUCGGUGCCCAAAGAUUCAAGUCGACAAGGCUUAUUCCAGAGCUGCUUGUGUCCCUCCGUUGUUAAAGAAAUUAAUGAACAUCACUGGGAUGAGCGAGCAGUGGGUCGCUGCCCGGAUCCAACAGAAGGGCGACAGUAAAUGUGUUCCUUGGAAAAGUUUACGAGAUUUGGUGCUUGUACAUCCUGACUUAAAGAAAAGGGUCGAUGUCUUCGCUUUAGGUAUCUAUGGACUAGUGGUUUUCCCCAAAGCUUUAGGACACAUAGACGAGGCUGUAUCUGAUUUGUUCGAUCGGCUUGGUAAAGGGGUUACACCGGUUCCGGCAAUACUCGCUGAAACUUUUAGAUCUUUGAAUGCGUGUCGAAAAGCAGGGGAGGGAAGGUUUAUUGGAUGCGCACAGCUCUUAUUGGCAUGGUUCCAUAGCCACUUCUGGAAAGUCGAAAAGGUCUCUUAUCGGGUAUUCUCCGAUAGCUACUCCCCUCUAGGAGAAUUGGUGGCCACGCCAAGACGGGAUGAUAUUUCAGAAGAAAAAUGGAUAGAGAUACUCCAGAAUCUCCAAGAUGAAGAUAUUGAAUGGAGGGCUCCUUGGUUAAUUCCUGAUGAGAUAUUGUACCGAUGUGGAGAUUUUGACUGGGUUCCGCUACUCGGGAUAUGGGGGGCUAUCGGAUAUGCUCCUCUACUCGUAUCAAGACAGUAUAGAUCACGACAAUUCAUACCAGCAACCCAGGGGUUGGCUUAUAGUGAUUUUUCCUAUAGGGAGGACAAUUACAAGAAGAAGGUUCGAGAAAUAUCUAGUGCCUGGAACCAGACUCGUCGAAUGAAGAUCUUAGCUGUGGGUCCGACAAUUACCCCCGAGUAUGGUCAGUGGCGUAAUCAAAGGAUCAACGACAACAUCCCGGCGUCAAAUUCAGAAACUGCUCGAUCUUUAGAGGAACACUUACAAGUCUUGCCUUCUGAGAUAGAAAUCAUUAAACAAGAAUUCGAAAAAAGAAGUUUAGAAUUGGGGAAGAAGAUAGAACAACUAGAGGAAGAAAAAAUGCAGUUAGGACUGGAUGUGGACAUUCAAAGAUUAGAGGCCAACAAAUUGAGAAAAGGAAAGAACAAGGCAGAAGAAGAUUUGGAUAGCUUGAAGACAGAUUACAAGAAGUUGCGUAAGUCGGUAAGAGCCGCUGGCUUGGGUAAAACACCAGAACAAUGGCGACAAGAAAUUCAGGAGGAAAAGACGAAAGCUAAUCAAUGGGAAAAGAAAUUUCAGGAUACUCGGGCUCGAGAAGUCGCCUUGGGAAAGAGUCUACUAGUUUGCCAAGACGAGAAGACGGAGUUGAAGGUCCGGAUAACAGAACUAGAAAGAUCGCUUCACCAGUACUGUAAUCGUAAUGCUACGGUUGAAUUAAGGGCGAGCUUAGACAAAAUUGAAGAAUUAAAAAGACAGAUAGGAGGGCUAGAGAAUGCAUUGCAAAAUAGUGAAAUCCGGAUAGAGCUUCUAGAAGAAAGUAAUGAGCAGUGGCAAGGACAAUUCCGUCGGUCUCAAGAGCAGAUUGGAGAAAGAGAUUAUAUUAUGGGAGAGGCGGUGACUCAGGUGCGCGAAGUGGCUGAUCAUCUGCAAACUCUAGCGGUUCAGGCUGAUCUAUUAAGUUUGAAGUAUGAGUCAGAGUCGGACAGGGGACGGGAAUUAGCUUGGCUUCUUAGAAAGGUUAAGGCUUUGAGUGUGAGGGCAAGGCCAUAUAUGUAGUCUAUUUUAUGUAAAGAAACUCUUUAUCUAGUAAAGUUUUCUAAUGAAGUUGAAUUAGAAUCAGUGCCUCUUUUUUUUAUCCUUUGCAUUCUUUUCAUGCAUUGCAUCACAUCAUAUGCAUUAAUGACCAUUAAAAACCUAAUCGAAUAAAAUCAUUUCAGUUAACCUGGAAAACCAACAAAGUUACGGCACCCGAGCAAAGACAAAAAUUAUGGACCAAAGGUUGGAGAAGCUAGAGCGACUUCAAAGAGAAAUGCAAGACCAGUUGCAGGCGCAAAUGAAAGAGCAAAUAGAAAAGAUUCAGCGUGACAUGGUACAAAAGAUGGAGGAGUCCCAAAAUGAUCUGGUGGCUAAGAUGACGCAAUUAUUGAAGGGAGUAGAUAAGGGUAAAGGGCCUGUGAUUGUUAGUGAAGAAGAAAACAAUGGUGAACCACUUUAUCCUGCAGGUUUCACGCCUCCACAUGUACAGACUGAGUUGCAUCCGCGGAGACCCUCUGUGUCGGUUAGGCCCCAACAGUCCCAAGGUGAUGCUUCAAUCCCAAUGAAUUUUCAAUCCGGAGCGGGCUUUAAUCUCGGCGAUAGCCCGAAUAAUAUUGCUGUCCCAGAUCUUGACGAGAUGGUUGAAAAGGACAAGGCGAAGGAGGAAUUUCCAAAACAAUUUGAGGAGAAAUGGAAAUGGAUAGAAGAGAAGUUUAGGGCAAUAGAAAGCAUUGAAAACUAUGGAAUAGAUGCAAAGGAUCUGAGCUUGGUUCCUGACUUGGUGCUCCCUUACAAAUUUAAGAUGCCGGAAUUUGAAAAAUACAACGGGACUAGUUGCCCAGGAUCCCAUAUUACUAUGUUUUGUAGAAGAAUGACGGGGCAUAUUAAUAAUGAUCAAUUAUUAAUACAUUGCUUUCAGGAAAGUCUUACGGGAGCAGCGUCAAAGUGGUACAAUCAGCUGAGCCGAGCCAAAAUUGCUACUUGGAGGGAUUUAGCACAGGCUUUCCUGAGACAGUACAAUCAUGUCUCAGAAAUGAUGCCUGACAGGAUAACUCUGCAAAAUCUAGAGAAGAAAUCGAACGAAAGCUUCAGACAAUAUGCGCAGAGGUGGCGAGAGGUGGCAGUUCAAGUACAACCACCGCUUUUGGAAAAGGAGAUGACGACGCUUUUUAUUAAUACUUUGAAAGCCCCGUUCAUCACUCACAUGUUGGGAAGCGCUUCAAAAAAUUUCUCGGAUAUAAUCAUGAAUGGUGAAAUGAUUGAGCAUGCCAUUAAAAGUGGAAAAUAGAUGGAGGAGAAAAUAAUAGGAGGGCACCCUUGAGGAAAAGAGAAAAUGAAGUGAAUAAUGUGAAUGCUUAUGGUAGGUCAAUUACCGUGAAUCAACCGAAGAAAGUGGUUGCUAAUCAACAGGGAUCAUCAAGACAAGAGUCGGGAGCUAGGCAAACUACUGAAAAGCCCCAAUUCACGCCAAUCCCGAUGUCAUACAAGGAGUUGUAUCAGACUUUAUUCGAUGCACAUGUUGUUGCUCCUCGUUACUUGAGUCCUCUACAACCCCCGUAUCCAAAAUGGUAUGAUAUGAAUGCGCAAUGUGAUUAUCAUGCGGGAAUUUCUGGGCACUCGAUAGAAAAUUGUACUGCCUUCAAGAAGGUAGUAGAAGGACUUAUCAAUUUAGGUGUUGUCAAACUUGACGACUCACCUAACGCAAAGAAUCCGUUACCUAAUCACGCAGAUAAGGGGGUGAAUAUGGUUAGCGAAGGUACGGGAGGAGAAGUCAAGACUGACAUUGCUGAAGUAAAAACUCCAUUAAAACGGGUCUGGAAAGAAAUGGCGAAAAGAGGUUUGGUUAUUUCAGAUUCUGAGGAAGGGCAUGAGAUGGGAAAUUAUUGUGAAUUUCACCAUAAAACAGGGCACGAAAUCCAAGAAUGUGAAGGAUUUAAGGCUUUGGUUCAAAGCAUGAUGGAUAACAAGGAGAUGAGGUUUUACGAAGAUGCGAAAGAAAUAAGGAGCAUAUGCGCGACAGAGUUGGGAACAAAGGCUCCAAAUCAUCCUGUGGUCAUUAUCUCAUGCCCUAAGGGUAAUGAGGUCAGGGCUCAGGUAACACCAAAAAUUGUAAUCCAGAAACCAUCAAAUUUCUCUUAUAGGGAUAACAAAAUGGUGCCGUGGAAUUACGGGUGUAAUGUGACCAUUUCGGGAAAAGAAACAGAAAGAAAUCAGGAAAUAGGUUCUUACACGCGCAAUGGAAAAAGAUAUGACGCUCAAGCAGAGUCGUCUAGGGAAGAGAAUGGGAAGAAAGAACAGAGGAAAGGGAAAGCAGUAGAAGUUGAACCAUUGGUAAAUGAACCAAUAAGAGAAGAGGAGGCAAAGGAGUUUUUGAAGUUUUUGAAACACAGUGAAUACAGUGUUGUGGAGCAACUGCACAAACAGCCAGCCCGCAUUUCUGUAUUAGCUUUACUCUUAAACUCAGAAGUACAUCGGAAUGCACUAUUAAAGGUGCUAAACGAAACAUAUGUGGCUGACGAUAUUUCGGUAAACAAGCUGGAUCGGCUGAUCAACAAUAUUGGCGCUGACAAUUUUAUCUUCUUCAGUGAUGAUGAAAUACCGUCCGGGGGAAGAGGUUCUACUAAAGCCCUGCAUGUUACUGUCCGAUGCAAAGGGUACACACUCCCGGGGGCCUUGGUCGAUAAUGGAUCUGCACUAAAUGUAUUGCCUUUGUCCACUCUUAGUCGAUUACCAAUAGACAGUUCGCACAUGAAAGCAUGCCAGAGCAUAGUAAGGGCAUUUGAUGGAACAAAAAAGGAGGUUAUGGGGAGAAUUGAGGUACCAUUAAGGAUUGGCCCAGUCACUUAUGAGGUGGAUUUCUUGGUAAUGGAUAUUAAACCCUCCUACAACUGUCUAUUGGGGAGACCGUGGAUACACUCAGCAGGGGCAGUACCUUCAUCAUUACAUCAGAAGGUGAAGUUGGUAUCGGAGGAUCGGUUGGUAACAAUAGAUGCAGAGGAGGAUAUUAUCGCAAUGAUGACUAGCGAUGCACCUUAUGUGGACAUCAACGAUGAGGCACUAGAAUGUUCUUUUCGGUCGUUAGAAUUUGUGAAUGCGAUGUUUAUUGCGGAGGGAAAUAGGAUUCCAGUACCGAAAAUAUCCAGGACCACUGAGAUGGGAUUGCGAUUGAUGGUAGGAAGAGGAGCCUUACCAGGGAAAGGAUUGGGAAAAUAUCUUCAGGGAAGGAUUGAGGCACCAAUGCCGAAGGAAAAGUUUGAUAGAUUUGGUUUAGGGUACAAGCCAGACAUGAAGCAGAAGAAGAAAGAAGUAGAGAAGAGACAAGCGAGAAGAAGGGCGCGUUUGAAUGGACAUGAAGCUAAGUGUGAGCCUUUAACCUUUCCCCACAUAUCUUCAUCUUUUGUGUCGGGAGGAUUUAUUCAUUCUGAAUGUGGGGUGUCCGGUAGCGGCAUGGGAGGAAUGUUGGAAAACGUUUAUAUUAACGCCAUAGAAGCAACAGAAAGGAGGGCUUUGUUGGAGAUCUGCCCUUAUGAGCCUGGAAGCGAGCUAAACAAUUGGACUGCUGAAGAAAUCCCUGUAGUCUUUAGGGCUUAUUCAGAGUAAUGCUCAAAACAUUCCUGUUGUUUGUUGGCCUAGAAACGAUAUGAAAUUUUUUGUGAAAUAGGCAUUGGGCCUAAAUAUCAUUAUUUUAAUAAAAUACGUGUCUACGUUCAUCUCGAUCAGUCACUUUUUUUUUUCCUUUCAUAUUUUUCAUUUGGUUGAUUGUCUUACAAAUAAUUCUUUCAUUUGUGAUUCUUUUGCACAAACAUAUUCAUAAAUUUAUAUUCUUGGUAUAUUAUUUGAUCUGCCCACAUAGGUCUUCAGAUAUCAAUGACAUGAGUGACGCUGCCUCAAACGCGGAGCCUAUUUUUGAGCAAGAAGUGUGUUCAGAGGGAUCCCACGACUUUGAAAAUGACGAAGAUUAUGAUGCAUCUCCGGACUUGUUAAGAAUGAUGGAACAAGAGGAUAAGCAUAUCCUACCUCAUAGGGAAUCGUUAGAAAUAGUGAGCCUAGAGGAUGGAAAGGAGGUAAAAAUUGGAGCUGAAAUUACCGCAAAGACAAGGCAAGACCUCAUCAAUUUGCUCCGAGAGUUCAAGGAUGUUUUCGCGUGGUCGUACCAAGAUAUGCCUGGGCUAAGUACUAACAUUGUGGUACAUCGUCUGCCCAUAAAGGAGGAUUGUAAACCCGUUCAACAGAAGCUUAGGAGAAUGAGACCUGACAUUGUGUUGAAAAUAAGAGAAGAAGUCAAGAGACAAUUCAACGCUGGUUUCUUACAAGAGGUCAAGUAUUCGGAUUGGGUAGCCAACAUCGUCCCUGUUCCCAAAAAAGAUGGAAAGGUACGAAUGUGUGUGGAUUAUAGGGAUUUAAACAAGGCUAGUCCAAAGGACAACUUUCCACUACCUCACAUUGAUACUUUGGUAGAUAACACGGCGGGCUAUUCAUUGUUUUCUUUCAUGGACGGUUUCUCUGGAUACAAUCAAAUAAAGAUGCAUCCCGGAGACAUGAGGAAAACCACAUUCAUUACCUUAUGGGGAACAUUCUGUUACAAGGUAAUGCCCUUCGGAUUGAAGAAUGCGGGAGCAACGUAUCAAAGAGCUAUGGUGACUUUGUUUCACGACAUGAUGCACAAGGAGAUCGAAGUCUAUGUUGACGAUAUGAUCGCGAAGUCUAGAACGGAAGAAGAGCAUGUUCAGGUCUUGAAAAGGUUAUUUUUGAGAUUAAAGAAAUUUCAGCUCAAGCUUAACCCGGCCAAAUGCACGUUCGGAGCCAGAUCAGGGAAGUUAUUAGGCUUCAUAGUUAGCAAAAAGGGGAUCGAGGUUGACCCAGACAAAGUAAAGGCAAUACGAGAUUUACCUCCCCCGCGCACUCAGAAGGAGGUUCGAGGUUUCCUAGGGAGGCUGAAUUACAUUGCUCGGUUCAUCUCACAACUGACAGAGAAAUGUGAUCCAGUAUUCCGGCUCUUAAAGAAACAUAAUCCGGGCGAAUGGGAUGAAGAGUGUCAGAGGGCUUUCGAUAAGAUAAAGUAGUACUUGGCUAAUACUCCAGUCUUAUCACCUCCAAGUCCAGAUAGGCCAUUGAUAUUGUAUCUAACAGUGUUGGAGAAUUCCAUGGGAUGCGUAUUGGGCCAACAUGAUGAGACGGGAAAGAAAGAAAGGGCAAUAUACUAUCUCAGUAAGAAAUUUACCGAUUGCGAGAUGAGGUACUCAUCAAUUGAGAAGUUGUGUUGUGCUCUAAUCUGGGCAACCCGAAGACUGAGGCAGUAUAUGUUGUAUCACACGACUUGGCUGAUUUCAAAGUUAGAUCCUUUAAAAUAUAUGAUGGAAUCGACUGCUUUGAACAGGAGAAUGGCUAGAUGGCAGAUCUUGCUCUCAGAAUUUGAUAUAGUAUAUGUCAGUCAGAAGGCCAUAAAGGGAAGUGCAAUAGCCGAUUUCCUAGCUAGUAGAGCCUUGGAGGACUAUGAAUCUUUGAAUUUCGAUUUUCCAAACGAGGACUUGAUGUAUGUGGCGAAUACUGAAGAAAAUCCUCAAAUGGAUCACGUAUGGAAGUUAAAUUUUGAUGGAGCUUCGAAUGCUACGGGUAAUGGAGUUGGGGCAGUUUUGGUAUCCCCGAGUGGAGAUCAUUAUCCUGUUGCCAGUAAGUUGGACUUUGAUUGUACAAAUAACAUGGCAGAAUAUGAAGCAUGUAUUAUGGGCAUUCGUGCAGCCAUUGAACGGAACAUCAAGGUACUGAGAGUAUACGGGGAUUCAGCGUUGGUGAUAUACCAACUCAAAGGGGAGUGGGAGACUAGAGAUCCUAAGCUAAUCGGUUAUAGAAAACUAGUUCUUGAAUUGGCUGAGGAGUUUGAUGAUAUCACCUUCUAUUACCUCCCACGGGAGGAAAACCAAAUGGCUGAUGCAUUAGCUACUCUAGCUUCGAUGAUUCAGGUGAAUAGACUUGAGGCAAUGAGGCCUGUUCAGAUGAGUAUCUCUGAGACCCCGGCUAAUUACUGCAAUAUUGAGGAGGAGGGAAAAGAUGAUUGUCCUUGGUAUCAGAGUAUCCUACAAUAUGUGAAGAAUCGGGAAUACCCUGAUCAAGCGACAGAGAAUGACAAAAGAACUCUGAGAAAGAUAGCCAUUGAAUAUGUCUUAGACGGAGAAGUGUUAUAUAAAAGAAGGAAGGAUCAAGUACUGUUAAGAUGUGUGGAUGCUGUAGAAGCCAAGAAAAUUUUGGAAGAAGUCCAUGAGGGUAUUUGUGGGACGCACGCCAGUGGUUUCACGAUGGCCAGACAGAUCAUGAGAUUUGGGUACUAUUGGCCCACCAUGGAAGGAGGUUGUAUUGAUCACGCCAAGAAGUGCCACAAAUGCCAAAUUUACGGAGACAAGAUACACGCGCCUCCUUCACCUCUUCACGUCAUGACCUCUCCUUGGCCGUUUUCCAUGUGGGGUAUGGAUGUUAUUGGGCCAAUAUCACCAAAGGCUUCUAAUGGGCAUUGCUUCAUCUUCGUAGUAAUUGAUUACUUUACCAAGUGGGUGGAGGCUGCUUCCUAUGCAAAUGUCACGAAAGCAGUAGUCAGCAAAUUCUUGAAGAAGGAGAUCAUUUGUCGAUAUGGAAUGCCUGAGAGGAUCAUAUCCGAUAAUGCGAUGAACUUGAAUAAUAGCACAAUAGCUGAAGUUUGUAGCAAAUUUAAAAUUAAGCAUCAUAACUCAUCGCCGUAUCGUCCCAAAAUGAAUGGUGCAGUGGAGGCGGCCAAUAAAAACAUUAAAAGGAUUGUGGGGAAAAUGACUGAAACCUACAAUGAUUGGCAUGAGAAAUUAUCAUUUGCUCUCCUCGCCUAUCGAACAUCUGUUAGAACUUCUACUGGGGCAACGCCUUUUGCUCUGGUUUAUGGAAUGGAGGCAGUAUUACCCAUUGAAGUUGAAAUCCCUUCUCUACGGGUGUUAUCUGAGCUACAGUUGGAUGAAGCCGAUUGGAUCCAAUCUCGGUACGAUCAGUUGAACCUAAUAGAAGAAAAGAGGCUAAGAGCUAUUCACCAUGGGCAAAUGUACCAGAAACGAAUGAUGCGAGCCUAUAAUAAAAAGGUUCGCCCCCGAGAAUUUCGUGAAGGGGACUUGGUACUAAAAAAGAUUCUUCCUAUGCAAAAAGAUUUUAGAGGAAAAUGGAUGCCAAAUUGGGAAGGCCCUUAUGUUGUAAAGAAGGCCUUUUCCGGUGGAGCUUUGAUCCUAUGCGAGAUGGAUGGAAAAAGUUUACCAAAUCCUGUAAACGCAGACUCUGUCAAGAAAUACUUCACUUGAAAGAAAGCGGAACCAAAGUGAAAACCCGUGAAGGGCGCUUUGCUUCCUAAAAAAAAAAAAAAAGGGGAAACUUUGGAGAGGCUAAGGUGAAAACCCGUAAAGGGCACUUUGAGACCAAAGAGGGCUUGAGUCGAAAACCCGAAAAGGGCGACUCAAGUAUUGGGCAGGAUUGGAACAUCAGGACUUGAGCGGAUCAAAUUUUGAUCGGGGGGAUAUGAUGACCUUCCUUUACUUGAACCAAUAAGAAAGGAUAUGCAACGUCUUUGAACAUUGACAGAGUAUUGCAGAUCUCCUGAACACAUGUCAAACUUAGAAGGGUCUUCGGAAAGUUUGUACAGAGAAACUCAAGCGGCGAUAACUGGGGCACCUAGUUCUUAUGUGUAUUCUUGAAAUACAUUUUUUUAUUUUAUUUUCUUUCUUUCUUCCUUUCCUUUUGUGAAAACGCACAUUCUCAAUCCACUUCUUUGUUACCUUUCUUUCGCCAUCUUUGAUGUUUUAUUUGAAUUAUGAUCAGAACUAGCUUUAUUCUUAUCCAUUGUUAUGAUCUUUUUGCAAACAUGUUGCAUAGGAAUAUUGAUUAACGAACUAAUAAAACUUUCAGGAAAGAAGUUUUGCAUAUUACUCUGAAAAGUUCUAAAUAAUAUAGAAACCUGAAACAGGACUAAUGUUUAGAACACACCAAUUUUAAAGGUUGGAAAUCUAAGAAGGAAGAGUCUAAGUUAAAGACUAUCCUUUCAGAUUUUGUUUGUCUAAACAUUGAUUAAACAAAAUGACAAGCUGUCGUCUUAAUUACAAAGCUUAAAUGAACAAGCAAGCAAUGAUCAUCAGGCAAUAGGAAGAGGUUACCUCAGAGAAAAGAGCCUUCACUUGCGCAUAAGACUUUGGUACGACACCUUGAGAAUGGUGUAGGAAACCAGAACGGUUCAGAUCCUAUAUCUCUGAAUUGUGAUAAAAGAGGACAGAGGAAAAGCCACAUAUUUCUACCCUUAGAUUACUGUGAGAGAAUGAUGGUACAAAUUUUGGCGUCCCAGUGGAUAUAACUUUGAGGUUUACAAUGGGGACAGUCUGGCUAAAUGUUCCUUCAGAAAAAUCAGUCAAGCGAGAAGGCGUUGUAGCACGUCAGUCACAAAACCUUGAUAAACUUCGAGUAGUGAUAACCUAAGCGAGAUCAUUCUCGGAAAAAUAAAAUUCUGCAUUCAUGCAAACACCAUUCACAUAUGUCUAGUUAGGAGCAUUUGUUUCAUUUCGAUCAUGUCAUCCUAAUCAUUAGGCAUAAUUAGGUUCAUUAUACAGGUCUUAUCUCCCUGAGAUUACAGGGGAACAGACCAAAGAAUUUUAGAUCUUAUCUCCCUGAGGUUACAGCGGAGCAGAUUGAAGCCAGAGAUCUUAUCUCCCUGAGAUUACAGCGGAGCAGAUCAAAGAUAGUAAUCCUAUCUCCUUGAGAUUACAAUGGAGCGGAUUAAAAGGAUCUUAUCUCUCUGAAGUUACAGUAGAGAAGAUCAAAUCAGGUCUUAUUUCCCAUGAGAUUACAGUGGAACAGACCAAAGAAUUUUCAGAUCUUAUCUCCCUGAGGUUACAGUGGAGCAGAUUGAAGCCAGUAAUCCUAUCUCCUGAGAUUACAGUGGAGCGGAUUAAAAUGAAGGAUCUUAUCUCUCUGAAGUUACAGCAGAAGUAGAUCGUGUUAGUCUUAUUUCCCUGAGAUUACAGUGGAAUAGACUGAAGAAUUUAGAUNNNNNNNNNNNNNNNNNNNNNNNNNNNNNNNNNNNNNNNNNNNNNNNNNNNNNNNNNNNNNNNNNNNNNNNNNNNNNNNNNNNNNNNNNNNNNNNNNNNNNNNNNNNNNNNNNNNNNNNNNNNNNNNNNNNNNNNNNNNNNNNNNNNNNNNNNNNNNNNNNNNNNNNNNNNNNNNNNNNNNNNNNNNNNNNNNNNNNNNNNNNNNNNNNNNNNNNNNNNNNNNNNNNNNNNNNNNNNNNNNNNNNNNNNNNNNNNNNNNNNNNNNNNNNNNNNNNNNNNNNNNNNNNNNNNNNNNNNNNNNNNNNNNNNNNNNNNNNNNNNNNNNNNNNNNNNNNNNNNNNNNNNNNNNNNNNNNNNNNNNNNNNNNNNNNNNNNNNNNNNNNNNNNNNNNNNNNNNNNNNNNNNNNNNNNNNNNNNNNNNNNNNNNNNNNNNNNNNNNNNNNNNNNNNNNNNNNNNNNNNNNNNNNNNNNNNNNNNNNNNNNNNNNNNNNNNNNNNNNNAAGACAUCAAAUACAAUCAAAUACAAUGUAAAUUGGAUAUAAAAGCAAAACAAUAUCUCUGUACAUUUUGACAAACGUUUGGAAGGCAAAAAAGAGCAGAUCAAAAAAGUUAAAGGUUGAACUUAGUCUAUUUCUUCUCUGUGUCUUAGUUUUUCUCUUAUUUAUUUUCUUCUUUUUUUCUGCUUCUUUUCUACAUUUUUUAAAACAAACAAAAAAGGGAAAAGGAGGAAUACCUGUUUGCUUCAGAGGCUGGCGUCGGAGCCCGUCUUCAUCGUCGUCGAAGUUGAGCAAACGGGGCGUUCCAUCCCUUUUUUUUGGUCUCGCGGUUAAGAAGGCUUAACCUUCGGGGACGCUUCAAAAGGGGAAGGCAAAGGGGCCGUUCUCGCGUAACUCCGGCCACUGGCCAUGGAGGCGGAGACGGUGGCCUGGGUUUAAGGGCUGAGGCAGGGAGAGAGAGAACCAGAGGGUGUCCUCUGUUUUUUUAAAUAAUGAAUGAUUUAGUUUUUUUUUCUUUCUUUUUAUUUUUUAUAGGACCCGAAAACCCGUCCCGAACGGGUCUAAGAUCCGCGCGUUCUGGCUCGGAGGGACUAUUUGCACAUCCGGUCCCUCCGUUCAUGCAACAUGGCGCGAUCUGGUCCCAUUCAAAAUUUUAAAUUUGGCUAGUUGCUUUUUAUGCGUUUCGAUUUAAUCCAGCGUGGAGCACUGCGCAUAAGGUUGGGGAAAAUUGCUCAAUCGAUCCCCCUUCUUCUGCGCGCAUCGCAAAUCGAUCUUUGGCCUUAUUUUAUUUUGAUUUCUCCCCUGGCAUUUUGUUUUGUUUUCAGUUCAAUCCUGUCAUUUUAUUUAUUAUUGAAUUUAUUAUUAUUAUUAUAUCAUUAUUAUUAUUGCAUUUUAUUUAUUUAUUUAUACCAUUUUUCAUAUUUUGUUAUAUAUAUAUAUACAUUAACAUACGUUUUACAUAUAUGUAUAUAUUUAUGUUUUUUAUGCUUUAUAAUUUUUAUAUAUAUAUACAUAGAUAUGCAUAUUUGUUUUUUUUUAUGUAUAUAUAUACGUAUAUUACCUUCAUAUAAUUUAUAAUUUAAAUAUAUAGAUGCACAUACAUAAAUAUUUCAUUUUUAUAAUUCGUAUUGUUAUCAUUGUUAUAUUUGAUAUUUAUUUAUUCAUUUAUUGAAGCGUUUAUUAUUUUUAUGGAACGCUUUAGAUUUUUUUAUUCAUUUAUUAUUUCAUGUAUCUUGAUUUGUUUAUUACGUAUUUUACUUGGUGCUCAUUUUAGUUGUGCUUGUAUUAUCUCAUUUACAUUGUCAUCAUUAUCAUUAUUUUGCUUCUAUUUUUUUUUACUCGAAUUUAUCAAAAAAAUGAAAAAUUUUAAAAAUAAGUAAUAUUCGGUAUUUUGGAUCUUCGAGAGAAUCGAGCGCUAACGUAUUGGGUUCUGACUUUCUUCGUUGAAUUUAAAUAAUCGAGAUUACUCUUUUUAAAAAGGAUAAAAAGCUCGUUAUCGAGAAUUCAAUAUGUUGUGUCCUAACGCAUUGGAUGUGACAUGUUGUUUUCUCGAGACGAGGAUUUUUUCGAAAUAAAUACAAUAUUCAAUGUUUAAUAUUUGAAAAUUGUUGCCCUAACGUAUUGGGUUGCGAUUUCUUCAUUUGAUUUAAACAAUUGAAUAUUCUUUUAAACUUUAUUAUACGAAUCUUUUCAAACUCAAGUUUUAAACAACAUUGGGAAUUAAGAAAAGAUCGUGCCCUAACUUACUGGGCCUGAUUUAUUUCUAAAACCAAGAUAAUAAAAUAUCUUUUAAAUAAGCAUUUUUUCAUCCGCGUAUCGGGAAUUUGAGACAUUGUGUCCUAACUUACUAGAUAUGAUUCUCUUUCUCGAAUAACGCGAAAUAUCCCCUUUUUUCCUGAAAAUUUUCAACGUUUUAAUACAAGGAUCGUAUUUUUAAAAUUCUUCAAGGUUCUCAAUUUUUGACAUUAAGACAUUAAGUAAUCAACUAGGUACCAAUUUUGGGCGUAUCGAGGGUGCUAAUCCUUCCUCGUGCGUAACCGACUCCCGAACCCGUUUUCUAGAUUUCGUGGACCGAAACCGUUGUUUUAAUAAAAUCAAAUCAUUUAUUAAAAACAACCUUAUUUUUGAGGUGAUCCAAUCACACCUCAUAAAAAAAAGAGAUUGGUGGCGACUCCCUAUUUUUGUUUUCAUUUUCAAAAUCCAAAUUGACCCCGUUUUUCAUCCAAAAAAAAUGGUGUCAACAGCUUGGCGACUCCACUGGGGACAUGUUAAGAGAGUCAAGCCACGUGUUGAUUAUUUCUUGUCUUUUUGUCGAAAGUUGAAAAUUCGAUUGAAAUUUACGAUCCUCUCAUUGCAUCUCUAUUGUUUUGAGUUAUAUUUUUAUCGUGUUCUGUAUUUUAUUUUAUACCUCUGCGCAUUGCAUUGCAUGACCGUUGGUCACACCUUUUUAAGUGGGAGUGAGAAGCUACGCCUUCGUGAGGUUUUCACCUCCGCAUGGGAUAGUGAAUCGCUUUCGGGAUAUAUCCGUACCUAUGUCUUCGUGAGAUUUUCAUCUCCGCAUGGCCAUAGGGAAAUGUAUCCCCCUGAAUCGAACUUGGUCCGUAUGAGCCUAUAAUGGGUGAGGAUCGAGGAAUUUGCUGGUUCAGGUACCUAAUUUAGAACCAAACCACAUGUAAUGAGCCAUAGGAACCGACCUAGGUAGAGCUACUCUAAAUUUUUAGUGCUUACCUAAAUGAAUGUUGUAUUUAUUUGUCGUUUAUUUUAAAUCUUAUUCUGUGUUUAAUGCUAAUUUACUUUGUUUGUGAUUGCAUGGCAUCUUCAUUCUAAAAGAGGUGUCGAUUUACGUUCAGUUUCUUGGUAGAAAGCUUAUCAUGGAAAAGGGGUUUGUUGAUAAAGUAGAGGAUAAUGCGGCUGUGCGAAUAUGGGCUGAAACGACGCAACGGGAGAAAGGCGAUAGUCUUACCGAAGGGUACGUGUCAGAAUUGUGGGAUUUUACCCGUAUCAGUGUAAUCCAGAAUGACCUUCGAGAAAUGAAAGAAGUCUGGGAUCAAUGGGAUGUCGAGGCCAAGGAGCUGUUCUAUUGUAACUAUGGUGACCUACCUUAUCUGCUUAGUGUCAAAGUGGACAAGUAUUUAUUCCGAGCCCUUGCUCAGUUUUGGAAUCCUGCCUACAGUUGUUUCACUUUUGAGAAGGUAGAUUUGACGCCUACUGUAGAGGAGUAUACGACCUUGCUUCGGUGCCCAAAGAUUCAAGUCGACAAGGCUUAUUCCAGAGCUGCUUGUGUCCCUCCGUUGUUAAAGAAAUUAAUGAACAUCACUGGGAUGAGCGAGCAGUGGGUCGCUGCCCGGAUCCAACAGAAGGGCGACAGUAAAUGUGUUCCUUGGAAAAGUUUACGAGAUUUGGUGCUUGUACAUCCUGACUUAAAGAAAAGGGUCGAUGUCUUCGCUUUAGGUAUCUAUGGACUAGUGGUUUUCCCCAAAGCUUUAGGACACAUAGACGAGGCUGUAUCUGAUUUGUUCGAUCGGCUUGGUAAAGGGGUUACACCGGUUCCGGCAAUACUCGCUGAAACUUUUAGAUCUUUGAAUGCGUGUCGAAAAGCAGGGGAGGGAAGGUUUAUUGGAUGCGCACAGCUCUUAUUGGCAUGGUUCCAUAGCCACUUCUGGAAAGUCGAAAAGGUCUCUUAUCGGGUAUUCUCCGAUAGCUACUCCCCUCUAGGAGAAUUGGUGGCCACGCCAAGACGGGAUGAUAUUUCAGAAGAAAAAUGGAUAGAGAUACUCCAGAAUCUCCAAGAUGAAGAUAUUGAAUGGAGGGCUCCUUGGUUAAUUCCUGAUGAGAUAUUGUACCGAUGUGGAGAUUUUGACUGGGUUCCGCUACUCGGGAUAUGGGGGGCUAUCGGAUAUGCUCCUCUACUCGUAUCAAGACAGUAUAGAUCACGACAAUUCAUACCAGCAACCCAGGGGUUGGCUUAUAGUGAUUUUUCCUAUAGGGAGGACAAUUACAAGAAGAAGGUUCGAGAAAUAUCUAGUGCCUGGAACCAGACUCGUCGAAUGAAGAUCUUAGCUGUGGGUCCGACAAUUACCCCCGAGUAUGGUCAGUGGCGUAAUCAAAGGAUCAACGACAACAUCCCGGCGUCAAAUUCAGAAACUGCUCGAUCUUUAGAGGAACACUUACAAGUCUUGCCUUCUGAGAUAGAAAUCAUUAAACAAGAAUUCGAAAAAAGAAGUUUAGAAUUGGGGAAGAAGAUAGAACAACUAGAGGAAGAAAAAAUGCAGUUAGGACUGGAUGUGGACAUUCAAAGAUUAGAGGCCAACAAAUUGAGAAAAGGAAAGAACAAGGCAGAAGAAGAUUUGGAUAGCUUGAAGACAGAUUACAAGAAGUUGCGUAAGUCGGUAAGAGCCGCUGGCUUGGGUAAAACACCAGAACAAUGGCGACAAGAAAUUCAGGAGGAAAAGACGAAAGCUAAUCAAUGGGAAAAGAAAUUUCAGGAUACUCGGGCUCGAGAAGUCGCCUUGGGAAAGAGUCUACUAGUUUGCCAAGACGAGAAGACGGAGUUGAAGGUCCGGAUAACAGAACUAGAAAGAUCGCUUCACCAGUACUGUAAUCGUAAUGCUACGGUUGAAUUAAGGGCGAGCUUAGACAAAAUUGAAGAAUUAAAAGACAGAUAGGAGGGCUAGAGAAUGCAUUGCAAAAUAGUGAAAUCCGGAUAGAGCUUCUAGAAGAAAGUAAUGAGCAGUGGCAAGGACAAUUCCGUCGGUCUCAAGAGCAGAUUGGAGAAAGAGAUUAUAUUAUGGGAGAGGCGGUGACUCAGGUGCGCGAAGUGGCUGAUCAUCUGCAAACUCUAGCGGUUCAGGCUGAUCUAUUAAGUUUGAAGUAUGAGUCAGAGUCGGACAGGGGACGGGAAUUAGCUUGGCUUCUUAGAAAGGUUAAGGCUUUGAGUGUGAGGGCAAGGCCAUAUAUGUAGUCUAUUUUAUGUAAAGAAACUCUUUAUCUAGUAAAGUUUUCUAAUGAAGUUGAAUUAGAAUCAGUGCCUCUUUUUUUUAUCCUUUGCAUUCUUUUCAUGCAUUGCAUCACAUCAUAUGCAUUAAUGACCAUUAAAAACCUAAUCGAAUAAAAUCAUUUCAGUUAACCUGGAAAACCAACAAAGUUACGGCACCCGAGCAAAGACAAAAAUUAUGGACCAAAGGUUGGAGAAGCUAGAGCGACUUCAAAGAGAAAUGCAAGACCAGUUGCAGGCGCAAAUGAAAGAGCAAAUAGAAAAGAUUCAGCGUGACAUGGUACAAAAGAUGGAGGAGUCCCAAAAUGAUCUGGUGGCUAAGAUGACGCAAUUAUUGAAGGGAGUAGAUAAGGGUAAAGGGCCUGUGAUUGUUAGUGAAGAAGAAAACAAUGGUGAACCACUUUAUCCUGCAGGUUUCACGCCUCCACAUGUACAGACUGAGUUGCAUCCGCGGAGACCCUCUGUGUCGGUUAGGCCCCAACAGUCCCAAGGUGAUGCUUCAAUCCCAAUGAAUUUUCAAUCCGGAGCGGGCUUUAAUCUCGGCGAUAGCCCGAAUAAUAUUGCUGUCCCAGAUCUUGACGAGAUGGUUGAAAAGGACAAGGCGAAGGAGGAAUUUCCAAAACAAUUUGAGGAGAAAUGGAAAUGGAUAGAAGAGAAGUUUAGGGCAAUAGAAAGCAUUGAAAACUAUGGAAUAGAUGCAAAGGAUCUGAGCUUGGUUCCUGACUUGGUGCUCCCUUACAAAUUUAAGAUGCCGGAAUUUGAAAAAUACAACGGGACUAGUUGCCCAGGAUCCCAUAUUACUAUGUUUUGUAGAAGAAUGACGGGGCAUAUUAAUAAUGAUCAAUUAUUAAUACAUUGCUUUCAGGAAAGUCUUACGGGAGCAGCGUCAAAGUGGUACAAUCAGCUGAGCCGAGCCAAAAUUGCUACUUGGAGGGAUUUAGCACAGGCUUUCCUGAGACAGUACAAUCAUGUCUCAGAAAUGAUGCCUGACAGGAUAACUCUGCAAAAUCUAGAGAAGAAAUCGAACGAAAGCUUCAGACAAUAUGCGCAGAGGUGGCGAGAGGUGGCAGUUCAAGUACAACCACCGCUUUUGGAAAAGGAGAUGACGACGCUUUUUAUUAAUACUUUGAAAGCCCCGUUCAUCACUCACAUGUUGGGAAGCGCUUCAAAAAAUUUCUCGGAUAUAAUCAUGAAUGGUGAAAUGAUUGAGCAUGCCAUUAAAAGUGGAAAAUAGAUGGAGGAGAAAAUAAUAGGAGGGCACCCUUGAGGAAAAGAGAAAAUGAAGUGAAUAAUGUGAAUGCUUAUGGUAGGUCAAUUACCGUGAAUCAACCGAAGAAAGUGGUUGCUAAUCAACAGGGAUCAUCAAGACAAGAGUCGGGAGCUAGGCAAACUACUGAAAAGCCCCAAUUCACGCCAAUCCCGAUGUCAUACAAGGAGUUGUAUCAGACUUUAUUCGAUGCACAUGUUGUUGCUCCUCGUUACUUGAGUCCUCUACAACCCCCGUAUCCAAAAUGGUAUGAUAUGAAUGCGCAAUGUGAUUAUCAUGCGGGAAUUUCUGGGCACUCGAUAGAAAAUUGUACUGCCUUCAAGAAGGUAGUAGAAGGACUUAUCAAUUUAGGUGUUGUCAAACUUGACGACUCACCUAACGCAAAGAAUCCGUUACCUAAUCACGCAGAUAAGGGGGUGAAUAUGGUUAGCGAAGGUACGGGAGGAGAAGUCAAGACUGACAUUGCUGAAGUAAAAACUCCAUUAAAACGGGUCUGGAAAGAAAUGGCGAAAAGAGGUUUGGUUAUUUCAGAUUCUGAGGAAGGGCAUGAGAUGGGAAAUUAUUGUGAAUUUCACCAUAAAACAGGGCACGAAAUCCAAGAAUGUGAAGGAUUUAAGGCUUUGGUUCAAAGCAUGAUGGAUAACAAGGAGAUGAGGUUUUACGAAGAUGCGAAAGAAAUAAGGAGCAUAUGCGCGACAGAGUUGGGAACAAAGGCUCCAAAUCAUCCUGUGGUCAUUAUCUCAUGCCCUAAGGGUAAUGAGGUCAGGGCUCAGGUAACACCAAAAAUUGUAAUCCAGAAACCAUCAAAUUUCUCUUAUAGGGAUAACAAAAUGGUGCCGUGGAAUUACGGGUGUAAUGUGACCAUUUCGGGAAAAGAAACAGAAAGAAAUCAGGAAAUAGGUUCUUACACGCGCAAUGGAAAAAGAUAUGACGCUCAAGCAGAGUCGUCUAGGGAAGAGAAUGGGAAGAAAGAACAGAGGAAAGGGAAAGCAGUAGAAGUUGAACCAUUGGUAAAUGAACCAAUAAGAGAAGAGGAGGCAAAGGAGUUUUUGAAGUUUUUGAAACACAGUGAAUACAGUGUUGUGGAGCAACUGCACAAACAGCCAGCCCGCAUUUCUGUAUUAGCUUUACUCUUAAACUCAGAAGUACAUCGGAAUGCACUAUUAAAGGUGCUAAACGAAACAUAUGUGGCUGACGAUAUUUCGGUAAACAAGCUGGAUCGGCUGAUCAACAAUAUUGGCGCUGACAAUUUUAUCUUCUUCAGUGAUGAUGAAAUACCGUCCGGGGAAGAGGUUCUACUAAAGCCCUGCAUGUUACUGUCCGAUGCAAAGGGUACACACUCCCGGGGGCCUUGGUCGAUAAUGGAUCUGCACUAAAUGUAUUGCCUUUGUCCACUCUUAGUCGAUUACCAAUAGACAGUUCGCACAUGAAAGCAUGCCAGAGCAUAGUAAGGGCAUUUGAUGGAACAAAAAAGGAGGUUAUGGGGAGAAUUGAGGUACCAUUAAGGAUUGGCCCAGUCACUUAUGAGGUGGAUUUCUUGGUAAUGGAUAUUAAACCCUCCUACAACUGUCUAUUGGGGAGACCGUGGAUACACUCAGCAGGGGCAGUACCUUCAUCAUUACAUCAGAAGGUGAAGUUGGUAUCGGAGGAUCGGUUGGUAACAAUAGAUGCAGAGGAGGAUAUUAUCGCAAUGAUGACUAGCGAUGCACCUUAUGUGGACAUCAACGAUGAGGCACUAGAAUGUUCUUUUCGGUCGUUAGAAUUUGUGAAUGCGAUGUUUAUUGCGGAGGGAAAUAGGAUUCCAGUACCGAAAAUAUCCAGGACCACUGAGAUGGGAUUGCGAUUGAUGGUAGGAAGAGGAGCCUUACCAGGGAAAGGAUUGGGAAAAUAUCUUCAGGGAAGGAUUGAGGCACCAAUGCCGAAGGAAAAGUUUGAUAGAUUUGGUUUAGGGUACAAGCCAGACAUGAAGCAGAAGAAGAAAGAAGUAGAGAAGAGACAAGCGAGAAGAAGGGCGCGUUUGAAUGGACAUGAAGCUAAGUGUGAGCCUUUAACCUUUCCCCACAUAUCUUCAUCUUUUGUGUCGGGAGGAUUUAUUCAUUCUGAAUGUGGGGUGUCCGGUAGCGGCAUGGGAGGAAUGUUGGAAAACGUUUAUAUUAACGCCAUAGAAGCAACAGAAAGGAGGGCUUUGUUGGAGAUCUGCCCUUAUGAGCCUGGAAGCGAGCUAAACAAUUGGACUGCUGAAGAAAUCCCUGUAGUCUUUAGGGCUUAUUCAGAGUAAUGCUCAAAACAUUCCUGUUGUUUGUUGGCCUAGAAACGAUAUGAAAUUUUUUGUGAAAUAGGCAUUGGGCCUAAAUAUCAUUAUUUUAAUAAAAUACGUGUCUACGUUCAUCUCGAUCAGUCACUUUUUUUUUCCUUUCAUAUUUUUCAUUUGGUUGAUUGUCUUACAAAUAAUUCUUUCAUUUGUGAUUCUUUUGCACAAACAUAUUCAUAAAUUUAUAUUCUUGGUAUAUUAUUUGAUCUGCCCACAUAGGUCUUCAGAUAUCAAUGACAUGAGUGACGCUGCCUCAAACGCGGAGCCUAUUUUUGAGCAAGAAGUGUGUUCAGAGGGAUCCCACGACUUUGAAAAUGACGAAGAUUAUGAUGCAUCUCCGGACUUGUUAAGAAUGAUGGAACAAGAGGAUAAGCAUAUCCUACCUCAUAGGGAAUCGUUAGAAAUAGUGAGCCUAGAGGAUGGAAAGGAGGUAAAAAUUGGAGCUGAAAUUACCGCAAAGACAAGGCAAGACCUCAUCAAUUUGCUCCGAGAGUUCAAGGAUGUUUUCGCGUGGUCGUACCAAGAUAUGCCUGGGCUAAGUACUAACAUUGUGGUACAUCGUCUGCCCAUAAAGGAGGAUUGUAAACCCGUUCAACAGAAGCUUAGGAGAAUGAGACCUGACAUUGUGUUGAAAAUAAGAGAAGAAGUCAAGAGACAAUUCAACGCUGGUUUCUUACAAGAGGUCAAGUAUUCGGAUUGGGUAGCCAACAUCGUCCCUGUUCCCAAAAAAGAUGGAAAGGUACGAAUGUGUGUGGAUUAUAGGGAUUUAAACAAGGCUAGUCCAAAGGACAACUUUCCACUACCUCACAUUGAUACUUUGGUAGAUAACACGGCGGGCUAUUCAUUGUUUUCUUUCAUGGACGGUUUCUCUGGAUACAAUCAAAUAAAGAUGCAUCCCGGAGACAUGAGGAAAACCACAUUCAUUACCUUAUGGGGAACAUUCUGUUACAAGGUAAUGCCCUUCGGAUUGAAGAAUGCGGGAGCAACGUAUCAAAGAGCUAUGGUGACUUUGUUUCACGACAUGAUGCACAAGGAGAUCGAAGUCUAUGUUGACGAUAUGAUCGCGAAGUCUAGAACGGAAGAAGAGCAUGUUCAGGUCUUGAAAAGGUUAUUUUUGAGAUUAAAGAAAUUUCAGCUCAAGCUUAACCCGGCCAAAUGCACGUUCGGAGCCAGAUCAGGGAAGUUAUUAGGCUUCAUAGUUAGCAAAAAGGGGAUCGAGGUUGACCCAGACAAAGUAAAGGCAAUACGAGAUUUACCUCCCCCGCGCACUCAGAAGGAGGUUCGAGGUUUCCUAGGGAGGCUGAAUUACAUUGCUCGGUUCAUCUCACAACUGACAGAGAAAUGUGAUCCAGUAUUCCGGCUCUUAAAGAAACAUAAUCCGGGCGAAUGGGAUGAAGAGUGUCAGAGGGCUUUCGAUAAGAUAAAGCAGUACUUGGCUAAUACUCCAGUCUUAUCACCUCCAAGUCCAGAUAGGCCAUUGAUAUUGUAUCUAACAGUGUUGGAGAAUUCCAUGGGAUGCGUAUUGGGCCAACAUGAUGAGACGGGAAAGAAAGAAAGGGCAAUAUACUAUCUCAGUAAGAAAUUUACCGAUUGCGAGAUGAGGUACUCAUCAAUUGAGAAGUUGUGUUGUGCUCUAAUCUGGGCAACCCGAAGACUGAGGCAGUAUAUGUUGUAUCACACGACUUGGCUGAUUUCAAAGUUAGAUCCUUUAAAAUAUAUGAUGGAAUCGACUGCUUUGAACAGGAGAAUGGCUAGAUGGCAUAUCUUGCUCUCAGAAUUUGAUAUAGUAUAUGUCAGUCAGAAGGCCAUAAAGGGAAGUGCAAUAGCCGAUUUCCUAGCUAGUAGAGCCUUGGAGGACUAUGAAUCUUUGAAUUUCGAUUUUCCAAACGAGGACUUGAUGUAUGUGGCGAAUACUGAAGAAAAUCCUCAAAUGGAUCACGUAUGGAAGUUAAAUUUUGAUGGAGCUUCGAAUGCUACGGGUAAUGGAGUUGGGGCAGUUUUGGUAUCCCCGAGUGGAGAUCAUUAUCCUGUUGCCAGUAAGUUGGACUUUGAUUGUACAAAUAACAUGGCAGAAUAUGAAGCAUGUAUUAUGGGCAUUCGUGCAGCCAUUGAACGGAACAUCAAGGUACUGAGAGUAUACGGGGAUUCAGCGUUGGUGAUAUACCAACUCAAAGGGGAGUGGGAGACUAGAGAUCCUAAGCUAAUCGGUUAUAGAAAACUAGUUCUUGAAUUGGCUGAGGAGUUUGAUGAUAUCACCUUCUAUUACCUCCCACGGGAGGAAAACCAAAUGGCUGAUGCAUUAGCUACUCUAGCUUCGAUGAUUCAGGUGAAUAGACUUGAGGCAAUGAGGCCUGUUCAGAUGAGUAUCUCUGAGACCCCGGCUAAUUACUGCAAUAUUGAGGAGGAGGGAAAAGAUGAUUGUCCUUGGUAUCAGAGUAUCCUACAAUAUGUGAAGAAUCGGGAAUACCCUGAUCAAGCGACAGAGAAUGACAAAAGAACUCUGAGAAAGAUAGCCAUUGAAUAUGUCUUAGACGGAGAAGUGUUAUAUAAAAGAAGGAAGGAUCAAGUACUGUUAAGAUGUGUGGAUGCUGUAGAAGCCAAGAAAAUUUUGGAAGAAGUCCAUGAGGGUAUUUGUGGGACGCACGCCAGUGGUUUCACGAUGGCCAGACAGAUCAUGAGAUUUGGGUACUAUUGGCCCACCAUGGAAGGAGGUUGUAUUGAUCACGCCAAGAAGUGCCACAAAUGCCAAAUUUACGGAGACAAGAUACACGCGCCUCCUUCACCUCUUCACGUCAUGACCUCUCCUUGGCCGUUUUCCAUGUGGGGUAUGGAUGUUAUUGGGCCAAUAUCACCAAAGGCUUCUAAUGGGCAUUGCUUCAUCUUCGUAGUAAUUGAUUACUUUACCAAGUGGGUGGAGGCUGCUUCCUAUGCAAAUGUCACGAAAGCAGUAGUCAGCAAAUUCUUGAAGAAGGAGAUCAUUUGUCGAUAUGGAAUGCCUGAGAGGAUCAUAUCCGAUAAUGCGAUGAACUUGAAUAAUAGCACAAUAGCUGAAGUUUGUAGCAAAUUUAAAAUUAAGCAUCAUAACUCAUCGCCGUAUCGUCCCAAAAUGAAUGGUGCAGUGGAGGCGGCCAAUAAAAACAUUAAAAGGAUUGUGGGGAAAAUGACUGAAACCUACAAUGAUUGGCAUGAGAAAUUAUCAUUUGCUCUCCUCGCCUAUCGAACAUCUGUUAGAACUUCUACUGGGGCAACGCCUUUUGCUCUGGUUUAUGGAAUGGAGGCAGUAUUACCCAUUGAAGUUGAAAUCCCUUCUCUACGGGUGUUAUCUGAGCUACAGUUGGAUGAAGCCGAUUGGAUCCAAUCUCGGUACGAUCAGUUGAACCUAAUAGAAGAAAAGAGGCUAAGAGCUAUUCACCAUGGGCAAAUGUACCAGAAACGAAUGAUGCGAGCCUAUAAUAAAAAGGUUCGCCCCCGAGAAUUUCGUGAAGGGGACUUGGUACUAAAAAAGAUUCUUCCUAUGCAAAAAGAUUUUAGAGGAAAAUGGAUGCCAAAUUGGGAAGGCCCUUAUGUUGUAAAGAAGGCCUUUUCCGGUGGAGCUUUGAUCCUAUGCGAGAUGGAUGGAAAAAGUUUACCAAAUCCUGUAAACGCAGACUCUGUCAAGAAAUACUUCACUUGAAAGAAAGCGGAACCAAAGUGAAAACCCGUGAAGGGCGCUUUGCUUCCUAAAAAAAAAAAAAAGGGGAAACUUUGGAGAGGCUAAGGUGAAAACCCGUAAAGGGCACUUUGAGACCAAAGAGGGCUUGAGUCGAAAACCCGAAAAGGGCGACUCAAGUAUUGGGCAGGAUUGGAACAUCAGGACUUGAGCGGAUCAAAUUUUGAUCGGGGGGAUAUGAUGACCUUCCUUUACUUGAACCAAUAAGAAAGGAUAUGCAACGUCUUUGAACAUUGACAGAGUAUUGCAGAUCUCCUGAACACAUGUCAAACUUAGAAGGGUCUUCGGAAAGUUUGUACAGAGAAACGCAAGCGGCGAUAACUGGGGCACCUAGUUCUUAUGUGUAUUCUUGAAAAUACAUUUUUUUUAUUUUAUUUUCUUUCUUUCUUCCUUUCCUUUUGUGAAAACGCACAUUCUCAAUCCACUUCUUUGUUACCUUUCUUUCGCCAUCUUUGAUGUUUUAUUUGAAUUAUGAUCAGAACUAGCUUUAUUCUUAUCCAUUGUUAUGAUCUUUUUGCAAACAUGUUGCAUAGGAAUAUUGAUUAACGAACUAAUAAAACUUUCAGGAAAGAAGUUUUGCAUAUUACUCUGAAAAGUUCUAAAUAAUAUAGAAACCUGAAACAGGACUAAUGUUUAGAACACACCAAUUUUAAAGGUUGGAAAUCUAAGAAGGAAGAGUCUAAGUUAAAGACUAUCCUUUCAGAUUUUGUUUGUCUAAACAUUGAUUAAACAAAAUGACAAGCUGUCGUCUUAAUUACAAAGCUUAAAUGAACAAGCAAGCAAUGAUCAUCAGGCAAUAGGAAGAGGUUACCUCAGAGAAAAGAGCCUUCACUUGCGCAUAAGACUUUGGUACGACACCUUGAGAAUGGUGUAGGAAACCAGAACGGUUCAGAUCCUAUAUCUCUGAAUUGUGAUAAAAGAGGACAGAGGAAAAGCCACAUAUUUCUACCCUUAGAUUACUGUGAGAGAAUGAUGGUACAAAUUUUGGCGUCCCAGUGGAUAUAACUUUGAGGUUUACAAUGGGGACAGUCUGGCUAAAUGUUCCUUCAGAAAAAUCAGUCAAGCGAGAAGGCGUUGUAGCACGUCAGUCACAAAACCUUGAUAAACUUCGAGUAGUGAUAACCUAAGCGAGAUCAUUCUCGGAAAAAUAAAAUUCUGCAUUCAUGCAAACACCAUUCACAUAUGUCUAGUUAGGAGCAUUUGUUUCAUUUCGAUCAUGUCAUCCUAAUCAUUAGGCAUAAUUAGGUUCAUUAUACAGGUCUUAUCUCCCUGAGAUUACAGGGGAACAGACCAAAGAAUUUUAGAUCUUAUCUCCCUGAGGUUACAGCGGAGCAGAUUGAAGCCAGAGAUCUUAUCUCCCUGAGAUUACAGCGGAGCAGAUCAAAGAUAGUAAUCCUAUCUCCUUGAGAUUACAAUGGAGCGGAUUAAAGGAUCUUAUCUCUCUGAAGUUACAGUAGAGAAGAUCACAUCAGGUCUUAUUUCCCUGAGAUUACAGUGGAACAGACCAAAGAAUUUCAGAUCUUAUCUCCCUGAGGUUACAGUGGAGCAGAUUGAAGCCAGUAAUCCUAUCUCCCUGAGAUUACAGUGGAGCGGAUUAAAAUGAAGGAUCUUAUCUCUCUGAAGUUACAGCAGAGUAGAUCGUGUUAGGUCUUAUUUCCCUGAGAUUACAGUGGAAUAGACUGAAGAAUUUUAGAUCUUAUCUCCCUGAGAUUACAGUGGAGCGGAUUAAAAUGAAGAUCUUAUCUCUCUGAAAUUACAGCAGAGUAGAUCGUGUUAGGUCUUAUUUCCCUGAGAUUACAGUGGAAUAGACUGAAGAAUUUUAGAUCUUAUCUCCCUAAGAUUAUAGCGGAGCAGAUUGAAGCCGAUAAUCCUAUCUCCCUGAAGUUGCUGCAAAGAAGAUUGAAGCUACACGUCAGAUCCCUUGGAAGUGCAGUGAAGUGGAUUGAAGCAACGAGACACAGUGGACUGGAGUAAGGCUUUUUGAAGAAGACGAGCACUAGGAUACGUUAAAGCUCGGCGAGAUCGGGCAAAAUUGGUCUUUCUUAGUCUUUGCUCUGUUCUCGUUACACGACAACGAGCAAAGAGGGGCAGCUGUACAGCUCAAUUAUUGCCCGGGCCCAAUUGGCAGAGCCCAAACGGCCCAAUAAGCCCAACCGGCCCCAAACCCAGUCAGACUAGGGCGGAAACCCUAGCCAAGCCUAGCGCCGUGCCCAUCCCUCUGCCAUCGCUUUGUCCCAUCGCCACCCACCGCUACUAGCGCCAUCAACACCUGCGAAAAUGGCAGGAAAGAAAGUAGGAGCACGCAACAGUUAGUGGAAGACAUCAAAUACAAUCAAAUACAAUGUAAAUUGGAUAUAAAAAGCAAAACAAUAUCUCUGUACAUUUUUGACAACGUUUGGAAGGCAAAAAAGAGCAGAUCAAAAAAUUUAAAGGUUGAACUUAGUCUAUUUUCUUCUCUGUUCUUACGUUUUUCUUAUUUAUUUUCUUCUUUUUUCUGCUUCCUUUUCUACAUUUUUUAAAACAAAACAAAAAAGGGAAAGGAGGAAUACCUGUUUGCUUCAGAGGCCGGCGUCGGAGCCCGUCUUCAUCGUCGUCGAAGUUGAGCAAACGGGGCGUUCCAUCCCUUUUUUUUUGGUCUCGCGGAUAAGAAGGCUUAACCUUCGGGGACGCUUCAAAAGGGGAAGGCAAAGGGGCCGUUCUCGCGUAACUCCGGCCACUGGCCAUGGAGGCGGAGACGGUGGCCUGGGUUUAAGGGCUGAGGCAGGGAGAGAGAACCAGAGGGUGUCUCUGUUUUUUUAAAUAAUGAAUGAUUUAGUUUUUUUUUCUUUCUUUUUAUUUUUAUAGGACCCGAAAACCCGUCCCGAACGGGUCUAAGAUCCGCGCGUUCUGGCUCGGAGGGACUAUUUGCACAUCCGGUCCCUCCGUUCAUGCAACAUGGCGCGAUCUGGUCCCAUUCAAAAUUUUAAAUUUGGCUAUUUGCUUUUUAUGCGUUUCGAUUUAAUCCAGCGUGGAGCACUGCGCAUAAGGUUGGGGAAAAUUGCUCAAUCGAUCCCCCUUCUUCUGCGCGCAUCGCAAAUCGAUCUUUGGCCUUAUUUUAUUUUGAUUUCUCCCCUGGCAUUUUGUUUUGUUUUCAGUUCAAUCCUGUCAUUUUAUUUAUUAUUGAAUUUAUUAUUAUUAUUAUUAUCAUUAUUAUUAUUGCAUUUUAUUUAUUUAUUUAUACCAUUUUUCAUAUUUUGUUAUAUAUAUAUAUACAUUAACAUACGUUUUUACAUAUAUGUAUAUAUUUAUGUUUUUUAUGCUUUAUAAUUUAUAUAUAUAUAUACAUAGAUAUGCAUAUUUGUUUUUUUAUGUAUAUAUAUACGUAUAUACCUUCAUAUAAUUUAUAAUUUAAAUAUAUAGAUGCACAUACAUAAAUAUUUCAUUUUUAUAAUUCGUAUUGUUAUCAUUGUUAUAUUUGAUAUUUAUUUAUUCAUUUAUUGAAGCGUUUAUUAUUUUUAUGGAACGCUUUAGAUUUUUUUAUUCAUUUAUUAUUUCAUGUAUCUUUGAUUUGUUUAUUACGUAUUUUACUUGGUGCUCAUUUUAGUUGUGCUUGUAUUAUCUCAUUUACAUUGUCAUCAUUAUCAUUAUUUUGCUUCUAUUUUUUUUUACUCGAAUUUAUCAAAAAAAUGAAAAAUUUUAAAAAUAAGUAAUAUUCGGUAUUUUGGAUCUUCGAGAGAAUCGAGCGCUAACGUAUUGGGUUCUGACUUUCUUCGUUGAAUUUAAAUAAUCGAGAUUACUCUUUUUAAAAAGGAUAAAAAGCUCGUUAUCGAGAAUUCAAUAUGUUGUGUCCUAACGCAUUGGAUGUGACAUGUUGUUUUCUCGAGACGAGGAUUUUUCGAAAUAAAUACAAUAUUCAAUGUUUAAUAUUUUGAAAAAUUGUGCCCUAACGUAUUGGGUUGCGAUUUCUUCAUUUGAUUUAAACAAUUGAAUAUUCUUUUAAACUUUAUUAUACGAAUCUUUUCAAACUCAAGUUUUAAACAACAUUGGGAAUUAAGAAAAGAUCGUGCCCUAACUUACUGGGCCUGAUUUAUUUCUAAAACCAAGAUAAUAAAAUAUCUUUUAAAUAAGCAUUUUUCAUCCGCGUAUCGGGAAUUUGAGACAUUGUGUCCUAACUUACUAGAUAUGAUUCUCUUUCUCGAAUAACGCGAAAUAUCCCCUUUUUCCUGAAAAUUUUCAACGUUUUAAUACAAGGAUCGUAUUUUUAAAAUUCUUCAAGGUUCUCAAUUUUUGACAUUAAGACAUUAAGUAAUCAACUAGGUACCAAUUUUGGGCGUAUCGAGGGUGCUAAUCCUUCCUCGUGCGUAACCGACUCCCGAACCCGUUUUCUAGAUUUCGUGGACCGAAACCGUUGUUUUAAUAAAAUCAAAUCAUUUAUUAAAAACAACCUUAUUUUUGAGGUGAUCCAAUCACACCUCAUAAAAAAAAGAGAUUGGUGGCGACUCCCUAUUUUUGUUUUCAUUUUCAAAAUCCAAAUUGACCCUGUUUUUCAUCCAAAAAAAAUGGUGUCAACAGAUGUAAUUGGUAGUAAGGACACGCGUACUUACCCGACAAUAGUAGUAGACAAAAUGUGCGUACCAAGCAACAAUUGGAUGGAGAAAAGAAGGAAAAAAGAAUAAAAAGAAAUAGAUGAAAAAAAAAAGAAGAAAAGGAAAAAAUGGCAAUGGAAAGGAAGAGGGAACGCUUAAUUAAUCUAACCAUCGAUCAAAAUUCUGACAUAAAGCAAAAACAUUACUUAAUGCAUACGCCGAGACUCAAACACAGGACCAAAAAGUCGACAGAUGCUUAACCAGUGAACCAGUAGGCUCAUUCUUGACUGUAAAAAAAUAGAACGUCGAUAAUGAUAAUGUAUCACAAAGAAAAGAGAAAGAAAAAUAAAGAACACACAGAUUUUUACAUAGAAACCCUUUUGGGAAAAAACCAUAGGUAAAAGAGAAGAUAAUUCACUAUGUCAAAUUCAAAUGGUUAUAAGAGGAGUAGACUAUGUCUAUUUAUAGGCUUAUAAAACCAUAUUAUAAUAGAAUGAGUGUAGUAAGGUUGAAACGCCUUAUUCUAAUUAAUAUCGAAUAUAUGAAGUGUAAUAAGGUUGAAAACCUUAUUCUAAAAUAAAAUAAAAUAAGUGUAGUUCUAUAUGGAUUUUAAUUUUAUUUUAUUUUACCACUGUAUUUUAUUUUAACAAGGAUUAAGGUCACUCAAUUCUAACAAUCUCCACUUUGACACGAAUUCUCAAUGAAUAAUUUCUUCACCACGAACUCUCAAUGAACAAGUUCUCCACCUCUUCCAUGAAACCCUUUAAAGGGUAUUUUUCAACAAUGAACACCAAACAAGUCUAAGCAAUGCUCAAACUUGGUUAUGGGAAGUGACUUAGUCAUCAUAUCUGUAGGAUUUUCAUGAGUACUAAUUUUGCUCACAACAAUAUCACCACGAGUAAUAAUAUCAUGAAUAAAAUGAUACCGAACAUCAAUGUGCUUUGUUCUCUCAUGAAACAGUUGAUCUUUUGUAAGGAAGAUGGCACUUUAACUGUCACAAAAUACUGUACUGAUUUAAAGGUCUUCAUUGAGUUCACUAAUGAGUCCCUUCAACCAAAUGACUUCUUUACAAGCCUCAGUAAUCGUCAUGUACUCAGCUUCAGUGGUAGACAAAGCGACUGUAGUUUGCAAAGUGGCAUUCUAACUACUUGCAUGACCUCUGAUUAUAAAGACCUAACAUGUGAAAGAUUUUCUUCUAUCAAGGUCUCUAGCAAAAUCAACAUCAACAUAUCCAUUGACUCAAUCUUUAGUUCUUCCAAACUGUAAGCAAACAUCAGUAGUACCUUGUAAGUAUCUUAAAAUCCACUGAACUGCUUUCCAGUGUUCUUUAUCGGGAUUCGUCAUGUAUCUGCUAAUUGCACUGACUACUUAUCAUAAAUCUGAACGUGAAAAAACCAUAACAUAUAGGAGAGGUCCUACUGCACUAAAAUAUAGAACAUGUGACAUGUACUCAAUCUCAUCAUCUGAUUGUAAAGACAAAGCCGAUGAAAGUUUGAAAUGGGUUGUUAAAUGAGUAUUAACAGGCUUAGCACUCUGCAUAUUGAACUUGCAAAGAACUUUCUCAAUGUACCCCUUUUGACUUAGGUACAAUUUACUUGUUUUUCUAUAUUUGAGAAUCUCCAUACCAAGUAUGUUCUUUUUAGGUACAAUUUACUUGUUUUUCUAUCUCUGAGAAUCUCCAUACCAAGUAUUUUCUUUGCUGGUUUCAAAUCUUUCAUCUCAAAUUCUUCACUAAGCUGGGUUUUUACCUCUCUUAUCUUUCCUUUAUCUUUCAUUGCUAUCAACAUGUCAUCAACAUAGAGGAUUAGAUACACAAAAGAACCACCACUGUUUUUCUUAAAGUAAACACAACUAUCAAAACUACUUUUGAAAUCAUGAGAAGUCAUAAAGGAAUCAACCUUUUGUACUACUAUCUUGGUGACUGUUUCAAACUAUAAAGGGACUUUUUCAGCAGGAAAACAUAGUCCUUUUUUUUGAGCCCGUAAAACCCUCUGGUUGUUGCAUGUAAAUAUCCUUCUCAAGUUUUUCAUGCAAAAAUUCAAUUUUUACAUCUAACUGCUCAAGCUUCAGAUCAUGCAUAGCCACAAUACCAAGCGAAGCUCGAAUCGGAUUAUGCUUCACAACUGGGGAGAACACAUCUAUGAAACCCACUCUUGGAAGACUAUAACCCUUUGCAACAAGCUUUGCUUUAUAUAUAUGAUUCUUCAACUCUUGGGGUCUCUUCUUUCUUUUUAAGCACUCAUUUACAAUGAACAACCUUUUUUCCUUUAGGAAGUUUCACAAGAUCCCAUGCUCUAUUUUUAUUGAGUGAUUCCAUCUCCUUUUGUAUAGCAAACAUCUAUUUUUCUGAGUCUUCACAGCUAACCGCAUCAGAAUAAUUAGAUGGCUCUUGGUUUGCAUCUAUAUCUUCAGCCACAUUUAAAGUAUAAGCAACUAGAUCAACAUCGAUAUACUUCUUUGAAGGUUUAAUCUCUCUUCUAGUUUUGUUUUUGGCAAUAGAGUAUUGUGGUGAAGAAGCACCUCUAUUUUGAAUUUCUAUUUUGGCUUGAGGAGUUAACUUUGUUUUAGAUUCUAGAUUAAUCUGAUGCUCCACUUGCUUUUUUUCUAUUUUUUAUUAGAAGAGUCUUUAAGAGAUAAGUUAGGUAGCAUAACAGUCUGAUCAAAAACAACAUCUCUGCUAAUCACAACUUUUCUAUUUUCAAGACACCAUAACUUAUACCCUUUUACACCAGUUUUAUGACUAAGAAAAACACAUUUAAUGAAUCUCGGUUCCAAUUUUCCAUUAUCAACAUGAGCAUAUGCAGGACACCCAGAGAUCUUUAAAUUAGAAUAAUCAGUAGCAUUACCAGACCAUACCUCUCGUAGAGUUUUUUUCUCAAUGGCACUGAAUGGAGACCAAUUGAUAAAAAAGCAUGUAGCAGAGGCUGCUUUGGCCCAAAACAACUUUGGUAAAUUGGUAUUUGAUAGUAUACAUCAAAAUUUCUCCAUAAUCGUUCUGUUCAUUCAUUCUGUAACAUCGUUUUGCUGAGAAUUAUGGCGAACUGUCAAGUGUCUCGCGAUCUCUUCUAACUUGUAUAGUUCAUUAAACUCAUCAGAACAAAACUCUAAGCCAUUGUCUGUGCGAAGGUGUUUUAUUUGUUUUCCCUUUAUUUUUCAAUCAUAGUUUUCCAAGACUUAAAUGUAGAAAACAUAUCACUUUUCUACUUCAGGAAAAAUGCCCAAACUUUUUUGGAAAAAUCAUCAAUAAGUGUUAACAUAUAAUUAGCUCCACCUUUCAAAGGCACUUUAGAUGACCCCUACAAAUCAGAAUGAAUAUACUUUAACAUUCCCUUCAUGUUGUGGAUUCCUCUGCUGAAUUGAACUUCUUUUGCUUUCUAAAAACGCAAUGCUCACAAAACUUCAGUUAGCAAAUUCCUUACCCAUCAAGAAGUCCUUUUUUACUCAAUUCUGUCACGCUAUUCUCACUCAUAUGCCAUAUGCGUAUAUGCCAAAGUCUAGUAACAUCAUCAUCUGAUAAAGAAGAGGAAAUGAUAGCUACAUCACUAAUAAUUGUAGAACCCUACAAAACAUAUAACUUGACAAUCUUUCUUUGCCCUUUCAUCACAACAAGGGAACCUUUAAAAAUCUUCAAAACCCUACUUUCAAUUGUAUAUUUUUACCCUUUUGAAUGAAAAGUACUCAACAAAAUCAAAUUUCUCUUUAAUUAUGGAACAUGUUGCAUGUCACUAAGUGUUUUGACAACUCUAUCAAACAUCUACUUUUUUGAGUCUUCACAGCUAACCGCCUUAUCUCUUCCUCCUACAAUGUCAAAGGCAUCUUAUCUAUCCCUAGCAGAGCAUCUUCUAAGUUCAUCUGCACAUGAAUUGUCUACAUCUUUAUCUACCACAACACAAAUCUAGUUUUCUGAUCCAGUAGUUGAAUUUCAUACCUCAAAGAUGUCAUUACCAUAAUUGACAUGAACAACCCGAAAGCUCUAAUACCAAAUAGUGAAAAAUAGAACGAUGAUAAUGACAAUGUAUCACAAAGAAAAGAGAAAGAAAACUAAAGAGCACAGAUAUUUUUACGUGGAAGCCCUUUCGGAGAAAAAAACAUGGGUAGAGGAGAAGAUAAUUCACUAUGUCAAAUUUGAAUGAUUACAAGAGAAGUAGACUAUGUCUAUUUAUAGGCUUGUAAAAACAUAUUCUAAUAGAAGGAGUGUAGUAAGGUUAAAAAACCUUAUUUUAAUUAAUAUCAAAUAGAUGAAAUGUAAUAAGGUUGAAAAACCUUAUUCUAAAAUAAAAUAAAAGAAGUGUAGUUUUAUAUGGAUUGUACUUUUUUUUACCAUUGUAUUUUAUUUUAACAAGAAUUCGGGUCACUCAAUUCUAACAAUCUCCACAUUUACAUGAAUUAAAUCUAAGUUAGUCGCCCAAGAGUAGAGAUUAAUUAAAAUUUAAUUAGCAGAACUUCUAAAGAUGCGAUUUGAACUCCUACCCUCAACCACAUAAACAGAGCACAUAACAACAGAUACAAAGACUUAAUUACUAUAGAAUCCCACAAAUAAACAUUCAAAUUUUUGGGGCGUUACCCUGCAAAUGGAUUAUGAGUCUAUAUAUACCUAUAUUCUACAUCUCACAUCACUUAAGAAAAUAAGAAAAAUAAGACUUUGGUUUUAGGAACAAACAUUUUCUAAAAUUUGGCCUAUUCCCGUAAGUUUUACAUAAAUUGACCUAUUCACGUAAAUUUUUUAAUUUUUCGACACUUAUUAGUAAAUUAGUCAAUUUUUUUAAUCAUGAAUACAAUUUUUGGUUUAUAUGAAAUAUGCAGGGCAAGAUAGUAAUGUUAUUAUUGUUGUGUAUAUAUAUUAUAUAUGCAUAUCAAUGAUUUUGAUGAUUAAUUCAUGAUUAUAGUAGGUGUUCAUAACCAUUAUUCAUUGUUAUGAUGAUUUGGUGCAAACUCAUGUAAACUAUAAUACAUGUUUAAAGAAUUUGGUUUUUAAGUUUGAUUUUAUAAUAUUUGGUUUUGGCAUUUUAUGGUUCCAAAUAUUUGGUCAAAUUAUGAUAUGAUUUACGAAAUGAAUUGUGAAAUAUACCAAUUAUUAUAAGAUUUGGGUUAAGACUUAGAUUUUGGAAUUUCAAAUUCUAAAAUUGAAUAUAAAACAUUAAAAAAAUUAUUAUAUCUUCUUUCACACUUCCUUCAAAACUUAAACAAUAAAUAAUAAAUUUUGUAACAGCCCAUUUUUAGUGAAAUCAGAACAGUAGUUUCGAGACCACAAAUUUGAAAUGAAAGUAUUUAUUUUUAUUAAUAUUUUAGUGUCUACAGUAGGUUAGUAGUGUUGUACAAAAAUUUCGUUAAGAAAUUUUGACGUUUGCAUCUUAAUUAAGUAAAAAAAAGAUUAAAUCAUAAAAGGUGAAAAAGUGCAGUUCAAUUAGAUAAAAGCAUUAAAUUACUAUGAAAUUUUAGUUUGAGUGACUUAAAUGAUAAUUAAAUCAUUUUAUGAGUUAAUGGACAUAUAUGGACAUCAUUUUAAUGAUGUUAAAGGUUUAUAAUAAAAGUUAAUUUAGUAAAUAAAUACAAAUUAAAUCAAUUAAAAGAAAACUAAAUGUCCAUCUUCUCCAAGUUUUUUCUCCACUGAAAUUUAGAAGAGGAAGAAGCCUUUUUAGGGUUUUUCCAUUUGGCCAUAGUCUAUCCUUGCAUGUAAGUGCAAUUUUGUCUUGUUUUUAAUGAUUUCUAUGUUUUUGAAAUCAUUGUAGCUUAAUCUUGCUAGCCUAAGGGCUAAUUUGCAAAUUGUUAAAAGCCUAGGGUUUUGCCAUGAAUUUCCUAGCUUGAUAUUUGUACUUUAAUGAAAUAUUAUGAAUUUUUGUUGAUAAAUAAACAACUUUUGUAAAGUGAUUUUCGUUGAAAAUGUCAAAUAGAGACUUGAUUGUAAAAAUAGUAAAAAUGUAUGGUGAAAUUGUGAAAUAAUGAUUUUUAUGAAUUGAUAUGUGUUCAUGAAGAAUUCGACUAGCUUGGGUUAGGGAUGAAACUGCAUGAAUUUCAAUUUACGAGCUUAAGGACUAAAUUGUAAAUAGUUAAAAUGUUAGGGGUAAAAUUGUAAGUAUGCAUAAAUGUGAUUUGUGAAUUUAAUUGAGUGUGAUUGAAACACUUAAUUGAAUAUUAUUAUUUAUUUAGAUUAAGAUAAAUCUCAACCAGAUUUAAAUCGAGGAGAGGCGAAAGUUAUAGAUUAACUCGAUCGUACUCCUACGCAUUAGUUGUCAACGUAAGUUCAGAGUAUUUAAAUGUAUAAUUGAAUUUCCAUAUGUAUUUUUAUCUUAUAAAUAUGUAAUUAAAUGUUAAUGUAAAUUAUAACCUGUUUGUACUUCGGUACCCCUAAUUGCACAUACGUGCCCCUAUUUGUACUUUGGUACCCCUGAUUGCACAUACGUGACAUUGUUCAUACUUCCGUACCCUUGAUUGCACUUAUGUGCCCCUGUUUACAUUUUGGUAAUUUCAAUCAAGUAAAAUAAGAAUUGUGUUCAUUUGAUGUGAAGUUUAAAAGAUUUACUAUGUUCUUACUAAGCUUUGUAAUCUUAUACGUUUUUUUGUAUCAUUUUGUAGAUCGUUAUUUCUAACCUUUGGACGGAUCGAAUAUUCGGCUCACACUAUCCAUCAUUGUUGGUAGCUCUUGAACUCUUUAGGGUUGUGGCAUGUAUAUGUGGUUAUUUAGUUUGUUUUGGUAUAAUAUGGUGAAUAACUAAACUAGGUGAUUAUGUACUUUUCUAAGUUUGUGAAUGUUAUGAAAGUAAACACUUAUGGAUUGUUUUGGUUUGUUGAUGGAAUAAGUUGUUAUGUUUGGUUUAUAAAUAUGGUAUAUUGGUUGGUGUGCUUUUGGCACUUUGAUGCUUAAUGGAUUGGUAUGGAUAUGAUCAAUUUGGUAUGUCUGAAUUGUGGUUAAUUAUGAAAUGAUUAGGUAUGUUUUAUGUAUGUGUUUGAGGUGUCUAUAUGGCAUAUUGGUUGUAUGUAUUAUUAGCUUAUUGUAUGGAUAUUUUUAUAUAGGUUUUGAGCAUGUUUAUGAGUCUUGAUCAUGUGUGCAAAAGUGCCUAAGUUUAUACUUGUAAAGGAUGAAAGAAAUGGCUUGAUUUUAGCCAUUUUCUUGUCCAAAUGACCAAAGACACGGGUGUGUGUCUCAACCGUGUGUGACACACGGCCAUGUGAAAUGGUCGUGUUUCCCCUGUAGGUUUCAAAGGGUGGUAAGUCAGACAGUUACACGGCUUGGCACAUGGGCGUGUGAGGCCAUUUCGAGAGUUACACGACUUGACACACAAGCGUGUGGCUUGCCCGUAUGGCCCAAGUUAGAGAGUUACACGGGCACAGACACAGGCUGGGACAUGGCCGUGUGUCCCUACCUUGAAUGUCCACACGGCCUGAGACAUAGGUUGUGUGAGUCACACAACCGUGUGACCCCUGUAGUAUGAAAUUUUCUAACUUUUUCCUUAUUGUUUCAAAUGUCCCCGAUUUAGUCCUGAAUCAUUUUUAAAUUGUUUUUAAGGCCUCGAGGGCUCAAAUAAAUGAUGAUAUGUAUGUGCUUGAACUGGUUAUUAUAUGAUUUAUGAAAUGUUUGAAAAUGAAUAAUUUCAGUUGCGUAUUUACGUUAAUGCUCUGUAACCUUAUUCUGGAGACGGAUACUGGUUAGGGUGUUACAAAUUUUAUUCAUAAUAUAUCAAUGAAGUUCAAGGGUUUCAAAAUUGGAUUGGUAGGCGAACUGUUAGACCACCAGUUCUUGGUUUAACUAGUUCAAUCGAUCCAAUUGAUUCAAUUGAAUAAAUUAUUAAAAAUAAAAAUAUUUAAAAAUAAAUAAAAAUCAGUUCAAUUGUAAAUUCGAGCGUGUCAAUUGAUUCAACCAAUUCACGAGUCAACCAAUUUGACCUUUUAUUCCAGACUGGUAUCUCGAACGAUUCCCAAUUCGAUCGAUUUGACAAGUCAAUCCGAUUUGGUUCUUAAAACAAUAACAAAACUUCAUGCGUUUAAUUUAAUACAUUAUAAAUAUGCUAAAUUUUCAUUUAUAUGAUAAUUUCCACAAUUUUAAUUUAUAAACCCAAGACUUUUAAUUAAAAUCUAAGUAAAUCCACUUAUUUAAGUACAAAAAAAAAUUAUAUGAUUGAACUAAUUAGGCCACCAGUUUGCUAGUCCAAUCAAUUUAAUCAGUUUGAUCGAUACGAUUGAUUCGACCAAUCUACCCAAUUCUAUUAAAUAAAUCAUUAAAAAAUCAUAAAAAUAAAAAUAUAAAAAAAUAUUAUUUUAGUUCAACCGGUUCAACUGCAUAGUCAGUCGGUUAGUAUUAAUUCCUGGGACAACCUGUUUAAUGUCUGUCUUCAGACAAGUACUUUGGUUGAUUCCCAAUUCAAUUGGCCAAACUAAUCUUGUUCAAACAAUAAUGUUCAAAAUCCUCCUAAAUAAUUAAAUCUUAAAGAAAAAACAUUUUUAAGACUUAAAAUUAGUUGAAAUCCAAAUCAAUAAAUUUAAAUUAAUUCAAAUAUUUAAAUUUCAAAUAAUUUUAUUACCAAAUAAAAUAUUUAAAAAUAAUGAAAUCAUAAAUGUCGAAGUUGAAAUUGAAAUUUCAAUUCUCAAACAAUAGCUAAUAGUUUGGACGGGUUUGCAGCACUCACAAAAUCAUUUAAUACUUAGGGUGAGUUUGGAUGGGCAGUGAGUUUGGAUGGGCAGUGCGUUUACCUACGAUUAGUUUAAAAACAGCGGUGGCGGUGAAAUUAGAUACUGUAGCGAUACUGUAGCGUGAGACAAAAAGUAAGCUAAACGCACCGCACCGCACCGCACCGCACCCAAUCGCCCAUCCAAACUCACCCUUAGUAACGCAACAAUGCACCUUAAUUGCUCUCUUUUUUAUAACCAUGGUUUUGGUUGUUCACAAAUAAUUUAGCAUAAAGAAAAAAAAUCAUAUUAUAACAUAACCAAUAGUAUUAUUCUAAAUUAGAAAUCUUAUUAUAAGUGUAUACGUGUAAAAAUUACAAAUUUAGAAUAUAGACAUAUGUUUAAAAAUAUCAUUUAAUAAUAAAUAAUAGAACUUAUGGUUUGAAACUAAUUAAUCAUAACAACACAUGAAAUAUAUAUGAUAUUAAAAUUAAAAAAAUUAAAUUAAAUUAUGAGUAAAAUGAACUUUAACCACAUACAUACAUCAGAUAAAUAAUAAUUAAUUUUGAAUUAAUUACACCUUGAACUGAAAAAGAAAAACUGUUCAUCUCCUUUUUCUUUUAGUUUUCUUUUCCAUUUUGAUUGAAAAAAUCUAUUCUCAUCCCAGUUAGACAUCCAAGUUGGCAUUUAAAACUCAUUUGGACUUCCACGUAGGAUUGCUUUUAGGGAGGUAACGGAGCUUAGUAGCAGAAUGAGUAUUUCAUAACAAAACGAUAACAUAAGUUACUAGAAUGUAACAUUUCAAACAUAAGUGGCUAAAAUGUAACAUGAGGAAAACAAAAGUGACUAUUUUUGUCGUUUAUCCUAUUAUUAAUUAUUUUUAUUUAAAAUUUAAUUUAAUUAGAAUUAAAUUAAAAUAUAAUUUUUUUCUAGCAAAAUUUGAUUAAUAACUUAUCCCUAAUAAUUAUUUGAUUGCUAAAAUUCAAACUAUUUAUACAAAGUUUUUAUUUUUAUCCUAAUAAUUAUUUUUGAUGUGUGUAUUUAACGUUGAAAACCUUAAUUUUCCCUAUUAAUUACUUUACUAUGAUUUAAGUCGUGAAUAUGUUAUUUUGGAUUUUACUUCAUCAGUGAAUCAGACUUUAUAAUUUAGUUGUCAAAAUUCAAAUUAUUUAUACCAAGUUUAUAUUUUAAAACACACAUAAGUUAUUAUGUCUUGAUCAUAGGUCAGAUUGAUGUAAAAUUUUAAGUUCAAGCUCGGCUCAAAAAAUGAGUUUAAAAUUUUAUCCAAGCCCAACCUAAAUUAAUAAUGCUAAAUUUGAGCUAGACCCGGUCUUCCCGUAUUAAUUUUUUUUAGAUUUUCUAUAGAAAAAAAAUUUAAAAAUAGAAUAGAUCAAAUGUAACACCCCAUACCUGGCCUAGACAUUACGGUCAAACCAUUAGAUUACAUCCACCGAAUGGAAAAUUCAAUUGAACAACUCUUUUAUGAAAACACAAUGAUUCUCCUAAAUUGCAGCUUAAUUGUGUUACUAACAUCAAAACCAAUUUACGUGAAAACAUUUGCGUGCUAACCAAAAAAAUUUUUUUUUGGGAGAAUUUAAGUUAAUCUUACAGUGGAAAACGUUAUAGUUUUUUGUAUAUAAAAUCGUGGUUCCUUUUUAAUUAUCAUAGGUUAAGCAUUUUUAAACGGUUAAAGCCUUUGCUUAGUAAAUAUCAAAAUAGUCCUAACUAAACAAAAAUAAAAAUGUUCAAAACGAAAUAAAAACCCAAAGCAGGCAAAAAAAUGUCCAUAAUAACAAAUUAAAAGUUCAAAGUGUUUAAACUAAAAUGUGAAAUUAGAGCUCCAGAGUAGCCAUCUAAUCCUAAGUCGAAGGAUCACCUGAAACAAAGCAAAACAUAGGCAUGGGCAUUAAGCCCAGUGUGUGAUUUGGCCCAUAAUUUCAAUACAAGCAAUCAUCAAUUUGUUUCAUAGCAUAUCAGGUUUCAUAUCUAGACAUAUUUUAUCAUAACAUAUCAUAUCAUAUCAUAUCAUAUCAUGUCCUACUCCCAUCUGCUACAUACUAUCUCCGUCCAGCCAAUCAUACCAUAUAAGACUACUAGAGUCCAUCCAUCCAGUCACACCAAUAGGUAGCAGUGUAUCACUUAUAUAAUUGUAGCUGAGCUGCCAUACAUAAAUUUGUAGUCUAGCCGCCACAAUUGCAGUAUAAACUGCCAUAUAUUACUUCCUCCAUUAUAUCAUAACCCACUUCGAAACACAAAUAAAUCAUAAUCGUAUAACAUGCUUAAAUAAAUAUCAUAACUCAAUGGCAUGAAUACUUACAUAGUCAUACAAAUCCUGACAUGGCACAUGGUUAAAUGGAACAUUUCAUACUUAACAUAUCUCUUAAACUUACCUGUAUACUUUUGCGUACUGAUAUUUAGGCUUUUCUGGCCCCAUAUGAUGCCUACAGACUCAGAUUUCAAGUCCCUCAAACUGCCCCUAAUUGGGCCCUAAAAUUGGGUAAAAAGGCCCACGCAGCCCAAAAAGCUAGCUCGUGCGGUCUGUACGGCCUACAACACGGUCUGCAAGGUUUUACACGGACGUGUGCUCCACACAGCCAAGCUAUAUGGGCUACAAGGUUUCAUACGGCCAUAUGGUGCACACGGUCUACCACACGACCUGGCAUAUGAUCAUGUGGCGCUAGCCAAUUUCGAUGAACAACCCCUAUUUUGUGAAUUUAACGAGUUUGGAUUCAAUUUUUUGGUUGUUUUCACACACCCGAUUAUGUAGUCAACUAACUUCAAUAACGGGAACUCACAAACCUACAAUUACGCAACAGUCGUACCAACAAUAUGUCAAAAAAAUCACCUUAAUAUAACAAAAUUAUAGCCCCCAAAAUGACAUUUGAGUCCUUACCACUUGGAAAACAACUACUAAAGUAGAACCUAAACCAUUGAAGGGAUUGAAUUAUCGGUUCCUUCGCCUAAUCAACACAAGAACAUUUAUCACCUUAAGCAAAGAAUGAUUGAAUCAAAAUAACAGAAAAAAAGGUGCAAGAAGGAGCGGGAACAAACGGUUCUAGGAAAAGAGGGAUAUAUGGAUUUGAUAGACUUAAAAUAAAAUAAAAUAAAAAUAACAAGUUUUAAUUAAUCCAAACCCCACCCUUCAGAUUUAAUAGAGUUUAACUAAAACUUUAACACCCACGAGAAGCCCAAGCAAAAAGUAAAAUGUAACCAAACAUUUAACCAUUAAACCACUAAACUUAUCAUUAUUAUAACCCAACAACAAAGAAAUUGAUUUAAGCCCUAAGAUUCAAACUUAACUAAAAGUAAAAAAAAAUUAAUAGAAAAUCUCAAAACUAGAUAAUUGAACUCAGGACCUAAAAUGAACUUUUAAGACACUUAACCAACACAAAUCAAAUUACUUAACCAACCUACACAUUCAAAAACCCAAAAUUUGGGGCAUUACAUCAAAUGUACUAAAAAUAUUAAAAUAAAUGUUUCCCAACAAAUUAAAAAUACAUUGAAAAAGUCUUUAUACUUAAAUAACAUUAAAAAAUAGCAUUGAGAUAGUUGCAACUUAGCAAGUAAGUUCCUCUAAAAUAGUAGCAAAAUUAACAAUAAAACAAAAGUUAUACAAUAUUCAAAUAAUAACAACAAAAUAGUAGUAAUAUAAUAGUGAAAUGACAACAAAACAACAAUGAAAUGGCAACAAUAUAUUUGGGUCAGGUCAGACUUAGACCAAAGAUUCCUACUCGAGACACAACUCAUUUAGAAAACGGGCUUUAUUUUUUGUCCAAACCUAUUUUUCGAGCCUAUAUUUUUGCCCAAAACUUCUCACUUUUCAGGCGCGCCUUCGAACUUGAAUAAAUGACCCGACUCAUGAUCAGGUCUAGAUGAUAUUUAAAAAAAAAAAGUAUCACAUUAGAUUGUUACCAAAAUUACUUCCAUACCUUGUAAUAUAUAUUUGUUAGAUUUCUAUUGUAAUUUGGUAAAGUUAAAAAGUAAGAAACAAUUUUUUUUAAAGAAAAUUCUAUUUAUUUUUAUAAAAGAGACUAAUGGUGUGUUUAGUUUAUACGAAAUAAAUAAAUAAAUAAAAAGUAAUUUGUGGGAUUUUAAUUUUGACGUUCACCAAAUAUUUGAAGCUUGAAUCAAGGCAUAUUUUAUUUAAGGCUAAUCUUCUAUUACCUCAAUACGUUGCCAAUUUAGUACCUCUUUAAUCAUACAAGUAAGAUGCCAAAUGACAUAUAUUUAAUUAUGCCACCAAAGCAAUGUUUCCUAAAUUGUAAUCUAAAAUUUCGAGUUUAUGAUGCCCCACUUCACUUUAAAUUAAGAAAAAUAAAGGUUUAGUUGUUUUUACUUGAUUGAUUACUCAUUUCAUAAAUUAAUGAAAAAAGAAAAGAAAUUGCUUCAAUUUUGCAUCAAAGUCAAGAAAGUAAAGGAUUGAUUUAUUAACUUAUAGCAAUUUUCAUCAUUAAUAUUUCUUUAAAACAUAAUCAUUUUGAUAUAAGCAACCAAAUAGUAUAGUUUUUAUUAUAAAUAUAAUAUAUAUAGUGUUGAUGAGAUAUGUGUCUAAAUUCUUGAGUGGGAAAUUUAUUCCAAGUUGAGUCAUUUUCAAUGCUACAAAAACAAAACUGCAAACUUAAUUAAGAUAUAAUUAAAACAUAAUAUGUGAAAUCAUGCUAUAAAAGAUAAAAUAUCUUAAAUUUUAUAUGAUACAAAUUAUUAACCAAUCAUAAUUUAUUAAAUAUAUAUUUUUUAUAUGAUAUAAUUAUUGACUCAAUAGUUACUUAUGAAAACGCCCAAUUGAAUCUAAUUCACAACCUCUUCCAAUUUUCAUUCCCAGAAAAUUGAAUUUUGUUUCUAAACUCCCCCUCAAAAUCAUAAGGAUAGAUUUUUUUCAUAAUAACUUAUUUUUUUAGCUCCUCAAUUUCAUUAUUGUUCAAAUUACUUUAAAGAUGGAUGAAAAAAUUAAUGUCGAUUAAUUUUGUUCAUAUGGUAUCUACGUAUAUACCACAUAAGCAAUUAAUUAAUAUUUUAAGUUAAAAAUAUUAAAAUAUAUUUUUUAUGUUUUAUACUUUUUAAUACUUUUUAAUUUUUUUAGUAUUUAAUAAAAUAAUUAACUGCUAACGUGGCAUUCAUGUGGCAAUCUACGUGUAUGUCAUGUAAUUAAGUAAAGUUAACAAAAUAUUACAUUUUCUAUCUAUUUUAGUGUGAUUUGAUAAACAACACAAAUUUGUUAGCAAAAUCCACAAACUUCAAAUCCUUAUUCUUUCUAUUCCUGUCUCCGAGGUAUCUAUUCUUUUCUUAUUAUAAUACAUUGUUUGGACUAUAUCACACUAUGUAUCAUUUAAUAACUGAAUAGAUCCCCUAUCUUUGGUUUAAAUCGAAUUUGUAAUGGAGGAAUUUCAAAUAUAUUUAGAACUAGAUAGAUCUCGCUGACACGAUUUCCUAUGCCUACUUAUUUGUCAGGAGUAUAUUUAUGCACUUGCUCAUAAGCUUAGUUUAAAAAAAUCAAUGACUUUUUUUUUAAAUCAAGGAUAUGGUAAUAAAUUUAGUUCACUAAUUGUGAAACGUUUAAUUCUUCAAAUGGAUCAACAAAAUCGUUUGGUUACUUCUACUAAUGAUUCCAACCAAAAUCUGAUUUUUAGGCACAACAAUUAUUUAUAUUCUUAAAUGAUAGCGACAUGAUUUGUAGUCCCACUUAUGGGGUCAAAUCAAUACGUUCUAAGAAGAAACAUUUGAAUAUAAAUCUCAUCGAUCUCAUAAGUAUCAUACCAAAUCCUAUCAAUCGAAUCAUUUUUUUCGAGAAAUACAAGACAUCUACGUCAUACAAGUAAAGAGAUCUAUUCAUUAAUAAGAAAAAUAAAAACGUGAGCGGUGAUUGGAUAGAUGAGAAAAUAGAAUCCUGCGUCACAAAUAGUGAUUCGAUUGUUGAUGAAGAAAGAGAAUUCUUGGUUCAGUUCUCCACCUUAACGAAAAAAAAAAGAUUGAUCAAAUUCUAUUGAGUCUGACUCAUAGUGAUCAUUUAUCAAAGAAUGACUCUGGUUAUCAAAUGAUUGAACAACCGAGACCAAUUUACUUAUGAUACUUAGUUGACAUUCAUAAAAAGCAUCUAAUGAAUUAUAAGUUCAAUACAUGAUGUUUAGCAGAAAGGCGGAUAUUCUUUGCUCAUUAUUAGGCAAUCACUUAUUUACAAACUUUAUGUGGGGCUAAUUGUUUUCAUUUACUGUCUUGUGGAAAACCCUUUUCGCUUCGCUUAGCCCUAUCUCCCUCUAGGGGUAUUUUAGUGAUAGGUUCUAUAGGAACCAGACGAUCCUAUUUGGUCAAAUACCUAAUGACAAACUCCUAUGUUCAUUUCAUUACAACAUUUCUUAACAAGUUCCUAGAUAACAAGCUUAAAGGUUUUCUUAUUGAUGAUAUCGAUAUUGAUGCUAGUGACACUAUUGAUCAUGACCUUGAUACGAAACUGGAGCUUCUAACUAUAAUGAAUAUGUUAACUAUGGAUAUGAUGUCGGAAAUAAACUGAUUUUAUAUCACCCUUCAAUUCAAAUAACUAAAAGCAAUGUCUCCUUGCAUAAUAUGGAUUCCAAACAUUCAUGAUCUAGAUGUGAAUGAGGCGAAUUACUUAUCCCUCGAUUUAUUAGUGAACUAUCUCUCCAAGGAUUGUGAAAGAUGUUCCACUAGAAAUAUUCUUGUUAUUACUUCAACUCAUAUUCCCCAAAAAGUGGAUCCUAAUCUAAUAGCCCCGAAUAAAUUAAGGCAAAGAGAGAAGAUUUCGCGAGACUUAGCUUGGCAAACGAAUUGAUUAUUCGAGAUGUUCUAUCAUUGUUGUUGGCCCCUUACUUUUAUUACAUCGCUGUGGAUUGCCUCACGAAAUAGAAAUAGAGCUUUUCCAGACAUUUGUAAUUCGCGGUCUAAUUAGACAACAUCUUGCUCUGAACAUAAGAGUUGCUAAGAGUAAAAUUUGAGAAAAAACAUCGAUUGUAUGGGAAAUACUGCAAGAAGUUAUGUGGGGACAUCAUGUAUUGUUGAAUAGAGUGCUUCCUUUACAUAGAUUAGGUAUACAAGCAUUCCAACCUAUUUUAGUGGAAGGAUGCACUAUUUGUUUACACCCAUUAGUUUGUAAGGGAUUUAAUGCAGACUUUGUGAGGAUCAAAAUGACAGUUUAUGUACCUUUAUCUUUAGAGGCACAAGCGGAGGCUUAUUUACUUAUGUUUCCUCAUAUGAAUCUCUUGUCUCUAGUUAUUGGGGAUCCUAUUUUUGUACCGACUCAAGAUAUGCUUAUCGGGCUUUAUGUAUUAAUGAGUGGGAAUCGUCUAAAUAUUUGUGCGAAUAGGUAAAAUCUAUGAAAUCGAAAAAGCUAUCAAAAUGAAAGAGUUGACUAUAAUAACUAUAAGUCUGCAAAGGAGCCUUGCAUGAACUCAAGAAUACAGUAGCUAUAUGUUUUCAUUGUUUAUAUUGAUUUUUUUUUGAAAAUAAGUUUUUUUUAAGAGUACUUAUCAUUAAAAGGAACUACAAACAAUCAAUGCAUAAUGCAUAACACUAUUAGUUUAUGUACUCAUUUUAUUGUCUUUAAUAAAAACUCAAAUAAAGGAAAAAAAAUAAAUUGACAAUAAUCACAACAUCGAUCCUCAGUUUUUUCAGUGUAAUAGACACACUAUCCUCAGGAAGGGAUUUGAUAUUAGAACAAUCAGAGAUAUUUAACUAGUCGAGAUGAGUACAGUGUUGCAACAUCUGUUCCAAUAUGGAAUCAUUCAUAUUCGAACCUUUGAUGCCCAACUCUCGAAGCCCACAAGACAAUGGCUCCAAUUGCAAUGCAUCGCAUUUUUCUAACUCAAGUUCACAAAUGCCUGGUGUCCUUGGGAGAAAACAUUCAAGCUUCUCACAAUUUGCAAUCACCAAUUUCUUUAAAGAGGGAAGGUGUUUGGGUAUAUUCUUGAUUAGCUUUGGACAAUCCCUGAUGCGUAGCUCUUACAGAAGGGAGAAAGCUUCAUCACUCCUACACAACCAUUCUUCCUACCCAGCCAUAUUCACAAACUCUAGGAUUUCAAGAGAUCCAAAUGGUUUAGUCGAAGCUUGUCCAGUACUAUAGAACUCCUCACCAACCAUUAAAACUUCGCUGAACUCAGAAAUAGAGAGAGAUUUCAAAGAUGAUAAUUGGCCAAGCGACGGUAAAGAUAUGCAAAAUUUACAGUCUUGCAACUCCAAAGAUACUAUAUUUCAGAAGGAAAAGUGCCCCACCAAUUCUGGAAAUCUCUUGCCUUUGUAACUUCCGAUAACUAGAUGCUUCAAGUUCGUAUUAGGCUCCAGUUGUUCCAAUACUUCUCUAUCAUGCUUUGAGUCACCAUCAAUAUCAUCAUAUUCAUCCCAUGUCAACUUCAAGUUCUUCAGGUUAACCUUAUCCUUCAGCUUGGCAUCUUUGGCAUCCCUGGCAUUUACAACAUUUUUCAGUCUUGAAAUGGCAAGUCUUCCCUGUAAAUGCUUGAGCUUUCCCAACUCAUUAAUGCUUGAACCAGUUUGAUCACCUAUAACAAAAUCUGUUAAGAUUCGAAUAUCUUUCAACUUACCCAUCCCUUCUGGCAUCCUAGUUAACUUUGUUCCCCUAAUAUCAAGAUAAAGCAUGUUGAUCAAUCUCCCUAUAUCUCUCGGCAACUCAACAAGGUCACUGCAUCUAUGCAAUGCCAAUGCUUGCAAAUUAUACAAUGUACACAGAGAAUUUGGCAAUGAUAUAUAAAAUGAAAAAAAUGAGUAUAGUAGUGUUAAAUACAUUUCAGUUUCCAACUGGCAAUUGUCAAUAAAUAACCCAACAUUACGUUCACAAUCUUAAUUCAUUUGGAUGCCAAUCCACUAAAACUCGCAAUCAAAUAAAUAUACUGAAAAGCAUAAUUCAACAUAACUUCCUCACCUUCUUCUACCAAACUUACAAAUCACAUUUUUGUUUCAUGACUAUCAAAAUAUGAUUGCAAUACCGCCAUCUGCACUUCUUUUCUCACUCACUGCCCUUUCUAUAUGAUAACCUCCUCGUCAAUAUGAAUAAUGGGGAUGUGGGAAAUGUUGGCCCAAUCUUUGCCUUUCUCCUUUUUACAACGUUUCUCCAGCAAAGGACAUCCACAAAUGGACAAACAAGAAAGAGAGGGAGGGAGCAUGUUUGGGGGCAUGGAUUGGAGCUUGGGACAGUUGUAGAUAUUCAAAUCGCAAAGAGAGGUGAGGUGUUGAAGCCCCUUAUACUCCAAACUCUUUAGAUUUGGAAGACCAGAGAUCCAGAUAGAUGUAAGAGAAGAGGGAAGUAGAUGUUCAUCUGGAAAACACUCCAUCUCUAUUUCUGAACCACUGAUUCCGAAAGCUGUAAGAGAAGGGAAUGUAUGCAAACUCCAUUGCCUUUUCCUAAUCAAGCUCUCAAUUAGUUUAUCACUCCUGCUGAUUGCAAUUACUUUUAAUUUGGAGGGCAAACCCUCUUUUGGAACCCUCUCUAUUUCUGGACAAUCACCUAUUUCCAAAAACUUUAGGGAUGGACAGACAGAGUGCAUUUGCUCUGGCAAUGACUUCAGACUUUUGCAAUUCCUAAGCACAAGUUGGGUCAAAUUGGUGACAACUAAUCCAUCUUCAAUUUGAAAAGAUAUCAAAUUUUGGCAGAACCCUAUUUCCAAAGAAUCGAGACAUGUUAGAUGCCGGUGGUGAGAGCCCUCUAAUGCAGCACUAAUAAACUUCAACUCUUCACAUCCUGAAAUUUUAACGUCCUUUACCAUAGGAAACCAUCCUAAUGGGAAAGAUUCCAGCUGACCACACUUCAUAUCUCUUAUCUCCAAAGAUUCAAGGGAUGUAUACAAGAAGGUUUUGGAAUGAUCAAAAGCUUUGCACUGGUUGAUCCUCAGUUUUUUCAGUGUAGUAGACACACUACCUUGAGGAAGGGAUCUGAUAUCAGAACAAUUUAAGAUAGUUAACUUGUCGAGAUGAGUGCAGUGUUGCAACAUCUGUUCCAAUAUGGAAUCAUUCAUAUUCGAACCUUCAAUUCCCAACUCUCGAAGUCCACAAGGAAAUGGCUCAAACUGCAAUGCGUUUCAUUUCUUUAACUCAAGUUCACAAAUGCUUGGUGUCAUUGGGAGAAAACAUUCAAGCUUCUCACAAUUUGCAAUCACCAAUUUCUUUAAAGAGGGGAGGUGUUUGGGUAUAUUAUUAAUUAGCUUUGGACAAUCCCUGAUGCGUAGCUCUUGCAGAUGGGAGAAAACUUCAUCACUCCUACACAACCAUUCUUCCCACCCAGCCAUUUCCUCAAACACUAGGAUUUCAAGAGAUCCAAAUGGUUUAGUCGAAGCUUGUCCAUUACUGUAGAACUCCUCACCAACCAUUACAACUUCGCUGAACCCAGAAAUGGAGAGAGAUUUCAAAGAUGAUAAUUGGCCAAGAGACGAUAAAGAUAUGCAAAAUUUACAGUCUACCAACUCCAAAGAUACGAUAUUUGAGAAGGAAAAAUGCCCCACCCAUUCUGGAAAUCUCCUGCCUUUGUAACUUCUGAUAACUAGAUGCUUCAAGUUUGUAUUAGGCUCCAGUUGUUCCAAUACUUCUCUAUCAUGCUUUGAGUCACCAUCAGUAUCAUCAUAUUCAUCCCAUGUCAGCUUCAACUCCUCAAGAUUAACCUUAUCCUUCAAAUUGGUAUCUUUGGCAUCCCAGGCAUUGACAACAUUUUUCAGUCUUGAAAUGGCAAGUUUUCCACGUAAAUGCUUGAGCUUUCCCAACUCAUUAAAGCUUGAACCAGUUUGAUCACCUAAAACAAAAUCUGUUAAGAUUCGAAUAUCUUUCAGCUUACCCAUCUCUUUUGGCAUCUUAGUAAGCUUUGUUCCCCUAAUAUCAAGAUAAAGCAUGUUGAUCAAUCUCUCUAUGUAUCUCAGCAACUUAACAAGGUCACUGCAUCCAUGCAAUGUCAAUGCUUGCAAAUUAUACAAUGUACACAAAGAAUUUGGCAACCUUGUGAUUGAAGUUCCUGAGAGAUUCAAAUUUCGUAGAUGCUUCAAACUACCAAUAUCUUCCGGCAAGUCAUUGAUAUUUUUAUACCCAGCCAAAGAAAGCAAUCGUAAGCUUGAUUUCAUCAACAAAUCAUUCAUUAGCACAUUGCUAACAUAACAAUAGGAAGAAGACUUCACAUUUAGGAAAGCACGCAAACGUUUUGCUUUAGGUAAGCUCUAAAAUUUUUGUCGCACAUCAUAAUAUUCUUGGACAUUGGACAAAUGACGAGUCCUUUCGAUUAUUUCACAAGAACCAUCACUAUCUUCUAAUCUGCAAAUAAACCCUCCAGCGAUAGAUUUAGCCAAAUCACUGAUUAGAUCAUGCAUGACAAAACUAGAUUUCUUUCCAUUCGAUUGCUGAAAAAAUGACCUCAAUCUUAUAUCUUCAAAAUAGUCAUCACCUCGUUCUUCCACAUCACCAUGGUCAUUUGGAAGCUCUAAAAGACCUUCAGCCAUCCAUAACCGAAUGAGUUGUUCCUUCUCAAAUUCAUAAUCUUUAGGGAAAAUUGAACAAUAAACAAAACAUCGCUUUAAAUGUGAAGGAAGAUAAUAAUAACUCAAUUUCAAUGCGGGAAGAAUAUCAUUUGGUAGGUCUCAAAAAUUGCUAUGUAAUAUUUUGUUCCAUUUAGCAGCGUCUAGAUUACAACGCAGAAGACCUCCAAGAGUUUUUGCAGCCAGAGGGAGGCCGUCACAUAUUUUGACAAUUACUUUACCGAUUGCCAUCAGAUCUGGAUGCAUGCUUGGGAUUGUACCAACGAAUGCAUGCUUUGCAAAUAGCUCCUAACAGUCAUCAUUUGAUAAGGUCUGCAGAGGAUAACUUGGAACAGUCUUCAUAAUGGAGGCAACACUUUCAUCACGUGUUGUUACAACAAUCUUGCUAUUUUGUGCCCCAAAACUGAAAGGAAUUCUGAGCUCAUCCCAAUCAGUAGACCUUAAGUUCCAAACAUCGUCUAAAACCAAUAGAAAUUUCUUUCCCGACAAUUUGUGACUGAGUUUAAGUUGAAGCUGAUUUAAGCUCUGACUAUCAUCAUAACCACCAGGGAGCUCUUGGAGGAUGGCUUUAGUUACUUUGAAAGGAUCGAAUUCUUCCGAAACACAUACCCAUGCUUUGAGCUCAAACCAUUCGGCCACUUUCUGGUCAUUAUAGAUCAAUCGUGCGAGCGUGGUUUUGCCAAGCCCGCAAAUACCCACAAUGGGAAUCACAUCUACCUUAUCAUCAGCGGACAGAUUUUGACGGUGCAGCAACUCCAUUAUAUCUUCUUUUUCACCAUCUCUACCAUAAACACCAGACUCGUCCACCAAAGAAGAAGUUGCACGUGAUCUUCGAUACUCCUUUUCUACUCUAGAAAUUCCUUCCAAUUUCAGGGUAUCUUUUAGGCUGACUAUAUAUUCUAGUCUCCCAAGGAUCUCCUCCAGCUUUGACUGCAUCCCAUCUUUGAAAGGAUUGAAACAAGAGAAAAUGCCACUAACCUGGUUCCUAGUAGUGGUUUGAUAUUCGGAUUCGAUCUUGUUCCGAAGAGCUUCAGUAGAGAUCUCGUCCAGGAGGUCCUCGGCAUCAUAAACAGCAUCUUUGAGCUCAUCAAUCCAACUUUUGACAUUGGGGCUGGUAAUCUGCUUAUAUUCAGCAUCAUCCAACACAGCUUUCACCGACAUCAAGGUUGGCUUCAGUUUGUUCAGAAGCGUAGCUUCAAGUUUCUUUCCGUUGAUAAACCUACGAACAUCGGCAGAAACAAUCCUAUCAAGCAGAACCUCAAUGGAAGCAGAGAGAAAAGCUUCAGCCACUAUAGCCAUGUUUUUCUUUUGGGGUUUUAGGUAAAGAAAGGUUUAAAGGAAGAUGGAAAGGGAAGUAAAAGCAAACAAUGAAGAAGAAGAGUUCUUGAACACAAGAGAAGAAGGUUGCAAAGAUGAAGGAUUUGGAAAUGAAACAGAAGAAAGAAAGUGCAAAGCAAAUUGCAAACAAGGAACAGUAGAAGGAAUGUGGAUGAAGGAUGAAAGGGGAAGGCUUUAACUUGCAAAUACUUGAGUUGCAAGGACUUUACUUUUUAGGAUGCAAAGAGAUAUUAGUAAAUUGUUUAGUUCCCCUAUUUUGUUAGACUAAUAUUAUAUUAAUUAAUAAUUAGCUUUCUUCAAAAUGGGAAAAUAUGUAUUUAAUAUUUUGUGUUCCUUUAAUUAAUUGUCGAUGACAACUGAAACUGGAUUUGGAUUUGGAGGACAUGUUUAAAAAGUGAAUCCAAUUGUGAAAUAUAUGAUUAGAGAAUGGAAAGUAAAAGAAAAAAAUUAAAAAUAACAUAAAAAAUUAAAUUAUUCAAAACGAAAAAAUAUAGAGAUUAAUUGAAUAAUUUAAGUUUUUUAUUUAUAAUAAUAAUUUAAUAUGCCACAUCAAUUUUAUAAAAGAAAUCUUCACUUUAAUUGUGUCUCUAAAUUAUUGAGCGAAAAAUUUAUUCUACAUUCAGUCAUUUUUAAAACUACAAAAUGGCAUAAGGACAAAAUCACAAAUUUAAUUAAAAUAUUACAUAAAAAAGGAAAUAAUUAUGGUACAAAUUAUUAACCAAUCAAUAUUUAUUAAAUAUAUAAUAUUUUUUGAUUAUAUGAUAUAAUCAGUUACUUACGAAAUCACUCCAUUCAAUUUAAUUUGCAACCAUUUCCAAUUUUGCAAUCUCAAAAAAUUGAUUUUUCUUUUAAAUUGCCCCUCAAAAUCAUAAUUUUAAACAUUUUUUUGGUAUAAUAACUUAUUUAGUUUUUCACUCUACGGAAAAAAUUAACUCUUCAUUUACUUUUACACUUUUUUAGUCUUUGAGCUUGCAUUGUUAAUUAAAUCAUCUAAAAAUGAAUGAAAAAAUUAUCGAUUAAUUUUGUUGACGUGACAUCUACGUGUAUGCCAUAUGAGCAAUUAAUUAAUUUCUUUUUUAAUCAUCUCAUUAUAAGAUCUAAUAAUAUCUGCUCUUUUUGACACAAUUCCUAAAACUACUCAUAACCCCUCUCCAACCCAUAAAUAGAAAGAUAAUGCGCUUCAGCGCACAUGAACUCAUGUCCUCCUGCAUCUAUGCCAAUUGAGUUAAUAUUCAAUCGGUGCAAUUAAUUAAUUUUUUAAAUUAAAGAUGUUAAAAAUAUUUUUUUAUAUUUUAUACUUUUUAAUUAUUUUUUAAAUUUUUUUUCUAAUUUUUUUGAAUUUUUAAAAUUUAAAAAUGAAUUAUUUGCUAAAGUGGCAUCCAUGUGACAAUCCACGUAUAUAUCAUGUUAGCAAAUUUAACAAACGUCAUUUUUUUUAUCUAUUUUAGUGUGAUUUAAUAAACAAUACAAAUUUAUAAAUAAAAAAUACGAAAUUUUAAAUAGAAAAUUAAAUAUUUUUUAAAAAAAUUAGAGGUUGAAUUACUAUAUUUUUUAAAAUAUAUAUAAACGUAUGUGUUAUUUAACUGUUUGUGGGACAUGUCCCAAAAUUAUUAGUGGGAACUUUAUGCCAUCUAUCUUUAAUGACUCGAUAAAAAAAUAUAUAUACACAAAUGAAAAAAUAAUAUGGAAAAGUAACUAAAAUAUAUGACUUAUCAAAUAAAAACAACACAAUAAUUUACAAAUAUUUUGAAAUUUAUACCUACAAAUUAAGUAAAAGUAUUAUGAAGUUUUAUGUAUUAGAACAUGGAUGAUAUUUUGUUCUCAUUAUUUAAAAAAUAGAUAAAUUAGUCUCUGUAUAUUAGAUUAAAGAGCAAAAUGAUUAUUCUGUUAAAAAUUUCAUUAAUUUCACUGUUAAAAACUAAUCACAUGUGUCAGCAUAAGAUACAUAUGGCAUGCUACAUGUCACUCACUGUCUAGUUAUUUUAUUAGUCACACCAAUUUAUAACAAUAUAAAAGAAUGAAAUUUUUAACAAAAAAAACCAAUUUACUUUUUGAUCUAAUAUAUAGGAACUAAUUUACUCAUUUUUAAGUAAAGAAGGCAAAAUGUAAUUUAACUCCCAAUACAUAAACCUCCAUGUUUUCUUUUCCAUUUUAAGUAAAUUGUUGUGUUUCCAAAAUGAUUUAUGCAUAUCUAAUAAUAAUAAUAAUCAAUGAUUGACAUGUUAAGGUAUAUCUAAGAUACCAGUGGCGUCUAGGGGUGAGCAUUCGAUCGAAUCGAAUCAAAAAUUUUCGAGUUAAUCGAGUUUUCAAAUCUCAUUUUAUCAUCCUAACUUUAUUUGAAGUUUUCUCGAAUCGAGUUGAGUGAGAUGGAAUUCGAAUAGAAUCGAAUCGAAUAUAUUUGUUCGAGUUAAAUUUAAAAAAAUAAUUUUGGGUCCUUGUAACUAGUGUCACCCAUCGUAAUAAAAUUUGUCCACAUUAAUCAAAUUUUUUAUUAACUUUCAUCACUUCAUAAUUUAUUUAUUAAUUUUUUAUAUAUUGAUUAGCUUCUUUGCUUGCUUAGUUGUUUCAAUUAUCUUCAGAUUCUUGUCACUAUGUAUUUUAGAAUUAAAAAAUAUAUUAAAUGUAAAAAUAUGAUUUUUCAAUAAAAGUUAUUUUAAAAAUAAAAUGUGAAAUUAAUACCAAUAUAAAAUUUUAACACGAAUAUUUUAUGGCAUAAUUAAUAAUUUAAUUUUAAUAUAAAUAUUCAAUAUGACUAAACAAUUCAAUGAUAUAAAUAAUAUAAAAUGUGAAAUUUAAUUUAAUAAUAUAAAUAGUAGAUAUAAAUAAAAUUAUUACUAUUUAUGUUUAGUGAUAUUUUUUGGAUAAUUUUGAUUUUUUAUUUGAGAGUAAAGGGUGAGAAGUAAAAGUUUAGGGGAAAAAUAAAAAGUUUUGGGGAAUAAAAGUUUGAGGGAAAGUAAAUAGGGGGAGUAAAAUUUUUGAGGGAAAAUAUUAAAAAAAAAUUGGAGGGGGGAGGGUUUGGGAUAAAUGGGAGGUGAGAUGGGAAGGGAAUAAAAGUUUUAGGGGAAAAGUGGGAGGGAGUAAAAAUUUUGGGGGAAAAUAAAAGGUUUUGAGGGUUUUUGGAAGUAAAAUUUUGAGAAAAAAUAAAUGGGAGAGUAAAAUUUUGGUGGGAAAUGGAUUUUGGGUAGAUUGGGGGGUUGGGAGGGGAGGGGAGUAAAAGUUUUGGGGGAAAGUGGGAAGGAGUAAAAGUUUUGAGGGAAAAGUAAAAAGGUUUGGGAGUUUGGGGUAAAAAUGUAAAAUAUUAUAGUUUGAUAUUCGAAUUAUUCGAAUUAUUCGAGUUAUUUGAAUUUGAAAACUCAACACGAUUCGAACUCGAAAUUCGAAAAAAAAAAUUCGAGUUGAUUCGAAUAACUCGACUAACUUGAAUAACUCGAUUCGUUUAACUCGAAAUUUGAAUUUUUUUUCGAUUUUUUCGAGUCGAAUCGAGUUUUGCUCACCCCUAGUGGCGUCUACUAAUACUUGAAAAAGAAAAUGGAAGUAUGUUGGGAUCGUUAUGAGUGUGAACAAUGUAUGCCUUAGUUCUGAAGGACUUUCUUUUAUGUUAGCGAACAUAACUAACAGAGUGGUAGUAUAAGUCUGUCAGCCGUUUCUUGAAAAAAAAAAAAAAACCUCUAGUGCAUGACAACACUAACAAAAAUCCAGACAUAAUAAUCUAAAAUCAUAUAAAUAUAAAAAAAUUGAUAUAUAUUUUUAUUUUCAAUAUUUUAUGAUAUCCUUAUAAAAUAUUUGUCAACCUGUGACCCUACUUAUGGAAUCUAAAAUUUUUAUUGAUAGUGUACAAAAUAUUAUUUCUUUAUAUAUUAUAAAAGUAAAAUUUCAUAAAUUUUAGAAAAUCAAAAUUUUAUAUAUUUUUUAAAAAUUCAUUUUGAAUUUGAAUUUAAAACUUUUAAUAUAUAUUUUAAAAUUUUGAUAUAAUAUUUUUAAUUUUAUAUAAUUAAUAUAUUUUUAUUGAUGUUUGUUCUGUACACAUGUAACAAGUGGAGAUAGAUUAGGAUCGUUUAGCUCGAAGGCAUCCAAAGAUUACCACUCAAUUUCACUUAAGUUAAUUAUUCAUUGUGAAUACUUAGAUGAGUUUGGCAUGUACAUAGAUUUAAAAUAGAUGUUGGAGUCAUUUGAUGAUGUGGUAUCUAUAAUGUUGAGAAAUUGUAGUCUAGGUAUGUAUAUAUGUAUGUAAUGGUACUUAUAUAGGGUUAAGAUGCUAUGCACAAAUCUUUAUACAAUGUUUAUUACAAGUUUCACGUGUUUCUUGUGUGCCAAGUAAACUUAUUAUGAUGAUUGAAUUUGGAAAGGCUAUGAUUAUGUUGGUUGUCAUAUUGUUGGAUGUGUUUUGACAAGCAUAAAUGGUGUUUGGAACAUGAAUUUUGAGUCCCAUAAGCCUUGAAAAUGAAUUGGUAUAUGUUAUCAAAACUGGUGAUUUUAGGGAGAAUUUUUUUUUUGUUAACAAACUUAUUUUGAUGUAAGAGACUAGAUGUAUCGGUAUAAGUAAGUCAAUCUCUAAAAUUGAACGACAACAGGAACUUGUAGCGAUACAACUAGGUCAAUCAAGGACUCCUCCCUUGUUUUGAGUCAUUUUGAUCCUUGGACACCUUGACUUGGUCCUAAACAACCUUGGUCACCUAAAACUCGUUUUAAAAUGUCCUAAAUGAAUUUAAAUGACUUAUAAACAUUUUUAAUCAAGGCAAAUAGCUUUCUAUGAAUGAGUAAAUGUUGGUGUACAAGUUGAUUUCAGAGACAGAUUAGUAAAAAUAAACAAGAUAGAGGAUAUAUACCAUGUCGACUGCAAACUACUUCGUAGCUAUUACAAUGAAGAAUUUUUUGCCUUUCAUCCAACUCAAGCAACAUGCAGCAUAAAUUUUCCCUAUUAUAUAAACAAAACAUACCACAAAUCAUUUUGCAUAAGCAAUAUCCGUUGGUCGACUGUUGAUCAGUCAAGCCCUACCAACUUUUAAUUUGAGUAUUUUUUAAGUAGAUAUGUUUGAAUUUAUUUAUAUUUUAUAUAGUUUAUAUUUGGGUGAGUAUUUGAUUCACAUGUAGUGUAUUUUUUUACUUCACAAGCAACCUUAAAAAAAUUGUUAUAUAUUUUUAUUUUCAAUAUUUUACGAUAUCCUUAUAAACUAUUUGUCAACCUGUGACCCUACUUAUGGACUCUAAAAUUUUUAUUGAUAGUGUACAAAAUAUUAUUUCUUUAUAUAUUAUAAAAGUAAAAUUUCUUAAAUUUAAGAAAAUCAAAAUUUUAUAUAAUAUUUAAAAAUUCAUUUUGAAUUUGAAUUUAAAACUUUUAAUAUAUAUUUUAAAAUUUUGAUAUAAUAUUUUAAAUUUUAUAUAAUUAACAUAUUAUAGAAAAAUAAAUCUUAGUAAAUGCAUUUUUUGAAUUUGUACUCCACAAAUGUGUCAAAUUACCAUUUUUUUUUUGAAAAUUAUUUAUCCACAUGUAGAUUAUAUGUAUCGUAGUUUGAAAAAAUUGAAAAAAAAGAAGAUAAAUUUGAAUAAUUUAAAUAAUUGAUUGGUGUAAGUCAUUGGUGAAGUUUGAAAUAAUAUUUUUUAUUAGCAAAAGUUUGAAAUAAAGAGAGGUGAGGUGUUGAAACCCCUUAUACUCCAAAUUCUUCAGAUUUGGAAGACCCCAGAUCGAGAGAGUUUCAAGAGAAGAGGGAAGCAGAUGUUCAUCUGGAAAACACUCCAUCUCUACUUCUGAAAAUGAGAUAUGGAGAAAUAUAAGAGAAGGGAGUGUAUGCAAACUCCAUUCCCUUUUCCUAAUCAAGCUCUCAAUUAGUUUAUCACAUUUUCCGAUUGUAAUUCUUUUUAAUUUGGAGGGCAAACCCUCUUUUGGAACCCUCUCUAUUUCUGGACAUACAAGUAUUUCAAAUCCUCAAGGGAUGGAAAGACAGAGUGCAUUUGCUCUGGCAAUGACUUUAGACUUCUGCAACCGACAAGCAUAAGUCGGGUCAAAUUGGUGACAGAUAAUCCAUCUUCAAUUUGAAGAGAUAUCAAAUUUUCGCAGGACCAUAUUUCCAAAGAAUUGAGACAUGUUAGAUGCUGGUGGUGAGAGCCCUCUAAAGUAGCACUAAUAAACUUCAACUCUUCACAUCCAAACAUUUCAACAUGCUUUAGCAUAGGAAACGAUCCUAAUGGGAAAGAUUCCAGUUGACCAUAUUGUGUAUCUUCUAUCUCCAAAGAUUCAAGGGAUAUAUACAAGAAGAUUUUGGAAUGAUCAAAAGCUUUGCACUGCUCGAUCCUCAGUUUUUUCAGUGUAAUAGACACACUAUCCUCAGGAAGGGAUUUGAUAUUAGAACAACUAGAGAUAGUUAACUUGUCUAGAUGAGUGCAGUGUUGCAACAUCUGUUCCAAUAUGGAAUCAUUCAUAUUCGAACCUCCAAUUCCCAACUCUCGAAGCCCACAAGGCAAUGGCUCCAAUUGCAAUGCAUCGCAUUUUUCUAACUCAAGUUCACAAAUGCUUGGUGUCCUUGGGAGAAAACAUUCAAGCUUCUCACAAUAUGAAAUCACCAAUUUCUUUAAAGAGGGGAGGUGUUUGGGUAUAGACUUGAUUAGAUUUGGACAAUCCCUGAUGCGUAGCUCUUGCAGAAGGGAGGAAAGCUUCAUCACUCCUACACAACCAUACUUCCCACCCAGCCAUAUGCACAAACUCUAGGAUUUCAAGAGAUCCAAAUGGUUUAGUCGAAGCUUGUCCAUUACUAUAGAACUCCUCACCAACUAUUACAACUUCGCUGAACCCAGAAAUGGAGAGAGAUUUCAAAGAUGAUAAUUGGCAAAGCGGAGGCAAAGAUAUGCAAAAUUUACAAUCUUGCAAAUCCAAAGAUACCAUAUUUGAGAAGGAAAAAUGCCCACCCAUUCUGGAAAUCUCGUGCCGUUGUUACUUCGGAUAACUAGAUGCUUCAAGUUCGUAUUAGGCUCCAGUUGUUCCAAUAUUUCUCUAUCAUGCUGAGUCACCAUCAAUAUCAUCAUAUUCAUAUCAUGUCAACUUCAACUCCUUAAUAUUAACCUUAUCCUUCAAAUUGGCAUCUUUGGCAUCCCUGGCAUAUACAACAUUUUUCAGUCUUGAAAUUGCAAGUCUUCCCCGUAAAUGCUUGAGCUUUCCCAACUCAUUAAUGCUUGAACCAGUUUGAUCACCUAUAACAAAAUCUGUUAACAUUCGAAUAUCUUUCAACUGACCCAUCCCUUCUGGCAUCCUAGUUAACUUUGUUCCCCUAAUAUCAAGAUAAAGCAUGUUGAUCAAUCUCCCCAUGUCUCACGGCAACUCAACAAGGUCACUGCAUCCAUGCAAUGUCAAUGCUUGCAUAUUAUACAACGUACACAGAGGCUUCGGCAACCUUGUGAUUGAAGUUUUUAAAAGAUUCAAAUUUCAUAGAUGCUUCAAACUACCAAUAUCUUCCGGCAAUUCAUUGAUAUUUUUAUACCCAGCCAAAGAAAGCACUCGUAAGCUUGAUUUCAUCAACAAAUCGUGCAUUAGCACAUUGCUAACAUUUACCCAAUGGAAAGAAGAGUUCACAUUUAUGAAAGUACGCAGACCUUUUGCUUUAGGUAGACUUUGAAAUUUUUGUCGCACAUCAUAUAGUUCUUGGACAUUGGACAAAUGAUGGGUCUUUUCAGUUAUUACACAAGAACCACCACUCCCUUCCAAUCUGCAGAUGAAUUCUCCGGUGACAGAUUUAGCCAAGUCACUAAUUAGAUCAUGCAUGACACAAGAAGAUUUCUUUUCCUUUUAAUUGUUGAAAAAGGGACCUCGAUCUCAAAUCUUUGAAGUACUCGUUACCCAGUUCUUCCGGAUCUCCAUUAUCUUUCGAAAGCUGUAAAAGUCCUUCAGCCAUCCAUAAUUGAAUAAGUUCUUCCUUUUCGAAUUCGUAAUCUUUAGGAAAAAUUGAACAAUAAGCAAAACAUCGCUUUAAAUGUGAAGGAAGAUAAAGAUAACUUAAUGUUAGCGCUGGAAGCAUAUUACUUGCAGUAUUUGGUAUGUCCCAAAAAUUGCUAUGCAAUAUUUUGUUCCAUUCAUCAGCGUCUAGUUUACAGCGAAGGAGACCUCCAAGUGUUUUUGCAGCCGAAGGAAGGCCGUUACAUCUUUUCAAGAUUGCUUCACCAAUUGCCUUGAGAUCCGGAUGCGUGCUUGGGGUUGUACCAACGAAUGCAUGCUUUUCGAAUAACGUCCAACAAUCAUCAUUAGAUAAGGUCUUCAGAUGAUAAGUUGGAAUAGUCCUCAUAAUGUCGGCAACACUUUCAUUACGCGCGGUUACAAUAAUCUUGCAAUUUUGAGCCCCAAAUUUGAAAGGAAUGCUGAGCUGCUCCCACACAGCAUAGUUUUCAUUCCAAACAUCAUCCAAAAUGAUUAGAUAUUUCUUUCCCAACAGCUGCUCUUUGAGUUUAAGUUGAAGCUGAUUUAAGUUAUGGUUUCCAUCACAGUUACAUUUGGUUUCUUCAAGAAUGGUUUUGGCUACCUUGAGAGCAUCAAAUUCCUCUGAAACACAAACCUAUGCUUUGGGGUGAAACCAUUUAUCCACUCUGGGGUCAUUGUAAAUCAAUUGGGCAAGGGUGGUUUUUCCAAGCCCGCCCAUACCCACAAUGGGAAUCACAUCUAUCUGACUUUUAGGCAGAUUUUGAGGAUCCAACAACUUCAUUAUCUCUUCUUUUUCAUCAUCUCUACCACAAACAUCAGACUCGUCCACCAAAGAAGUUGCAGGCGUUCUUUGAAAUGCCUUCUCUCCUUCAGAGUUUUCUUUCAGACCCAGAAUCUGUUUUUGGUUCAGUAGGUUGUCUAGUCUCCCAAGGAUCUCCUCUAGCUUUAACUGCGCCCCAUCUUUGAAAGGAUUCAAAGAAGAGAAAAAGCUACUAACCUGCUUCAUAAGAGUAGUUUGAUAUUCUGAUUCAAUCUUGUUCCGAAGAGCUUCAGUAGAGAUCUCGUCCAGGAGGUCCUCGGCAUCAUAAACAGCAUCUUUGAGCUCAUCGGUCUAACUUUUGACAUUUGGGUUGGCAAUCUGCUUAUUUUCAGCAUCAUCCAACAAUGCUUUCACCGACAUCAAGGUUGGCUUGAGUUUGUUCAGCAGAACAGCUUCAAGUUUCUUUCCUUUGAUAAGCCUAAGAACAUCGGCAGAAACAAUCCUAUCAAGCAGCACCUCAAUGGAAGUAGAGAGAAAAGCUUCACCCACCAAAGCCAUGUUGUUUUGUGGGGUUUUUUUGGUAAUUAAAGGAAGGCUUAAAGGAAGAUGAAAAGGGAAGUAAUAACAAAGAAAGGAAAAGAAGAGUGCUUCAACUAAAGAGAAGACACGGUUGCAAAGAUGAAGGAUUUGGAUUUGAAACAGAGAAAGGAAGUGCAAAGCAAAUAGUAAAGAAGGAAGCGCAGAAGGAUUGGAUGAAAGGGGAAGGCUUUAACUCGCAAAUAUUUUAGUUUCAAUAAAGAUGAAACAGCCUCAUCCUUGCAACCGCGACUUUUGUAAAAUAAACUCAUCCAAUUUUGGGUUUUCACCCAAUAUUAUAAUAAAAAAAUUAAAUACCGAAAUAAAAAAAUUAAAUAUUGUCAGAAAAAUUAAUUAUUAAAAUAAUAUAUUUUUUUAAUAACACCUAUUUGACAGUCAAAAAUUAAUUUUUUUAUUAUUUUUUAAUCGCGCCUAUGUGAGAGGCGUAAAUUAUUUUUUUAUUAUUUUUAAUCGCGCCUAUUUAACAGGCGUGAAUUAAUUUUUUAUAUUAAAUUUUUUUAAUUGCGCCUACCUAAUAGGAGCGAAUUAAUUUUUAUAUUAAAAAAUAUUUUUUAUUUAAAUAAAAUAUUAUUAAUUUUUUUCCCGAAUCAGUAUAUACCCGAGUAUAGAUACAAAAUACACAGUAAAUAUCUAUUUUUAUUUUUUAAAUUUGUAUGUUUUUAUUUUUAGAUAAUUUAUAUUAAUUUAAAUUAUAUUAUUAUUUAAAUCUAAGGUAAAAUUUUUUAUUGUAGGUAAAUUAUGAAAAAUUAUUAGAUAUUUACGGUGUUUUGUUUCUAAAAUUUGAAAUAAUUUAUUGCAUCUUUUAAAACAAAUUAAAUGAAUUUAUUUUUUAAUUGUAGAUUUGCAGCAAAUGGGUUCUUUAAUUAAUAAUAAUAAUCACAUAUCAAGUACUAUUAAUGAGAUGGUAAUAAAACUUUUAUUUGAUACUCAUAUUAUUUGCUGAAUUAAAUUAUAUUGUAUUAAAUAUUUUGCUAAACUAGUCGCUCCUCUGAGAUAAGCUCAACUAGUCCUGUAUUUCGUAUCUAUACUCGGGUUAUAUAUUGAUCCGGAAAAAAAAUUAAUAAUAUUUUAUUUAAAUAAAAAAUAUUUUUUAAUAUAAAAAAUUGAUUCGCGCCUAUCAGAUAGGCGUGAUUAAAAAAAUUUUAAUAUAAAAAAUAAUUCAUGCCUGUCAGAUAGGUUCGAUUAAAAAUAAAAAAAUUAAUUCGCUCCUGUCAGAUAGGAUUAAAAAAUAUAUACCAUUUUGGUAAUUAAUUUUUUUGACAACCUAUUUUAGUAUUUAAUUUUUUUAUAAUAUUUGGGUAAAACCCCUCCCAUUUUUGUUUAAAAUUUCUUUAUUGGAAUGUUUGAAAACAUGAUUUUGGGUUGAAAAUUUUGGAUUUAAAAUUUAAAAAAAAAUUUAUAACUUAUAAAAAGUAUGGAAAAUUAAUGUAUCACACAAAUGACACGAUAAGGAAACCAAAAUUAAUGUAUGACACAAAUUAAUGAUGAAAUAAUAUGGAAAACAGCAUAAUAAUAUAAAAAUAUUUUGAAAUUUAUAUUUACAAAUUAAGUAAAAGUAUUAUGGAGCCCUUUCUACUGAGGGCACGUUUGGUUCGCUAUAAUGGAAUAAAGGUGUAAUGGAAUAGAGGUGUAAUGGAAUAGAGGCGUAAUAGAUAAUUCUUUUGUUUGGUUAAAUGGAAUUGAAUAGAGGCGUAAUGGUAUUCUUGUGUUUGGUUGAAUGGAAUAGAGGUGUAAUAGCAUAAGGAAAAAAAACUAAAAUGACUAUAAUACCCUUAGCAAAAUUUUUUUAGGUAGAUAAUUAUUGUUAUUAUUAUUAAAUUUUAAUAAAAUUAUUAAUAUAAAUAAUAAAUAAUUUAAUCAUAUUUUAACAUAAUUAUUAUUAAAUAUAAUUUAAUAAAAAUAUAUAAUUUAAUAAAAUUCUUAAUAUUAAAUAUUCUUAUAUGAAUUUACUAAAAUCAUAAUAUAUAAUACUAUAAAAUAUAAUUUAAAAUUGUUAUUAUUAAAUAUAAUUUAAUAAAAUUCUUAAUAUUAAAUAUUCUUAUAUGAAUUUAGUAAAAUCAUAAUAUAUAAUAAUAUAAAAUAUAAUUUAAAAUAAUUAUUAUUAAAUAUAAUUUAAUAAAAUUCUUAAUAUUAAAUAUUCUUAUAUGAAUUUACUAAAAUCAUAAUAUAUAAUACUAAAAUCAUAAUGUAUAUAAUUUAAUUUUUGAAUGAAUGCAAAUGAUUCACUAUGAAUGUUUCAUUCAUAAGAUCUCCCCUGCUGUAACUUCUUCCUAGGUAAAGAUUAAAAAACAAUAGCAAACAAAUAAUUCAAAGGAUUUUUUCAUUAAUUUUAUAAACGUUAAUUGGGAGAAGCAACUCCAUAAAUCAUCAUAUGUUAUAAAUAAUUCAGCACUUAUGAGCUAAACAAAGGAGCUUGAUGAUAUCCCAAUACACAGAUUUAUACAAACUUGAUAGCAAUCUUCCAUCAAAAGUCUACGGAUGAAGAUAAGAGAUGGUGACAUUUUGGUAAGAUAAAGGUUCUAGGACAGCUUAUCGCCCCAAAAGCGCAACACGAUCCUUCUGUACUGCCUGUGUCAGGUUGAUGUCAAAGAGUUCGAAUCAUAUGGGCAUCUCCAUCUCAUAGAAAGGGUUCUUCAAAACAUAAUUUGUGUAGAGCUCAUAAACAACUUUCAAGAGAGCCUUCAUGUGCUGUGUCCUAGGUUCACAAACUACAAAGAACUUUGUCCCUGAAAAUCAUAACAUGCAUAUUUGCAAAAUCAACAGUGUAGAGAAUUCAUCGAGUGGUUAUUUAGAAUCCAUUUAAAGGAUAGAAUUCAUAUUUGUACAUGAGUUUGAAGAAUUCAGAAUCCAUUUAAAGAAGAGAAUUCAUAUUUGUACAUGCUUGUUGCUAUUAUUAAUUAUAACAAAGUUGAACUUGAGACUACCAUGGUAUAUGAGUCAAAAAUGAAAUGUUAACAAAGUAUGGCCCUUUUCAUUUACCUUACUUGAAUAAUACCUCAAGUUGAAAUGCAAAUCUUAAGUAACUGUUUUAUUUAGACGGGAUAACAUUAUUACCUUGCAACACCCAACGCAAACACAUAAUGAGCUGUAAAAGGCUCAACAAUCUGAAAGCACAAAAAAGUGAGUUAAACAUGGUGAUCUUAUAAACCUUAUUUAUAAAAUUAAAUCUACCAUCUAAGUAAUUUUUACCUUGGUGUUUUGCAUCACUCGCAACUGAGGUAAAACUGAAACGGCUUCCAGAUAUACACAGAAUGCCCAGGAAAUCCGGUUCAAUAGAUUAUGGGAAGUUGUUGGAUGAAUACACAGAGCUAGUACUGCACAAGGGACAACCUGAAUCCAAAUUCAAACGCCCAUAUGACUUCUACAAUAUGUUAAAAAAAAGGAAUAAAUCUACUCAAGGAACAAAGAAUAUAAUUGUAUUGCUAAAACGUGUCUAUGCGUAGCAAUACAAAAAAUGUAAUACCUUCAACAAUUUUUGUUCAAUUGGUUCCCAGAUAAAAUAUAUUAAAUCAAAACUAGAAGGGUGAGGUAUAAGGUGACUUUCAAAGUGGUAUUUAAAACAAACAAGUACUAAGAAGAACUGAAGACAAGUUACAGCUCAAUAGACAGUUAGAAGACUACCUACACAUGAAAAAAAAAUGAAGAAAGAGAACAAAACAUAUUAAGUAGAUCUUUCAGUGAAGAACCAAAUUUAAAGGAAAAAUAGAUCAAUAUUUUCUAAUAUGAAGAUCCUACAGCCAAUGGAGGAAAUAAUAACUUAACAAAAACUCUAGAAAAUGAGUUCUUGAAACAACUAAAUUAAGAAAAAAAACAUCCAUGCAGUAAGUAUUACUCAGACUAGGGUGUGAAUGCAGCAUACGGGUGUGUUGAAUCUUCUCUAGCUUCUUUCAUAUAUUUCAAGGAUCACUGUCAGGUCAUAUCCCCAUAGUGAUGUCUAUAUAUACGCUGGACACAGGUACUUCAAGAAUGAAAAGUUGGAGCAUCAUAGGCUAAAGUUCAAGUUAAAAAACACAACAAAAAAAAAAACUAUCACUUGCUUUUCUCAUUAUCCAAACAAAACCAUAUAUAUAUACAUAUAUCAUGAUUUAGUUUCCCUUCCUUUCUCAACAACCAAACAAAUAAUUUUUUUUUAAAAAAAGAGUAAAUUCCAGCAAAGAAGAAGCAUAGAUUAAAUCCUCAGACCCAGUUUAAGACUUUUUACCAGACUAACAUGAACAUAACAAACCAAUCAAAUAAAAAUCAAACUUGUUCAUUCAUCUUGACUUUCCUUUCUCAUCAUCUAAACAAAAUCACAAUAAACAAAUUGCCAAAAAGAAACCCAAAUCCAAUAUUUUUUAACUCAUUUUAGCAUUUAUUACUCACAUCCUCUGUAAUAGCCCGAUUUCCAUAAAUAUCGAAAAUAGUGGUACGAGAUCACCAAAUUCAGAAAAGAAGCUUGUAAAUUUUAUUAUCAAUAAUUACGAGCCAAAUAUGAUUUUUAAGAUAUUUUUGAAUUAGUAAUUUGUAUUUUAUAAAAAUUUAUUAAGUCAAGAAAUUGAGGAAAAGAGUUAUCGACACUUUGAUGUUAUAAACCGACCCGUAAAUAUUUUUAUAAAUAUUUACGGAGUGUCAAUAUGGUAGUGUUAAAGUUUCGUCAGAAAAUUUUAAUGUUUCGGCAGUUAAUUAAUUAAAAAGGAUUAAAUUGAAAAGAUGCAAAACUUGCUAAAGUGAUUAAAUAGUUUAACAAUUAAAUAAGAAAGGACUAAAAGAUAAAAUGGACCAAUUUAAGUGGCUGAGAUGACAUGCCGUUAAAAAAAAUCUAAGAUUUUUAUGUAUUUAAGGAUAAAAUUGGAAUUACAAUAAAGUUAUGUGGCCAAAUUUUAUUUUAAGUAUUUCAAGACCAUUUCUUCUUGAAAUUUCAGUGGGAACAGCCAUGGAAGAGGGUUUAGAGUUGUUCUUCCAUAUUUUAGCUUCAAGUAAGUUUAAUUCUUGUUUUUUCCUUGAAAUUUAUAUAUUUUUAGACUUUUACAAUUAGGUCCAACUUAGUAUUCUACUAGUUUCUCAUUUUGUUGAAAGUUUUGGAAGAUACUAAUGAUAAGUUCAUAUGAUUUUUGUUAUUUUGCGAUGAAAUUGAGAUGUUAAUGGAUGUUUAAAGGUGUUUUACUAAAGAAUUUUAGAUGAAAACAUGUUUUAGGGAUUAAAUUGAAAGGUAUUAAAAUUGUGGAGAAAUUCUAAAAUUUCAUGGAAUCCAUGGGCUUUUAUUUAUAUGUAUGAGAAAUAUUAGGCUUAAAUCAAGGAUUAUAUUGGAAGAAUUCUAUUUUCCGAGCCUAGGGACGAAAUUGUGAGGUAUUGAAAGUAUGGGGUCAAAUUGGUAAUCAAUAUUUUCCACUAAAACAGUUUUGAAUUACAGCAGUGGUCUAACUUUGAAAAAUCACCAAAAAUCGUGGGAAUUGAAUUAGAAUAUGAAUAAAAUAUGAAAUUAAAGUUUAUUGAGUUUAGUUUUUCAUAGAAGAAACGGUGUAAGCAAUGGAAUUAUAAAUCAUGAGAUAUAAUAAAUUUUGUGAGACAGUAUCAGAAUGAUUUCGGGUUCCUCUGUUCUGACUUUGGAAAAUCAUCAAAAUUGAAUAAAAAUAAUUAGGUGUUAUAAUUUAUAUACUUUUAAUCCUUAAUGAAUCUAUUUUCAAAGAAAAUAAACGGAAGCAUCAUCUGAAUCCUGUACAAUUAGAUAAUUCAUUUUUAGUGAAGGAUGGUCGGAGCUGUCAGAAAGCAAAAUAGGGGAACUUUAAAGAAUAAACUGUACUAAUUGGCUGAACCAAAAAUUCUGAAAAUUUUAUGGUAAGAAGAUAUGUGAGUCUAGUUUCAUGAAAAAUUUACAGAUCUUAAUUUGGAGCUCUAUAUCUCCAGAUAAAAAUAAUUUAGUGAGUCUGACUCAGAUAGACAGCUGGAAUUUUACAUAUAAGAAAAUAGUGAAAGUACGAAUAAUGAUGUUUAAAUGUGUUAUACACAUUAAGGAUAAGGAAUGGAGAGGAGGUGGAAGAAAAUUGGGAAAUAUAUGAAUCACUUGUGUACAAUUGGUCAAAUGCUUGAUUAUAAUUGAUAAAUGAUGAAAUAGAAAUGAUACUUAUAUUUGUGCAUUAUUGGUCAUGGUUUAAGCUCAUGUGUGGAAAUAAAGUUUCAUAGUAUGUGUGUAUGAUAUAUUCGGUAUAUGAUUUGGCAUGAAAUAAUUUCAUGAAUGGUAUAAUCGAUAAACAUUGAGUUAAAUGGUAAAUACGUAUUAGUGUUGAACGAAAUGGAAAUGAAGCAUUGAAUCGCAUGAGUAUGUAUCAGGUCUUGUAGGCCCUAAUUAUUAUAAUUAUAAUAUUUUGAGGAUAUAUUGUGAAAAGUUAUAGAAGCAUGUUAAUUAUUUUAAAAAUUUUAAUUUAGAUGAAAUUUUAUAACUCGAUUCAAUACGUUUACAAAUGUAUGUGUUCUAGUAAUGCCUCGUACCCUAUUCCGGUGUCGAAUACGAGUAAAAGGUGUUACAUUUAGUGGCAUCAGAGCCACAGUUUAGUCGGUUCUCGGACCAAACGUAGCAUAUGUGAAGUUUGGAAAUACAUACCAUUAUAUAACCUGUAACAGUGUGAUAUCUCUUGAUUCUAGUGAGAUUUGUUUUACUCAUAGACAGGAAUGUUUUCCCAACUGAGCUAAUUUAUAUAAUGUUAAAAGCAAUACUCAAGUAUAUAAAUUAGAAAAAAAAAGUUGAUUAUGAUGAACCGGAACUCAUAAAGGUAUGAAUAAAUGUUUUAUAAUACAUGACGAUGAUGACUAUUAUGUUAUAUGUAUUAUUAAAAGUAAAUUAUAGUACUACAUGAAAUACUGUGCUGAUAACUAAAUUAUAAAAUCUACAAAAGUAACAUAUGAAGUAUAUGAUAAGGAUUAUUAGGGAAUUAUGGAUAAAUAGUAAAUUUUGAAAUAUAUUACAUGUGCUAGAAAUAGAAAAGAUAUAAAUGUACGAAUUAUUGGUACAAGAAUUAAAUUGUAAAGCAUGUAAAAACAUUAUACGAAAAGUGUAAAAGUGAUAUGCAUACAUGAAAUAAUUUGCCCAAGUAGACGAGAUUAGAACUAUUAUGAUAUUAAGGGAGUUUAGCGUGCUCUCUGAUUAUCAGCACGUCAGUGCUCUUUGAUUAUCAGCACGUCAGUGCUCUCUGAUUAUUAGCACGUCAGUGCUCUCUGAUUAUCAGCACGUCAGUGCUCUCUGAUUAUCAGCACGUCAGUGCUCUCUGAUUAUCAACAAGUUAGUGCUCUCUGAUUACUAGCACGUCAGUGCUCUCUGAUUACUAGCACGCUAUCUGUUUAGCACAUUUGUGCUAUUUGUAUAGCACUUUAGUGCUAUCUGAUUAAUAGUGCAUAAUAAUGCACCUCUAUAAUCAAUCCCGUAUAUCCUAAGUGUUCUAUUUCGUCUACUGGACCUCUGCUAAAAAGGAAAACAAUUUUUAUUACAAGAUAAAAGACUAUCUCUGAUUCAUGUUUGAAAUAUUGAAUUAAAAAAGAAGAAGAAGAAGAAGAAAUGAAAAGUAUAGGUGGAUAGUACCAAGAGAAUCUACUAUUCAUGAAAUAAAAAGAGUAGUGAAAAGAAAAAGGUUUCAGCAAAGAUUUUAAGAUCUAAUGAUGAAUGAUUACAGAGGAAAAUAAGUUACAGAGUUGUAAAUAGAUAAGCAUGAAUUUUGAAUAAAAUAAUUUAAAGUCUUGAAUAAGUAAAUGUUAUUUAGUUUUGUAUGGAGGUUUAAAAGAGUAAUCCUUAUAAAUAAGAAUGAAAAGAUACAUUAAGAAUAAAAUGAGUAUUCUUAAGGAAGCUAAAGUUAUGGAAUAAUAAUAAGAUUUAUGAUAUGAGUAAGAAGUAAAGAAAUUUGGGGGCUACUAACUAGUUUAAUAUAAAUAUUUGAAAGAUAAAUGGAAAUUUCAAAAUCAAAAUUUGAGGGGUAAUUAAUUAUUAUUCAUGAGAAAUUUGAAGAAAUAUGAUUAUGGAAUAUAAUUUGAAAAUGUGAAUAGAAAGCAUGAACUAAAUGGUCAUGAGACAAAUGAUGGCUCAAUGUGAUAGCAUAUGAUAUUAACUAAUGAAUGAAUUAUUAUUGAGAAUAAAUUAUUGAAUUUGAUACUCAGUUUGGAUUGAACGCGGGAUUGAGUACAAUUGUUGAUAUGAGAAAUGUGGAAAUAAAGAAUAAAAUGAAAGUUUAUAUGGUGAUAAGCCCAUUCGUGUUUGCUUGGUGUGCAUAUGAUGUUAUGUGCUCAACAUAUUUGAUUAAGUAAAUGUGGUAAGCAAAAAUACGCAAAUAGAUGGAAUGUGUGUUUAUGUACACUUGCUUGAAUAAGUGUAAUCAGUAUAUUUAUAUGCUAGAAUCUUAUGUUUAACUAUUAAAUUAGAAAUAAUAUGAUGUUUUGUUUUAUGUCUUUAUUCUUGAAUUAUAAAUAUUAUAAUAGCAUGAAAAUUGAAUUGGAAGAUCAAAUUGAGUAGAACGCGGGAAUGAGUACUUUCGUUCAGUGAUAUGUGAUGAAUUGACAGAAAAGACCAUGGUUUGACCAUGGCAACAUAUGAAAAUAUGAUUAUGUGAUUUCCGAGUAAGACCAUAUUUGGGAUAUGGCAUCGGUGUGAUAUGUGUUUCCGUGUAAGACCAUAGCUGGGCUAUGGCUUCGGUGUGUGAUAUGUGACAAUGUGCAAGACCAUAGUUAUACUAUGGCAAUGUGAAAACGAAGUACUCAAUUCCGUAAGACGUUCUCUAAUUUGACAAAUGUUGGUAAGUAAAUUGGAAGCCAAGUAUUGGAACUUAAUUAGAUAUUAAUAUGGAGCUCGAGUAAGUAAAUCCAUUGUGUGAAAUUGUGGGUGACAGAAAAUACUCAUAAUAAAUAGAUGUGUUAAUUUGUUUGGAAUGAACUAUGUGGUUAUGAUGGUAUUAUAUUGAUGAUAAAUGCUAAGUUAUAUAUAUAGGUAUUUGUGAGAGUAAGUUAGAGGCUUUAUGACCUCACCAUCAUCCCCUUAUCAGUAUUGCUUUAUAACAAAAAAAUUUUUACGAGAAUCAUGUUGAAUAAGCUUAUAAAUGUUAACUAAAGAAGAAGUUAAAUUUGAUGAGAAAAAAUAUUUAGGUAUGAUACCUAAAGAAUGUAUGUACUAAUUGGAAGUUUUUCUGAAUUAAUGUUUGAUAGUGAAUAGAAUAAUGUGAGGUUGGUGAUAACAGAAUUAGUCAGAGAAAAGAUAAUUAAGUGGUAAAGAUGCCUGUGUGUGACGAUUACAAUCGAACACGAUGAUCUUUUCUGGAUAUUUUAUAUAUUCUUUUAUCCUCAGAGAUAUGUGUAUAAUUAUUCAAUUAUGAUAGAGUUCUUAUGUUGUAAGAAUGUUACCAAACUAUGAUGUUAGACGAAAGUCCUGUUAGUCUAGUUGGUUUAUGACCGGUUAUUGUUCUGUUUUGCAUGCAUAUUUAAAAAGUGUAUUGUUUUGCUACGAUGAAAUUCCAGAGCUGAAAUGUGGUGAUUUUGGUAUCGAGACUUUUCUGAUUUUCAUGUAAGGAAUUGUCAUCAAUAAGGUAUAAAUAAUGAGAGCAUAAACUUAAAAUUGUAUGAUUUAAUUUUUCAGGUCAAUUUGAUUAAAGUUAAUAAGUUCAACCAAAAUAUUUGUUUCCUUGAACUAAUACGGUUAAAGGAUCUUUGGUUUGCAUGUUAAAAGAAUGUUGCAAGAAUGUGUGACUGAGUUGCAUUUUCAUGAUGAAGAAAAGAAUACUUUGAUAUGUUAAUGUUUGAUAGUUGAAAUCAACCCAAUUGUUUUAUUAGAGUGAACUGAUUUAUCAAGAUGUGAUUUGAGUUGUAUGUAUUUAAGCAUGUGUAUUCACGAGUGUGAAGACGGAUAGUCGAAAUGAAAAAUCUAUAUUUCAGAAAGUAUGAUAUAAAGAUAUAUUUAUUGAAAAGAGAUAUACGAGAUUAUAUUGAUAAGUGAUUCUGGAAAGUUAGUGAAAGUGCUUCAUGAGAGUUGGAAAUAACUUAUUUUGGUAAGAUUUUCGAGGACGAAAAUUCCUAAAAGGGGGAGAGUUGUAAUAGCCUGAUUUUCAUAAAUAUCGAAAACAGUCGUACGAGAUCACCAAAUUCAGAAAAUAAGCUCGUAAAUUUUAUUAUCAAUAAUUACGAGCCAAAUAUGAUUUUUAAGAGAUUUUUGAAUUAGUAAUUUCUAUUUUAUAAAAAUUUAUUAAGUCAAGAAAUUGAGGAAAAGAGUUAUCGAGACUUUGAUGUUAUAAACCGAGCCGUAAAUAUUUUUAUAAAUAUUUACGGAGUGUCAAUAUGGUAGUGUUAAAGUUUCGUCAGAAAAUUUUAAUGUUUUGACAAUUAAUUAAUUAAAAAGGAUUAAAUUGAAAAGAUGCAAAACUUGCUAAGGUGAUUAAAUAGUUUAACAAUUAAAUAAUAAAGGACUAAAAGAUAAAAUGGACCAAUUUAAGUGGCUGAGAUGACAUGCCGUUAAAAAAAUCUAAGAUUUUUAUGUAUUUAAGGACAAAAUUGGAAUUACAAUAAAGUUAUGUGGCCAAAUUUUAUUUUAAGUAUUUCAAGACCAUUUCUUCUUGAAAUUUCAGUGGGAACAGCCAUGGAAGAAGGUUUAGAGUUGGUCUUCCAUAUUUUAGCUUCAAGUAAGUUUAAUUCUUGCUUUUUCCUUGAAAUUUUAUAUUUUUAGACUUUUAUAAUUAGGUCCAACUUAGUAUUCUACUAGUUUCUCAUUUUGUUGAAAGUUUUGGAAGAUACUAACGAUAAGUUCAUAUGAUUUUUGUUAUUUUGCGAUGAAAUUGAGAUGUUAAUGGAUGUGUAAAGGUGUUUUACUAAAGAAUUUUAGAUGAAAACAUGUUUUAGGGAUUAAAUUGAAAGGUAUUAAAAUUGUGGAGAAAUUCUAAAAUUUCAUGGAAUCCAUGGGCUUUUAUUUAUAUGUAUGAGAAAUAUUAGGCUUAAAUCAAUGAUUAUAUUUCAAGAAUUCCAUUUUUCGAGCCUAGGGAUGAAAUUGUCAGGUAUUGAAAGUUUGGGGUCAAAUUGGUAACCAAUAUUUUACACUAAAACAGUUUUGAACUACAGCAGUGGUCUAACUAUGAAAAAUCACCAAAAAUUGUGGAAAUUGAAUUAGAAUAUGAAUAAAAAAUGAAAUUAAAGCUUAUUGAGUUAGUUUUUCAUAGAAGAAAUGGUGUAAGCAAUGGAAUUGUAAAUCAUGAGAUAUAAUAAAUUUUGUGAGACAGUAUCAGAAUGAUUUCGGGUUCCUCUGUUCUGAAUUUGGAAAAUCAUCAAAAAUUGAAGAAAAAUAAUUUGGAGUUAUAAUUUAUAUUCUUAGAAUCCUGAAUGAAUCUAUUUUCAAAGAAAAUAAAUGAAAACAUAAUCCGAAUCUUGUACAAUUAGAUAAUUCAUUUUUAGUGAAGGAUGGUCGGAGCUGUCAGAUAGCAAAACAAGGGAAACUUUAAAGAAUAAAAUGUACUAAUUGGCUGAACCAAAAAUUCUGAAAAUUUUAUGGUAAGAAGAUAUGUGAGUCUAGUUUCAUGAAAAAUUUACAGAUCUUAAUUGGGAGCUCUGUAUCUCCAGAUAAAAAUAAUUUAGUGACUCGGACUUAGACGGACAGCUUGAAUUUUACAUACAAGAAAAUAGUGAAAGUACGAAUAAUGUUGUUUAAAUGUGUUAUACACAUUAAGGAUGAGGAAUUGAGAGGAGGUGGAGGAAAAUUGGGAAAUAUAUGAAUCACUUGUGUACAAUUGGUUAAAUGCUUGAUUAUAAUUGAUAAAUGAUGAAAUAGAAAUGAUGCUUAUAUUUGUGCAUUAUUGGUCAUGGUUUAAGCUCAUGUGUGGAAAUAAAGUUUCAUAGUAUGUGUGUAUGAUAUAUUCGGUAUAUGAUUUGGCAUGAAAUAAUGUCAUGAAUGGUAUAAUUGAUAAACGUUGAGUUAAAUGGUAAAUACGUAUUAGUGUUGAACGAAAUGGAAAUGAAGUAUUGAAUCACAUGAGUAUGUAUCGGGUCUCGUAGGCACUAAUUAUUAUGAUUAUAAUAUUUUGAGGAUAUAUUGUGAAAAGUUAUAGAAGCAUGUUAAUUAUUUUAAAAUUUUUAAUUUAGAUGAAAUUUUAUAACUCGAUUCAAUACGUUUACAAAUGUAUGUAUUCUAGUAAUGCCUCGUACUCUAUUUCGGUGUCGAAUACGGGUAAAGGGUGUUACAUCCUCAACGGGCAAAGCUACAUCCUUGACAUGGGCUUCAGCUACUGAAGCAGAUUCUAUAACAAGGUCAGGCUUCUUUUCAAUGGGAGAAUCCGAUUCGGAUGAGUAGAACUUGAGUCGAGACCGAGUUGAAGCGGCGAGUGGGUUGAACGACUGAACUGGGUUUUGGUUGGUUUUGGUAUAAGAGUGAAGAAUAUUGCGAGUAGUGAGUGAAAUGCCUCUAAACAAAACCCUUUUCAUGGCUUCCAAACAAAAUGGUUAGUAUCCAAGUGUUUUCCCGUUCUUUGGUUUUCAGAGUUUCUUUGAUUUCAUUUGGGGGCAAAGACGUUAGGAGGGAGAAGGUAAAACAGGGCUUAGAAAUCUGGAGAGUAAAAGGGAAGGCUAAUCUGAGCUUUUGGAAGGGAAUAGAAAGCAGAGAAUUUGGGAGAAUAGAGGCGUAAUGUAAUAAGCCCGUAAUAGGGCAUUACACCCAACCAAACAUAUGAAUAAAUGGGGCCCACGGAAUAGAGGUGUAAUGGCUAUCCCAACCAAACAUGCUGUAAAAGUUAGAUUGUAAUCCCAACCAAACAUGCUGUAAAAAUUAGAUUGUAAUUUAUCUUUUUUAUUUUAAAAAAGGGUAAAUUAAUCUCUGUACAUUAAAUUAAGAGUAAAUUGGUCAUUCUGUUAAAAUUUUCAUCCAUUUAUAUUAUUAAAAACUGGUCCUAGUAUAUCAACAUGAGGUACACAUGGUAUGUCACAUGUCAUUAACCGGUUAUUUUAUCAAUGAUAUUAAUUUUUAACAGUACAAAUGAAUGAAAUUUUUAACAAAAAAUUUAAAGAUCAAUUUGUUCUUUGAUCUAACGUAUAAGGACUAAUUUACUCAUCUUAUAGUGGAUGGGAUAAAAUACAAUCUAACUCCUACUAUAAAGAGCUCCAUAAUAUUUUACCGUGUAAAUUAUAUAUUAACAUAUCAAAAAAUUUAUAUAAAUAUAAAAAUGCGAUACAUAUCCAUAAAUUGUUAGAUCUAACAAUAAUAGCCAAGUAGUCUAAAAUAAAUAUUAGAAUAGGAAAAUGAGAUUAAUAUUUACGAAACUAGGUAAAAAGAAGUAAAUAAUUGGUGUCGCCUGACCAAUUGAUGAUACCCUCUUAUUUAAAUCGAUAAUACCUAUAUUUCAAACCAAAAUACGAAUUUAUUUUAAGAGGAUACGAAAAAACAAAAUAAUAAUAAUUUUUUAUUAUUGUGGCCCAGGCGAAACCCUAUUAUUUUUAAAAGGAGAAUUGUUUUUUGUACUCUCCUUAUGUAUAUCCAUAAAGAACUCCCAUAAGCCAGAAGCCAUUAAAUGCUUCCAUCGAGUAACCAGUAUAUGACAAAGAACACUCACGGAGGAUAGUAUAGCCAUAAAGCCCGAAAGCUCCAACCCACUAUGAAAUAUCAAACGCCAAUGAAGCACCAAUCACCAACACAUUUACGAACACCCAACUCGUCAACACAUUCACCCCUAAAGCACAAAACGAGACAUAGGCUAACACCCUAGUCUUCAACUGGCUUUGCAAGAACCUUUGUAAUGGGAACUGAAAACGCAAAGCUAAAGUGCAAAGGUAUCAACCAAAUCACCACCACCCCCGACAUCUCCCCCACGUCGUCCAGCUGUCCGAAUAGCUUUAAAAUCGAGGUAGCAAAUACGUAAAUGGGUAACAACAAAGGAUUAAAACGAUCCAUGAUCUUUGCAUGUAAAUGCCUAACAUGUGGUAUUGUUUAGCACCAAAAGCUUGUCCACAAAGGGUUUCUAAAGCACUCGCCACCCCUAAUUAAAGUAAAGUGAAAAAAAAAACUAAUGUUUAGAGACAUAUAUGGUAAAAAGAAAACUAAUGGAACAAAAAAGAAAGUCUGAUCUAAUGAAAAUUUACUAUGAGGCCAAAGAUGAAGCCAACGAUGGUCGUAAUAUUGGCUAUUGAAAUAGCUGCAAGUUGAACAUCACCAAGGUGACCAGCAAAAGCUUCUGUGUUUCGAUCCAUAGCCUUGUACUUAAGUCCUUCUUCACCAUCUUCAUCUCUCCAUAUAUUUUCUUCUGGUUUUGAUUCUUAAUGAUUUGAACUUGGUUCUGUCAGUAAAGGUUGAUGGACCACUGUUCCCAUGGAUACCAUCCAUUAGAGACAAAAUUAAAAUAAUAGACUAUGGGCCAUCUUAGAUUUGCUUGGGACAAAAAAUAAUUUUAAAAAUUAAUAAUAAUAGGGCGUGCCAGACAAGUAGAGGUGCUCAUGAGUCGGCGGUCCGGCCCGGCCCGGCCCGAUGGUCCAUCCGAAAUAUGGGAGGGUUCGGGUAAAAAUAUAGGCUUGAAAUAUGAGUUUGGGCAAAAAAAGAGGCCUGUUUAGAAAACGGGUCGGGCCCGUCCCGGCCCGUAUAUAUAAUAAAAAUAUAUUUUUUUAAUUUUAAAAUAUUUUUUUAUUUUUAAAAUAAAUUUUUGGUGUUUUAUUAAAAAUGGGCCAGGCCCGAGCUUAGAACUUUUUUCUCGGGCUGGGCUAGACAAAACUUUAGGCCCAUAUUUUGGGUCAGCCCGAGGACUAGGACGCGGGCCAAAAAUUUUUUCUAAGCCUGACCUGAACUCGGCUCAGCCCAUGAGCACCUCUACAGACAAGUUACAACCACUAAUAAAAAAAUAAUUGUUUUUCGAUUUUUUCCACAUUGUAAAAGAUUUUGUAUUUUGGUUUGAAAUACAGAUGCCGCUUGCGUCUAAAUUUUUUUAAAAAUAAAGGGGUUCCACCGAUUGGUCAGCGUCACCAAUUGUUUUUUAUUUAUUUUACCUAGUUUCAUGAAUAUUAAUUCUCUUAUUCUAUUCUAGUAUUUAUUUAUUGAUUUUAUAUUAUUUAUGUAAAAAUACUCUAUUGUAUCUGAACUUGAUUAAAGGUGCAGGAACAAGAGCAGCACUAGUAACCAAGAAAUACACCAAUACCUAGAUUACAAGUGAUCUUGGCUUGGCCGGGCCGAGCUUUAAUAGAAUUUUAGGUUAUUUUUUAGGCUUAGACGCGAUUCGAAAAUGGACUUAAAAUUGUGCCUAAUUUUGACCGAAUAAAAAUGCUAAUAUCUAAGCCUAGCCCGACCACCCGUAUUAAAAUUUUUGUAUUAUUAUUUUUAAAUAAAACAAAUUUUAAAAAUAUAAUACACUAAAAAUAUUAAAAUAAAUGUUUCUCAACAAAUUGAAAAUAAAUUUAAAAAGUAUAUACAUACUUAAAUAACACUAAAAUAGGUGUGAUUUAGCAAGCAAAUGCCUAUAAAAUAAUAGUAAAAUUACUAAUAAAACGAGAGUUAUACAAUAUCUAAAUAAAAACAAUAAAAUAGUAACAAUAUAAUAGCGAAAUGACAACAAAACAAUGAUAAAACAAAAACAAAACAAUGGCAAAAUAGAAUCAGUUAUUUUUUUGCAAAUUUAGGCCAGGCAAAAAAAAAAAAACUUACCCAAAACCUAACUCAUUUAGAAAACAAGCCUCAUUUCUUGCUCAAGUUCAUUUUGUGGAUCUGUAUUUUUACUCAGAAUUUCCCACCUUUUAUACGAGCAUUUGUGUAAUGACCCAUUUUCAGUGAAAUCAGAAUAGUAGUUUCGUGACCACAAAUUUGAGCUAGAAAGAAAAUUUAUUUUAAUAUUGUGGUAUGGUCUAUAUUAUGAUAGGAAUGUUGCAUGAAAAUUUUGAUAAGAAAAUUUUAUUGAUUAUAUGGUUAAAUUGAUUUAAAUGGAUUAAAUAAAAAAUGUAUUUUCGGGACUCCGUUCCGGUAAACCGGAUUCGUAAAUAUUUAUUAAAAAUAUUUAGGAAGUUAAUUGUGUGUCUAAUUAGGUUUUGAUUAGGUGAAUUUGACUUAAUUAAAAGUAAUUAGGAAAGAGGAUUAGAUUGAAAUAAGUGUGAAAGUUUAAUUAUAAAUUAAAGAAAGUAAAAAAGACUAAAUAGGCAAAUAUGCCGUUAUUAUAAAUUGAGCGGUUUAACAUUGACAAAUCUAAGAUAUUUUUAAUUUAAAAUAUAUAUUACAUUAUAUUUACUUUAUUAAUAAGUAUGUUAUUAUAUUAUAUUAUUAUUAUAUAUAUAAAAACAAAAGAAAGAAUAGAAAGAGUAAGUAAACAGAAUCGAGCCCGAGAGAAUAGGGAGAAAGGAAGAAGCAAGAAAAAGUGAAUAGAAAGAGUAAGUAAACAGAAUCGAGCUCUUUGAUAUUUAGCACGUCAGUGCUCUCUGUUUAGCACAUAUGUGUUCUCUGCAUAGCGCUUCAGUGCUCUCUAUUAAUUAGUGCAUAAUAAUGCACCUUUGUAUUUGUUCCGUAUAUCCGGUGUGUUCUAUAAAAUCUACUUUGAGCUAAGAAUAUGAGUUGUGAACAAAAGUGAAUGAUCAGCGUGUUAAGGUAAGCUUUUUAACUUACAAAAAGAUAUAUUAAAUUUUAUUAAUAAAUAGCAUAGCUAAAGAAACUUAUAUGUAUGUAAAUAUGUAUUAACGGAAUUAGUUUAAAAUAUUUUAUUAGGAUUUAUUUACCUAUUUAUUCUUGUAUUGCUUACUAAGCAUUCACCGGCUUAACGCAUUUAAUUUUUAACGAGUAGGUACAGUUAGACUCAAAGAGGUAGAGUUGGAUUAGAAGACCUCUCAUCUCAUCACAUCCUCAAGAGCUUCAAAAGUAGGUACCAUAUUUUGAAUUAAAAUGGUAUGUAGAUAGGCAGUUUAGUUUUGCUCCCAUGUAUUAGGGACUAAAAUGUAAACUCUUGAAAUUCUAUCUAUUUUGAGGUACUUGAAGUAUUUUAGUAUAUAUGAAAUGAAUUAGUGAAACUUUAAGUAUGUUUGCAAGUAUGGUUGGUAAGUUAAAAUACUAUGUACAAAUGUUAAAAUUAAACGACAUCUAGCCAUAAUCGUUUUGGCACCAAAUGUAAUAGUCUUAUACUGUGUCUGUACGACUGGACUGGGUAUAGGAUUGUUACACUUUGUGCCGGGCCAAAUGACCCAACCCAUAAUCAGAUCUACGACCAAGUGAUACUAUAUAUAUAUAUAUAUAUAUAUAUAUAUAUAACAAACCAACUUUAGCAAAUGUAGGUAAUAUAUUUUAGCACAUUAUAAAAAAUUUGCCUUUUAAGGCAAUGUUUAAAACAAAAAGUUUACCAUUGAAAUUGAAACAUAUUUAAAAUAAAAAUUAUCGUUUUAUAAAUAAAAGUAUCAUGAAAAUCAAUUAAAAUAUUCAUAAAAGUCAUUUUUUUUAAAAAUUACCUGAUUGGGCCUGGCACACGGCCGUGUGGCUUCAACAGUCAUGUUUUUCGGCAUUUAAAAUUCAAAAAAACUCGGGUUUUUGGUAUGUAGAUGAAGUAUUUUUGAAGUAAGAGCAACGUAAACGACUCCUAAAGCCUAAAGCUGCCAUUCAAUAGUAGAAGACCUUAUAACGGAAAAAGAAUACCCAAUUAUGUGUAGAAAACUAUGUCGAAAGUUUCGACACAAGACCUUCAACAAUUCCAGACUUAACAACAAAAUCAACAGUGAUUACUCGAGUUAUUGCACUGAGGAUCGUUGCUUUUGAUAUCCUCGCCUAAAAAGAAACCAAACGGUCCCUUAAAAUAAGGUUUAAACAAUUUGAGUUGGAAACAACUCCGACAGAAACGAAUGAACUACCGUAUAACGAAAGUUCUAUGAUUAACGAAAUUCACGCAAUUGAUGUAAUUGGUAGUAAGGACACACGUACUUACCUGACAAUAGUAGUAGACAAAAUGUGCUGACCAAGCAACAAUUGGAUGAAGAAAAAAAGGAAAAAAGAACAAAAAGAAAUAGAUGAAAAAAAAGAAAGAAGGAAAGGAAAAGGGAACACUUAAUUAAUCUAACCAUCGAUCAAAAUUCUGACAUUAAGCAAAAACAUUACCUAAUGCAUAUGCUGAGACUCAAACAUAGGACUAGAAAAUAGACAGAUGCUUAACCAGUGAACCAGCAGGCUCAUUCUUGACUGUAAAAAAAUAGAACGUCGAUAAUGACAAUAUAUCACAAAGAAAAGAGAAAGAAAAGUAAAGAACAUAUAGAUUUUUACGUAGAAACCCUUUUGGGAAAAAAUCACAGGUAAAGGAGAAGAUAAUUCACUAUGUCGAAUUCAAAUUAUUAUAAGAGGAGUAGACUAUGUCUAUUUAUAAGCUUGUAAAACAAUAUUAUAAUAGAAUAAGUGUAGUAAGAUUGAAACACCUUAUUCUAAUCAAUAUCGAAUAUAUGAAGUGUAAUAAGGUUGAAAAACCUUAUUCUAAAAUAAUAAUAAAAAUAGUGGUGUAGUUCUAUAUGGAUUUUACUUUUAUUUUAUUUUAUUUUACCACUGUAUUUUAUUAUAACAAGGAUUCGAGUCACUCAAUUCUAACAAUCUCCACCUUGACACAAAUUCUCAAUGAAUAAUUUCUUCACAAUGAAAUCUCAGCGAACAAGUUCUCUACCUCUUCCAUGAAACCCUUUAAGGAGUAUUUUUCAACAAUGAACACCAACCAAGUCUAAACAAUGGUCAAACUUGGUUAUAAGAAGUGGCAUAUUCACCAUAUAUGCAGGAUUUUCAUAAGUACUAAUUUUGCUCACAACAAUGUCUGUAACAUUAUUCUGGAAACAGAUACGGGUUAGGGGUGUUACAAAUUUUACUGAUAAUAUAUCGAUGAAGUUCAAGGGUUUCAAAAUUGGAUUGGUAGGCGGACUGUUAGACCACCAGUUCUUGGUUUAACUAGUUCAAUCGAUCCAAUUGAUUUAAUUGAAUAAAUUAUUAAAAAUAAAAAUAUUUAAAAUAAAUAAAAUCAACUCAAUUGUCAAUUCGAGUGAGUCAAUUAGUUCAACCAAUUCACGAGUCAACCAAUUUGACAUUUUAUUCCAGACUGGUAUCUCGAACAAUUCCCAAUCCGAUCAAUUUGACUAGUCAAUCUGAUUUGGUUCUUAAAACAAUAAAAAAACUUCAUGCGUUUAAUUUAAUACAUUAUAAAUAUGCUAGAUUUUGAUUUAUAUGAUAAUUUCCACAAUUUUAAUUGAUAAACCCUAGACUUUUAAUUAAAAUCUAAAUAAAUCCACUUAUUUAAGUACAAAAAAAUUUAUAUGAUUGAACUAAUUAGGCCACCAGUUUGCUAGUCCAAUCGGUUUAAUCCGUUUGACCAAUACGAUCGGUUAGACCAAUCUACCCGAUUCUAUUAAAUAAAUUAUUAAAAAAUUAUAAAUAUAAAAAUAUAAAAAAUAUUAUUUUAGUUCAACCGGUUCAACUGCAUAACCAAUCGGUUAGUAUUGAUUCCUGGGACAACCCGUUUAAUGUCUUUCUUCAGGCAAGUACUUUGGCCGAUUCCCGAUUGGCCAAACUAAUCUAGUUCAAACAAUAAUAUUCAAAAUCCUCCUAAAUAAUUAAAUCUUAAAGAAAAAAUAUUUUUAAGACUUAAAAUUAGUUGAAAUCCAAAUCAAUAAAUUUAAAUUAAUUCAAAAUUUUAAUUUUCAAAUAUUUUUAUUACCAAAUAAAAUAUUUAAAAAUAAUGAAAUCAUAAAUUUCGAAGUUGAAAUUGAAAUUUCAAUUCUCAAACAGUAGCUAAUAGGUUGGACGGGUUUGCAGCGCUCACAAAAUCAUUUAGUACUUAGUAACACAAGAAUGCACCUUAAUUGCUCUCUUUUGUUUUUUUAAUAACCAUGGUUUUGGCUGUUUACAAAUAAUUUAGCAUAAAGAAAAAAAAUCAUAUUAUAACAUAACCAAUAGUAUUAUUCUAAAUUAGAAAUCUUAUUAUAAGAGUAUACGUGUAAAAAUUACAAAUUUAGAAUAUAGAUAUAUGUUUAAAAAUACCAUUUAAUAAUAAAUAAUAAAAUUUAUGGUUUGAAAGUAAUUAAUCAUAACAACACAUGAAAUAUAUAUGAUAUUAAAAUUAAAAAAAUUAAAUUAUGAGUAAAAUGAAAUUUAACCACAUAUAUACAUCAGAUAAAUAAUAAUUAAUUUUAAAUUAAUUACACCUUAAACUGGAAAAAAAAAACCGUUCAUCUCCUUUUUAUUUUAGUUUUCGUUUCCAUUUUGAUUGAAAAAAUCUAUUUUCAUCCCAGUUAGACAUCUAAAUUGGCAUGUAAAACUCAUUUAGACCGUCACAUAGAAUUACUUUUAGGGAAGUAACGGAGCUUAGCAGCAGAAUGAGUACUACUUCGUAACAAAACGAUAACAUAAGUGACUAGAAUGCAACAUUUCAAACAUAAGUGACUAAAAUGUAAUCUGAGGAAAACAAAAGUGACUAUUUUUGUCGUUUAUCCCAUUAUUAAUUAUUUUUAUUUAAAAUUUAAUUUAAUUAGAAUUAAAUUAAAAUAUAAUUUUUUUUCUAGCAAAAUUUGAUUAAUAACUUAUCCCUAAUAAUUAUUUGAUUGUUAAAAUUCAAACUAUUUAUACAAAGUUUUUUAUUUUUAUCCUAAUAAUUAUUUUUGAUGUGUGUAUUUAACGUUGAAAACCUUAAUUUUCCCAAUUAAUUACUUUACUAUGAUUUAAGUCGUGAAUAUGUUAUUUUGGAUUUUACUUCAUCAGUGAAUUAUACUUUAUAAUUUAGUUUUCAAAAUUCAAAUUAUUUAUACCGAGUUUAUAUUUUAAAACACACAUAAGUUAUUAUGUCUUGAUCAUAAGUUAGAUUGAUGUAAAAUUUUAAGUUCGAGCUUGGCUCAAAAAAUGAGUUUAAAAUUUUAUCCAAGCCCAACCCAAAUUAAUAGUGCUAAAUUUGAGCUCGACCUGGUCUUCCCGUAUUAAUUUUUUUUAGAUUUUUUUAUAUAAAAAAAAAAUUUAAAAAUAUAAUAUAUAAAAUGUAACACCCCAUUUCUGACCUAGACAUUAUGGUCAAAUCAUAGAGAUUACAUCCAACGAAUGAAAAAUUCAAUUGAACAACUCUUUUCUGAAAACACAAUGAUUCUCCUAAAUUGCAGCUUAAUUGUGUUACUAACAUCAAAACCAAUUUACGUGAAAACAUUUGCGUGCUAAAAAAAAAACAUUUUGGGAAAAUUUCAGUUAAUCUUACAGUGGAAAACCUUAUAGUUUUUUGUAUAUAAAAUCGUGGUUCAUUUUUAAUUAUCAUAGGUUAAGUGUUUUUAAACGGUUAAAGCUUUUGCUUAGUAAAUAUCAAAAUAGUCCUAACUAAACAAAAAUAAAAAUGACCAAAACGAAAUAAAAACCCAAUACAGGCAAAAAAAAGUCCAUAAUAACAAAUAAAAAGUCCAAAGUGUUUAAACUAAAAUGUGAAAUUCGAGCUCCAGAAUAGCCAUCUAUUACUAAGUCGAAGAAUCACCUGAAACAAAGCAAAACAUAGGCGUGGGAUUUAAGCCCAAUGUGUGGUUUGGCCCAUAAUUUCAAUACAAGCAAUCAUCAAUUUGUUUCAUAGCAUAUCAAGUUUCAUAUCUAGACAUUUUUUUAUCAUAACAUAACAUAACAUAACAUAACAUAACAUAUCAUAUCAUAUCAUAUCAUAUCAUAUCAUAUCAUAUUGCAGCAUAUCAUGUCCUACUCCUAUCCGCUACAUACUAUCUCCGUCCAGCCAACCAUACCAUAUAAGACUACUAGAGUCCAUCCAUCCAGUCACACCAAUAGGUAGCAAUGUGUCACUUAUAUAAUUGCAGCUAAGCUGCCAUACGUAAAUUUGUAGUCUAGUUGCCACAAUUGCAGUAUAAACUGCCAUAUAACACUUCCUCCAUUAUAUCAUAACCCACUUCGAAACACAAACAAAUCAUAAUCGUAUAACAUGCUUAAAUAUAUAUCACAACUCAAUGGCAUGCAUACUUUCAUAUUGUCAUACAAAUCCUGACAUAGCACAUGGUUAAAUGGAACAUUUCCUACUUAACAUACCUCCUAAACUUACCUAUAUACUUUUACGUACUGAUAUUUAGGCUUUUCUGGCCCCAUACGAUGCCCACAGACCCCGAUUUUGAGUCCCUCAAACUGCCCCUAAUUGGGCCCUACAAUUGGGUAAAAAGACCACGCAGCCCAAAAAGCCAGCUCGUGCUAUCCAUACGGCCUACCAUACGGUCUGUAACAUUUUAGACGGAUGUGUGCUCCACAUAGCUAAGCCAUAUGGGCUGUAAGGUUUCACUUGGCUAUGUGGUGCACACGAUCUAUCACACAGCCUGGCAUAUGAUCAUGUGGCGCCAGCCAAUUUCGAGGAACAACCCCUAUUUUACGAAUUUAACGAGUUCUGAUUCAAUUUUUUGAUUGUUUUCAAACACCUGAUUUUGUACUCAACUAAAUUCAAUUACGAGACCUCACAAACCUACAAUUACGCAACAACCGUACCAACAAUAUGGCAAAAAACAUUACCUUAAUACAACAAAAUUAUAGCCCCCAAAAUGACAUUUGAGUCCUUACCACUUGGAAAAUAGUGACUAAAGUAGAACCUAAUCCAUUGAAGGGAUUGGAUUAUCAGUUCCUUCGCCUAAUCAACACAAGAACAUUUAUCACCUUAAGCAAAGAACGAUUGAAUCAAAAUAACAUAAAAAAAAAGGUACAAGAGGGAGAGGGAACAAACGGUUCUAGGAAAAAAGGAAUAUAGGGGUUUGAUAGACUUAAAAUAAAAUAAAAUAAAAUAAAAAUAACAAGUUUUAAUUAAUCUAAACCCUACACUUCAGAUUUAAUAGAGUUUAACUAGAACUUUAACACCCACGAGAGCCUAAGCAAAAAGUAAAAUGUAACCAAACACUUAACCAUUAAACCACUAAACUCGUCAUUAAUAUAACCCAACAAAGAAAUUGAUUUAAGCCUUAAGGUUCAAUCUUAACUGAAAGUAAAAAAAAAAAAAAAAAAAAAAAAAAAGAUAAUCUCAAAACUAGAUAGUUGAACUCAAGACCUAAAACAAACUUUUAAAACACUUAACCAAAGCACCAAAUCAAAUUACUUAACCAACCUACACAUUCAAAAACCCAAAAUUUGGGGCAUUACAUCAAAUGUACUAAAAAUAUUAAAAUAAAUAUUUCCCAACAAAUUGAAAAUACAUUGAAAAGGUCUUUAUACUUAAGUAACAUUAAAAAUUAACAUUGAGAUAGUUGCAACUUAGCAAGUAAGUUCCUCUAAAAUAGUAGUAAAAUUAACAAUAAAACAAAAGUUAUAUAAUAUUCAAAUAAUAACAAUAAAAUAGUAGUAAUAUAAUAGUGAAAUGACAACAAAACAACAACGAAAUGGCAACAAAACAAUAUAUUUGGGUUAGGUCAGACUUAGACUAAAAAUUCCUACUCGAGACACAACUCAUUUAGGAAACGAGCUUUAUUUUUUGUCCAAAUCUAUUUUUCGAGCCUAUAUUUUUGUCCAAACUUUCUCACUUUUCAGGCGCGCCUUCGAACUUGAAUGAAUGAUUCGAGUCAUGAUCAGAUUUAGAUAAUACUUACAAUAAAAAAAAAACAUUAGAUUGUUACCAAAAUUACUUCCAUACCUUGUAAUAUAUAUAUAUAUUAGAUUUCUAUUAUAAUUUGGUAAAGUUAAAAAGUAAGAAACAAUUUUUUUUAAAGAAAAUUCUAUUUAUUUUUAUAAAAGAGACUAAUGGUGUGUUUAGUUUAUAUGAAAUAAAUAAAUAAAUAAAAGUAAUUAGUGGGAUUUUAAUUUGAAACUUGAAUCAAGGCAUAUUUUACUUACAUCAAUAAGUUGCCAAUUUAGUACCUCUUUUAAUCAUAAAAGUAAGAUGCCAAAUGACAUAUAUUUUAUUAUGCCACCAAAGCAAUGUUUCCUAAAUUGUAAUCUAAAAUUUCGAUUUUAUGAUGCUCCACUUCACUUUAAAUUAAGAAAAAUAAAGGUUUACUUGAUUGAUUACUCAUUUCUUAAAUUAAUGAAAAAAGAAAAGAAAUUACUUCAAUUUUGCAUCAAAGUCAAGAAAGUAAAUGAUUGAUAUAUUAACUUACAGCAAUGUUCAUCAUUAAUAUUUCUUUAAAACAUAAUAAUUUUGAUAUAAGCAACCAAAUAGUAUAGUUUUUAUUAUAAAUAUAAUAUAUAUAGUGUUGAUGAGAUAUGUGUCUAAAUUCUUGAGUGGGAAAUUUAUUCUAAGCUGAGUCAUUUUCAAUCCUACAAAAAUAAAACCGCAAACUUAAUUAAGAUAUAAUUAAAUUAUAAUAUGUGAAAUCAUGCUAUAAAAGAUAAAAUAUCUUAAAUUUUAUAUAAUACAAAUUACUAACCAAUCAAAAUUUAUUAAAAGAUAUAAUUAUUGACUCAAUAGUUACUUAUGAAAACGCCCAAUUAACUCUAAUUCACAACCUCUUCCAAUUUUUCAUUCCCAGAAAAUUGAAUUUUGUUUCUAAAUUCCCCCUCAAAAUCAUAAGGAUAGAUUUUUUUUUCAUAAUAACUUUUUUUUAGCUCCUCAAUUUCAUUAUUGUUCAAAUUACUUUAAAGAUGAAUGAAAAAAUUAAUGUUGACUAAUUUUGUUCAUAUGGUAUCUACGAAUAUAUCACGUAAGCAAUUAAUUAAUAUUUUAAGUUAAAAAUAUUAAAAGAUAUUUUUUAUGUUUUAUAAUUUUUAAUAAUUUUUAAUUUUUUUAGUAUUUAAUAAAAUAAUUAAUUGCUAACGUGGUAUUCAUGUAGUAAUCUACGUGUAUGUCAUGUCAACAAAGUUAACGAAAUGUUACAUUUUUUAUUUAUUUUAGUGUGAUUUGAUAAACAACAUAAAUUUAUUAGCUAAAAAUAUGAAAAUUAAAAUGAAAAUGAAAAUAAUUUUUUGUUUAGGUUAUUGAAUCUAAUAAAUCAAUCUUAUAUAUAUAGUACUAUGUGUUAUUUAGUUGUUAGUGGAACAUGUCUCAAAAUUAGUAGUGGGCAAUUUAUACUUUACAGAUAAACAUGCAAAAUUUGUCUUUCUACAUUGCAACAAAAUGACACGAUAAUGAAACCAAAAUUAACGCAGUACACAAUUAAUGACGGAAAAGUAACUAUGACUUGAUGAAAUAAUAACAACAUAAUACUACACAAAUAUUUUGAAAUUUAUACCUACGAAGUAUCAUAAAGCUUUCUCUAUUAAAAGUAAAAUUGCAUUUUAUUUUUAUUUAAAAAUGAACAAAUUAAUCCCCAUACGUUAAAAUAAAGAGUAAAAUGAUUAUUCUGUUAAAAAUUUCAUUUAUUUCUAUUAUUAAAAACUAGUCUUAGUAUGUCAACAUAAGAAAAACAUGACAUGCCAAAUGUGAGAAAAUAGAAUCCUGGGUCGCGAACAGUGAUUCGAUUGGUGAUAAAGAAGGAGAAUUCUUGGCUUAGUUCUCCCCCUUAACGAAAGAAAAAAAGAUUGAUCAAAUUCUAUUAAGUCUGACUCAUAGUGAUCAUUUAUUAAAGAAUGACUCUGGAUAUCAAAUGAUUGAACAACCGAGACCAAUUUACUUAUGAUACUUAGCUGACAUUCAUUAAAAUUAUCCAAUGAAUUAUGAGUUUAAUACAUCACGUUUAGCAGAAAGGCGGAUAUUCCUUGCUCAUUAUUAGGCAAUCACUUAUUUACAAACUUUAUGUGGGGCUAAUAGUUUUCAUUUACUGUCUUGUGGAAAACCCUUUUUGAUUCGCUUAGCCCUAUCUCCCUCUAGGGGUAUUUUAGUGAUAGGUUCUAUAGGAACCGAACGAUCCUAUUUGGUCAAAUACCUAAUGACAAACUCCUAUGUUCCUUUCAUUAUAAUAUUUCCAAACAAGUUCCUACAUAACAAGCUUAAAGGUUUUCUUAUUGAUGAUAUCGAUAUUGAUGCUAGUGAUGCUAUUAAUCGUGACCUUGAUACGGAGCUGGAGCUUCUAAUUAUGAUGAAUACGUUAACUAUGGAUAUGAUGUCGAAAAUAGACUAAUUUCAUAUCACCCUUCAAUUCAAACUACCAAAAGAAUGUCUCAUUGCAUAAUAUGGAUCCAAACAUUCAUGAUCCAGAUGUGAAUGAGGCGAAUUACGUAUCCCUCAGUUUAUUAGUGAACUAUCUCUCCAAGGAUUGUGAAAGAUGUUCCACUAGAAAUAUUCUUGUUAUUACUUCGACUCAUAUUCCCCAAAAUGUGGAUCCUACUCUAGUAGCCCUGAAUAAAUUAAGCAAAGAGGGAAGAUUUCGUGAGAGUUUGCUUGGCAAACAAGUUGAUUAUUCGGGAUGUAUAGUCAUUGUUGUUGGCCCCUCACUUUCAUUACAUCGCUGUGGAUUGCCUCAUGAAAUAGAAAUAGAGCUUUUCCAGACAUUAGUAAUUCGCGGUCUAAUUAGACAACAUCUUGCCCAAAAAUAAGAGUUGCUAAGAGUAAAAUUUAGGAAAAAGGGUCGAUUGUAUGGGAAAUACUGCAAGAAGUUAUAGGGACAUCAUGUAUUGCUAAAUAGAGUGCUUUCUUUGCAUAGAUUAGGUAUACAGGCAUUCCAACCUAUUUUAGUGGAAGGAUGCGCUAUUUGUUUACACACAUUAGUUUGUAAGGGAUUUAAUGCAGACUUUGGUGGGGAUCAAAAUGACAGUUAAUGUACCUUUAUCUUUAGAGGCGCAAGCGAAGGCUCAUUUACUUAUGUUUUCUCAUCUGAAUCUCUUGUCUCUAGUUAUUAGGGAUCCCAUUUCCGUACAGACUCAAGAUAUGCUUAUUGGGCUCUACGUAUUAAUGAGUAAGAAUCGUGUAAGUAUUUGUGCAAAUAGGUAUAAUAUAUGAAAUCGAAAAAGCUAUCAAAAUGAAAGAAUUGACUAUAAUAACUAUAAGUCUACAAGGGAGCCUUGCAUGAACUCAAGAAUACAGUAGCUAUAUGUUUUCAUUGUUUAUAUUGAUUUUUUUUUUGUAAAGAAGGUUUUUUAUUGAAGAAAAAAAUACUUAAGUACUUAUCAUUAAAAGGAACUACAAACAAUCAAUGCAUAAUGCAUAACACUAUAAAUUUAUGUACUCGUAUUAUCGUCUUUAAAAGAAAAACUCAAAUAAAGAAAAAAAUAAAUUGACAAUAAUCACAACAUUGGGAAAAAAAAAUCUAGAGAUAUAUUAGGUUAAUCAAUUUGCUAAUAUUUUCAUCUUAGUUUUGCCAUCAUUAGAAGCCCUAAGAGAUCCAUUACAUAGUAUGCACAAAAAGUCAAGUAUUAAUGACCUAUCUUUCUCUACAUUUUAAAGUCUAAUUUUGCGAACACUCUCUUAACGAGAUUCUUUGAGUUCCUAGUAGAUUUGGUAGUGUCUUUACUUGAUCAAUCUCAUUUAUAUGUCAAAACAUGAUUAGAGACAAAACUAAAACCACCACCACUUCUAGUGGAAACUGAAAACAUGGUAAAAUAAAAUCACCAAAAGAAAGAGCGCACUGGAACUACAACCAUAAUAGUUUUUUUUUUUUUAAACAAUAGAGUAAAACUAAAAACUAAACAAAAUUGUUGAAACAGCGGUGACCGAUAAGUAGCCCAGAGGUGGGUGUGGCUGCCGACAAGACCAAGUUAUUAACUUUAAAUUAAAGGUCCGUUCUCCUUUGCGUUUUAGAAGGAUUUUUUCAAUAAAAAGUCUUUUUCUCUUAAAAGGAACGAAGAACGGCCUCCAUUAAUUUAUUAAAUAUAUUAUUUUUAUUAAAAGAUAUAAUUAUUGACUCAAUAGUUACUUAUGAAAACGCCCAAUUGAAUCGAAUUCACAAACUCUUCCAAUUUUUCAUUCCCAGAAAAUUGAAUUUUGUUUCUAAAUUCCCCCUCAAAAUCAUAAGGAUAGAUUUUUUUUUCAUAAUAACUUAUUUUUUUAGCUCCUCAAUUUCAUUAUUUUCAAAUUACUUUAAAGAUGGAUGAAAAAAUUAAUGUCAGUUAAUUUUGUUCGUAUGGUAUCUGCGCAUAUAUCACGUAAGCAAUUAAUUAAUAUUUUAAGUUAAAAAUAUUAAAAGAUAUUUUUUAUGUUUUAUAAUUUUUAAUAAUUUUUAAUUUUUUUAAGAUUUAAUAAAAUAAUUAAUUGGUAACGUGGCAUUUAUUGGCAAUCUAGUGUAUGUCAUGUCAGCAAAGUUUACAAAAUGUUACCUUUUACAUCUAUUUUAGUGUGAUUUGAUAAACAACACAAAUUUAUUAGCUAAAAUUAGGAAAAUUAAAAUGAAAAAAGAAAAUAUAUAUAUUUUUAGUUUUGAAUCAAAUAAAUCAAUUAUAUAUAUACACACACAUUUGCAUAUGGUACUAUGUGUUUUUUAGCUUUUAGUGGAACAUGUCUCAAAAUUAGUAGUGGGUAGUUUAUGCUUUACAGAUAAACAUGCCACAUCUAUCUUUCGACAUUGCUACAAAAUGACACGAUCUAAUGAAACCAAAAUUAACGUAGUACACAAAUGACGAAAGAAUAUGGAAAAGUAACUAUGAUUUGAUGAAAUAAUAACAACAUAAUAAUACACAAAUAUUUUGAAAUUUAUUCCUACGAAGUAUCAUAAAGCUCUUCCUAUUAAAAUUUGAAUUGUAUUUUAUUUUUUUAUUUAAAAAUGAGUAAAUUAAUUUUCAUACGUUAAAUUAAAGAGUAAUAUGAUUAUUCUGUUAAAAAUUUCAUCUAUUUCUACUAUUAAAAACUAGUCUCAAUAUGUUAGCAUGAGAAAUACAUGACAUGCCAAAUGUGAGAAAAUAGAAUCCUGGGUCGCGAACAGUGAUUCGAUUGAUGAUAAAGAAAGAUAAUUCUUGGUUCAGUUUUCCAACUUAACGAAAGAAAAAAAAGAUUUAUCAAAUUCUAUUAUUGAGUCUGACUCAUAGUGAUCAUUUAUCAAAAAAUGACUCUGGAUAUCAAAUGAUUGAACAACCGAGACCAAUUUACUUAUGAUACUUAGUUGACAUUCACUAAAAGUAUCUAAUGAAUUAUGAGUUUAAUACAUCAUGUUUAGCAGAAAAGUGGAUAUUCCUUGCUCAUUAUUAGACAAUCAUUUAUUUAUAAACUUUAUGUGGGGCUAAUAGUUUUCAUUUACUGUCUUGUGGAAAACCAUUUUCGAUUCGCUUAGCCCUAUCUCCCUCUAAGGGUAUUUUAGUGAUAGGUUCUAUAGGAACCAGACGAUCCUAUUUGGUCAAAUACGUAAUGACAAACUCCUAUGUUCCUUUCAUUACAAUAUUUUUAAACAAGUUCCUAGAUAACAAGUUUAAAGGUUUUCUUAUUGAUGAUAUCGAUAUUGAUGCUAGUGACGCUAUUGAUUGUGACUUUGAUACGGAGCUUGAGCUUCUAACUAUGAUGAAUACGUUAAUUAUGGAUAUGAUGUCGAAAAUAGACUAAUUUUAUAUCACCCUUCAAUAUAUUUUCAUUUUCAAUAUUUUACAAUAUCCUUAUAAAAUAUUUGUCAACCUCUGACCCUUCUUAUGAAAUCUAAAAUUUUUAUUGAUAGUGUACCAAAUAUUAUUUCUUUAUAUAUUAUAAAAGUAAAAUUUCAUAAAUUUAAGAAAAUCAAAAUUUUAUAUAAUUUUUAAAAAUUCAUAUUGAACUUGAAUUUAAAACUUUUAAUAUAUAUUUUAAAAUUUUGAUAUAAUAUUUUUAAUUUUAUAUAAUUAACAUAUUGUAGAAAAAUAAAUCUUAGUAAAUGUAUUUUUUGAAUUUCUACUCCAAAAAUGUGUCAAAUUACUCUCUUUUUUUCUCAAGAAUUAUUUAUCCACAUGUAUAUUAUAUGUACCAUAGUUCGAAAAAAUUGAAAAAGAAGAUAAAUUUAAAUAAUUGAUUGGUGCAAGUCAUUGGUGAAGUUUGAAAUAAUAUUUUUUAUUAGCAACAGUUAUAAAUUUAUUUUAUUUCAUUGUAUUACAAUUUAUUGAUAUAUUUUUAAAUAAAAAUAAAAAUAAACAAUUAAAUAAUAAAAAAUAAAUCAAUUAAAAAAUCAAUGAUUUUUUUUAAAAUCAGGGUUAUGAUAAUAAAUUCAGUUUACUAAUUAUGAAACGUUUAAUUCUCCAAAUGGAUCAACAAAAUUGUUUGAUUAGUUCUGCUAAUGAUUCCAACCAAAAUUUAAUUUUUGGGCACAACAAUUAUUUGGAUUAUCAAAUGAUAGCGACAGGAUUUGUAGUCCCACUUAUGGGGUCAAAUCAAUACGUUCUAAGAAGAAAUAUUUGAAUAUAAAUUUCAUUGAUCUCAUAAGUAUAGUACCAAAUCCUAUCAAUCGAAUCAUUUUUUCGAGAAAUACAAGACAUCUACGUCAUACAAGUGCAGAGAUCUAUUCAUUGAUAAGAAAAAUAAAAAAAAGUGAGCGGUGAUUGGAUUGAUGAGAAAAUAGAAUCAUGGGUCACGAACAUUGAUUCAAUUGAUGAUAAAGAAAGAGAAUUCUUGGUUCAAUUCUCCACCUUAACGAAAGAAAAAAAGAUUGAUCAAAUUCUAUUCAGUCUGACUCAUAGUGAUUAUUUAUCAAAGAAUGACUUUGGUUGUCAAAUAUUUGAACAACUGAGACCAAUUUACUUAUAAUACUUAGUUGAUAUUCAUAAAAAUUAUCUAAUGAAUUAUGAGUUAAAUACAUCACGUUUAGUAGAAAGGCAGAUAUUCCUUGCUCAUUAUUAGACAAUCACUUAUUUAAAAACUUUAUGUGGGGCUAAUAGUUUUCAUUUACUGUCUUGUGGAAAUCCCUUUUCGCUUCGCUUAGCCCUAUCUCCCUCUAGGGGUAUUUUAGUGAUAGGUUCUAUAGGAACCAGAUGAUCCUAUUUGGUCAAAUACCUAAUGACAAACUCCUAUGUUCCUUUCAUUACAAUAUUUCUAAACAAGUUCCUAGAUAACAAGCUUAAAGAUUUUCUUAUUGAUGAUAUCGAUAUUAAUACUAGUGACGCUAUUGAUUGUGACCUUGAUACGAAGCUGAAGCUUCUAACUAUGAUGAAUACGUUAACUAUGGAUAUGACGUCGGAAAUAGACUGAUUUUAUAUCACCCUUCUAUUCAAACUACCAAAAACAAUGUCUCCUUGAAUAAUAUGGAUUCCAAACAUUCAUGAUCUAGAUGUGAAUGAGGUGAAUUACUUAUCCCUCGAUUUAUUGGUGAACUAUCUCUCCAAAGAUUGUGAAAGAUGUUCCACUAGAAAUAUUCUUGUUAUUACUUUGACUCGUAUUCCUCAAAAAGUGGAUCCUACUCUAAUAGCCCCAAAUAAAUUAAGGCAAAGAGAGAAGAUUUCGCUGACUUUGCUUGGAAAACGAGUUGAUUAUUCGGGAUGUUCUGUCAUUGCUGUUGUCCCCUCACUGUCAUUACAUUGUUGUGGAUUGCCUCACGAAAUAGAAAUAGAACUUUUCCAGACAUUUGUAAAUUCCCCCUCAAAAUCAUAAGGAUAGAUUUUUUUUCAUAAUAACUUAUUUUUUAGCUCCUCAAUUUUAUUAUUUGCAAAUUACUUUAAAGAUGGAUGAAAAAAUUAAUGUCAGUUAAUUUUGUUCGUAUGGUAUCUACGUAUAUAUCACGUAAGCAAUUAAUUAAUAUUUUAAGUUAAAAAUAUUAAAGUAUAUUUUUUAACUUUUAUAAUUUUUAAUACUUUUUAAUUUUUUAAUAUUUAAUAAAAUAAUUAAUUGGUAACGUGGCAUUCAUUGGCAAUCUACGUGUAUGCCAUGUCAGCAAAGUUAACAAAAUGUUACCUUUUACGUCUAUUUUAGUGUGAUUUGAUAAACAACAUAAAUUUAUUAGCUAAAAUUAGGAAAAUUAAAAUGAAAAAUGAAUUUUUUUUUUUAGGUUUUGAAUGAAAUAAAUCAAUUAUAUAUAUAUAUACACACACAUUUGCAUAUAGUACCAUGUGUUAUUUAGCUUUUAGUGGAACAUGUCUCAAAAUUAGUAGUGGGUAGUUAAUUUAUGCUUUACAGAUAAACAUGCAACAUCUAUCUUUCUACAUUGAAAUUUAUUCCUACAAAGUAUCAUAAAGCUCUCUCUAUUAAAAUUUGAAUUGCAUUUUAUUUUUUAUUUAAAAAUAAUAAAUUAAUCCCCAUACAUUAAAUUAAAGAGUAAAAUGAUUAUUCUGUUAAAAAUUUCAUCUAUUUCUACUAUUAAAAACUAGUCUCAAUAUGUCAGCAUGAGAAAUACAUGACAUUCCAAAUGUGAGAAAAUAGAAUCUUGAGUCGCAAACAGUGAUUCGAUUGUUGAUAAAGAAAGAGAAUUCUUGGUUCAGUUCUCCAACUUAACGAAAGAAAAAAAGAUUGAUCAAAUUCUAUUAAGUCUGACUCAUAGUGAUCAUUUAUCAAAGAAUGACUCUAGAUAUCAAAUGAUUGAACAACCGAGACCAAUUUACUUAUGAUACUUAGUUGACAUUCAUUAAAAGUAUCUAAUGAAUUAUGAGUUUAAUACAUCAUGGUUAGCAGAGAGGCAGAUAUUCCUUGCUCAUUAUUAGGCAAUCACUUAUUUACAAACUUUAUGUGGGGCGGCUAAUAGUUUUCAUUUACUAUCUUGUGGAAAACCCUUUUCGAUUCGCUUAGCCCUAUCUCCCUCUAAGGGUAUGUUAGUGAUAGGUUCUAUAGGAACAGACGAUCCUAUUUGGUCAAAUACCUAAUGACAAACUCCUAUGUUCCUUUCAUUACAAUAUUUCUAAACAAGUUCCUAGAUAACAAGCUUAAAGGUUUUCUUAUUGAUGAUAUUGAUAUUGAUGCUAGUGAUGCUAUUGAUCGUGACCUUGAUACGGAGCUGGAGCUUCUAACUAUGAUGAAUUUGUUAACUAUGGAUAUGAUGUCGAAAAUAGACUAAUUUUAUAUCACUCUUCAAUUCAAACUACCAAAAACAAUGUCUCCUUGCAUAAUUUGGAUUCCAAACAUUCAUGAUCUGGAUGUGAAUGAGGCAAAUUACGUAUCCCUCAAUUUAUUAGUGAACUAUCUCUACAAGGAUUGUGAAAGAUGUUCCACUAGAAAUAUUUUUGUUAUUACUUUGACUCAUAUUCCCCAAAAUGUGGAUCCUACUCUAAUAGCCCCAAAUAAAUUAAGGCAAAAGGGAAGAUUUCGUGAGACUUUGCUUGGCAAAUGAGUUGAUUAUUCGGGAUGUUUUGUCGUUGUUGUUGGCCCCUCACUUUCAUUACAUCGCUAUGGAUUGGCUCACGAAAUAGAAAUAGGGCUUUUCUAGACAUUUGUAAUUCGCGGUCUAAUUAGACAACAUCUUGCUCCAAACAUAAGAGUUGCUAAGAGUAAAAUUUGAGAAAAAAGGUCGAUUGUAUGGGAAAUAUUGCAAGAAGUUAUGUGGGGACAUCAUGUAUUGCUUAAUAGAGUGCUUAUUGUGCAUAGAUUAGGUAUACAGGCAUUCCAACCUAUUUUAGUGGAAGGAUGCGCUAUUUGUUUACACCCAUUAGUUUGUAGGGGAUUUAAUGCAGACUUUGGUGGGGAUCAAAAUGAUAGUUCAUGUACCUUUAUCUUUAGAGGCGCAAGCGGAGGCUCAUUUACUUAUGUUUUCUCAUCUGAAUCUCUUGUCUCUAGUUAUUGGAGAUCCCAUUUCCAUACUGACUCAAGAUAUGUUUAUUGGUCUCUAUGUAUUAAUGAGUAGGAAUCGUCUAAGUAUUUGUGCGAAUAGGUAUAAUUUAUGAAAUCAGAAAAGCUAUCAAAAUGAAAGAAUUGACUAUAAUAACUAUAAGUCUACAAGGUAGCCUUGCAUGAACUCAAGAAUACAGUAGCUAUAUGUUUUCAUUGUUUAUAUUGAUUUUUUUUUGUAAAGAAGUUUUUUUUUUAAGUAAGAAAAUACUUCAGUACUUAUCAUUAAAAGGAACUACAAACAAUCAAUGCAUAAUGCAUAACACUAUCAGUGUGUUUGGUUCAGUGUAAUAGGUAAUCCAUUACGCCCCGAUUACGCGCCUAUUACAUUACCGACCUAUUCCGGCGUUUGGUUCGCUGUAAUAGGUAUUACGCGCGUAUUACAAUACCGACCUAAUCCCCAAAUUCUCUGUUUUUCUAUUCCCUUCCCAAAUCGAGGAUUACCCAUUACGUCCAGCUUCCCUUUCCAAGUCUCUGUUUUACCCUCCCUCCCUACCCGACCCUCUCAUUUUUCUGUCCUCAUCAUUUCUCCUCGUCCGCCUUUACCGAUUCUCUCUCUCGAUCAUUUUUUCCCUUUCAUUUGUUGCAGCACGUUUGAAAGCCACUGUUUCAUUUUUUCUCUCGGUCUCGGCGUGAGGUAUGAAUCUUGGUGUUCAUUUUUCAGGUCUGGUUCCUUUUCGGUUUCUUGGUGUUAAUUCCCUUUUCUUUUUAUUUGGUGUUCAAAUCCAUCACUGCCAAGUGGCUUCUGGGAUUCAAAAAUCCAACUAUUCUGGGUUUAUUUUGUGUUUGCUUCAUGAACUUGGAUUUUAAUCGAGAAUUUCUCUGUGUAUGUUUGUAGUGGAAAUAUACAAUAGAGGGUGUAUUUAUACAUGAAUAAAUCCCUAAUUUUUUUUUCUAUUUACAACGUGAUAAUAUUAAUGAGCUCAUUAAGAUAGUCGAAAUGCUAGAAGAGCUCAUCAAGAUAGCAUCAUUAAGCUGGUUAUAGUUAGAGUAAUGAACCAGGGAUUUUAUCUUGCUGGAAAAUAAGUAUUGAAAGACCUAAUAGUAUAAACAUGGUUACAAUUGUGUGCACCUGUGGGAAUAAGGUUAAAUUGAGUGUUUCUUGAGAAGAAUGAGUGAACCCAACCCUAUAAUACAUUGUAGCUGUGUGUUUUUUUUCUUCCUUUCUAUGUGAAACUGAGUGGGAUACUUAGUAUUGCAGGUGAUAAUGAAAGCAGGAAUGUGCUGGAUGUUUUUUUCUUAGGGAAGGCUGUAGCUGAAGCAUUGAAUGAGAGAAUCGAGUCCACAGUUGGGAAUUUUUGAGUGUUGUUGGAAGGUUGCAGGUUGAGCAACAAAAGCAAGUGCAGGAUUUCCAGGUAACCAGAUUUUGUUCUUGAAUCUAAUCCUUGAUAAAUUCAUGAUUCAUGUCAUGGCCCUUUCUUUUGGGGGGGGAGGGGGGUGUUCACUUUUGCUGGGUUUAUUUCAUAGCUCUUGGAAUAGCUUAUUUGGUAAUGCACAAACGCCACCAAUGGAGAGUUUUAUGAAUUUGAAAUUUGGCUCUAAUACACUUCUGUGCUGCUUGACCAUUACGUGUGUUUCUGAAUCCUAAUGUUAUGGUGCCCAAAGUGAUUGGUUCUAUUGCUUACAAACCAAACCUUACUGGAAAAAUAACAAUAAUUUGAAGGUAUUUAAAUGGGAGGAGUUAAAGGUUUUCUUUUCUUUUCUUGACAUAUGUUCUUGGGAGCCUUAUGAAAUUGCAGUCAUCAUUUGUUUUAAAUGCCUUCUUUUGAUGCUGGUAUUAUUUUUGCUUCAUUUACAAUAGGAAGAGUUAAUGUAAGAGACCCCUUUUCUUUCUUUUGAGGAAAAUUAUGGCGUUCAGGUUUUCAAAUAUACUGUAUCAAUGGCAUUUCCAGUAACCAACCCUCUCUCUUAACCUCAUCAUGAACUGCAUGGCCAUAGUUUCACACCAACUUAAAUUCUAGCAAGUUGUAUUAUCUGAAUUCCAUUUCUAGUUAGUUAUUGGAGGCUCAAGCUAGAAUUCAACUUUACAUCUACUACAGCAUUUUUGAAACUGACCUUUGUCGGUUUACAUAGGGAUGUACCAUUAUUUUCUGAGUAAAUGCAAUAACAAAUUGGCCAUCAGGAUCUUUUCUUCUUUUGUUGGAAUUGAAAUCGUUCAUCUGCAAAUUUGCUGCAUUUUACUACUCCAUUUUGAUGAUUUAUUAAAAUAUGACAUCCCCUUUAAUUCAUGCACACAGGAAGAGGUAUUGGAAAGAGCAAAAAGAGCCAAAGAGCAAGCGGCACGCGAGGAAUUGGAGGCACAAAGGCUGAUUCCAAAGUCUACUUCCCUAAGUACAUCUAUGGGCAGUGGUGCCACUGCAAAAAUGGGGCUGCAGCUAAAGCUUCGCCCUCAACUGCCAAUAACGGAGUUUCUACAACCCCAUCCUCCUAUAAUCCCCCCAACCCUGCUGCUGCUAAUACAGACCCUGGGCCUGAUACUAAAAAGGAAUAGUGCCAAGUAUCUCUAUUUGUAUUUCACACUUUUCAUCUGAUACAGUACCAAAUAAAUAUAAUAUCCAGGGUGUUUAAUCCCCAUUAUCCUUUUUGUUUGAAUCUAUUUCUGCUCCCUUUAUAUUCAACAAAAAAAAUAACUUUCAGGUUUAUACGUUCAGGUUCUUAAAAAGUAUGUAAGCAUUCAUUAAAUAACAUUUUAACAAGUGACAGCAUUGAAAGGAAUUACAUCGAUUAAACAAAAUUUCUGAUCCUGCAUGGAUCCAACACCUUCAGUGUCUGCAUAAAAUUUUCUAGGUAUGUCUAGUUCUCAUCACUCAUCAACUUCAACACCUGACAUUGGAACUCCUCCACUAGUUUUGCUCCUUUCCCUUAACAUAAUCCACACCAAAAUCAUAAUUAUCAUCAUCAUCAUCCAUAGCUUCAUCCCAUGAGGUUAAUUUAUUUUUGGCUUUUUUCCUUCUCUUAUUCUCAGCUCUUUUCAUCUUUGUGUUCAGCAUGCCUUCUACUGCAUACAGCUUCUCAUUUUGCCUGCUUGUGGCAGAUUUUGACUUUGCCUUUUCAGCAUCUUCUUCUUCAGAAGCCAUCUGCUCAUCAUUACCACCAUUACCAGAUGUAUCUUCUUGCUUUUCAUCACCUUCAAUUGAUUGCAAGGGUUGGGCAUUAUCCUGUGGUGCGCAAAUAUCCAACAGAUUUAUAUAACACCAUUAGUUCAAGCUAUUCCAUCUAUUAACAUGCAAAACUAAGAUUAAACCACAAAAGUGUCCUCAAAGAGCAAUUAUAAAUUAUCUUAUAUGAAUUCAUAUAAGAAUAUUUUAUUAUUAAGAAUUUUAUGAAAUUAUAUAUCAUUAUUAAAUUAUAUUUAAUAUUAAUUAUUUUAAAUUGUAUAAAUUCAUAUAAGAAAAUUUAUUAUGAAGAAUUUUAUGAAAUUAUAUAUUAUUAAAUUAUAUGUAAUAAUAAUUAUUUUAAAUUAUACAAAUUCAUAUAAGAUAAUUUAUUAGUUAUAAUUAUUUUAAAUUUUAUUAAGUCAUAUAUUUUAAUUAAAAUAUAUUUAAUAUUAAUUAUUUCAAAUUAUCUUUUAUAGUAUCAUAUAUUAUGAUUUGAGUAAAUUCAUAUAAGAAUAUUAAUUAUUAAGAAUUUUAUUAAAUUCAUGAUAUUUUAAUUAUAAUAUAUUUAAUAAUAAUUAUGUUAAUUUAUAUUUUAUAGUAUCAUAUAUUAUGAUUUGAGUAAAUUCAUAUAAGAAUAUUGAUUAUUAAGAAUUUUAUUAAAUUAUAUAUUUUAAUUAAAAUAUAUUUAAUAAUAAUUAUGUUUAAAUAUGAUUAAAUUAUUUAUUAUUGAUAAUAAUAAUCUUAUUAAAAUUUAAAUAACAAUAACAAUAAUCAUUUACCAAAACAAAUUUCUGCUAAGGGUAUUCUAGUCAUUUUAGUUUUUUCAUUAUGCUAUUACACCUCUAUUACACUCAACCAAACACAGGAUUACUAUUACGCCUCUAUUCCAUUACAUUCAACCAAACAGUUGAUUUGCUAUUACACAGCUUUUCCAUUACAUCUCUAUUCCAUUACACCUCUAAUCCAAUACACCUCUAAUCCAAUACAGCGAACCAAACGUGCUGUAUAAGUUUAUAUAAUCAUAUUACCGUCUUUAAAAAAACACUCAAAUAAAGGAAAAAAAAUAAAUUGACAAUAAUCAGAACAUUUGAAAAAAAAAAUCCAGAGAUACAUCAGGUUGAUCAAUUUGCUAAUAUUUACAUCUUAAUUUUGCCAUCAUUAGAAGCCUUAAGAGAUCCAUUACAUCAUAUGCACAAAAAGUCAAGUAUUAAUAACAUAUCUUUCUCUACCUCUUAAAAGUUCAAUUUUACAAACACUCUCUUAACAAAUUCUUUGAAUUCCCAGUAGAUUUAAUAAUGCCUUUACUUGAUCAAUCUCAUUUAUAUAUUAGAGAUAAAACUAAAACCACUACUAUUUUCAGUAAAAACUGAAACAUGGUAAAAUAAAAUCACCAAAAGAAAGAGCGCACUGAAACUACAACCAUAAUAGUUUUUUUUUUAAAACAAUGGAAUAAAACUAAAUACUAAACAAAACUGUUGAAACAGCGGUGACUGGUAAGUAGCCCAGAGGUGGGUGUGGCUGCCGGCAAGACCAAAUUAUUAACUUUAAAUUAAGAAAAAGUAAGGUGGUAGUUGUAGGCCAUACAGUUUUAUUUCCUUUCUGUGGUGAAGCUAUGAUUAUUCAAUCCAUAAAUUAAUUGGAAAAAAAAAAGGGGGAACAGAUUUGCAGCAAAGUCAAGAAAGUAAAAGGAAAAAGAGAAUAGUAUGGCUAGCCCCACUUCACUUUAAAUUAAGAAAAAGAAAGGGGGUAGUUGUAGGCCUUUCCGCCUCCACUCCAUAGUGGACGUUUUUUUUAGGUGUUGACUGAUGAUUCCAUUCAUAAAUGGAUUGAGAAACGAAAUUACUUGAAACUUGCAAUAAAGUGAAGAAAGUAAAAGAAAAAGAAUAUUGAUAUAUCAACUUAUCACCAUUUUUAUGAUUAUUAUUUCUUUAGAUAUAAGUCUUCCAAACAAUAUAUUCUUUAUUAUAAAUAUGACAUUACAAAUUCAAUAAAUAAAAGUAAACUUGAUAUUAAAAGUUUUAUUUUAUUUUUAUCAAUCAACCCAUUUACUUUAUUUCCUAAAUUUUAGAUUUUAUUUUAUGAUAUAUAUAUAGUCAAAAUUCAAAAGUAACAUAUUUUUUCAUGGAAUCUAGCUCAGGAAAUUGAUUCCUCAUUUACAAGGAAAGUCUCAAAAUCAAAGUCCUCGUUAACUUAAAGAGAGUUCUCUAAUUCCCUGUUGGGUCAAAAAUGUAUUAUUAGCUCUAAUUCCUUAUUAAGUCAAGAAUAGUUCUCAAACACCCUAUUGAGUCAAGAACACAAUGUUAUCUCUAAUUCCUUCUUGGGUCAAGAACAUACCAUUAGCUCCAAUUCAUGAGAGUAUAUCGGUGUGGUAAUACACGUUUUCGAAUAUAAAAUCAGCUAAUAAAGGUUAAGGUAUAAAGAUCAUAGUUGCUUGUUUGAAACAUGGUUAAGUAAUGUAGAUACACUGAGGGUGCUUAUAAAUGAUAAUAAAGAAAAUAUAGUGCAUAAGGGUGGACUAUGAUAACAAAAUACAUUUGUAACAAAAAUUUUGAGAUGAGUUAUAAUUUCAUUUUCGUAUGCUUAUUUAUUUAAUGAUUUAUGCUUUUGAUUUCAAAUUAUAUUAAUAUCACUGAUCAUCUAAUUCUCAAUGUGUAGACAUGUUUCUUCUAUACACAUGUAACAAGUAGAGAUAGAUUAAGAUCGAAGCCAAGCUCGAAGGCAUCCAAAGAUUACCGCUCAACUUCAUUUAAGUUAAUUAUUCAUUGUGAAUAAUUAGACGAGUUUGGCAUGUACAUAGAUUUAAAAUCGAUAUUGGAGUCAUUUGAUGAUGUGGUAUCUAUAAUGUUGAGAAAUUAUAGUCUAGGUAUGUACAUAUGUAUGUAAUGGUACUUAUAUAGGGUUAAGAUGGUAUGCACUGAUCUUUAUACAAUGUUUAUUACAAGUUUCACGUGUUUCUUGUGUGCCAAGUAAACUUAUUAUGAUAAUUGAAUUUGGAAAGGCUAUGAUUAUGUUGGUGGCCAUAUUGUUGGAUGUGUUUUGACAAGCAUAAAUGGUGUUUAGAACAUGAAUUUUGAGUCCCAUAAGUCUUGAAAAUGAAUUGGUAUAUAUUAUCAAAACAGGUGAUUUUAGGGAGAUUUUUUUUUAUUCCAACAAAUUUAUUUCGAUAUAAGAGACCAGAUGUAUUGAUACAAUUAAGUCAAUCUCCAAAAUUAAACAACAACAGGAACUUGUAGCGAUACAACUAGGUCAAUCAAGGUCUCCUCCCUUGUUUUGAGUCAUUUUGAUCCUUGGACACCUGGACUUGGUCCUGAAUAACCUUGGUCACCUAAAACUCGUUUUAAAAUGUUCUAAAUGAAUUUAAAUGACUUAUAAACAUUUUUAAUCACGGCAAAUAGUUUUCUAUGAAUGAGUAAAUGUUGGUGUACAAGUUGAUUUCAGAGUAUGUGCUUUUUUCUCUUUACCUACAUUUAGAGAUAGAUUAGUAAAAAUAAACAAGACAGAGGAUAUAUAUCAUGUCGACUGCAAACUACUUCGUAGCUAUUACAACGAAGAAUUUUUUGCCUCUGUUAUCCAGAUAUAUAAAACAACUUAGAAAAAAUUGAAUAUAAUUGUGUUAAAUACAUGUAUAUUGCCAACACUUGAUCCUGAGUGUACAAGCCCAAUUUUGACCCCGGCCCGUACCAGCAGGUAAUAAUAACAAUAAUGAGCAGUCCAGUUACAAUGGCCCAAGGCCCAAUAUCCAAAACAGCCCAGAAACCCAAAACCCAAACUAAACCAGUCCAAUGGGCCCAAAGUCCCUAGCCCAAGUACCCAAACCCCAAAUCUGACCCAAAAAGAUUAGUCAAACUAGGGUUUCAGCUUUUCUGAAACCCUAGUACCGCCGCCAUCACAUCAGCAGGGCAAGUGGUGUGUCUGCCCUCUGCCACCGACCCAUCCACCGCCACAAUCACCUGCAAAUAAGCAAAGAAGAGACAACAGCAACAGUAGAAAACAAUGAUACAAUCGGCUAUAAAAGACGAAGCAAAAUGUAAAAUUUCCCCUCUUUUAUUUUGGGGGGACGAACAUUAGAAAUCAGUGGCAUGUAUUAGUAUUUUUUUACGAGCAUUUAGAGAAAAAAAAUAGAAAACCAAUUUCAGAGGUGAUAUUUCUAUUUCUUUUCGGGUUCGAUUCUUUUAUUUGGUUUUAUUUUUCUUUUUUUCGCAUAUGAAAUAAUAAACUAAGAAAGAAUAGGAAUAAUGUUUACCUGGAGUGCCCUAUAACUCUGCCGUCGGUAGUCCUACCGUCGUCGGAGUUGGUUUCAAAAGGAGGUUAGGAGGCCUUUUCUUUUUGCCUCUCGGGUUGAAAAGUUUUGGCCUUUGAACGCACUUUAAAACGGGGGCUGAAACGCUCAUUUUGUGCAACGUCGGCCAUUGGCCACGGUGGCGCUACAGCGGUGGCCAAGGCCAAAGCCCUAGGUUGGACGGAGGGGUCGAGAGAGAGACUUAAGCUCUCUAUUUUUUUCUUGCUGAAAAAUGAAGUGAAGAUGUUUUUUUUUUACUAUUUAUAUAAGGUAGGAAACGAUGCCAUUUUGGACCUUAGCAUCAGUGGCCAAAACGAUUUCGUUUUGACCUGGAUUGGACCGACCCGACCCGACCUGCAACAGGAUCUGUACGUUUUUAACUUUAGGGAUAUUUACCGCUUUGGUCCUUCAGCAUUUUCUAUCUUUUUAAUGCAGUUUAUUUUUAUUUGCAAUUUUGACCAUAUUAUUUUUCUUUUAUUUCGAUUUGGUCCCCUUCAAAGCUGUGCGUUUUGGAGGGCGGGGAUAUUUUCCCCUUUAGUUCCUCCUUGUUAUUCGCGCACUCGAUUCGGUCCCUUUCUUUUUAUUUAUUUGUGGAUUUGCUCCCAAAUUUUUGUUUUAAGUUCAAAAUUAGUCCUUUUUAUUAUUUUUGCUAUUAAAUUAAUUAAUUUUGAUAGUAUAACCAUUACUUUUAAUAUUACUAUUACUAUUAUUGUAUUUAUUAUUAUUCUUAUUAUUAUUUACUCAUUUAUACCUUUUUAAUUUUAGAUUUUGUUAUAUAUAUACAUACAUGCAUAUACAUCCUUUAUGUUUUAUAAUUUUAAAAUUCAUAUGUACAUACAUACGUUUUUAUAAUAUAUAUACAUAUACAUAUACAUAUAUAUUUUAUAACUCAUACAUAUACAUACAUAUAUAUGUCUUCUAUAUUUUAUAACUUCAAUAUAUAUAUAUGCUUACAUUUUAUGAUAUAUACAUACGUACAUAUUUCUAAUUUCUAUAAACAUGUACGCAUACUUUUAUAUAUUUUUUAUAUUUCAUAGUUCUUAUAUACAUAUAUAUAUACAUACUUACAUAUACUUUUAUAUUUAAUAAUUUUAAAAUAUAUAUAUACAUAUAUUAUUCAUAUUUUCAUAAUUUUAUAUACAUACACACAUAUAUAUAUAUAUCUUUUUUAUUUUUUAUAAUUUUAUUCAUUUUAUAUGUUUAUUUAUUUAUUUACAUUUUCAUUAUUAUUUUGAAAGAAUGUUUUAAUUUUAUUUGCUUAUAUGCAUUGUUAUUUUGUAUGUUAUUGGUUUAUCCUUUUAUUUAUCUUAUUUUUGUUGCUAUUGUUCGUAUUAUUUUUACACCAUCGUGUUCAUUAUUGUUUUGCUAUGCAUAUCAACAAUGUAAUUUGUUUUCGCAUUCUUUUAUCAUGACAUCAUGUUUCAUUUUACUCCAUAUGUCAAAAUUUAUUCUAAAUAAAUGGCAUUUCGUAUUUUGUGAUUCGAAAGGUCAUACCCUAACUUACGGGGUUUCAACUUUCUCGAUAAAUUCAAAUAUACGAAUAUUUUCAAACAAGUUUUUACAAAUCUCAAAAAUUAUCAAAAGAUCGUGUUCUAACUUACAGGACAUGAUUUCCUUUUCUAAACCCGAGAUAAUCGAAUCAAAUAUCUUUAAAAUAAAUAAAUCUUUCGGUAUUUAUUCUCGAAUAGGGAAUUUACAGAUAUUGUAUCCUAACUUACGGGAUAUAAAUCUCUUUCUCGAUUAACGUGAAAUAUACUUUUUUCUCAAAAAUUUUUGGCAUUUUGACAAAGGAUUAUAUUUUUAAAUCUCUUUUAAGUUUCUAAUUCUCAACACUAAGACACUAAAUUCAACUAGGUAUCAAUUUUGGGCGUUACGAGGGUGCUAAUCCUUCCUCCUACGUAACCGACUCCCAGCCUAUUUUUUUGAAUUUCGCAGACCAAAAUCGUUGUUUUAAUAAAAUCAAAUCGUUUAUCAAAAACAACCAUUUUUCGAGGUGGCCCGAUCACACCUCAUAAAAAAAGAUGGGUGGCGACUCCCAUUUUCGUUUUCAUUUUUAAAAUCCAAGUUGAUCCCGUUUUAUCAAAAACAUUGGUGUCAAUAGCUUGGCGACUCCGCUGGAGAAAAAUAAAAGAGUUAAGUCACGAGUUGAUUAAUUUUUGUCUUUUUGUCAAAAAUUUAAAUUUGGUUUGAAUAUACUAUCCUUUUACUGCAUUUUCGUGUUAUUUCGAUUUUUAUCAUUGUGAUUCAUAAUUGCUGUGUCGGUUUGAUAUACUACUGCAUUGCAUUGCAUGAUCGGUUGAUCUUACCCUUUUAAGUGGGAGUGAGAAAUUUUUCCUUCGUGAGGCUUUCACCUCCCUAUAGGAUAGGGGACCGUUUUCGGGAUACAUACGUACCUAUGCCUUCGUGAGAUUUUCAUCUCCAUAUAGUCAUAGUGAAAUGUAUUCUCUUAAACCGAACUCGGUCCGCAUGAGCCUAUAAUGGGUGAGGAUCGAAGAAUCUGUUGGUUCAGGUACCUUUACCCUAGAAGCCAAGCCGCAUGUAGUGAACCUUAGGAACUCACCCUAGGUAGAACUACACCCUAACCUUAUUAGAUACCCGAAUAUGUUUUAUUAUUUCUAGAUUGUCUUGGAUUGUAUGUUUAUACCUGAUACUGACUUUUUGUGUUUUACUUUGAAUGCAUGAUAUUUCAACUACAUGACAUUGCAUCAUAAAAGGCAUUGGUUCAUAUUCGGUUGCUAUAUAGAAAGCUUAUCAUGGAAAGAGGGUUUCUUGAUAAUGUGGAAGAUAAUGCGAUUGUCCGAACUUGGUCAGAAACGACACAGUACGAGAAAGGUGAUAAUUUGGCUGAAGAAUGUGUAUCAGAAUUGUAGGACUUUACCCAUAUUAGUGUAACUCAGAACAGUUUGCAAGAGUUGAAAGAAAUCUAGGAUCAGUGGAACGAUGAGGUCAAACAGCUAUUCUAUUCCAAUUAUGGGGAUUUACCUUACCUGCUUGAUAUGAAGAUAGACAAGCAUUUGUUUCAGGCUAUCGCACAAUUUUGGAACCCCACUUACAGUUGUUUCACAUUCAAAAAAGUCGACUUAGUGCCUACAGUAGAAGAAUACACGGCUUUACUUUGGUGUUCGAAAAUUCAAGUCGACAGAGUCUACUCGACAGCGGUAAAUGUACUGACCUUUUUGAAAAAGUUGAUGAACAUAAUCGGGAUGAGUGAACAGUGGGUUGCAGCUCGAAUCAAACAGAAGGGGGAUAGCAAGUGCAUUCCUUGGAAGAAUUUGAAAGAUAUAAUUCUAGCACACCCAAAUACGAAGAAGAGGGUAGAUACCUUUGCUUUGAGUAUAUACGGCUUAGUUGUCUUCCCCAAGGCUUUGGGACACGUGGAUGAGGCAGUCAUUGAUUUGUUUGAUCAACCCAACAGGGGGUUACACCAGUCCCAGCGAUUUUGGCAAAAACAUUCAAGUCGUUAAAUGCCUGCUGGAGAGCGGGUGAGGGUAGAUUCAUCGGAUGUACGCAGCUUUUACUUGCCUGGUUCCACAGUCACUUUUGGAAGGUCGAUAAGAUUGCUUCUGGAUGAAAUUUUGUAUCGAUGCGGUGAUUUUGAUUAGGUCCCUCUACUUGGAAUUUGGGGAGCUGUUGGUUAUGCCCCGUUGCUAGUGCUUAGGCAGUAUCGGUCAAGGCAGUUUAUACCCGCAACUCAGGGACUAGCUAAGUGUGAAUUUUCGUAUAGGGGAAAUGGUUACAAAAAGAAGAUUCGAGAGAUGUCCAAUGCAUGGAACCAGACUCGUCGGAUAAAGAGAUUAGUCGUAGGUCCAAUGACGACUCCUGAAUAUAAUGAGUGGUUGGUUAGAAAAAUCAAUGAUAAUAUCCCCGAGCCAAGUCACAAAAAUAGUCUGUCGAUAGAGGAACACUUACGGGUCGUUCCUUCUGAAUUAGAAAUCAUAAAGCAAGAUUUUGAAAGGAGAAAUGCAGAAUUAGAAAAGAAGAUAGAUCAAAUAGAAGAAGAAAAGAUGAACUUGAGAUUAGACCCGGAUGUUCAGAAACUCAAGGCAAAGAGAUUAAGAAAAGGAAAAAAUAAGGCCGAUGAGGAUUUAGAUAGCUUGAAGACAGAUUAUAAGAAGCUGCGCCUAUCGAUGAGAACUGCUGGGUUGAGAAAAACCUCAGAGCAAUUGCGUAAAGAGAUUCAAGAAGAAAAGAACAAGGCCGAUAGAUGGGAAAGGAAAUUUUAAGAGGUUCAGACACGAAAUGAGACUUUAGAGAAGAGUUUGUCAGAGAAUCGAAAGGAAAAAGGUGAACUAAAAGAUAGAGUGGCUGAGUUAGAAAGAUCUCUCCAUCAGUAUCGAAAUUGAAAUUCUGAGAUGAAAUUGAGAGCGAGCUUGAGCAAGAUCAAAGAAAUGAAAGAAAGGAUAGAAGAGUUAGAAACGGUAUUGUAAAAUUGUGAGAUCUGGAUCGAGUACCUGAAAGCUAAUGAAGAUCAUCAGAAUGAGCAGUUGCAUUACUUUUAGAACCAAGUUAGAAAUAGAGAGCAUAUAAUGGGAGAAGCCGUGGUUCAAAUUCGAGAGGUAGCUGAUCAUCUGCAAACUUUAGCAGUGUAAGCCGAUACACUGAGCGUGAAGUAUGAAUUGGAAUCAGAUCAGGGACAAGAGUUAGCCUCAUUACUUAGGAAGAUUAGAGUUCUGAGUAUUAGGGCUAAGCCUUAUCUGUAAUCCAUCUUAUGUAAAGAAGUUUAUUUUCUAGUAAAGUUUUCAAAAUGAAAUUUAAUUAGAAUUGACGCAUUUUUGCAUUCAUUUCAUGCAUUUCAUCGCAUCAUAUGCAUUAACGAUUAUUAAAAUACCAUAAUUGAUUAAAAUGAUUUCAGAAUUAAUCUGGAAAACCAACACCUUUACAGUACUUGGACAAAAUCGAAAAACAUGAAUCAAAGAUUGGAAAGACUCGAACAGCUCCAAAAAGAUAUGCUAGACCAAAUGCAAGAGCGGCUAGAAAAAAUUCAAUAAGAUAUUGUGGAAAAGAUGAUGGAGUCCCAAAAGAACAUGAUGACUCAGUUAACAUAGCUGUAGGCUGGGGGAAAUGACAAAGGAAAUGACCCUAUGGUUAAUGUUGAAGAAGGAGAUAAUGAUGGACCCCUCUACCCCCCAGGCUUUACUCCUCCACAUGUAUAGCCCCAAGCUAAUGUACACCCACGCAGGUCUUCUAUUACAAUCAAGCCUCAACAGUUUUAGACCAGCACCUCAAUGCCAAUGAACUUCCAAACCGGAUUAGGUUCUAACCCCGGAGAGAACCCUACCAAUCCCACUGUCUCCGAUUUCUAUGAAAUGGCUGAGAUGGAGAAAACCAAAGAAGAUUUGCCAAAACAGCUGGAGGAAAAAUGUAAAUGGCUCGAAGAAAAAUUCAAGGUAAUAGAAAGUAUUGAAAAUUAUCAAGGGAUUGAUGCUAAAGAUUUGAGUUUGGUCUCGGGUUUGGUACUUCUCCACAAGUUCAAAAUGCUGAAAUUUGAGAAAUACAAUGGAACCAGUUGCCCUGAAGCUUAUAUUACCAUAUUUUGUAGGCGUAUGACUGGAUAUGUUAACAACGACCAACUGCUUAUACCUUGCUUUCAAGAUAGCCUCACAGGGGCAGCAUCUAAGUGGUACAAUCAAUUAAGCCGUACCAAGAUUUGUUCAUGGAGGGAUUUAGCACAAGAAUUUAUGAAGCAAUACAGUCAUGUAACAGAUAUGGUCCCUGAUAGAAUCACCUUGCAAAAUAUGGAAAAGAAGCCGAAUGAAAGUUUUAGGCAAUACGCGCAAAGUUGGAGGAUAUCUCUCUGAAAUGCAGUGGAGUGGAUCGAAGCAACAAGACACAGUGGACUGCGAGAAGGCUACCUGAAGAGGAAAGGCUCUAAGAAGUUAAAAUUCGACGAGACCGAGCAAAAUUAGCCUUCUUUAGUCCUUGCUCUGUUCUCGUUACACGACAACGAGCAAAGAAGGGCAGCAAUCCAGUUACAAUAGCCCAAGGCCCACUAUCCAAAAUAGCCCAGAACCUCGAAACCCAAACUAAACCAAUCCAACAGGCCUAAAGUCUCUGGCCCAAGUACCCAAACCCCAAAUCAAACCCAAAAAGAUUAGUCAAACUAAGGUUUCAACUUUUUUGAAACCCUAGUGCCACCGCCAUCACAUCAGCAGGGCAAGUGAUGCGUCUACCAUCUGCCACUGACCCGCCCACUGCCACAAUCACCUGCAAAUAAGUAAAAAAAAAACAACAGCAACAAUAGAAAACAGUGAUACCAUCGGCUAUAAAAGUUGAAGUAAAAUGUAAAAUUUUUCCUUCUUUUUUUUUAGGACUAACAUUAGAAAUCAGUGGCAUAUAUUAGUCUUUUUUUUACGAACAUUUAGAGAAAAAAACAGAAAACCAAUUUCAGAGGUGAUAUUUCUAUUUCUUUUUGGGUUUGAUUCUUUUAUUUGGUUUUUUUUCGCAUACGAAAUAAUAAACUAAGAAAGAAAAGAAAGAAAUUUUACCUGGAGCACCCUGUAACUCCGCCGUCGGUAAUCCUACCGUCGUUGUCGGAGUCGGUUUCAUAAGGGGGUUAGGAGGCCUUUUCUUUCUGCCUCUCGGGUUGAAAAGUUUUGGCCUUUAAAAUGCACUUUAAAACGGCGGUGCUAUUGCGGUGGCCAGGGCCAAAACCCUAGGUUGGACGGAGGGGUCAAGAGAGAGACCUAAGCUCUCUAUUUGUUUUUUUUGCUGAAAAAUGAAGUGAAGAUUUUUUUUGUUUUUUUUUUACUAUUUAUAUAAGGUAGGAAACGACGCCGUUUUGGACCUUAGCAUCAGUGGCUAAAACGAUGUCAUUUUGACCUGGAUCGGACCGACCUGACCCAACCUGCAACAGGAUCCGCACGUUUUUGACUUUUGGGAUAUUUACCGCUUUGGUCCUUCAGCAUUGUCUAUUUUUUAUGCAGUUUAUUUUUAUUUGCAAUUUUGACCCUAUUAUUUUUCUUUUAUUUCGAUUUGGUCCCCUUCAAAGCUGUGCGUUUUGGACGGCGAAGAUAUUUUCCCCUUUAGUCCCUUCUUGUUAUUCGCGCACUCGAUUCAGUCCCUUUCUUUUUAUUUAUUUGUGGACUUACUCCCAAAUUUUUGUUUUAAGUUCAAAAUUAGUCCUUUUAUUAUUUUUGCUAUUAAAUUAAUUAAUUUUGAUAGUAUAACCAUUAUUUUUACUAUUAUUAUUAUUUUUUAAUAUUACUAUUACUAUUAUUGUAUUUAUCAUUUUUAUUUUUAUUACUAUUAUUAUUUUUAUUAUUAUUUACUCAUUUAUACCUUUUUAAUUUUAGAUUUUGUUAUAUAUAUAUACAUACAUGCAUGUACAUCCUUUAUGUUUUAUAAUUUUAAAAUUCAUAUGUACAUACAUACGUUUUUAUAAUAUAUAUACAUAUACAUAUAUAUUUUAUAACUCAUACUUAUACAUACAUAUAUAUGUCUUUUAUAUUUUAUAACUUCAAAAUAUAUAUAUGCUUACAUUUUAUGAUAUAUACAUACAUACAUACAUACAUAUUUCUAAUUUUUAUAAACAUGUAUAUACACAUACUUUUAUAUAUUUUUUAUAUUUCAUAAUUCUUAUAUACAUAUAUAUACAUACUUACAUAUACUUUUAUAUUUAAUAAUUUUAAAAUAUAUAUAUACAUAUAUUAUUCAUAUUUUCAUAAUUUUAUGUACAUACACACAUAUAUAUAUUUCAUUUUUUAUAAUUAUUCAUUUUAUCUGUUUAUUUAUUUAUUUACAUUUUCAUUAUUAUUUUGAAAGAAUGUUUUAAUUUUAUUUGCUUAUAUGCAUUGUUAUUUUGUAUGUUAUUGGUUUAUCCUUUUAUUUAUCUUAUUUUCGUUGCUAUUGUUCGUAUUAUUUUUACAUCAUCAUAUUCAUUAUUGUUUUGCUAUUCAUAUCAACAAUGUAAUUUGUUUUUGUAUUCUUUUAUCACGACAUCAUGUUUCAUUUUAUUCAAUAUGUCAAAAUUUAUUCUAAAUAAAUGGCAUUUCGUAUUUUGAAAUUCGAAAGGUCAUACCCUAACUUACAGGAUUUCGACUUUCUCGAUAAAUCCAAAUAUACGAAUCUUUUCAAACAAGUUUUUACAAAUCUCGAAAAUUAUCAAAAGAUCGUACUCUAACUUACGGGACAUGAUUUCCUUUUCUAAACCCGAGAUAAUCAAAUCGAAUAUCUUUCAAAUAAAUAAAUCUUUCAGCAUUUAUUCUCGAAUUGGGAAUUUAAAGAUAUUGUAUCCUAACUUAUGGGAUAUAAUUCUCUUUCUCGAUUAAUGUAAAAUAUGUCUUUUUCUCGAAAAUUUUCGGCAUUUCGACAAAGGAUCGUAUUUUUAAAUCUUUUUAAAGUUUCUAAUUCUCGACACUAAGAUACUAAAUAAUCAAUUAGGCACCAAUUUUGGGCGUUAUGAGAGUGCUAAUCUUUCCUCGUACGUAACCGACUCCCGAGCCUAUUUUUCUAAAUUUCGCGGACCAAAAUCGUUGUUUUAAUAAAAUCAAAUCGUUUAUCAAAAACAUCCAUUUUUCGAGGUGGCCUGAUUACACCUCAUAAAAAAAGAUUGAUAGCGACUCCCAUUUUCAUUUUCAUUUUCAAAAUCUAAGUCAAUCCCGUUUUAUAAAAAAAAAAGGUGUCAACCCUGAGUUUGAGAAACAUAGCUUGUUGCGAGUGCUAAUAUUUAUAUGUUUCUUAUUUUACUAACUAGAUCACGUAUUGAGCAUAGCUUAAGUUUGAGCUCUUGAUUACCAUCAUGUGUUUUUUAAUUUUGAAACGAUCCUUUCAUCCAACUCAAGCAACAUGCAGCAUAAAUUUUUUCUAUUACAUAAAUAAAAUAUACCAUAAAUCAUUUUGCAUAAGCACUAUCUGUUGGUUUAGUGUUGACCAGUCAAGUCCUACUAACUUUUAAGGCUGUUUUAUCAAAUUAACUCAAAAAUAAAUUAUAUUUGUAAAAAUAACCCAAGUUCAAAAACAAUCACCAAAAUAACCUAAAAUGAACAGUACCCACUCAUUUUUUGCACCAAUGAUUGUCUAAUAAUUGUGUCAGAAUUUUAAAAAUUAAUUUUUUGGGUUCUGGCCUAUCAGUGGCCGGAACCCAUGUAUUUUUUUUAAAAUUUGUAUAAUACUGAUAUAUGAAAAAGGAGGAAAAAAAAAGAAAAAAAAUUAUUUUUUUGGUGAUGGCCUGUCAAUGGCCGGCACCCAACAGUAAAAAAAAAUUCUUUUUUUUUUCAGAAUAAGAUAUAAAUAUACGAAAAAAAAAAAUUUGGGUGCUGGCCUGUCAAUGGCCGGCACCCAGUACAAUUUUAAAAAAAUUCUUUUUUUUGUGUCAGAGUCAGAUAUAAUUAUACGAAAAAAAUUUUAAAAAAAUUUUUUUGGGUGCUGGCCUGUCAAUGGCCAGCACCCAGUACAAAUUUUAAAAAAAAUUCUUUUUUUUUUCGUGUUAGAGUCAGAUAUAAAUAUACUAAAAAAAUUAAAAAAAAAUUUGGGUGUUGGCCUGUCAAUGGCCGGCACCCAGUACAAAUUUAAAAAAAAAAAAAUUUCGUGUCAAAGUUAGAUAUAACAUGCAGUAUUUGAUUCACAUGUAGUGUAUUUUUUUUUUUUUACUUCAUGAGGAACCUUAAAAAAUUGUUAUAUAUUUUUAUUUUUAAUAUUUUACGAUAUUCUUAUAAAAUAUUUGUUAACCUCUGACCCUAUUUCUGAAAUCUAAAAUUUUUAUUGAUAAUGUACCAAAUAUUAAUUCUUUAUAUAUUAUAAAAGUAAAAUUUCAUAAAUUUAAGAAAAUCAAAAUUUUAUAUAAUUUUUAAAAAUUCAUUUUGAAUUUGAAAUUAAAACUUUUAAUAUAUAUUUUAAAAUUUUGAUAUAAUAUUUUUAAUUUUAUAUUAUUAACAUAUUAUAGAAAAAUAAAUCUUAGUAAAUGUAUUUUUUGAAUUUCUACUCCAAAAAUGUGUCAAAUUAUUUUUUUUUGAAGAAUUAUUUAUCCACAUGUAUAUUAUAUGUAUCAUAGUUCGAAAAAAUUGAAAAAGAAAAUAAAUUUGAAUAAUUUGAAUAAUUGAUUGGUGUAAGUCGGUGAAGUUUGAAAUAAUAUUUUUUAUUAGCAAAAAUUAUAAAUUUAUUUUAUUUCAUUGUACUACAAUUUAUUUAUAUAUCUUUAAAUAAAAAUAAAAAUAAACAAUUGAAUAAAAAAUAAAUCAAUAAAAUAAUUUAUUUUAAUACAAACCUUAAUGUUAGUGGUAAUAAUACUAAAUAAAAACAAUAAAUAAUUUACUUAAUAAAAGAUAAAGAUAUUCCAUAAAAAAAGAUAAUAAUAAAAAAAGCAAUCAUUCAUUUGGAUGCCAAUCAGCUUUGUAAUCAAUCAUAAAAAAUAUAUACAGAAAAGGAGGGUGGUGGAAUGCUGUAAUUCAACAUUAAACAUAACUUCCUCAUCUACUUCUACCAAACUUACACAUCUCACCUUUUGUUUCAUGUCUAUCCUAAUAUGAAUGCAAUACCACCCUCUCCACUUCUUCUUUUCUCACUCACUACCCCUUCUACAUCAUGACUUCACCCCCAAUUUCAAUGACAGGGAUGUGGGAAAUGUUGCCCCAAUCUUUGCCUUUCUCCUUUUUACAACGUUUCUCCAGCAAAGGACAGUCACUAAUGGACAAAUGAGAAAGAGAGGGAGGGAGCAUGUUUGGGGGCAUGGAUUGGAGCCUGGGACAACUCUUGAUAUACAAACUGGAAAGAGAGGUGAGGUGUUGAAACCCCUUAUACUCCAAACUCUUUAGAUUUGGAAGACCCCAGAUCCUGAGAGUUUCAAGAGAAGAGGGAAGCAGAUGUUCAUCUGGAAAGCACUCAAUCUCUACUUCUGAAUCCCAGAUCUCGAGAUUUGUAAGAGAAGGAAGUGUAUGAAACUCCAUUCCCUUUUCCUAAUCAAGCUCUCAAUUAGUUUAUCACUGCUUCCGAUUGUAAUUCCUUUUAAUUUGGAGGGCAAAACCUCUUUUGGACCCAUCUCUAUUUCUGGACAAUCAUUUAUUGACAACAACUCGAGGGAUGGAAAGAUAGAGUGCAUUUGCUCUGGCAAUGACUUUAAACUUGGGCAAUACAAAAGCAUAAGUCGAGUCAAAUUGGUGACAGAUAAUCCAUCUUCAAUUUGAAGGGAUAUCAAAUUUUGGCAGGACAAUAUUUCCAAAGAAUUGAGACAUGUUAGAUGCUGGUGGUGAGAGCCCUCUAAAGUAGCACUAAUAAACUUCAACUCUUCACAUCUAAAAAUACCAACAUGCUUUAGCAUAGGAAACGAUCCUAAUGGGAAAGAUUCCAGUUGACCACACUUCGUAUCUACUAUCUGCAGAGAUUCAAGGGAUGUAUACAAGAAGAUUUUGGACAAAUCAAAAGCUUUGCACUGGUCGAUCCCCAGUUCUUUCAGUGUAAUAGACGCGCUACCUUCAGGAAGGGAUUUGAUAUUAGAACAACCAGAGAUAGUUAACUUGUCAAGAUGAGUGCAGUGUAGCAACAUCCGUUCCAAUAUGGAACAACCAGAGAUAAUUAACCUGUCAAGAUGAGUGCAGUGUUGCAACAUCUGUUCCAAUAUGGAAUCAUUCAUAUUCGAACCUUCAAUUCUCAAAUUUCGAAGCCCACAAGGUAAUGGCUCCAACUGCAAUGCGUUGCAUUUCUCUAACACAAGUUCACAAAUGCUUGGUGUCCUUGGGAGAAAACAUUCAAGCUUCUCACAAUUUGCAAUCACCAAUCUCUUUAAAGAGGGGAGGUGUUUGGGUAUAGACUUGAUUAGCUUUGGACAAUCCCUGAUGCGUAGCUCUUGCAGAAGGGAGAAAGCUUCAUCACUCCUACACAACCAUUCUUCCCACCCAGCCAUAUUCUUAAACACUAGGAUUUCAACAGAUCCAAAUGGUUUAGUCAAAGCUUGUCCAUUACUAUAGAACUCCUCACCAACUAUUACAACUUCGCUGAACCCAGAAAUGGAGAGAGAUUUCAAAGACGAUAAUUGGCCAAGCGGAGGCAAAGAUAUGCAAAAUUUACAAUCUCGAAACUCUAAAGAUACCAUAUUUGAGAAGGAAAAAUGCCCCACCCAUUCUGGAAAUCUCGUGCCUUUGUAACUUCCGAUCACUAGAUACUUCAAGUUUGUAUUAGGCUCCAGUUGUUCCAAUACUUCUCUAUCAUGCUUUGAGUUACCAUCAAUAUCAUCAUAUUCGUCCCACGUCAACUUCAACUCCUCAAGAUUAACCUUAUCCUUCAACUUGGCAUCUUUGGCAUCCCUGGCAUUUACAACAUUUUUCAGUCUUGAAAUGGCAAGUCUUCCCCGUAAAUGCUUGAGCUUUCCCAGCUCAUUAAUGCUUGAACCAGUUUGAUCACCUAUAACAAAAUCUGUUAAGAUUCGAAUAUCUUUCAACUUACCCAUCCCUUAUGGCAUCCUAGUUAAGUUUGUUCGCCUAAUAUCAACAUAACGCAUGUUGAUCAGUCUCCCCAUGUCUCUCGGCAACUCAACAAGGUCACUGCAUCCAUGCAAUGUCAAUGCUUGCAAAUUAUACAAUGUACACAGAGAAUUUGGCAACCUUCUGACUGAAGUUUCUGAGAGAUUCAAAUUUCGUAGAUGCUUCAAACUACCAAUAUCUUCCGGUAAUUCAUUGAUAUUUUUAUACCCAGCCAAAGAAAGCGCUCGUAAGCUUGAUUUCAUCAACAAAUCAUGCAUUAGCACAUUGCUAACAAUACAAUAGAAAGAAGACUUCACAUUUAAGAAAGCACGCAGACAUUUUGCUUUAGGUAAGCUCUGAAAUUUUUGUCGCACAUCACAAAAUUCUUAGGCAUUGGACAAAUGACGAGUCCUUUCGAUUAUUUCACAACAAUCACCAUUACCUUCCAAUCUGCAAAUAAACCCUCCAGCGAUAGAUUUAGCCAAAUCACUGAUUAGUUCAUGCAUGACAAAACUAGAUUUCGUUCCAUUCGAUUGCUGAAAAAAUGACCUCAAUCUUAUACCUUCAAAAUAGUCAUCACCUCGUUCUUCCACAUCACCAUGGUCAUUUGGAAGCUCUAAAAGACCUUCAGCCAUCCAUAGCAGAAUUAUUUCUUCCUUCCCAAAUUCGUAAUCUUUAGGGAAAAUUGAACAAUAAACAAAACAUCGCUUUAAAUAUGAAGGAAGAUAAUAAUAACUCAAUUUCAAUGCGGGAAGAAUAUCAUUUGGUAGGUCCCAAAAAUUGCUAUGUAAUAUUUUGUUCCAUUUAGCAGCGUCUAGAUUACAACGCAGAAGACCUCCAAGAGUUUUUGCAGCCAGAGGGAAGCCGUCACAUCUUUUGACAAUUGCUUUACCGAUUGCCAUCAGAUUUGGAUGCAUGCUUGGGAUUGUACCAACGAAUGCACGCUUUGCAAAUAGCUCCCAAAAGUCAUCAUUUGAUAAGGUCUGUAGAGGAUAACUUGGAACAGUCUUCAUAAUAGAGACAACACUUUCAUGACGUGUUGUUACAAUAAUCUUACUGUUUUGUGCCCCAAAACUGAAAGGAAUUCUGAGCUCAUCCCAAUCAGCAGACCUUAAGUUCCAAACAUCGUCUAAAACCAAUAGAAAUUUCUUUCCCGACAAUUUGUGACCGAGUUUAAGUUGAAGCUGAUUUAAGCUCUGACUAUCACCAUAACCACCAGGGAGCUCUUGGAGGAUGGCUUUAGUUACUUUGAAAGGAUCGGAUUCUUCCGAAACACACACCCAUGCUCUGAGCUCAAACCAUUCGGCCACUUUCUGGUUAUUAUAGAUCAAUCGUGCGAGCGUGGUUUUGCCAAGCCCGCCCAUACCCACAAUGGGAAUCACAUCUACCUUAUCAUCAGCAGACAGAUUUUGACGGUGCAGCAACUCCAUUAUAUCUUCUUUCUCACCAUCUCUGCCAUAAACACCAGACUCGUCCACCAAAGAAGAAGUUGCACGUGAUCUCCGAUACUCCUUUUCUACUCUAGAAAUUCCUUCUAAUUUCAGGGUAUCUUUCUGGCUGACUAUAUAUUCUAGUCUCCCAAGGAUCUCCUCCAGCUUUGACUGCAUCCCAUCUUUGAAAGGAUUGAAACAAGAGAAAAUGCUACUAACCUGGUUCAUAGCAGUGGUUUGAUGUUCGGAUUCGAUCUUGUUCCGAAGAGCUUCAGUAGAGAUGUCGUCCAGGAGGUCCUCGGCAUCAUAAACAGCAUCUUUGAGCUCAUCAAUCCAACUUUUGACAUUUGGGUUGGUAAUCUGCUUAUUUUCAGCAUCAUCCAACACAGCUUUCACCGACAUCAAGGGUGGCUUCAGUUUGUUCAGCAGCAUAGCUUCCAGUUUCUUUCCUUUGAUAAACCCACGAACAUCGGCAGAAACAAUCCUAUCAAGUAGUACCUCAAUGGAAGCAGAGAGAAAAGCUUCGGCCACCAGAGCCAUGUUUUUCUUUUGGGGUUUUUGGUAAAGAAAGGUUUAAAGGGAGAUGGAAAGGGAAGUAAAGGCAAACAAUGGAGAAGAAGAGAUCUUGAGCACAAGAGAAGAAGGUUGCAGAUAUAAAGGAUUUGGAUACGAAACAGAAGAAAUAAAGUGCAAAGCAAAUUGCAAACAAGGAACAGUAGAAGGAUUGGAUGGAAAGAUGAAAGGGGAAGGCUUUAACUUGCAAAUACUUGAGUUUCAAUAAAGAUGAAACAACCUUAUCCUUGCAAACGGGACUUUACUCUUUACGAUGCAAAGGAGACAUUAGUAAAAUGUUUAGAUAUUAAUUAAUAAUUAGCUUUUUUCAAAAUGGGAAAAUAUGUAUUUAAUAUUUUGUGUUGCUUUAAUUAAUUCCCGAUUUGAAUUUGGAUUUAGAUUUAGAUUUGUAGGAUAUGUUUAAAAAGUGAAUCCAAGAGUUAAAUGUAUGAUUAGAGAAUGGAAAGUAAAGAAAAUAAAAAUAAAGUUAAAAAUAACAUAAAAAAAUAUGGGGAUUAAUUAUAUAAUUUAAGUUUUUUAUUUAAAAUGAUGAUUUAAGGUGCCACGUCAGCUUACUGUUAAACCGUUAAUGAUAAUUAAUGGCCCAAUGACUAACAUGUUACAACACGUCAACGUAAGUGACUAAAACGUAAAAUUUCAAAUAUAAGUGACUAAAAUAUAAUAUGAGAUAAACAAAAAUAAUUAUUUUGAUAAUUUACCCUAAUUAUUUUCUGAUAGUGUGUAUUAAAACUUUCAAAACUUUUAUUUUCCCUAUUUAUUACUUUACCAUGAAUAAAGGGUGAAUUUGGAUAGGAGGUGAGUUUACUUACAAUUAGUGUAAAAAUAGCAAUGACAGUAAGAUUAAAUACUGUAACGAUACUAUAACUUAAGACAAAAAUAAACUAAUUGCACCGUACCAUACCCUACCAAACAUCCAAACCCACCCUAAAUCGUGAAUACGUUAUUUUGGAUUUACUUCACCAGUUAAUUAGAUUUUAUAAUUUAGUUGUCAAAAUUCAAAUUAUUUAUAUUAAAUAUCCAUUUUAAAACACAAGUCAAUUUGGAGUGACACUUAUUGUAAAAUUAAAGUGUCCACAUUGGAUUUUUACCAAAAUUGCAGGUAAUUUACCAAAAAAAGCCAUUUUUUUUAAAUUUAUCGAAAUGGGCCCGGUACUUUAUUAUUUACCAAAAUGGGCCCCUUUCCCCUAAAUGGCGUCCACGUCAAUGCGAAGUCAGGGGAUGUAUCAACAAAGCGCACUGACGUGGACGCGAUUUGCUGCACAUGGUGCGCCCCUAGGGUCGCGAUUUCGCCGUCCUUCCCACGUUAGGAUUUUUAGUGUUUUCCGAAUUUUUUGAUUUUUGGAGAGAAAAGUAAACAAAUAAGGGAUUAGGGAUUAGGGUUUCGUAAUUAAAUUAAUUAAAAUUUAUUUAAAAUUGGAUUACGUUUCGUGUUUAUGGAUUUUUAAGAUAAAAUAAAAGCAGGAUGAUUUAUUAGAAGGAUUUUUGCAGUCGCGGCCACGUGUACGCGCUUUUGCUAUAGUAGGUCCUAGAAAAAUAAUUUUGAGUUGACGUUUCUGAGCAAAUAGUAUAAAAAGCGCUUCAAGUAGGAUGUUAUAUGUGAAGAAUUUGUGAAAUUGUGCCCUCCUGGAUGCGCUUUUGCUACAGUUGGUCCUGGAAGAAAUAAUUUCGAUAAAUUAUAGUUUUUUAAAUUUUUAAUAAAUUAGUUUAGGGUUUUUAAGUAAUAACUCAAAAAAAAUUCUAUUUUAUUACAUCAAAUAAUAUCAAAAUAUUCAAAAUAUUUGUACAAAUAAAUUUAAAUACAAAAAUCAAUCUCUGUGCUCGCCGGAUUAGUGCCACAUGGCGGCAGUCGACGGUUACGUGCUGGAUUCCUCCUUUGUCCAGCUUCCGGCGGCGGUUGUGGUUCCUCUGGUGGGGAUUCUGGUUCUUCCGGUAGGGCAUCUGGUUGUCGGAGUUGGGACGAUGAUCCACCUUGAAAGAAUAGUGAAUGUGGAGGUGUUUGCAUCACCAACGGCGACGGUGUUUGAAACCCAUACGGUGGUGGGGAUUGGUAAAAAGAAUAGUUCCUCGACGGCCCCUUUUAAGAUCCCUCGUGCGCCACUGGCCUAUACAUCGGCGGUCCACUCGGUGUAACAGGAAAUGGAGCUGAACCGGGCCAUUGGCUCCAACCUGUCAUAGGACUCGAAAAAGGAUAUAUAUAAGGGUUAGGAUACAUAAAAAGGCUAAGAAACGCACCUGGCAUCAUCUGAAAAGGCAGUUACGUGGGUAUCAUCGGUUGAACUGCUGGGUCGGAUGAAGGCAAUGGUGCUCUCGUUGGGCCUAGUGAUUGCAUGGCCGCUGAUGAUGGGCCGGGUGAAUGUUUGGGCCUCGUUGAGGGGCCAGCAUCAUCGUCUUGUCGUCUUGGAUUUAGAAGCCCGCGCCUUUCCCUUUGGACACGUAUUUGUCGCUGCCUCUCCUCUGGCGUCAAUAAAUACGACUUGCCAUGGAUCCUAAACCAUGGCAUGUAUUCCAGCACGCACGCUAACUCCGGAACGAUGAUUGGUUCCCGAGUAGGUAAAUAUUCAUACAGAUCUUCCCACAUUUCUAUGUACUCGGACCAGUAUCUCGGCCAAUCCGUAUUCAAUUACCGAAGGUCGAUUUUGUGUUGAUCAUCAAACACCUCAGGUUCCACGAAAAUCGGUUGUCUACAUCCAAACUGUCGUGGCACUCUGUCUGACUGGUGCGGCUCUACGGUCGCGUAGUUGAUCAACGCGACUUUCACGUGCCAAGCGCUUGGGUUUUGUAAGAACUCAUCUAGAAUUACUAUCCGAAUUACCAGAUCCUCGUAUGGUGUCCAUUGAAACUAUAUGAACAUUAUAGACAUAUUAGUUAUAUACAUAAUACUAAAUACUAAAUACUAAUUACCAAUAGACUAGCGAAUGAUGGAAAUAUCAAUUUUAUUUAAUACUUACAUAUGCUUCCGACUGUUGGUCUAAUAGAAGCCGUAUAUCUUCAAGUUCGGUAGGUAAUCGAGCAUGACUUGCCGGAUGGUUCCACCUAAUUAAAUAAACUUUUAGCAUACUUUUAUUUUUAAAUAUCUACAUAAUAGUUGUAAAAUCUAAUAUAAAAUUUACCUCGUUAUGAGUGGGAAUGUAUAUGGGUGGUCCACUCGAUGACGUAGAAAUAGAAAGCGAAACCGUGCCCAUGACUGCUGUAGCGACAGGUAACCUCCGAUUUUUACUCUCCUCGGUCGCGUCGCCCCGCACAUAUCCCGAUAUAAUGUGGCCAAGACGGCAGACCCCCAACUUAAUUCACCGGCUACUCUAAAAUCAAUGAGUUUCAGCAGCCAUCUUAGAUGUACGCGGCUCCAUGACAAGUCCGGCCUGAGAUAACCUCUAAUUAACUGAAGAAUGUAUGCUCGAGUAUAUUGGAUUCUUUCUAUUUCGGUUGAAUCUUCAUUCGGAUCCGAGAAUGUGUCUCGCAACCAGCCCAUCUCGAUCUUACCUCCAUCCAUUUUCUUCGGAAUAGCACCCAGAAGCUCGUAGCACACCGCUGGCCAAUCGCUAGAUUGGGCAGACCCGGUGACUGGGUACCCGUCCACCGGCAAUCCCAAUUAUAGGCUAAUGUUUUCCAAAGUGACAGUGCACUCUCCACAUGGAAGAUGGAAUGUGUGCGUCUCGGGUCUCCACCUCUCGAUCAACGCACUGAUUAGUUUCGGGUCCACCUUGCAUCCCCAGCCUACCGUCGUCACGUGCCAAAAACUCGUUUCCCGCAGGUAGUUCUCUACCAACGGUGAUAGAGGAGUAUGCAUAUUCCGGAUAUUGCAUUCCAAUACUCGAUCUACAGACUUUUAUAACAAAUAAUAAAUUAAUAAUUAUCUAAAAAUGCAUAAAUAAAAAAAUCUUAAAUAAUAUUUAAAAAUUAAAUUUAACACUUACCAUCUUCAUUUGUUCCACGGAUUUGUGGUGCUCAUCAAGACAAGUCAAUUCUCUGGCCAUUACUGAAAUCGUACAAAUAUUUUUGGUUUAAAAAAGGGAAUUAAGAGAAAUUUUUUUCAGUUUAAAAAAAAUCAAAAAUUUUUAAAAUUAUUUUAAAAUAGGGAUUUAAGAGAAAUUUAAAAGGAAAUUGAGAGCUAAUUGAGAUUAAAUAUGAAUUUGAGAGAAUUUUGGAAGGAAAUUGAGAAGAAAUUUGAGAGAGGAUUUGUUUGUGAAAAAAAUGGGUGGGGGUAUUUAUAGGGUUUAAUUUUUUUGACCGUUGGGGGGACAACGGUCAAAUUUUUGACCGUUGCACUGUUCACGCGCAGUCUAAAUCGCGUCCCCAAGGACGCUCCACGUCAGCGCGCUUUGCUGACGUGGAAAAUAUCGCGUUCUGCAGGCCGCGCUUUGUUGCCACAUUAGCAAAGUGCGCUGACGUGGACGCGAUUUGCUGACACAUCCCCUGACUUUGUGCUGACAUGGACGCGAUUUAAGGGAAAUGGGCCCAUUCCGGUAAAUAAUAAAAUACCGGGCCCAUUUCGGUAAUUUAAAAAAAUUAGCUUUUUUUAGUAUUUUGCCCCAAAAUUGCUUCUGUACCUUGUAAUAUCUCUGUUUCUAUUGUAAUUUGGUAAAAUUUAAAGGCAAGAGACAAUUUUCUUUAAAAAAAAAGAAUUUAUUUACUUUAAUAGAAGUUCCAGAAGCUAGUCCGCUAUACUUUUUCGCACUUAGAUUAUUGCUCAAUAAGGACAAGCAAAUUAUAUUUUUAUCAAUUAAUCCCAAGAUUAGAGCUUUGUGGCUUAAGACGGAAAUGGAGGAUAGCUGAAAAUUUUUUGAUCUUCCAGGGUUCAAAGAUAUCUAUUUAUGUGUAAUGUUCUAGUUAUAAUGGCUUAAGCGAAGUAUGUUUUUAUCAAUAGUUAUUUAUAUUUAGUUUUUGGAUAUUGAAUUUAUGUUCUACUUAUUUAUGUGUAAUCUAGUUUUAUUAAUAGUUGUUUAUGUUUGGUCUUUAGAUAUUGAAUUUAUGUUCCACUUAUUUUUUACUAAAUUAGUUUUAUUAAUAGUUGUUUAUAUAUGAUUUUGGAUAUAAAAUCUAUUCACAGGUGAUGAGUAUAGUUGAGGAUUAUAGCGGUGAUGAAAGUGAUGAUGAAAGGGAAAAGAAAGAGAUUUUACACGCAUGGAAUGUUUUAACCGAAUAUUUGUUAUUGCAUCUUCUUCCAUGCAAUUAUAUUACGGCAAGUAUAUAUUGAGGCAACCAUGCAUGGAUUCAAAACAGUCAGGUGAGACAUGGAUCCAAGAGAUCCUUGACGGUCACGAUUCACGUUGAAUGAUUAAUUUUAGGAUGUCCAAAAUGGUAUUCACAAGUUUGCUGAGCGUUUUGGAGACAAGAUACAACUUGCAAACUUCAAGAAACAUAUCUUCUAGUGAAAUGUUGGGAAUUUUUUUAUACAUCUUGGGCACCGGUGCAAAAGUUUCCCAAUGUCGAGAAAGAUUUCAAAGGUCUGGAUCAACAAUAAGUCGAUACUCUGCAGUUGUGCUUGAGAAAGUUUCAAGGAUGGCCACUAAUCUAAUUGCACCCGAAGAUCCUUUUUUUAGCUCAAUACCUGAACAAAUACGUAAUGAUUCUAGAUAUAUGCCGUAUUUUAAGGUUAAAUUUUAAUUUUAUAUUAUUAUAUUUUAAUAUAUUUGGUCGACUAAAAAUAUGCACGAUAGUAAUAUGAUUAUUUGUUCAGGAUUGCAUAGGUGCAAUUGAUGGUACCACAUUGCGGCUAUUCUUCCACCAAAUGAACAAACUCCCUAUAUUGGAAGAAAAGGUAUCCUGACUUAAAAUGUUAUGACAGUAUGUGAUUUUAAUAUGUGUUUCACAUUUGUCAUGGCUGGAUGGGAAGGAUCGGCACAUAACACUAGAAUAUUUCUUGAUGCAAUUCAAGAUCCAAAAUACAAAUUUCGCACCCUCCAAAUGGUUAGAUAUUUUAUUUAUAUGUGAUUUUUUAAAUAAUAAAGUAUAAGUUCUUUAAUUGAUUUUUUUAUUAAAAAAUUCUUGAAUUAAUUGUUUGUUAUAUAAUGACUUGUAGGAAAAUAUUAUCUUGUUGAUUCUGGAUAUCCUCAAAUGAAAGGUUAUCUUGGACCAUAUAGAGGUCAACGAUACCAUUUACCUGACUUCCAAAGAGGUGGACCGAUAUCUGGUAAAGAAGAGAUAUUCAAUCAUUCACAUUCCUCAUUACAUAGUGUGAUUGAACGAACUUUUGGUGUUUUGAAAAAAAAAAGGGUCAUUUUAAGAGAUAUGCCAAGUUAUAGUUUUGAAAAGCAAACGAUGAUCAUUGUUGCUAUAAUGACGAUACACAAUUUUAUCCGAAAACAUGUCGGUCGAAAUGAUGCAGAUUUUAUGGAAUACGAAGAUAUUAACUCGGCAUAUAAGAAUAAUAUUGAUUCAGAAAAUGCGCAUGGUCGAGAAAGUGAUGAUGAUGACGACGACAAUGAUGAUAGUGAUGAUGACGGUGAAUCAAACAAUUUAAAUGGUUUUGAAAUGGAAUUAACAAGAGAUGCUAUAGCUUAUAGUUUAAUGAAUUCACUUUAAAUUGUAAAUGCUAUUGUAAAAGUUUUAGUAUUUAUAUUUGAUAUAUAAAUAUUAUCCCUUUUUAAAACUUCAAUCCAAAUAUAUGUAAUAUUUUAAUUUGUUAGGUUUAUGUUUUCUAUGUUAUGUUAAUAUCUAAUAUGAGUUAUAUAUUCGAAUACAUUUUAAAAUAAAAUAAUACAAAUGUGUUAAAAGCAUUAACUAAAAAUUAAAAAUAAUUUUUAUAAUAAUACAAUUUUGUCAAUAUCUAAUUACAAAUAUUUAAUUAUUAUAUUUAAAUAUAGUUUAUAUAUUCUAAUUAAAUUUAAUAAAUAAUUAAUAUUAAUUACUUAGAAAUUUUUAAAAUUAAUAUUAUAUAUUAAAAUAUUAACAAUAAGUUAUAAUAAAUUAUUUUUUUAUAUUUUUGCUAAAAUAUCAUAAUAUUAACUAAUUUAAACAUUAUUUAUUACUUUAUAAUAUCAUGUCUAAAAUGAACAUUUUAUUCUUCAAAAUCACUUUUUGACAACAAUACUAAACACUCAAAAUUUUCAAAAGCACUUCUCAAAAGCACUUUUCUGCAGCACUUUUCAAAAGGAAUGAAGAACUGGCCCUAAUUGUGUGUUUAUUUUAUAAGAAUUAAAGAAAAAUAAGAAAUUAGUGGGAUUUUAAAUUUGAGAUUCAUCAAAUAUUUGAAGCUUCAAUGCAUGUAUAAUUAAGAUGUCAAAUGGCAUACUACCAACGCAAUAUUUCCUAAAUUCUAACCUAACAUUGCUUUAGUAUAUAUUUACUAAAUUAGAUUAAAUUAGCCAUGGGUGCUCAUGUCUGAAGUAAAUUAGUUAUUUGUAAUUGUAAUUAUUCUUUAAAAUUUUUAAUUUAAUUCAAUUAAACUAGAGUGAAUUAAAAUAAUUUUAUUUUUAUCUCAAAUUAAUUUUUAUUUCUGUUUGUUUAACUGAAAAUAGUUUCUAAAAAAUCACUUAUUUUUUUGGUGUUUCAAAUUAAAAUAUAUUUUUUUUUAUAUUUGGUAGAUUUCCUGAAAAUAUUUAAUAAAAGCUGUUAAGAUAAUAUUUUGUGAUAAUCAAUGUUAUAUAUAAACUUAAUAAUAAAUAAUGUUUAAUUAAAACUUAAUUUAAAUUACAUAUAUUACAUAUAUGAGGGUACAUAUUGAUACAUUAGAGUUGUAAAGGAUAAACGAAGUUAAGUAUUAUUUAAACAAAUACUCAUAUUUAUAUAAUUAAAAUAUUCAUAUUUUAUAAUAGGUUAAAAUAUGUCAUAAGUUCUUAUACUUUCCGUAUUCAUGUACUUUUAUUUUUAGGAAUUUAGUCCUACUUUUUAGAUAUCAAAAUUAAAAUUCAGUUGUUAUCACCAUUAAAAAUAUUUUGUUAAAUUAAUGUUCAUUACAACGUGAUUUUUCUGUUACAUAACUAAAAAAUAUUUUUGUAUUUAAAAAUAUGACAUCAACAAAAUUGACAAAAAAAAACAAUGUUAACAAUUGGACUUGGUUUUUAAAUUUGAAAAGUAGAGGGACUAAAUUCUUGAAAAUAAAAGUACAGAGACCAAAUUCUAAAUUUGUUGAGAAUACGUAGACUUAUGACAUAUUUUAACAUUUAUACUAUAAAAUAUUUAUUAUUAAUACAUUUUUAAUUAUAAUAAAUAUUUAUUAUUAAAUAUUUUAGAAGAAAAUUAUUUAAACAAAAUUGAAAGUAAACUUGAUAUCAAAAUUUUUUUAUCUUGCUUUUCCUAGCUUAGAAAAUUGACUAUUCUUUUCCAAGGGAAGUCUUCACUUUGAUUGUGUUGAUGGGAUAUGCCUCUAAAUUAUUGAGUGAGAAAUUUGUGGCAUAAGGACAAAACCACAAAUUUAAUUAAAAUAUUACAUAAAAAGGAAUAAUUAAGAAUCAAAAUUUAUUAAAUAUAUAAUAUUUCUUGAUUAUAUGAUAUAAUCAGUUACUUAUGAAAUCACUCCAUUGAAUUUAAUUUGCAACCAUUUCCAAUUUUGCAGUCUCAAUUUUUUUUUUAAAUUGCCCCUCAAAAUCAUAAUUUUGAACAUUUUUUUAUAAUAACUUAUUUAGUUUUUCACUUUACAAAAAAAAAAAUUAUCUCUUCAUUUAAUUUUACACUUUUUUAGUCUUUGAGCUUGCAUUCUUGAUCAAAUCAUCUAAAAAAUGAAUGAAAAAAUUGUCGUUUAAUUUUGUUUACGUGACAUCCACGUGUAUGCCAUAUAAGCAGUUAAUUAAUUUCUUUUUUAACAAUCUCAUUAUAAGAUCUGAUCAUAUCUGCUCUUUUUGGCACAAUUCUUAGAACUACUCAUAGCCCAUUUCCAACUCAUACAUAAGAAGAUAAUGCGCUUCAAUGCACGUGAACCCAUGUCCUCCUGCAUCCAUGCCAAUUGAGUUAAUAUUCAAUCGGUGCAAUUAAUUAAUCUUUUAAAUUAAAGAUAUUAAAAAACAUAUUUUUUAUAUUUUAUACUUCUUAAUUAAUAUUUUUAAGUAUUUUUUAUAAUUUUUUAAUUUUUUAAAAUUUUAAAAAUGAAUUAUUUGUUAAAGUGGCAUCCAUAUGACAAUCCAAGUAUAUAUCAUGUUAUUAAAUUUAACAAACAUUAUUACUUUUAUCUAUUUUAGUAUGAUUUGAUAAACAAUAUAAAUUUAUGAAUAAAAAACGAAAUUUUAAAUAGAAAAUUAAAUAUUUUUUUUUAAAUUAGAGGAUGAAUUACUAUAUUUUUUAAAAUAUAUAUAAACGUAUGCGUUAUUUAGCUGUUUGUGGGACAUGUCUCAAAAUUAUUAGUGGGAACUUGAUGCUUUACAGAUGAACAUGCAGCAUCUAUCUUUAAUGACACGAUAAUUAAACCAAAAAUAAAUAAAAAAAUACACAAAUGAAGAAAUAAUAUGGAAAAGUAACUAAAAUAUAUGACUUGAUCAAAUAAUAACAAUACAAUACUACAUAAAUAUUUUGAAAUUUAUACCUACAAAUUAAGUAAAAGUAUUAUGGAGUUGUAUGUAUUAGAACUUGGAUGGUAUUUUGUUCUCAUUAUUCAAAAAAAUAGAUAAAUUAGUGUCUGUACAUUAGAUUAAAGAGCAAAAUAAUCAUUCUGUUAAAAAUUUCAUCCAUUUCACUGUUAAAAACUAAUCACAAUAUGUCAGCAUAAGAUACAUAUGACAUACCACAUGCCACUCACUAUCUAGUUAUAUUGUUAGUCACACCAAUUUAUAACAAUAUAAAUGAAUGAAAUAUUAAACAAAAAAGACCAAUUUGUUUUUUGAUCUAAUAUAUAAGAACUAAUUUACUCAUUUUUAAGUAAAGAAGACAAAAUGUAAUUUAACUUCCAAUACAUAAACUCCAUGUUUUGUUUUCCAUUUUAAGUAAAUGGUUGUGUUUCCAAAUGAUUUAUGCAUAUCUAAUAAUAAUAAUCAAUGAUUAACAUGUUAAGGUAUAUCUAAGAUGCCAGUGGUGUCUACAAAUACUUGAAAAAGAAAAUGAAAGUUAGUUGGGAUCGUUAUGAGUAUGAACAAUGUAUGCCUUAGUUCUGAAGGACUAACAGAACUAACAGAGCAGUAGUACAAGUCCGUCAGCCAUUUCUUGAAUAAUAAUAAUAAUAACACACACAACUAGUGCAUGACAACACUAAUGAUAAUCUAAAAUCAUAUAAAUAUAAAGAGUUAAUUUUUUUUUCAUAUUUGAGAAGUUGGUGUUCAACUUCUAAAGUCAUGAAUGAGCAUCACUAUUUAUUUAUACAUUUGGAAAUCUAAUUUCAUCUUUUCAAUUGAUAAUCUAAAAAUUUUAAGGAGUCAAUAUGGCUUAGUUGCUCAAACAAAUAUACUCACAUGGGAAUCAAGUUCCGCACUUACCAUAGAAGACUUCCACGUUGAAAGCUCUUUCAAAAGAAACGAUCCUUAGAAUUGAAUGAAUCAUCAAUAUCACAAUAAAGAAACUUUGUUGUUGCAUGAACUCAAGAAUACUGGAGCCACUGAUUUCAUAUUGCAAAAUAGACAAACUUCAAAUUCUUAUUCUUUGUGUUGAGGAUUGAACACUCAACAUGUUCACAAAGUGAGAGCAUUUCAUCAGGUAUCUAAAAAUGUAAACCAUGUGUGUUAAGUAUUGUUGUAUUCAAACUCAUACCCUAUAGUAUAUAUAAAAUUUUUGAAAUCCAACUUUAAAACAAAAAAUGCAAAGCUUGAUGCAAAACCUUAGAAGCAUUGUUGGGGAUAAACCUGUAACACCCCUAACCCGGCCUAGACGUUAUGACUGAGUCCGAAAGUGUUACGAAGAAGGGAUUUGAAAUCAACGAUAUUUCGAUAAAACCAUGUAUAGUUAUUUGAUAAAACGUCCAAGUAUUAUAAAACAUAUUCGUUACUGAAACUGUGAUGUGAAGUUCUUUAAAGUUAACCUUUUAUUUCGCAGCGAAAGUUUGGAAAUCAUUUAAAACAAAAACCAAACUCGUGCUUUCAAAAACCCAUUUGUUUGCGUAAAGUGUUUUUGUUAACGUUGCGGAAAUGUAGCAAAUCAAAAUCUAAAUCCAAAAGUUAAAACCAAUCAGUCCAGAGAGUCCCAAAACUUACAACUCUCAAGAAAAACCAGACUUUAAACUUAAACCAUUAAUUACUAAGUAAAAAUAGUUCUCGGUCGAGUGGUCACUCUGAGCCUCCGUCACACCGACCCACCUAAAUCUGUGGGUUACCUAAAUAGAACAGACAAACAUAUGUGAGUUUUCGUAAACUCAGUGUGUAACCCAACAGAAAUAGACAUGCAAUAUACACAGUAUUUCAUAAAUUGUCAAAUAUAGAUUCGGACCUAAGUCCAUAGCAGAUGUAGAUAUCAGAUAAACAGAACAGAUAUACAAAACCCUACCCCCAUCCUCUACACACCAUCUCCGACCAUCCCAUCACACCAUGUGGGGUUAAAAACACCCACCCAUCCCUACACACCAUACAGUUUCAAUGCAACACAUAACAGAUAGUAUGCAGUUAAGUUGCCAGAAUUAAGGUAAAAGAUUGUCGUACAGAUCACUUCCUCUACAUAUUCAAAUCCCUAACCCAUACAGAUACAAAAUACAAAAUUAAUAGAACCAACAUGCGUAACAUGCUCGUGUACAAAUAUCAUAUAUGUAUACUCAAACAAAACAAUCAUGCAUACGUAUCAGUGUCCUACUCAAAACGGACUAUCAGAAUAUCAAAUCACAUGAUUUAGGGUUUGGUUAGCCCUUACCAACCUUACGGUAGGCCCAUAGUCAAUUAGAAACGACCCGUGCGACCCUAAGGAAAAUUUUAGAAUUAUGGGCCCACACGGGCAUGUAGGCCCACAUGACCAAAUUGGCCUUGCCUAUGUAGCCCACACGGCCUGGCCCAAAACCCACAUGCUCGUGUAGCCCACACGGCCUAGCCCAAAACCCACACGCUUAUGUGGCCUACUCGACCACAUUCACACCAUCACACGGCUGUGUCCUAUGCACGGCUACACCUUCGUCAGUCACAUGGUCGUGUCUUGCACAUGGCCAACCACACGACCGGCCACACGCCCUUAUGGCGUCGAUAGACUCCAUUUUUGGCUUUCGCCAAAACUCAAUUUUUCAUGUUAGAAGUACACACUUGGUUCUAUUUUAAUGCGAAUGUAACUGUUGACACCAUUUUUUUGAUAAAAUGGGUCAACUUGGUUUUUGAAAACGAAAAUGAAUACGAGAGUCGCCACCAAUCUUUUUUGAUGAGGUGUGAUCGGGUCACCUCGUAAAGUAGUUGUUUUCAAUAAACAAUUUAAUUUUAUUAAAACAACGAUUUUGGUCCACGAAAUUCAGAAAAAUAGGUUCGGGAGUCGGUUAUGUACGAGGAAGGAUUAGCACCCUCGUAACGCCCAAAAUUGGUACCUAAUUGAUUAAUUAAUGUCUUAGUGUCGAAAACUGAAAACUUUAAAGAAAUUUAAAAUACGAUCCUUUAUUGGAAUCCUAAAAUAUUUUGAAAAAAUGGCAUAUUUCACACAAAUCGAGAAAGAGAAUUACGUCCCGUAAGUUAGGACACAAUGUCUUGAAUUCUCGAUACGAGAAUAGAUGCCAAAGAUUUACUUAUUUUUGAAGGAUAUUUGAUUAUUUCGGGUUUAUAAGAAAAAAAUCAAGUCCCGUAAGUUAGAACACGAUCUUUCAUUAAUUCUCGGGAUCGUUUAAAAGUUUAAGUUUGAAAGGACUCGUAUGUUUAAAUUUAUCGAGAAAGUUGAAACCCCGUAAGUUAGGGCACGAUCUUUUCGAAUCUCAAAAUACGAAAUUUUACUUAUUUUAAAGCCAUGAUUUACAUUGAAUAAAAUUAAUUUAACAUAAAAUGGUAGGAAUAAACACAAUAUUAAUAUGUGUAACAAAAUGAUAAUGAGCAUGAUAAUACAAGCAUAACUAAUAUGAGCAACAAUCAAAAAAGAAAAAUAAAACAAAUCAAGUAUAUAUGAAAUAAUAAGUAAAUAAAAAAAGGGAACUAAAGCAUUUCCUGAAAAUAAUGACAAACACAUAAAUAAAUGAAUAAAUAAGUGUCAAAUAGAACGACAAUAACAAAUGAAUAAAAGAUAAAAUAUCUAUGUAUGUAUAUCAAUAUAUUUAAGUUAUAAGUUAUAAAAUAUGAGAAUGUAUAUACAUAUAUACAUAAAAACGAAAAUGCAUAUCUAUGUAUAUAUAUAAAUUAUAAAGCGUAAAAAAAACAUAAAUAUGUAUAUCUAAAAAUAUGCAGGUAUAUAUAUAUAAAUUAUAUGAAAAUAUAAAAAACAUAUAAGUAUGUGUAUGGACAUGUACGGAUUGUAAAAUAUGUCCGUGUAUAUUGUAAAAGACAUAUAUAUAUAUAAUAAAACUUGGGAUAAAGUAUACAUAAAUAUUUGGUGAUAAUAAUAAUAAUAAUAAUAGUGAUAUUAUAUAAUAAUACCAGUAUUAAAAUAAUUAAUUUAGUAAUAAAAUAAUUAAAAUUACAUACGGAUGAUUAAAAUGAAACUGGACAAAAUUUUAGGGCAAAUUAAUAACACAUAGAAGAAAAAGGACCAAAACGAUAUGCGUGACAACUAACGAGGCCCAAAUGAGCAAUAAAACCCAAGUCGUACACGCGUCAUUCCCUGGGGGGCAGCAUACGAAGGACUAAUAUUGAAAGAGGAUUAAAAUUAAAUGGUGAAAUAAAAAAAAUAAAAAGAGGGCAGGAUUGAAAAUCGCGAGAGAAAUAGGACUCGCCAAGCAAAUAUCCCAUUAGUAUGGAAAUACGCGGAUCCUUGCGUACAGGUCGGGUCACCCUCGGGUUGCGCCAAACGGCGCCGUUUUGGUACUAAAACCCCCCAAGUGAAACGACAUCGUUUUACUAGUGUUAUAAAAGCUAUAUCUCUUCUAAUUCUUUCAUUUUUCCUAGAGGUGCUCAUGGGCUAGGCGGGUAAAAAUAUUGAAGGGUUCGGGUAAAAAUAUAGGCCCAAAAUAUGAGUUUGGGCCAAAAAACGAGGCCCAUUUAAAGUGCUGCCCGAGGCCCGGCCCGGCCCGGCUCGGCCUGAAUAUAAUAAAUAUUUUUAUUUUUUAUUUUUAAAAUACUUUUUACUAAAAAUAAAAUAAAAAUAAACAAUUAAAGAAUUAAAGAAUGAAAAAUAAAAAAUAAAUCAAUUAAAUAAUUACUUUAAUACACACCUUACAAUAAAUAAUUUACUACCAAACUUACAAAUCACACUUUUUGUUUCAUGUCUAUCCAAAUAUGAAUGCAAUACCACCCUCUUCACUUCUUCUUUUCUCACUCACUGCCCCUUCUAUAUCAUCACUUCAUCCCCAAUUUCAAUGAUAGGGAUGUGGGAAAUGUUGGCCCAAUCUUUGCCUUUCUCCUUUUUACAACGUUCCUCCAGCAAAGGACAGUCCCUAAUGCACAAACGAGAAAAAGAGGGAGGGAGCAUGUUUGGGGGCAUGGAUUGGAGCUUGGGACAGCCGUAGAUAUACAAAUUGGAAAGAGAGGUGAGGUGUUGAAACCCCUUACACUCCAAACUCUUUAGAUUUGGAAGAUCAGAGAUCCCGAGAGAUGUAAGAGAAGAGGGAAGCAGAUGUUCAUCUGGAAAACAUUCCAUCUCUAAUUCUGAAUUUGAGAUUACGAAAAAUGUAAGAGAAUGGAGUGUAUGCAAACUCCAUUCCCUUUUCCCAAUCAAACUCUCAAUUAGUUUAUCACUCCUGAUGAUGCUAAUUCCUUCUAAUUUGGAGGGAAAACCCUCUUUUGGAACCCACUCUAUUUCUGGACAAUCAACUAUUGUCAAAAUCUCGAGGGACGGAAAGACAGAGUGCAUUUGCUCUGGCAAUGACUUUAGACUUGGACAACCGAAAAGCGUAAGCUGGGUCAAAUUGGUGACAACUAAUCCAUCUUCAAUUUGAAAAGAUAUCAAAUUUUGGCACCCCCAUAUUUCCAAAGAAUUGAGACAUGUUAGAUGCUGCUGGUGAGAGCCCUCUAAAGCAGCACUAAUAAACUUCAAGUCUUCACAUCCAGAAAUAUCAAAAUGCUUUAGCAUAGGAAACGAUCCUAAUGGGAAAGAUUCCAGUUGACCACACUUCAUAUCUCUCAUCUCCAAAGAUUCAAGGGAUGUAUACAAGAAGAUUUUGGAAUGAUCAAAAGCUUUGCACCGGUCGAUCCUCAGUUUUUUCAGUGUAAUAGACACACUAUCCUCAGGAAGGGAUUUGAUAUUAGAACAAUCAGAGAUAGUUAACUUGUCGAGAUGAGUGCAGUGUUGCAACAUCUGUUCCAAUAUGGAAUCAUUCAUAUUCGAACCUCCAAUUCCCAACUCUCGAAGCCCACAACGCAAUGGCUCCAACUGCAAUGCGUUGCAUUCGUUUAACUCAAGUUCACAAAUGCUUGGUGUCCUUGGGAGAAAACAUUCAAGCUUCUCACAAUUUGCAAUCACCAAUUUCUUUAAAGAGGGGAGGUGUUUAGGUAUAGACUUGAUUAGCUUGGGACAAUCCCUGAUGCGUAGCUCUUGCAGAAGGGAGAAAACUUCAUCACUCCUACACAACCAUUCUUCCCACCCAGCCAUUUCCUCAAACACUAGGAUUUCAAGAGAUCCAAAUGGUUUAGUCGAAGCUUGUCCAUUACUGUAGAACUCCUCACCAACCAUUACAACUUCGCUGAACCCAGAAAUGGAGAGCGAUUUCAAAGAUGAUAAUUGGCCAAGUGACGGUAAAGAUAUGCAAAAUUUACAGUCUUGCAACUUCAAAGAUACCAUAUUUGAGAAGGAAAAAUGCCCCACCCAUUCUGGAAAUCUCGUGCCUUUGUAACUUCCGAUCACUAGAUGCUUCAAGUUUGUAUUAGGCUCCAGUUGUUCCAAUACUUCUCUAUCAUGCUUUGAGUCACCAUCAAUAUCAUUAUAUUCGUCCCAUGUCAACUUCAACUCCUCAAGAUUAACCUUAUCCUUCAACUUGGCAUCUUUGGCAUCCCUGGCAUUUACAACAUUUUUCAGUCUUGAAAUGGCAAGUCUUCCAC
rnacentral:lncRNA from 1 species